AUAUCCUAAUAAGCUAUUCAUCUCCUAAAAUAUACCAUUUGUUAUAUUUCAAGUUGUGAUUUGGUUCAUCCUGUAACAACUUCAUUUGUGAAUUAACUACAAGGAGCCCCAUUUCCAUCUCUAUUUGAGUUGCAUCAUGCAGUUAGUUGUAUUAAACAUCAAUUUGUAUUUUGUCAAUGUUGGGUCUUGCUUGCAUCCACGUCCACCUUUUUACUUUUCUUGGUGAUUGCAUUUUAUUUCCCUUCAAGGAGUGAAUUAUAAGAGGAAGAAACACUUUCUCUCUCACUCAAUCUAUCUUUCUCUCUCUCUACAAAGAAUCUCAUCUCCGUUUGACUCAUUCUCAAUCUCCCUUCAUGGGAACUUUCGAACCUUGAAAUGGAAUUGAAAAUUGUUUGAUAUAUCUCUCUAUCUCAUUCUCCCUACCCUUAUUUCUCACUCUCCCUUGGCCCCUUUCUUUCCCUAUUUACUCAUUUUCAACCUCCCUUCAUAAGAGAUUCUAAAAUUUGAAAUGGAAUUCUUUUCCCACUCUCACUAUGCCCUUUACUUCCCCAAUUCCCUUAUAGAUUCACUAUUAAUCUCCCUUCAUAAGAACUCUAGGAACGUCAAAUGGAAUUGAAAAUUUUUGGAUCUCUCUCUCUAUCCUACAUGCUUUCUCAACCCNNNNNNNNNNNNNNNNNNNNNNNNNNNNNNNNNNNNNNNNNNNNNNNNNNNNNNNNNNNNNNNNNNNNNNNNNNNNNNNNNNNNNNNNNNNNNNNNNNNNNNNNNNNNNNNNNNNNNNNNNNNNNNNNNNNNNNNNNNNNNNNNNNNNNNNNNNNNNNNNNNNNNNNNNNNNNNNNNNNNNNNNNNNNNNNNNNNNNNNNNNNNNNNNNNNNNNNNNNNNNNNNNNNNNNNNNNNNNNNNNNNNNNNNNNNNNNNNNNNNNNNNNNNNNNNNNNNNNNNNNNNNNNNNNNNNNNNNNNNNNNNNNNNNNNNNNNNNNNNNNNNNNNNNNNNNNNNNNNNNNNNNNNNNNNNNNNNNNNNNNNNNNNNNNNNNNNNNNNNNNNNNNNNNNNNNNNNNNNNNNNNNNNNNNNNNNNNNNNNNNNNNNNNNNNNNNNNNNNNNNNNNNNNNNNNNNNNNNNNNNNNNNNNNNNNNNNNNNNNNNNNNNNNNNNNNNNNNNNNNNNNNNNNNNNNNNNNNNNNNNNNNNNNNNNNNNNNNNNNNNNNNNNNNNNNNNNNNNNNNNNNNNNNNNNNNNNNNNNNNNNNNNNNNNNNNNNNNNNNNNNNNNNNNNNNNNNNNNNNNNNNNNNNNNNNNNNNNNNNNNNNNNNNNNNNNNNNNNNNNNNNNNNNNNNNNNNNNNNNNNNNNNNNNNNNNNNNNNNNNNNNNNNNNNNNNNNNNNNNNNNNNNNNNNNNNNNNNNNNNNNNNNNNNNNNNNNNNNNNNNNNNNNNNNNNNNNNNNNNNNNNNNNNNNNNNNNNNNNNNNNNNNNNNNNNNNNNNNNNNNNNNNNNNNNNNNNNNNNNNNNNNNNNNNNNNNNNNNNNNNNNNNNNNNNNNNNNNNNNNNNNNNNNNNNNNNNNNNNNNNNNNNNNNNNNNNNNNNNNNNNNNNNNNNNNNNNNNNNNNNNNNNNNNNNNNNNNNNNNNNNNNNNNNNNNNNNNNNNNNNNNNNNNNNNNNNNNNNNNNNNNNNNNNNNNNNNNNNNNNNNNNNNNNNNNNNNNNNNNNNNNNNNNNNNNNNNNNNNNNNNNNNNNNNNNNNNNNNNNNNNNNNNNNNNNNNNNNNNNNNNNNNNNNNNNNNNNNNNNNNNNNNNNNNNNNNNNNNNNNNNNNNNNNNNNNNNNNNNNNNNNNNNNNNNNNNNNNNNNNNNNNNNNNNNNNNNNNNNNNNNNNNNNNNNNNNNNNNNNNNNNNNNNNNNNNNNNNNNNNNNNNNNNNNNNNNNNNNNNNNNNNNNNNNNNNNNNNNNNNNNNNNNNNNNNNNNNNNNNNNNNNNNNNNNNNNNNNNNNNNNNNNNNNNNNNNNNNNNNNNNNNNNNNNNNNNNNNNNNNNNNNNNNNNNNNNNNNNNNNNNNNNNNNNNNNNNNNNNNNNNNNNNNNNNNNNNNNNNNNNNNNNNNNNNNNNNNNNNNNNNNNNNNNNNNNNNNNNNNNNNNNNNNNNNNNNNNNNNNNNNNNNNNNNNNNNNNNNNNNNNNNNNNNNNNNNNNNNNNNNNNNNNNNNNNNNNNNNNNNNNNNNNNNNNNNNNNNNNNNNNNNNNNNNNNNNNNNNNNNNNNNNNNNNNNNNNNNNNNNNNNNNNNNNNNNNNNNNNNNNNNNNNNNNNNNNNNNNNNNNNNNNNNNNNNNNNNNNNNNNNNNNNNNNNNNNNNNNNNNNNNNNNNNNNNNNNNNNNNNNNNNNNNNNNNNNNNNNNNNNNNNNNNNNNNNNNNNNNNNNNNNNNNNNNNNNNNNNNNNNNNNNNNNNNNNNNNNNNNNNNNNNNNNNNNNNNNNNNNNNNNNNNNNNNNNNNNNNNNNNNNNNNNNNNNNNNNNNNNNNNNNNNNNNNNNNNNNNNNNNNNNNNNNNNNNNNNNNNNNNNNNNNNNNNNNNNNNNNNNNNNNNNNNNNNNNNNNNNNNNNNNNNNNNNNNNNNNNNNNNNNNNNNNNNNNNNNNNNNNNNNNNNNNNNNNNNNNNNNNNNNNNNNNNNNNNNNNNNNNNNNNNNNNNNNNNNNNNNNNNNNNNNNNNNNNNNNNNNNNNNNNNNNNNNNNNNNNNNNNNNNNNNNNNNNNNNNNNNNNNNNNNNNNNNNNNNNNNNNNNNNNNNNNNNNNNNNNNNNNNNNNNNNNNNNNNNNNNNNNNNNNNNNNNNNNNNNNNNNNNNNNNNNNNNNNNNNNNNNNNNNNNNNNNNNNNNNNNNNNNNNNNNNNNNNNNNNNNNNNNNNNNNNNNNNNNNNNNNNNNNNNNNNNNNNNNNNNNNNNNNNNNNNNNNNNNNNNNNNNNNNNNNNNNNNNNNNNNNNNNNNNNNNNNNNNNNNNNNNNNNNNNNNNNNNNNNNNNNNNNNNNNNNNNNNNNNNNNNNNNNNNNNNNNNNNNNNNNNNNNNNNNNNNNNNNNNNNNNNNNNNNNNNNNNNNNNNNNNNNNNNNNNNNNNNNNNNNNNNNNNNNNNNNNNNNNNNNNNNNNNNNNNNNNNNNNNNNNNNNNNNNNNNNNNNNNNNNNNNNNNNNNNNNNNNNNNNNNNNNNNNNNNNNNNNNNNNNNNNNNNNNNNNNNNNNNNNNNNNNNNNNNNNNNNNNNNNNNNNNNNNNNNNNNNNNNNNNNNNNNNNNNNNNNNNNNNNNNNNNNNNNNNNNNNNNNNNNNNNNNNNNNNNNNNNNNNNNNNNNNNNNNNNNNNNNNNNNNNNNNNNNNNNNNNNNNNNNNNNNNNNNNNNNNNNNNNNNNNNNNNNNNNNNNNNNNNNNNNNNNNNNNNNNNNNNNNNNNNNNNNNNNNNNNNNNNNNNNNNNNNNNNNNNNNNNNNNNNNNNNNNNNNNNNNNNNNNNNNNNNNNNNNNNNNNNNNNNNNNNNNNNNNNNNNNNNNNNNNNNNNNNNNNNNNNNNNNNNNNNNNNNNNNNNNNNNNNNNNNNNNNNNNNNNNNNNNNNNNNNNNNNNNNNNNNNNNNNNNNNNNNNNNNNNNNNNNNNNNNNNNNNNNNNNNNNNNNNNNNNNNNNNNNNNNNNNNNNNNNNNNNNNNNNNNNNNNNNNNNNNNNNNNNNNNNNNNNNNNNNNNNNNNNNNNNNNNNNNNNNNNNNNNNNNNNNNNNNNNNNNNNNNNNNNNNNNNNNNNNNNNNNNNNNNNNNNNNNNNNNNNNNNNNNNNNNNNNNNNNNNNNNNNNNNNNNNNNNNNNNNNNNNNNNNNNNNNNNNNNNNNNNNNNNNNNNNNNNNNNNNNNNNNNNNNNNNNNNNNNNNNNNNNNNNNNNNNNNNNNNNNNNNNNNNNNNNNNNNNNNNNNNNNNNNNNNNNNNNNNNNNNNNNNNNNNNNNNNNNNNNNNNNNNNNNNNNNNNNNNNNNNNNNNNNNNNNNNNNNNNNNNNNNNNNNNNNNNNNNNNNNNNNNNNNNNNNNNNNNNNNNNNNNNNNNNNNNNNNNNNNNNNNNNNNNNNNNNNNNNNNNNNNNNNNNNNNNNNNNNNNNNNNNNNNNNNNNNNNNNNNNNNNNNNNNNNNNNNNNNNNNNNNNNNNNNNNNNNNNNNNNNNNNNNNNNNNNNNNNNNNNNNNNNNNNNNNNNNNNNNNNNNNNNNNNNNNNNNNNNNNNNNNNNNNNNNNNNNNNNNNNNNNNNNNNNNNNNNNNNNNNNNNNNNNNNNNNNNNNNNNNNNNNNNNNNNNNNNNNNNNNNNNNNNNNNNNNNNNNNNNNNNNNNNNNNNNNNNNNNNNNNNNNNNNNNNNNNNNNNNNNNNNNNNNNNNNNNNNNNNNNNNNNNNNNNNNNNNNNNNNNNNNNNNNNNNNNNNNNNNNNNNNNNNNNNNNNNNNNNNNNNNNNNNNNNNNNNNNNNNNNNNNNNNNNNNNNNNNNNNNNNNNNNNNNNNNNNNNNNNNNNNNNNNNNNNNNNNNNNNNNNNNNNNNNNNNNNNNNNNNNNNNNNNNNNNNNNNNNNNNNNNNNNNNNNNNNNNNNNNNNNNNNNNNNNNNNNNNNNNNNNNNNNNNNNNNNNNNNNNNNNNNNNNNNNNNNNNNNNNNNNNNNNNNNNNNNNNNNNNNNNNNNNNNNNNNNNNNNNNNNNNNNNNNNNNNNNNNNNNNNNNNNNNNNNNNNNNNNNNNNNNNNNNNNNNNNNNNNNNNNNNNNNNNNNNNNNNNNNNNNNNNNNNNNNNNNNNNNNNNNNNNNNNNNNNNNNNNNNNNNNNNNNNNNNNNNNNNNNNNNNNNNNNNNNNNNNNNNNNNNNNNNNNNNNNNNNNNNNNNNNNNNNNNNNNNNNNNNNNNNNNNNNNNNNNNNNNNNNNNNNNNNNNNNNNNNNNNNNNNNNNNNNNNNNNNNNNNNNNNNNNNNNNNNNNNNNNNNNNNNNNNNNNNNNNNNNNNNNNNNNNNNNNNNNNNNNNNNNNNNNNNNNNNNNNNNNNNNNNNNNNNNNNNNNNNNNNNNNNNNNNNNNNNNNNNNNNNNNNNNNNNNNNNNNNNNNNNNNNNNNNNNNNNNNNNNNNNNNNNNNNNNNNNNNNNNNNNNNNNNNNNNNNNNNNNNNNNNNNNNNNNNNNNNNNNNNNNNNNNNNNNNNNNNNNNNNNNNNNNNNNNNNNNNNNNNNNNNNNNNNNNNNNNNNNNNNNNNNNNNNNNNNNNNNNNNNNNNNNNNNNNNNNNNNNNNNNNNNNNNNNNNNNNNNNNNNNNNNNNNNNNNNNNNNNNNNNNNNNNNNNNNNNNNNNNNNNNNNNNNNNNNNNNNNNNNNNNNNNNNNNNNNNNNNNNNNNNNNNNNNNNNNNNNNNNNNNNNNNNNNNNNNNNNNNNNNNNNNNNNNNNNNNNNNNNNNNGAUGUUCCUGAUCCCUUCUCAUCAGAUGCCCGAGAUUUUAUCCUCAAAUGCUUGCAAGUCAACCCUAGUGAUCGGCCUACUGCUGGUGAGUUGCUGGACCAUCCAUUUGUGAAGAGGCCAUCUGGCCCUCAAUCUCCUCGUACGAGUGGAAUACAACCUUAAGUGCUUUUGAUCUAGCUACGGAGCAUCAAAUACAUCGAGGUAAAAUAAAACACCUUUUUGGAGUAAUUUCUUUUCUUUAGCAGCAUUGAUCCAUCAGACACUGGAGUUUGUCCAAUCCAGCUGGAGGAAGUACAUCCCUAUAGUAUGACUUUUUAAUUUAUUUAUUUUUUCUACUUUAGAACUCACUCAUCUUCCUAAAUACAAAAAUUCUUUAUAUUUACACUACAAUUUAACUUCAACAUCUUUUCAUAUAAGAAUUCCUUUUCAUAUAAUAUUCCUUACUACCAAAAACUAAUUCUAAUUAAAUGACUUUAAUUUUAUAUAUAUAUAUAUAUAUAUUGAGAUAUAUACUCCUAUAAAUAUAGUUCUUAAAGAUGUUAAACUCCUUUAAAAAGCAUCAAAUGGUAAUAAAUAAGAACUAGAGAAAAACCAUUCAAAUACGCAGUGAAAUCCAAAAUAGAAAUGUGAAGAAAAAAAUUAUCUUUGACUUUUGACUCUUGCCAAACCAAUCCCACUACCAUCCAAUGCUAAAUUGUCUAACAAAUGGGAAUUGAAAGCAUAGAAGAGAAUCAUUGACUCUUGACUCUUGCCAAACCAAUUUCACUACCAUCCAAUGCUAAAUUGUCUAACAAAUGGGAAUUGAAAUCAUAGAAGAGAAUCAUUGACUCUACUUAACCCAUUAUCUUAAAAAUGUUGUCUCUUCCCUCCUUUCAUUAAGUUUCUUAAAAAUUUCAAGCUUUUUUAUCAUAUAAAGUAUAAAAGAGAAUCAUUCUUAGCCCAUUAUCUUAAAAAUCCCGCCCCUUUUUCAUAAAGUUUCCUAGAAAUUUCAAGCUUCUUUAUUAUAUAAAGUAUAGAAGAAAAUCAUUGAAUCAUUAUAGCCCAUUAUCAAGUGUUGCUUCUCCUUUCUAAAGGUUAAUGUCCUUGUAGCCAUUCACAUGUGUUUCAAGAAAAAUGAAGUUAUUUUGCCCCCAAGAACUAUAGAAAUAAAAUUUUGUUAAGAAUUUUAAAAUAUAAAAAUAAAAAUUUUUAACUAAGAGUAUUUUAUAUAAUUUUUAUAUAUUUUCUAAAAUUAAAUAUCCAAUUUUUAAUUAUCUCAAAAGUUGGAGAAGCUCCAAAAAAGAAAAAUAAUGUCUUGCAAUUAUAUAACUAAUUCAAAAUAAUCUGAAUACUUCUUAAUCCACUUGUGGUUAACAUUCCAUUAAAAUUAUGUCAAAUUUAUUUAAAUCUACUUGCAUUUAUUUAUUUAAAAUUAUUCAAAGCAUCUCAAUACAUUAUUCAUUUUUGUUUUGAAAAAAAAAAAUUUGUAUCACAUUUCUAGAAAAGAAUUAUUAAUAUAUAUUGAUUUUCUUAUAAAUAUUUUUCAUUAAAUUUUAAAAUUUGUUUUUACUUAAACUUUAAAUGGGUUUGUAUGCUUGUGUUUUUCUUUAUCUUUUUUAAUCAAAUGAGUUCAUUUAUAAUAUGGGAAUAUCUACUUGAACUCGGUAUUUUAUUUAUUUCCUUUUUUAACUUUAUUUUAGUAAAUGCAUCCUUAAUCAAUAAUUUGAUGAUUGUUUUAAAAUCAAAUAGUGAAGAUAAAAUUUUGAUAAUUAAAAAACAAUUGACUUGCUACAUCACUUACAUGAAAUAUUGAUUUAUUGUUUGAAGUUUGGUGUUAUAUUCAAUUCAUCAUAAUAAGAUUGUUUUUUACUCAAUAAUUUAUGUAGAAUAAUAAAUAAAUUAAGGAGCACUUUUAUUAAAAAUCAAUUUUAAUAGAAAAAUAUAAGUUGGAUAUUCAUUUUGAUUAAAAAUAAAAUUAUAAUUUGAUUUAAUUAGAAAAUUAAUUUUUUUUCUAGUUAAUUUAAUUUUAAUUUGUAAUCCAGGUUAAUAGGGAGAAGAAGAUAGUUUUCAUAUCUUUUUAAUUGAAAAAAAAAUAAUGAUUUUUGUUGUAAUUUGUGAAUUUAUUUUAAUUUGUAAAAAGAAAAUAUUAUUCUAUUAAUUAAAUCAAUUUUGAUAAGAAUACUUAAUUUUAUUAAUAUAAUAAUAAUUGUUAAAGUAAUCUUGUAUGUGCAUAUUUUAAAAAUCUUGUAAAAAAUAAACAAAAAGAUAAGAAAAUAUGCAAAAAAAAAUUUAAUGUAUUAGAAAUUUUGUAGGGUACAAUUAUUUGGAAUAAUACUCAUUGCAAAAGAAUAUUUUCCUUUUAUUCAAUCACUUUCAUCAUAAUCUAGUGGAUAACAUGUUUUCACUUGCAUUUGUUUUUAUAUUAAGCUUUUAUAUAAGACUUUAUGUCAUGUGCUCAUGUGGACAACUCUUUUAAUGUGUAGAGUGCUUGCCUUGGAGGAUAUAUAGAAGCUGUCAAUGCAUACCUUAUAUGCUCAUCUCCACUACUAAAUAUUAUAUAAUCUAUUCUUGUUGUCAAGGGUUAAAGAACGUGAGUUGAUGCAGUCAAUCAUUGACUCAUCUUUCUAUUGCUUGGUAUUUGUGAACUACGUUGGUUGGGAAAAGUAAUUGUCUUCAUGCUUCAUUUGAUCCCAACUGUCAAUAGGCUUAGGCUCAAGAUCCAUGUACCAAUUAAAAGCACACAUUUGGAGGGAACACUCAAAUUGUUUAAGAGGUCACCCUCAUGCUAGCAUUGUUGCAAGUUUGGAUGAAUAAGACAUUGCAUUACUUUGGAAUUCCUUUUCCAUCAAAUUAUUAAAACUUUGGAGGUUAAUAACUCAGGUAUUUGUAGGUUAUCAAUUUUUGUAGUGCAAGGUUUAAAGCACACAAGUGUAUUUCAUGACGAUCCAUCGUACUAUGCUCUGAUGGUGUUACAUAUCAUGUUUUAAAUCACUUAUUUAAAUUGAAAAUCUAUUAAUUUUUCAAUGAAAAUAAUUUAAAUUUGGCUUUAAGUUAUUUCUCGGUUAUAUGUGGAUAUAUGAGCAUACACAAGGUUUUUUUUUAAUAUUUAUUAUUUGAAUUUUAUUUUAUUCAUAAUCUCUUUAGAAUAUUAUUUGUUGGAAUUAAUUGCUAUGUUGUUAUUCUUCCAAAAAUAUUUUUUUUUUUGCUUAAAAAAUAAAUUUCUUCAAACACUAAAUUCACUACUUUAAGUUAAUAAAAUCAUUUCCUUUUUUUUGGUUUCCUUUUAUUUAUUUAUUUUAAAUUAUAAUAUUUAUCAAUAAUAAGAUUUGUCUAUAAAAUGUUAAAAAAAAAAAAUCAUCUUCUCAUUGUUUAACUUAUUUUUUAUUUUUACUUUUUUGUAUUUAUAUUUUAAUUUUAGUUUUAUGUUUAUUUUUAAUAUUUAUUUUUCACUUCUCGGUCAGAAUUUUUCUUUUUUUAUUUAUUUUAAUUUUUUAUUAUUAUUUCUUGUUGACAUCCUUAUAUAUAUAUAUAUAUAUAUAUAAACGUAAUAAUAAAAUAAGACACCAUGAAUAAACUGAAGGAAAAAACUAACAUGUGAAAAAAAAUUAAAAAACUUGGUGGAGAAGUGAAGUGCAAGAGCCUAAUGCCUAAUGAUGAUGACGAUGGAAUAACCCCACCAAACCCAAAGAAAAGCAAAAGGUGAUAAGAAAAAGAGAAAAGUGAGAAAAGAAUAAAUAAGAAGAGAGAGUUGCUUUUAACUUUCUUCAUUACUUUCCCAAAGGUCACUGGAAGUCUCUUGCCAUCCCAACUUAUAGAGAGUUGCUCCUAAUUUUCCUCAUCACCUUUCAGAAGGUCAUAAGAAGUCACCUACCUUCCCAACUCUUUAUGUACAGAUAAAUGAUAAUAUUUAUCAAUAAUAAGAUUUAUCUAUAAAAUGUUAGAAAAUGAAUAUAUCAAUCCAGUGAAUUUAAUUUUUACUUUUUUUUCUAUAUAUUUAUUAUUUAAUUUUUGCUUUUAUUUUUUUUUCUUUUUAGUCUUAUAUUUAUUUUUCACUUCUCGAUCCAAAUUUUUAUUUUCUAUUUACUUUAAUUUUUUUAUUUCUUUUUUAAGUACUUAUAUAUAAUAAUAAUUAAUAAAUAAAAUAGGAGACCAUGAAUAAAGUGAAAAAAAAUAAAAUAAAAUAAAAAACUUGGUGAAGAAGUAAAGUGCAGGAGUUUGAAGGAUGAAUGUAAACAAGAGAAAAGCAAAAGGUAAUAACAAAAAGAGAAAAGUGAGAAAAGAAUCAAUAUAGAGAGAGAGAGAUAGAGAGAGAGAGAGAGUGGCCCCUAACAUUCCUUAUCACUUCACAAAGUUCACAGGAAGCCAUCUGCCUUCCCGAACUUUCUAUAUUGUAAACUGGGGUUGCUCACUAUCUUCAAGAGAAAUCAAGCCUCAAACUGUCUCUAGUAGUUUUGAGAAAUCAUGCCAAUUUAGUGAAUGAAAUUCUUCCUCAAUUUCUUUGCCAAAGAUAUCGUUCAUUCUGAUAUGUUUUUUUUAUAAAUGUUUUAUUUCUUUUCAGUUUUUGAUCUUGAGGUAUUUUUUCUAAAUAAUUUCUUUUUUUAGAUAGAUCAUUUUAUAUAUCCUUCUUAUUUUAAAUAAAACAAGUUUCCAAUGACAAAUUUUUUAAGAGUUUUUAAUGUGAAAUUUUCUAAAAUUUUAUCUUUUUGUCAUAAUGUUUCCUUUUGUUGAUAUUUUUUUUGCAAAGUCAAAGAGAUAAUGUGAAAUAAUAACUAAUUUAAUAUAAGGUUAGCAAUUUAAACCACACAACUAUAAAAAUGCAAGUGAAAAUAGAAGUGAAGGUAGAAAUUCUUUGGUUGGUCAGAUGAGAGGACUUGGUAGAGAUUAUGUUUAGGUGUAAGUAAGUAGAAAUGUUUAUAGGAUGGCGAAAGAAUUAGUAAAGAAAUUUGUUGAAUGUAACACAAAAAUUUCUUAGAUGAAUUGGUAAAGAAAUUUGUUGGAUGUAAUGGAGAAAUUUAUUAAAUAAUCACAUGAUUAGUAGGUAGAGAAUUUUCUUGGAUGACCAUAAUAAUUAAAUGUGAAUAGGUGGACAAAUUUCUUAGAUGGUCACACAAAUUAGUAGAUAGAGAAUUUUCUUCUAUUGUCACAGUAAUUGAAUAUGAAUAGGUGGACAAUUUCUUAGAUGGUUACAUGAAUUGCUAGGUGAGAAUUUUCUUGGAUGACCACAAUCAUUGAAUGUGAAUAGGUGGCAAAGUUUCUUGGAAGGUGACGAAGAUUGGCGGAAAAAUUUUCAAUCAAGUUGAGAAAUUUCUUCCAUGAUAACAAGAAUUGAUGGGGAAAUUUCUUAAAGGUGGAUAAUUAGGUUGAGAUUUUUUUUGGAUGGCAACAAGAAUUGGUGAAGAAAUAUUUUGGAAGGAUAGAGGAAACUAUAAAAAGUUCCAUUUGUUUCAAACAAUAUUAAAAGUGUGUUUAGUAAUGUUUUCAUUUGAAGUACUUUUAGUGAAUGUGUUUUUCUAGAAAUAUUUUUGGAAGAAUCAUUUAUAAAGUGUUUUAGGAAACAUUACAAGCGAUUUUUUAACAUUUUAAAUGUGUUUUCUAAAUUUUAUUAAAUACUUGGUUUUUCUUCAAAAAAAAUGUUUUUUGUUUUUAUGCUAGAAGUGAUUUUUUAAAUUUUAUCAAAUAUGUGAUUUUUCUUCAAAAACGUUUUUUAUGCUAUAAGUGCUUUAUAAAAGCACUACCAUGAGGACCUUGACCUUUUGCCUCUAAUAAGGCUAAAGUGAUGACUAGUUGGUGAUUGCAUAUCUCUGCUAGUUUUAGCAAGUGAAUGUGCUCGCUUACUUGCUUUGCUAAAAAUGCAAUGAAUGUCUUUGCUUUGCUGUAGUCAUAGGACUUAGAGGUGUUGUGCCUUAACUUUGCAUACUAGAAAUUUGUACGCGUAAAAUUUGAAAGUCCUAUAAAAAAUAAGUAAAAAGAUGAGAAAAAUAUAUAAACAAAAUUAUUUGUAUUAGAAAAUUUUUAAGGUACAAUUUUCUAGAGUAAUAUUCUUUACAAAAUAAUAAUUUUUUUCUUAUUUGAUCACAAUCCAGAAAAAUAUAUAAAUAAAAUUAUUUGUAUUAAAAAAAUUUUAAGGUAAAGUUUUUGGCUUAUUAUCAAAUUACUUUUGUUGAACUUUGAAUACAUAUUUAGUAUUUUGUAUGCUUCCCCAAAUUUUCAAGAAUAUCUUAUGAAACCUCUUUUUCAUUCUCUUUUAAAUUUGAGAUCUCAAAUACUUUAUUACUCAAAGCCCUAGAGCUUAAGCAAUACCACAGAGAACCACUCAGGUAUAUGCAUUUUGAUGCUAAGUAUGGAAAACAAAAAAACAUAUUCUUUUUCUAAAAAAUUUAUAAUAUUAAAUAAAAUGAUAUUUUAAAAAAUUAUAAAAUUAGUUAAAAUUAAAUAAUUUAAUUUUACUUUAGUUUCAAUAUACUUACAUUUAAAUACCAUACAUAUUUCAUUUAAUAAUAUUUAAAAUAUUAUUAUAUUUAUACUUAUGCAUGAUUUAAUUUAAUAAUAUUAAAGAUAAAAAAUAAAUAUUAUUGUGUGGACCCCAUAUUCCGGUCCAUGCGUUUUCCACUCGACGGCGAGCUCGAUUUUAUUUGAAAAAUAAUUUUAUUUAUUAGAAAAUGACUUGGAGUCGCCACUUAUUUCUGUUUUAUUUUAAAAAGGUAAACAAAAUAAAAAAGAAAACCCUAAGUGCGACUCCUUGUUUUGGAAAAGGUGUUCUAUGAAAAAUCGGAUCGAGCUCGAGGGUAAGGUUACUUAUCGAAAAGGUACAGUAAAGACCGUAACACCCUUUUAAAUCCCAAAAGUCGAGUCUCUACUAAUAAAAGGAAGCUGAUGUGACAAUCAAUAAGAAAAUCAAUUGAUACUCAAAUCUAUCAUGCACAUAUGGAAAUCAAAACAUGCAUAGAUAAUAACCAGAAUGGGAGUGGAUGUGUACCUGAACCAAGAGCCACAAUGCGCUAUCAAGGAAUGUGGUUAAUGUACAAUUGAUGAGUGCAAAAUAUAGCUCGUGUGUUACUAAACAUAAUGAGAAGUCAUCUGAUAUCACAAUUAAGUCAAAUUUAUUUUUCGAGGAAACAAUCACUAAUGUCGGACCCCCACCAAAGCCCAAUUUAUUUUUGAGUGAAUUAAUUUCGUUAAUUCUAUCACUUGGAAUUACGAAAACAAAUUCAUAUUUAUUUUAAAACACAUUAAAAAUCAGGUAAAAUGUAAAAAUGGCAUGCCGAAGAGAAAAUGACAACCAAUUUUAUUAAAAAGCAGAUUUUUGGAACCUAAGAGAAAUACUAAGGAUAGAAAAUUUUGGGGAUUUGAAAUUAAUUAAAGAUCGGAAACGAAGGAAUUAUUUACGAAAUGAAGUUUAGGAAAAUCAUUUUCAAAAUAAAAAAUGAUGUAAUGGGAGAUGGCACGUGGCAUAAGAGUGGCCAUGCAAAAAUACUUGAGUAGGAGAGUUGGUGUGCUGCUGCUACGCGUCUGAAGUAGGCCACAUUCGUAAUGGGUCCCACUGGAAACCUCUUAUAGAUGAGACCACCGUGAACACAAUAUAUAGGCCAUUCCAAACACAAUAAAUCCAAAGUCAAUCCCCGCUACCCGUGUAAUCUAAAACCUCAAAGAUCUUUGGCUUCCAAAUUGCCUCAUGCUAUAGCCGUGCACGAAGCUCAGCCGGGCAGCGAAUAUUGUACCAUCAUAUUCGCAAUGGUGAUCCAAACCGUUCAUUCCAACAACUCGGCAACUGUAUCUGUGCAUAGCUUGAAGGUGGGUCUUCUUCAAAGCCAAAAAGAUAUUGAUGCAUCACCCAAUGGGACUCAUUUAGGAAUGGCAAUGGGGCGGGUCAUUUCGGGUACCCGCCCCUAAUGGGGUGGGAUAUUAUUUUUCUAAACGGGUAUGGGACGGGUUUGAGAUUUUUUUUAAAAUCCGGGGCGGGUUCGGGGCGGGUUCGGGUAUUGCUCCGCCUCGCCCCGCCUCGCCCCGAUUAUAUAUAAAAUUAAAAUUAUAUAUAUAAUAAAAUAGUGUUGGCAUAAGCUUCUGGGGACGAUCUCACUCUUCAUGAAUCGUUGGCAUAAGCUUCCUCUCACCAGCAGAAGUCCCAGAACUGCAGAUUCAAACCCCCAACAAUAAAAAAACAUUCACUUACACAGUCACACAACAGACACAUUUAUAUUAAGACCAUGGAUGGAAAGCGGAUUUCCUCCCUCUAUUCAAGAAAGCGAAGGAUCGUCGCUACCAAAUCUCCCGCCCAUACCAGAAUUGAGGGAGAGUGAUCGGCUCCCCUCUGAAUGCCUCUACUUCGGUUUCAGAAUCGGAUUCAUGGCAGAGAAUCCGCAGCAGGAGCAGGCACUUUUUGAGCCUUGUUUACGUUCGUUCCUGUCAAAAUCAUUCUGAGUGAAGGUAAUUGGUUGGGGAGAAAAUAGACCUCCCACCAUAGCUUGCAAACCCUCAGGUGGAAUGGAAUUAGGGACGCUUGCUUGUGCUAGCCUUUGCCAGCCCUAGAAUCAGACCUGGUAAGGAACUCAGAGAUGGAGUGAGAAGACAAGAUUGGAGAGCGAUCUCCAUUAGCAAUACGCUGAAUAUCUGGGGCCCACAAAUAAUAAAAUUUGAGAACCUAUCUUGCAAGGAAGGUAAGCUUAACUUGUCAAAAGAGUUUUUGUUUUGACAUUAAAAAUAAACGGGGCGGGUAUGGGAAUGUAGCAUACCCGCCCACCCCGCCCCGCCCCGCCCCACCCCGCUUAAUUUUUUAAAUGGGACGGGGAUGGGAAUUGCUUUAAAUAAACGGGACGGGGUUGGGAGGGGGGCGCCCCGCCCCGAACCCGCCCCGUUGCCAUCCCUANNNNNNNNNNNNNNNNNNNNNNNNNNNNNNNNNNNNNNNNNNNNNNNNNNNNNNNNNNNNNNNNNNNNNNNNNNNNNNNNNNNNNNNNNNNNNNNNNNNNGUAAUUGGUUUUAACCAUUUUGUGGCAAGUUUACAUGUUUAUAUCAGCUUAUGAAUCAAUUCAAGCAUGCCAAAUGAUGGAGGAGCUAUUUGGACAAGUUAAAGCAAGCUUUUAGCUACACCAAAGCAAGCCAACAAAAGGAGAAAAGCAAAGAAAAGCAAAGAAAAGCAAAGAGAAGCAAGGAGGAAAACAGAGGACAGCAGCUGCAGUCUUCGUUGGCACUUUUGGAGCACUUCCCGAAGUCCAUUCUCUACAUGCUAUAUACCAUUUCAAAGCUCAGGAAGUCAAGAAUCCAACGCUUCAAACCGUGCAUGAUUUGGAGCUGAAACGAGGAAGAUAUGGCCUUCGGAAGACAACUGCUCCAGGUGUGCGAGAAUUUCGCACACCCCCCUUUAGCUGUGCGAAUGGUGUGCGAAGUUCGCACACCUUCUUCAGGUGUGCGAAAAUUUCGCACACCCCAUGCGUGGUGCGAAUUUUCCCCUGUUUCUGCCGACUCCACUUUAGAUAUUUUCUUUUAGAUAUUUUUGUAUAAAUUUCCAUUCUUCUCCUUAUAAUCCACCAAUCAUAAGAUUUAUUAGCUAGGAAGGUUGGAAAAACUUCUCUAUAUAUAUCCCCUUGCAUCCGUUGUAACAUAUAUUGAUAUAUAGAUAUAUAAUAUAUAUUACGUUUUACACUCUCUCGUUUUCUCUUUUCUCUUCACUAUUUUAUUUUCUUGGUAGCCAAACAACCUCUAAGGGCUUUUCCUCAGAGGAUGAUUGGCUAAAACUUUUAGUUUCUCAAAGUAUGGAUGUUAUGUGAUGGCUUGGAUGCAAUCCCAUGGAAAUUUCUCACACCCAGAAGGUAAGGUAGUCGUUUUUCAUUAAAGGUUCAUUAAUGCAAAGUUUGGUUUUUAUUUCCUUUGGACAACUUCCAACGGCCAAUACUUGAUAAGCUUUUGGAUUUCUAUCCAUUAGUUAUCUCCUACGAGCUAUUGGAAGGUGAGGUUUUCAAUUCCAAGUUUUGUAUUAAUCCGUUAGAACCAAUUUCAAUGGCCAUUGAAAGGUGAGUUUAUCACCUGGAAUGACUUUGAGUUGCCAAUAUUUGGUAAGCUUUUGGCUUUAGACCAUUAGUUAUCUCUUACGAGCCAUUCAAAGGAAGUCUAAGGUGAAUAACCAUUGAUGAAAUUCACUACCAUCUGUUUUGCCAUUUUAAAGGAUUAAAACGUGAUUUGCUAAAUCCAUACCGGUUCGAGAAGCAAGCAUCACCAUAGUUGCAACCCCAACGCGAGGAGCCUAUCCUAAGAUUUCCAAUUUGCAUAAGAGCCAGAGCAUAGCUAUCCUAUCUUUGAGAAACUUGUUUUUACACCCUUUCAUUUUAGUCUUUAAUGUUAGCUUAGAUUAGUUUAAAUCUUUCUAAAACAUUUACAUCUUCUUUUAAAGCUAACAUCCAUAAGAAAAUCACCUAUUUUCCUAACUUGAAUAUCACUUGUGUUUGCGAAAACCCUUCCCAGUGAACGAUCCUAGAACCACUAUGCUAUAGUAGCUUGGCUACUUUAGUAAUAGUAUUCAAGGUAUAAAUUUUGUUGAUACGCCUUUAAAGCUAAGCUACCAUGAGUCGCAUCACCUGACACCUUCUUCCUAUUGGACUUUACAAGGAUCUCAGCCCAUUGUACAUGAUGCUUCUCCAUUGCCUCCUCAUCUAUAGCCAGAAACCACCACUUGCAUCCCUAAACUGCUUCAAGGUAUAUGAUAGACUGCCUCAAGGUGUUCAUUUGGAGAGUGUAUGAAUUAGCUCACAACACUCACUAAAUAAGGUAUAUAUGGCCAAUUAUGAGAGAGAUAUAUUAGUUUUCCCACAAACUUCUAAUAGUGUUCUUUGCCAUCACACUUACUCUCUUUUAGUAACCAUAAUUUGCAAGUAGGAUCAAUUAGAGUCUUGGUUGGUUUACACCCUAGAAGUCUAGUUUUUUUGGAGUCAAUCUAGUGUAUACUUCCUUUGUGACACAAAAAUACCUUCCUUUGAUAUAUCGAACUCCAUUCCCACAAAGUACCUCAAGGUUCUUAGAUCCUUGGUCUCAAACUCUUUAGCUAGGAAAUUCUUCAAUCUCUCCAAUUUAGCUAGAUUAUCUCUAGUAAGGAUGAUAUCAUUCACAUACACUGUUAGUAUAGCAAACUUGCCAUCACUAGAAUUAUUGUAGAAGAGAGUAUGAUUUGCCUGACUUUCUGAGUACCCAAGCAAUUCAUCUAAGUUCAAAUAAUCUUAUACCAUAUUGCUAAUGCUAUUGGGUAUUGUAAGAAAACAUGAGUUAUAGACUCUUCACUCACCCUGAACAUAACACAACAUUUUGGGCUAAGUAUGUCGGUGUUAUUCUCAAGAUAAUGAUGAAAAAUAUGUAAAAAUUUUGCAUUCUGUGAAUAGGGUAUGGAAAUUUUGAUAAAAUAUUAUUAAAAUACAAAUAAUGCGAUUUGAGUAUGAAGGGUGUGAUCAAAAUAGAAAAAUAUGAUUAGAAUAAGAAAUAUGAUUAAGGUGUGAAAAAUAUAAUUAGUGUAGAAAUAAUGUAAUCAAGGCAUAAAAAAUAUAAUCAAGAUUGAAAUGUUAUUAUGGUAAAAAAAAAAUGUGACUAUGAGUUUAAAUAAUAUGAUUAGGGUUAUAAAAAAAAGUGAUUGGGGCAUGAACAAAUAUGAUAAGAAUAUAUAAUUGGAGUACAAAAAUAUGACCAAAAUGCAAAAUUUUGAUGAGGGAAGAACAAUGCAACCAAUAUUGGGAUCAUAUAACCAUGGUGUCAAAAAUAUUAAGAUCCAAAAACUAGUAGUUCAACCAUUUUUCAUUUUUGAUCCUCUAAAUUUUAAAAUAAUUCUCACUUGUUUUAUUUUGUUUUAGUCCCUUUUUAUUUUAUUGAUUAAUUAAUUCCAUUCCUCUUUUUGUUUAAUUCCUAUACCCAAUACUAUCACCUAAAUAAAUUACCACACCAAAAGAAAUAAACAAUGUCUCUCAUAAAAAAAAAUAAAAAAAAAGAAAAGAAAAAACUACCUAAAUAAAUUGUUGUGCCAAAUGGAAUAAACAAUGUCUGUCUUAAAAAAAAAAAAAAAAGGAUUAAAAACUAUAUGUCAAAGACAACCAAAUUAGUAGGUACAUGUAACUCCACCAAAUCAUUUGCCAAUGUGUUUCUUUGAAAGCUUUUGUCAAUUAUGCCAGAUUAUUAGUUACAAAUCUAAUCCUUUACUCUAAUUUUGAGUGUUGUAUAAUUUCAUUUUCCUCAAUAUUGUUUCUUUGUACCUAGAAAAAUACUCACUUGUUUUUGCAUUCAACACCUGGACCUAUUACUAGGUGAAUGGUCACCUAAGAGACUACAUAAGAUUAAACCUUUGUUGUUACACCACUCAAUAUACCAUUUUUUCCAGUAAGAAAUUGGUUGCUUCUAUCUGUUGGAUUUGCUUAAGUGUUGAUCUGUUCACAAUGUGAUAAGUGAAUGCUUAUUGAGGACACAUGUCAUGAUUACUAUUUUACUAACCUUUACACCAGUUUCAAAAGCAAAAGCAAAAGCAUCCCCUCAUGGGAUGCAUCUUAUGAGUUUGUAUGGUAUUAUAGGAGAAGAUUUCUCCUUCACAAGCAAACCUUGUUUAGUGUAGGUAGAUUAUGGACCUGUCUUUGAUCAUCAAUGAGAUGGUGGAUAAGAAAGUUCACUUGGCCAAGGAGUGGAUGGUAUUUAAGAUAAAUUUUGAAAAGACAUAUGAUCAAGUUGAUUGAGAUUUACUAAACCCUGCUUUGCUUGGAAAAGGUCUAGUUCUAAAUUGACACUUCAGAUUUUAGGUUGCCUAUCUUCAAUUAGUUUUACUAUGAUAGUGAAUAGUUGUAUGAAAGGUUGGGUAAACGGCUUGUACAGGGUUCACACAAUGGGAUCUGCUUUCUCAUUUCCUCUUUAUAAUAUUAGUAGAUAAGAGGAUAUGUACCAAGAUUAAAUCACACUUUCAAUAUUUGAAAGAAUAAUUAAAAGAAAAAAAAAAUUCUUUCAAUGUUCACACAGAUAUCAAGACUUAAGAUAAAUCUAACUUAGAGUAUUCUGUUAGGCAUUAUUUUGAUUUAAGACAACUCUUUAGUCUAACUUCCUAGUUAGAUUGCUGGACUGCGAGGUAACCCCUUUCUUGUUUAGGGCUUAUUCUACUUGGGAAUCUCAAGGCUCCUCAGUUUUAGGACUCUGUUUUAGAAAAGGUUUGUUGUAAACUAAAUGGUUGUUAAAGAGCCUUUUUGUCCUUAGGAUGAAGAGCUACAUUUAUCCAGUCUCAUUUUCCUUAUAUUUGUACUAGUUUCCUCUCAAACUAGUGUUCCAAUCAAGAUUGGCUUCUAAGAUUGAGAGAAAUUGGAAUUUUUAUUUGGCAGGGAAGGGAAGAAAGAACUUACUAUUUGUUUGCCUAUCAGAAAAUGAAUGAAGGGGUUUUAGGUUUGGAAUGAUUUCUUCAAGGAAUAGAGCCUUUUCUAUGGAGCUAUACUUGGGCUAGUGACACUGCAUUCCAUAAGGUAGUCAGAAUUAAUUAUGGUUUGCACUCUAAUGGUUGCGAUACGAACAUUUUGUCCAAUGAUCACAUUAGGGAACAUGGAGAGCAAUUGCACAAGGUUUCUUUAAUUUUCUUAGUGUAUCCAGUUCUUAGUUUGUGGUGAUUUCAGACCCUCUAUCCUAACAUUGGUUGGUUUCAAGGUUUAGAGAUUCUUUUAGUUCAUCUGCUCUUAAUAUUUUAUCCUCCUUGUGUCGGUACCUUAACUCCUCGUUUAUUUCUCAAACGAGGAGAGUGGUGAUCUUAUCAGCUUCAUUUCUUUGUUGCUUCUUGUUUGUCUAUCAUCCUCUUUUUCCCACAAUCACAACUUAAUUACAGAGAGGUAAGGUUUACCCACAAUCACGUGGGUCCUCUAUACCAGUCUUUUGCUAACAUAGUCAAAGAUGAAGGUCCAAGGAGGUGGACUUGUCCCUAUUGGGAGGUGGGCACAAGCUGUGGUGUGUGAAUGUAGUGAAGAUAAUGUUAAAUGGGCUGAGGUUGGCCGAGCUGUGGAGAGAUGCUUAAGGAAGAAAGGAGUGGCUACGAUUGUGCCCUUCUCAGGCGGAAAAGGUGUUUUCUUUGUAGAAACAAUAGAUGAAGCUCUCUUUCUCUAGGAUUUAAGAUUUAUUAAGAUUGAAGGAGGGAUUUCAGUUCAGUUGAGAAGGUGGUCACCAAAGGAAAAUUCGGUUGUUGAGGGGAAGUUUAGAAGAGGUUGGAUUGAGCUACGGGGUUUGCCAUUUCAUCUCUGGUCUAAGGUACACUUGAAGAAAAUAGUGGAGCAGUGGGGGACAGUGACUGAAAUUAAUUGGCGACCGUUGAAAUUAUUUGAUCUAAGCAAUGCGAAGAUAAGAAUUGCAAUGAAGGAACGGUCAGCUCUUCCAGCUCUGAUUGAGGUGAUAGAUGGGGAUUUGGUGUUCACUAUUUCUAUCACAAUGGUUGGAGAAGAAGAGGCCAAGAGAGGUAGAGUGAUGGGUGAGUUGACUCAGAAGGGUUCUGUAUCUCAUUCGGGGACAGGUGGUGGAAGGCAUGAGGAGAGAGACAGAUCAACGACUAGAAGUAGUUUCCGUAUUAGGGAAGUUGGAAGAAAUGAGAAGGAAGGUGAAAUGAGUUCGAUUGAAGCUCUUCUAGCGGGGACACGUGGUAAGAAUGGUCAAAGUAUGGGGAACAGCUGGUUCAGUUCGAAUUAAAAAAAAAAACUGAACUUUGGGCCUAAGGGACAGCGACGGCGGGCAAAGCUUCAGUCGGCGGGAAUGAGGCCCUCACAAUCAAGAAUGGUUGGGCCUUUGUGAGAGAAGCCCAGACUCUUUCCAUUUUCAGCCCACUAAAUGCUGCAAAAUUGGGCUACAACUUAAAAAGCCCGAUGGAGAGCAGGGAUCGUUACGAAGAGGAGUCUCUGCAGGGGGAAAGGGGAAAAGAGUUCCAACUGAUCUUGAUGUUCAGACGAGAGGAUCCAUGAAGAAGGAAGUGAAGUUCGGUUCAAAAAAGCUAUGGAAUACCCUAUUUCCGCCAAGUUCCGUUCGUCGUCAUGGUUCUCGAAGCUAUAGCGAGCCUCUUUUGCUCGGGAAGCCAUCGUUAGAUAGAGAAGAGCUUCCAAAGGAGGAGGCUUUCGGGGCGGGAGCUUAGUGGGAACGAGGAGCCAGCGCGAGUCCUAUCUUCUUUUGCCGAUCGACAAGGAAUCGAAAGUGGGGUUAGGAGGAAGGGGCUUUGUCGGCUAGUGGCGAAGAGGCUGCGCCCAAAUCACUUUUUGAAGAAGAUAGAGAAGGAUUUUUGGGCCGAGUGGGGUUCGAUCUUUGUGGUCAUUCAAUCACGUUUUUGCCUUCUAGUCCAGAAACCAGAGAUAAAUGGCUCAAAUUUUUAGGGAAUUGUGGAUUGUUGGUAGCAAAAAACGUGGAGGUAAUUUCAUCUGCUUCUCCUCAAUCACCUCUCUCUUCUUUCCCACUUCUUCUGGGUCGGUACCUCCUCUUCCAUUACUGAGCCCUUUUGCUCACAUUUCCUCUAGUUUAGUCUUUCAGUCUCCAUUUCCUUUGGAAAAUCGAGUAAUUCCCUUUUUUUUUUUUUUUCCAAAAAUGACGAUGUUGGUUCUUUAUGUCAAAAUUGUGUUGGCAAUCCAAUCCUUGUUGGGGUGGAGUCCCAACCUGCUUGUUCAAACUUGUUGCCCGAGAGGUUCAAUCCCAUUAAGUCUAAACCCAAUUUGCCCAAUGAGGUGUCCAACCUGGUCACAGUCAGCUAGGGUGAUGAUGCGAUAUCCCCAUCGGGCGAGUUCCAAAUGAAGGCCUAUCUCCCAGGAAAAUGGCUAAAGUGCGUGAGGUUUUAAGCUCUCUGGAUAUCAAGGUAUAUUCCAGGAGGAAGAGUAGACACUCUAUAGGUUUGUGAGACCUGUUGAAACUAGUUUGGGGAUUAGGGUUUGCACUAUUUUUCUAUGAAAAUAAUUAGUUGGAAUACCAGAGGUUUGGGAUCAAGGAAAAAGUGAAGAGUGGUUAAGGAUUUCCUAAUGUUAGAAAACCCGGAUGUAGCGAUGACCCAGGAAAAAAAAAAGGAGGAGUGUGAUAGAAGAUUUGUGGGUAGUAUUUGGACGGUUAGGAAUAAGGAAUGGGCUGCUCUUCCGGCGAGUGGGGCUUCAGGUGGGAUUUUGAUUAUUUGGGACUCUAAUAAAUUGCGCAGUGAGGAGGUGGUAAUAGGAUCCUUUUCAAAUUCAGUCAAGUUUGCUUUAGAUGGUUGCGUGCCUUUAUGGCUGACUGCAGUUUAUGGCCCAAACAGUCCCUCACUUAGGAAGGAUUUUUGGGUGGAGUUGUUGGACAUUUUUGGUAUCUCUUUUCUGUUAUGGUGCAUAGGCAGUGAUUUUAAUGUCAUAAGGAGAAGUUUAGAAAAAUUGGGAGGAUCUAGUCUAACUUCAAGCAUGAAGGACUUCGAUGAUUUUAUAAGAGAGUGUGAAUUGCUUGAUCCACCUUUACGGAAUGCACCAUUCACUUGGUCAAACAUGCAAGAGUCUCCCGUGUGAAAAAGAUUGGAUCGUUUCCUUUACUCAAAUGAGUGGGAGCUUUCCUUUCCUCAAAGCCUUCAAGAAGUUCUUCCUAGAAGAACUUUGGAUCAUUGGCCGAUUGUUUUGGAAACCAACCCGUUCAAGUGGGGCCUAACACCUUUUAGGUUUGAGAAUAUGUGGUUGCAACAUCCUAGCUUCAAAUGGUGAUUUAAAGGUUGGUGGAGAGGUUUUCAAGGAACUGGGUGGGAAGGCCACAAGUUCAUGAGGAAAUUACAAUUUGUUAAGGCCAAUUUGAAAGAGUGGAAUAAGGUUUCUUUUGGAAAGCUAAACGAAACGAAAAAAAGCAUCCUGAAUGAUAUAGCUAACCUUGAUGUCAUUGAGCAAGGUGGGGGUCUCAGUUCUGAACUUUUAAUUCAAAGAACUUUAAGAAAAUGGGAGUUAAAGGAAUUAAUCUUGAGGGAAGAAAUUCAUUGGAGACAAAGAGCCAGGGUGAAAUGGGUUAAGGAAGGGGAUUGUAACUCAAAGUUUUUUCAUAAAGUGGCUAAUGGAAUGAGAAAUAGGAAAUUUAUCAAGGUGUUGGAGAAUGAAAGAGGAGUAGUGUUGAAUAAUUCAGAGAGCAUCACAGAGGAGAUUUUACAUUACUUUGAAAAGCUCUACUCGAGUCAUAUUGGUGAGCCAUGGAGAGUUGAAGGUUUAGAUUGGUCCCUUAUAUCUGAAGAUAGUGUGUCUAGAUUGGACUCCCCUUUUACUGAAAAAGAGAUUCAUAAGGCCAUUUUUCAGUUGGAUAGGGAUAAAACGCCAGGUCCUGAUGGCUUUACCAUUGCAGUGUUUCAAGAUUGUUGGGAUGUGAUCAAGGAUGAUUUAGUGAGAGUGUUUGCAGAGUUUCAUAGUAGCGGGAUCAUCAAUCAAAGCACUAAUGCCUCCUUCAUAGUUCUGUUGCCCAAAAAAAGCAUGACAAAGAAAAUCUCAGACUUUAGACCUAUUAGUUUGAUCACUAGUCUUUACAAGAUAAUAGCCAAAGUGUUAUUAGGACGUCUAAGAGGGGUAUUACACGAAACUAUUUAUUCUACUCAAGGCGCUUUUGUUCAAGGGAGACAAAUAUUGGAUGCAGUUCUCAUAGCCAAUGAGAUAGUGGAUGAGAAAAGACGUUCAGUGGAGGAAGGAUUCGUUCUCAAAAUCUACUUUGAAAAGGCUUACAAUCAUGUGAGUUGGGAUUUUUUGGAUCAUGUGUUGGAAAAGAAGGGGUUUAGUCUUAGAUGGAGGAAAUGGAUGAGAGGCUAUUUGUCCACGGUAUCUUUUGCAGUCUUAGUAAAUGGAAACGCUAAAGGGUGGGUUAAGGCAUCUAGAGGCUUAAGACAAGGCGAUCCUUUAUCCUCAUUUUUGUUUACUUUAGUAGCAGAUGUAUUGAGUAGGAUGUUGUUGAGAGCAGAGGAAAGAAAUUCGUUAGAGGGUUUCAAGGUGGGUCGGAAUAGUACAAGGGUGUCCCAUUUGCAAUUCAAGGAUGAUACCAUAUUCUUUUCUAACACUAGUGAGGAAGAUUUGCAGACUCUCAAGAGUUUAUUGCUAGUUUUUGGGCAAAUUUUUGGGCUUAAGGUUAACCUUGACAAGAAUAACAUUUAUGGCAUCAAUCUUGAACAGAAUCAUCUUUCUAAGUUGGCUGAAUUGCUAGAUUGCAAGGCUUUUAGAUGGCCUAUUCCCUACUUAGGUCUUCCUCUGGGAGGGAAUCCCAAGGCUUGCGGCUUUUGGGAUCCUGUGAUUGAGAGGAUCUCGAAAAGAUUAGAUGGGUGGCAAAAGGUUUUUCUAUCUUUUAGAGGUAGGAUAACUCUUAUCCAAUCUUGCCUCACCCACAUGCCUUACUACUUCAUUUCCUUGUUUAAGAUACCUGCUUCAGUGGCUACAAAGAUUGAGAGAUUGCAAAGGGAAUUUUUAUGGUUAGGGGUUGGGGAAGGAAAAAGAGAUCAUCUUGUUAGCUGGGAUAUAGUUUGUAAGCCGAAGGCAAUAGGGGGUUUGGGAUUUGGGAAAAUAGCUCUAAGGAAUGUCACACUCUUAGGGAAAUGGUUGUGGAGGUACCCUAGGGAGGGUUCAGCUCUAUGGCAUAAGGUUAUUUUAAGCAUUUACAGAUCACACUCUAAUGAAUGGGAUGCCAACACAAUAGUCAGAUGGUCACAUCGUUGUCCUUGGAAGGCUAUUGCACAAGUCUUUCAGGAGUUUUCCAAGUUUACUCGGUUUGUGGUAGGAAAUGGGAAUAGAAUUCGGUUUUGGGAAGACUUGUGGUGGGGGGAUCAAUCUUUGGGUUCCCAAUAUCCAAAACUAUUUAGAGUAGUCACGGAUAAAAAUAUUCCUAUUUCUUCAAUUCUCAAAUCUACUCAUCCCUUCUCUUGGAACUUUAACUUUCGCCGUAACCUAUCUGAUCCUGAGAUAGAAGAUUUAAAAGGUCUCAUGCAAUCACUUGAUUGUUUGCAUUUGACAUUUUCAGUUCCAGAUGCGAGAACCUGGUCUUUAUCUUCUUCAGGGCUUUUUACUGUCAAGUAUUUCUUUCUUGCCUUAUCUCAUUGCUCUGAUUCUCCUCCAAUUUUCCUUACUAAGUUCGUUUGGAAUUCUCAAGUCCCUUUCAAGGUUAAGUCCUUUGUCUGGUUGGUGGCACACAAAAAGGUAAAUACUAAUGACUUACUACAAUUGAGAAGACCUCACAAAGCUCUUAGUCCUGAUAUUUGUAAGUUGUGCAUGAGGCAUGGAGAAUCAGCAGAUCAUCUUUUCCUACAUUGUUCUUUGACAUUGGAGUUAUGGCACAGAUUAUUUCAGUUAGCCAAGAUGGAUUGGGUUCCCCCGAGGAGCAUUUCUGACAUGCUAUCCAUCACUUAUAGUGGCUUUGGUUUAUCGAGGAAAGGGUAGUUUUAUGGCAAGUUGGGUGCAUAGCUUUAAUUUGGGUUAUGUGGUGGGAGAGAAAUACAAGGAUUUUUUAGGAUAAAGCAAGGAAUUCAGAGAAUCUUUGGGAUUCUAUUUUUUUCCUUGCUUCUCUUUGGGCUUUUUGUUCCAAGGUUUUUAAGGGAACCCCCCUUAUUAUGUUACAACUUGAUUGGUUAGCGGUGUGUAAUUCCGAUGGGUUGGUUUAUUCUAAAGAAGUUGUUCAUUAUUACAGUGUAUUUUCUUGUUUUCGGUUUCUUGUAGACUAGUUUUCUUUGGUGGGAGGAUUCCUCAUCCUUCUCUUGUACUUUUUUUUUUCUAUUAAUAUAUUCCUUUGAAGUUUCCUAUCAAAAAUAAAAAAUAAAAAAUCAUCCUCCUUUUCCAUUGAGAAAGUUAGGUCUUGAUCCCUUUAAGGUUUUUCUCUUUGUAGUCCUUAUAUUAAAAGUAUGAGAUUAUGAGCAGUGAUCACCUUGUUGUUGUUUACCAACCUUAAAGAAUCAGACAAGUGGGUUUGAGAAUAGAUAUGAUUAGAUUAGUUCAUGUUGACUAUCAUUGACGUGUUUAUGUUUUUCCCGUUUCUCAGACAUGUAUUUUUUAUUAUUUUUUAUUUUUUAUGCAGUGAUGGAUUCUUUUUUUCUGUGAAGGAGGUUUCAUUGCUUGAUCAAGGGGGCAAGGGCAAACAAAGCAUUUAUGAACUUGAACAGGUGAGAAGAAUUUCUUCUUCUGGAAUAAACGCUCAUCAAAUAUGGUUUAAUCUUUCUUAUUAUUUUAAUAAAAUUUUAUAAACUAUUUUUUUUUUUGUACAUCACAGUUAACCUCAAGUCAAUUGCAUAUAUAGGUAUUGUAGUAAAGAGCAACUACUCAUUGAUCCGGGCUGAAUUAUCAUGAGAUUCUUUUUCUAAUUCUUUCCUUGUUGGUCCAGGAGAUUUCUCUUUUAAGUUAGUUGGAACAUGAGAACAUAGUUCGGUAUUAUGGCACAAAUAAGGUAUGUUUCUAUGUCUUGAGUCAACUUCUUUUGUUUUCUUGUAACAUAUCAUUCUUGGAAUGAGCCGCAUUGCAUUUUGUCACCUAUAGCAAAACUAGAAUGAAUUUUUCGUCAUUUUUGUGCCUGAUUCUUGAAACAAUCUGUAAAGGAGAGUUACAAACAUAAUGGUGCAACUUGAAAUGAGAAUACUUUUAUAUUGUUAUAAUAUCAUCACCUGCAAUUAUUUAUUCCAAUUCUUCAGAGUCUUGAUAGACUCCCUUCCUGCUUCCGUAGUAUCUGAAAAUGAUCCUGCUAAUUUUUUUUUUAUAAGUAAACGCAUAGAAAAGAUAUAGAAAAUGAUACUACCAAUGGGGAUAGAACAUAUUUGUCACUCAAUCCAAUACAUGAGAUUCAAAGUGAUGUAACCAUGCAAAGAGCUAAUGAGAAUAAUAGAAAAAUCCAGUACCAAAUUUUAAUUAAAACCAUGUAUUUAUGGGGCAUCAUCCUACAUAUGAGAUUUAACCAGACUAAAAAUCUCACUGGUAAGAGAUUUAUUGAAUGUUUUUAGAACCGGACCGGUCAUUGAACUGAAAAAGUUACAUGUUCACAGUUUAAUGGUCCGACCGUUAGUCAAAUCGCGGUCGAAUCAGUAACAUCAUAAAUAUACAAUUUAUCUAUUAAUAAAAUUAAAAAAAAAAAUUAAAAUACACACACACACACACACACACACACACAUAUAUAUAUAUAUAUAUAUAUAUAUAUAUAUAUAAUUAAAAAUCAAUAAUAUUAAUUUUUUAUCUUUGAUAAAAGAUUAAAAAAAUUAAUAUUUUGAAUUUUAUUAAAUGAAAUAUGUAUAAUAUUUAAAUGUGAAUAUAUUCAAAAUGAAAGAAAAUUUGAUUAUCAAAUUUUAACUAAUUUUAUAAUUUAAUAAAAUAUUAUAUUAUUUUUAUUUAAUAUUAUAAAUCUUUUUAGAAACACAAAUUUUUUCAAUUGCCAUUUCAAUUAACAAAGCACAUGCAGCCAAGUGGUGGCCAUGUCUUUGGCAUGAGGUCUAGAGUUCAAAUCCUCUAGGUGAGUUUUCCUUAAUCCAUUUUUCUUAUACCCAAAAUCAUGUAUCCCACAUCGGAUGUGGAGAAGAAAAAAAAAGGCCCUUAUAUACACAACUUACACAAGCCAUAUACGUAAUACAAGGAACCAUGGAUUGGUGCCUAUUACCAUUUAAUGGAAGGCUUAGGCUUUUAUUUGGGCUGUUUGGGUUCUAAAUUGGGCCAAAAGAAGAGUUGGGAUUGAACUGUUCGGUUCAUGUGAAACCUCCCGGUCCAGGCGGUUCAUCGGUUCAACUGCUGGUUUGGGUAGCUUGUGACUAGUUCAUUUGCCCAGUGGUUUAAUAAGAAGGACCGGACAGGAAAAUCCACCGGUCGACAGUCCGACCAGUUGGACUGGUCGGUCUGGUCCGAUUUUCAAAACAAUGGAUUUACUCCUUAGUAGUAAAAAGUAAAAUAAAUGGAUAAAAUUGAAAUAUUUAGAAGAUGGGUCCAUUCAUUUAAGAUUUAAGUUGACCUGGACCUUCCUUAACACAGUUCUGGACCUUUUCAAGUGGUGCCACAACCUCAAAAAUGCACCAACAUGUGUUGUUUCUAUGUUAAAAUAUGUCUCUCAUGAUUCACCUUUAGUAAUGGCAAAUAUGUUGUUAGGAUUUUGAAGAGUUGGAAUUUGUAAUAUUUUGCAAUUCCAGGACUAUGAAAUUAGGGUGAUUUUUAUGGUCAAAUUCAAAGAAGCUUUAGAUAUCAAUUUUUGUAUAAACAUGUAAGAUUUUGAAGAUUGACUUCAAUUUGAGCAAAAAUGUUGGAUUCCUCAUGACUAAGGGUGUGAAAAACAAUGGAUUUACUCCUUAGUAGUAAAAAAUAAAAUAAGUGGAUAAAAAUGAAAUAUUUAGAAGACGGGUCCAUUCAUUUAAGAUUUAAGUUGACCUGGACCUUCCUUAACACAAUUCUAGACCUUUUCAAGUGGUGUCACAACCUCAAAAAUGCACCAACAUGUGUUGUUUCUAUGUCAAAAAAUGUCUCUCAUGAUUCACCUUUAGUAAUGUCAAAUAUGUUGUUAGGAUUUUGAAGAGUUGGAAUUUGUAAUAUUUUGCAAUUCCAGGACUAUGAAAUUAGGGUGAUUUUUAUGGUCAAAUUCAAAGAAGCUUUAGAUAUCAAUUUUUGUAUAAACAUGUAAGAUUUUGAAGAGUGACUUCAAUUUGAGCAAAAUUGUUGGAUUCCUCACGACUAAGGGUAUGCUUAACUUGAAAUUUUACCGUUUAGAUUUGAAAUGAUAUGCUUCAGUUUUCAAGGCUCUUUCCUAAAAUUAAACCGAAUCCAAAUACAAGUAUUAUUCUUGCUUUUUUUAGGAAAAAAAAAAGCUAUUUUUUUCAAAUCUUUUUUGGGCCUUAAACUUUAAAAAAUGGUUUAAGUGAUUGUGAAAUGGGCUAGUGAAUCCAAGUUGGAAACUCAGCCUCAAUCAAUUGUCAUCCACUUGAUGGAUUGAGGUUUACCUUAAUUGAUAGAGGCACAUGAGUCAGCUUUUUAAAGAGUUCAUCUUUUGUUGAAACUUACCUACUGGAGCCCCAUACAAACAUCACUUCUUAUGUCUAUACAUGUACAUAUUUUAAAGGUACAUUUGGUUUGGGCUUUGGGGGUGUAUCUAUGGAAUGAUAUUGUUUUUUCUCAUAAUUAAGGAUGACAACUAAAUGCUAAUUCUCAAGCAAUUUCUAAGACAACCAAAUGUUAGAAUGAGAACAAACUUGAUGGGAAUUGCAGAUUCCCAACUUCAACCAGAUAUUAGAAUGAAAAUCUUAUAUCCACUAUAUUUCUAGAGAUAUAUUUUCAUUCAUAAGUAUAGAUGCCAAUGAAUUGAACAUGCCCUUUGGAUUUAAAAAAAAAAAAAAAAUCUUUACAGAUUUCUAUAGAGCCAAGAGAGAAAUAUUAGCAAGAAGAAUCAGAAAGGGGGGCUUUCUAGAAACAAGUUAAAAGUGGAAAAUAUGGGGGGAAGAAGAGGGAUGAUUAUCUUGUAACAUUAGGGAUGGUUACGAUGUUGGGUUAUGGAAAGCUGUCUGGAAGGCUUCUGAUUUCCUUAGUAGUAGAAUUUCCUUAUUUGUAAGGAAUGGGAGGAGGGUAAAGUUUUAGAAUGAUAGGUGGUGUGGGGAUGGACCCUUAUGCCUUUUCUUUUCUAGCUUUGUAUAAUUUAGAAAAGAGGGUUGGGAGGUAGAGUUAUGGGAUUAGACAAGUGAGAUGAGCCAUUGUAACCCUUGUUUUUCUAAGAAUCUAAUUGAUUGAAAGAUGGAAGGUGUAGAACAAUUCCUCUCUAGAUUGCAAGGCAUAAUGAUGAAUGGAAUGGUAUUGCUUCCUAUGUAAAGAUGAUGAGGAAUCCAUUGAUCACAUUGGCUACACUAUGCUAUGACAAGGGCUCUUUAGAAAUUGCUCUUCUCUUUGUUUAGCGAUUCUUUUGCUUGCCAUAGUAAGAGAGGUUCUUUUAGGUUGGCAUGACUCAUUUUUGGGAGGAAGAUAAAAAAAAAGAUUUGAAAACCUGCAUCAUUAUGCAUUAUUUUGGAUGGUUUGGAAAAAGAGGAAUUGAAGUUUGUUUGAAAACAAAAGGCAAUUAGUCCAUGCUUUGAAGAGUCUUUUCCUUAGUAAUAUUUUGUUGUGGCUAAAGAGGUGCAUAGAUGAAGACUCAAUGUCUUUAAUAGAUUUUGUUGAUUGGUUGGGUUCUUGCUAAGGGGGAUAGUUUUUGUUCAUACUUUAGCACUUAUUGUAUGUGGGAGAAAAUGGUAAAAAAUUCUUAUUCAAUCAACUGUUAUAAUCAUAAUUUAUAUCCUAUAUUAACAAAGAAAUUGAAGGAAAAAAUAAACUAAUAAUCCCUAUAAAUUAGGACAAUCCUUAUAAAUCAAGGAUUAUUCUUCCUAAUCUAAUUUACAUUUAUACACUCUUUCCUAAUCUAAUUUAUAGCUAUAUACAAUUACAUAAAUAUAUAUAAGAGACCCCAAUUAGGAAAAUUCAUAUUUCUAACACUCCCCCUUAAGUUGGUGAAUAGAUAUUAUCCAUGCCCAGCUUACCUAAAAUUGCUUGAAAUAUUGUGCUUGCCAAACCCUUGGUCAAAACAUCUGCAAGUUGUCUAUUUGACAACACAAACAGAGUGCAAAUUAACCCACUUUCUAACUUUUCCUUUAUGAGGUGUCUAUCAACCUCAACAUGCUUUGUCUGAUCAUGUUGUAUCGGAUUAUGAGCUAUGUUUAUGGCUGAUUUGUUAUCACAAUACAACCUCAUGGAUCCUACUCAUUUAAUUCAUAGGCCUUGAAGAAUAAUUUUAAGCCAUAAUAACUCACAAAUUCCUUGUGUUAUAGCUCUAAACUCUGCCUCUGCACUAGACCUUACCACAACUAGUUUUUUUUUUUUUUUUUUUACUCAUCUAAGUCACUAAGUUUCCUCCAAGAAAUGUGAAGUAACCUAAUUUUGAUCACCUAUCUACCAUUGAUCCAACAUAGUCGACAUUCGUAUAGGCUUCAAGGAACAAACCCGUACCUUUUCUGAAGAGAAUUCCCAUUCCUGAGCUACCUUUAAGAUACUGUAAAAUCCUAUAGACAACUUGUAAGUGGACCUUCUUUGGAUUGUGCAUAAACUGGCUCACUAUACUCACGAUAUAGGCAAUAUCUGGUCUUGUGUGUGACAAGUAAAUCAAUCGUCCCACUAAUCUUUGAUACAUGCCUUGAUCCACUCCUUUGUCUUCCAAUGCUUCCCCAAGCUUAUGAUUUGCUUCAAUUGGAGUCUUUACUUGUUCACAUCCAAGCUUUCCCGUAUCAUUAAGCAAGUCAAGGAUAUAUUUGUGUUGUGAUACAAAAAUACCCUUUUUGACCGUGCCACUUCAAUUCCUAAAAAGUACUUUAGUUUGCUCAAAUCCUUUAUCUUAAACUCCUUUGCAAGACAUUGCUGAAGUGUCUCUUUUUCUUUUAGAUCAUUUCCGGUUACGAUUAUGUCAUCAACAUAUACUAGUAACGUUGCAACUCCCUCUAAAUCGAAAUAUUUAAAGAACAAAGUGGGAUCUUCUUGGCUUUGUUUAAACCUUAGAGAUAACAUAACCUUUGUAAAUCUUCCAAAUCAUGCUUUAGGAGAUUGUUUCAAUCCAUACAAUGCCUUCUUCAACCUACAUAUCUUAUUCUUGUCUAAACGAACUUCCAUAUAGAUUUCUUCAUCAAUUUCACCAUGGAGAAAGACAUUUUUUACAUCAAAUUGUUGUAAAUUCCAAUCAAAUUGAGCUUCCAAAUAUGAUAAAAUUCUCAUUGUAUUCAUCUUUGCUACCGAUGCAAAAGUUUCUUGAGAGUCUGUUUCAUGUGUUUGUGUAUAUCCCUUUGCGACUAACCUUGCUUUAUAUCGUUUAAGGGAUCCAUCAGCCUUGUAUUUAACUAUAAAUACCCACUUGCAACCCACUACUUUCUUCCCUUUUGGUAACUCCAUAAUUUCCCCAGUCCCAUUCUUCUCCAAUGCUUCCAUCUCGACUUUCAUAGCUUGUUUUCAUUUCCCAUUAAGUGCCUCGGUUAAGGUUUGUGGAAUCGGUAUGGAAUUUAUUUGGGUAACAAAGGCUUUAUGAGAUGGUGGGAUUUUUUCAAAUGACACAAAAUUGGACAAUUGGUGUUGCAUGCAUUUAUGUGUAUCUUACCUAAUGGCAAUGGGAAGAUCAACAUUAAUGUCAACAUCAUCAUGUGAGUCAAGAGGAGCAACAUAAUUAUGUACCUCAUUUUCGAGAAUUGGUUUGAAUGUUUGGACUUGCAUGGGUCUAGGUUCAGUCACCCUCUUCCUUGAAUAAACUUGUAGUGGCUUUAUUGUAAUAGGUUCUGACUCUUUUUCUUUUGUUCCAACAUCUAAAAUAGGGCAGGUUUUAGCUAUUUAAGGGACUGUUGUAGCUAUUUGAGGUAUGUUGGAAAUUUCUGGAACUUUUUCAUGACUUUUAGACUCUUUUUGGGUUCCAUUUGAAGGUUCGGAUGGGAAAGAUUUAGGAAAAUCAAGCAAGAACAUGUCCUUAUCUUCCAUAGACGAUGUCUCCCCUGAAAAUAAGGAAUUGAAAAAUAUCCCUCUAUUUCUACAAAAGUGACAUCCAUGGAGACAAAAAAAAAUUUAGUUGGAGGAUGGAGACAUUUAUACCCUUUCUGUGUUGAUGAAUAUCUAACAAAAACACACUUUAAUGCUCUUGGAUCCAACUUUCCUCGAUGAUAAGCAUGAAUAUGAACAAACACGGGGCACACAAACACUUUAGGAGGAAGCUUACUCGAUGUAUUGAAUUGAAGAAAGAAUGUUGUGAACAGUUCCUUAAGACUCUUUAAACCCUAAACUUGAGAAGAAACCCUAUUUGUUAAAUGAGCAGUUGUAAGAACGGCCUCCUCCCAAUAGGUUUUUUGAACAUUUUUUUGAAAUAAGAGAGCCUUUGUAACAUUUAGUAAGUGACCAUUUUUCCUCUCGGCUACUGCAUUUUGUUAGGGUGAAUCGACACAUGAAGACACAUGAAUAAUUCUCUCUUUUUGAAAAUAAGAUGAAAGUGUUUGAUUGAAAUAAUCAUUUGCAUUGUCCAUUCUAACAUGUUUUAUUGACACCCCAAAUUGAUUUUUUACCAUAUUAGGGUAAUUUGGAAAAACAAUGCUCACAUCCGACUUUUGUUUUAAAAGAAAGAUCCAAGUAACAUGGGGUAUAAUCAUCAAUAAACGAAACAAACCAACAAGCUCCUGAAAUAUUAGGAACUUGUGAUGGCCCCAAAUAUCAUUGUGAAUUAAAUCAAAAGGAAAUUAUGAUCUUUUGUUGCUCAAAGGAAAUGAGACAUAAUGAUGUUUUGCAAAAUCACUAACAUCACAAUGAAAAGUGUCUACAUCAAUAUUCUUAAAAAGUAAAGGAACAUGACCUUAAGCACAUUAAAUGAAGGGUGGCUAAGUUGAAAGUGAUAAAACCAAAUUUGGUCUUCAUUUGAAGAAGAUGAUUCGGAUAAAAAAAGAAAGAGGUAGUUGAUUCCCAUUGCCAACAUUGCCACUACUUGUAUCAAGGUAGUAGGGUUCGUUCUUUUCCUUAACAUGCGAAAUCAUCUUUCCCAAAACUUGGUCAUGAAAAACAUAGUGAGUAGGGUAAAAAAUGCCACUACAAUUGAUAUCUUUUGUGAGUUAAUAAUUGGACACAAGAUUGGUUGAAAGCUUGAGAACAUGUAAGACCUUUUUAAGACUCAAAGAAGGGUUUACAUUGACUAUUCCUGAACCUACAACAAUAGCUAAUGACCAUCAACAAUAGUGAUUUUCUUAUUGCUAGGACAUGGAAUAUAUGUGCUAAAUUUUUCUGAUGAAUGUGUCAUAUGCUCAGUAGCUCUUGAAUUAAUGAUCCAAGAGCUUGAAAGGGACAUAGCUAAGACACGAAAAGCAUGAGAGAAAGGAAACUUACUUGAAUGUGCGAGAGAGCAAACACCCAUAGGUUUCUCCAAUGAGCCCAAUCUUUUUUUCAACUUUUUAGUGUCCUCUUAAUUCAAUUCUCCAAGUUUCGUAUUGCUGUACUUUGAUUGUUCAUCUCUAGAAUUAUUAGUAUCAGCUACACAUACUUGGCUUUGAUGUUGUCCCCCUUUAAAACCACUAGCACGGUUGAUACCCAUGGUUUACCAUGAAGUUUCCAGCAUGUCUCUUUUGUGUGUUGCGGUUUUCUACAAUAUGUGCACCAAACAUUGUCCUUAUUCUUAGAAAAAUCACAUCUGCCACUGUCAUUAUUGCCACCUUGUCCUGGGUUUAGGCCUUUGAAAUUACUCUCUCUUGGUUUUAAUGUAGCAAGGGCUAAACUUUCAGCUAGUUGAGAAUCAAUCAUAACACCUCAUCGUCCUUCCUUCGCUUGAAUAAUGGAGAACACCUCAUUAAUGGAUGACAAAUCUUCCUUUCCUAAGACUUGAACUCGAACUUGAUCAAAUUCAACAUUAAGGCUAGCAAGAAACUCGAAAAUCCGCUCCCUUUCAACGAACUUUCUUAACAUUGCAACAUCUUCACUAUAUUUCAUUUGAAGAUUGUGGUAAUAAUUCGUUUCUUGCCAAAGACAUUUCAUGAGAUUAUAAUAUUCAAUGACCGAUCUUGUUUCUUGUUUAGUGGUUGAAAUUUUUUACUUAAUUCCAUAGAUUUGAGCCACAUCAUGCACCUUAGAAUAAGUUUGUCUUAUUGUUUCCCAUAUUUCUUUAGCUGUGGUGAGAAACAUACAAGUGCCAUUGAUUUCAGGCAACAUGGAAUUCCAUGACCAUGAGAUGAUCAUUGAAUCCUCUUCAUCCCACUGGUUGAACUUCGGCUCUUAAGGUUAUGGACCUAUGCCAAUUAGAUGACUUAGUUUGCCUUUAUCUUUCAAAAAGGUUUGCACUAGUUGAGACCAUUGGAGAUAGUUUUAGCCUUUCAACUGAUAUGCUAAAUUGAUAUUCUGUAACUCUCCAAUGGUUUGAUGAGGCAAAGUUUCACCAAAGAUGGUUAUGGGUGUGGCAGAAGUCUCAAACAUGUCAGACAUUGUGAAAUCCCAAAAAUCGCAGAUAGAGAUUGAAGUAAGAGAAGUGAUGAAAUAUGAAAAAUGAAAUAAACAAAACACACAACAAUGAAGGCUGAAAAACUUGAACUAAAAUCAUCAAUGAAGGUUGAUGAAGAAUGUCCAAAGUGGCUUUGAUAUAAUGUGGGAGAAAGUGGUAAAAAAUUCUUAUUCAAUCAGCUGUUACAAUCCUAAUUUAUAUCCUAUAUUUACAAAGAAAUUUAAGGUAAAAAAUAAACUAAUAAUCCCUAUAAAUCAUGACAAUCCUUAUAAAUCAGGGAUUAUUCUUCCUAAUCUAAUUUACAAUUAUAUACAAUUACAUAAAUAUAUGCAAGAGACCCCAAUUAAGAAAAUUCAGAUUUCUAACAUUGCAUAUGUCCUCUGUACCUCUUUUUAUUUUUUUCCCUAUAGGUAAAGUAUGAGAAUAUGUUAAAGGGUGCAUGUAGACCCUCAAUUUUGUCCCUUUAGCACAUGUCUUUAAAUUCGUUUUCGGUGCCCCAUAGUAACUCCUUGGUGGCCCAUUACUACUCGUACGACUUACCUUUUUCUGAGUCACCCUGGAGACUUUAGCUGAGGGAUUAUCUGACCUCUUAUUGCGACCUUUGGCAGCCCUAUUUUAGACUUAGGCUUUUCAUUCAUUUUUAAGAUAGCUUUUAGGGUAGUCUACUUAGGUCCACUUAGGCACCCUAGGCCCACUUAGGCACUUAGGCCCAUUUAGGCACCUUAGGUCCACUUAGACACCCUAGGCCCACUUAGACUUUUAUUUUAUUUUAUUUUAUUUAUUUAUUUAUUUAUUUUGUUUACUUGUUUAGUUAUUCACUCAAUUAUUUACUUUCAAAAAUUUCAUGCUUUUGCAAGGAAAUUUACCAUUGGAGUUUAAGGAAAGUGGGACUCUCCUUGGAAGGUUUUGGAGGGGGAUUUGAAAUUAGGAAGAUUGCCUUUGAAUUGGAAGAUUUAAAAAAAAGGAAAGGAAGAAAAGAAGAGAGUUAGAGAUUUUUUAUUUUCAGGGGGAUGGAGAGAACAAUAGGAAUUUUUUUAGAAGGGGUUUUUUUUUUGAGAAAUUGAAGCAUAAAGCAGAAUUUUUUUUUUAAAAGAGAGCACACGUAAUUUUGGAAAAAAGCAAGGGACUUCGAACGGAGAUCGGGCUGUCAUUUAAUCAUCAAGAGAGGAUUUUCUCUUUCACUUCAAAGGUUAGUUUUCUAUAUAGUACUUUUAUUUAGCCUAGAUUUUUUUUUGGAAAUUUUAGUUUUUGAUUAAUUCUUUGUGUUAAAGUUUAUAUUAUUUUCUUUUUAAAUCCCCAAUUAGUUUAAUUCUAAUCUAUCUUUUAGUUUAAGUUUGUUAAUGAUUUUAAUUCUUAAGUUUAAAUAAUCAUAUUGAAUAAAGUUUGUAUUUUUAAUCCCAAUUAGUUUGAUUUCAAUUCGUUUUUAAUUUAAAUGCAUUAGUUAAUCUUAAUUCUUUGUUUUAAAUAAUCACGUUAAAUAAAGUUUGUAUUUUUAAUCCCAAUUAAUUUGAUUUCAAUUCGUUUUUUAGUUUAAAUGUAUUUUGUUGAUCUUAAUUCUUGACUUUAAAUAAUCACGUUAAAUAAAGUUUGUGUUUUUAAUCUCAAUUAGUUUGAUUUCAAUUCGUUUUUAGUUUAAAUACAUUUUGCUGAUCUUAAUUCUUUAGUUUAAAUAAUCAUAUCGAAUAAAGUUUGUAUUUUUAAUCCCAAUUAAUUUGAUUUUAAUUUGUUUUUUAGUUUAAAUGUAUUUUGUUGAUCUUAAUUCUUUACUUUAAAUAAUCACGUUAAAUAAAGUUUAUGUUUUUAAUCUCAAUUAGUUUGAUUUCAAUUCGUUUUUAGUUUAAAUACAUUUUAUUGAUCUUAAUUCUUAAGUUUAAAUAAUCAUAUCGAAUAAAGUUUGUAUUUUUAAUCCCAAUUAGUUUGAUUUUAACUUGUUUUUUAGUUUAAAUGUAUUUUGUUGAUUUUAAUUCUUAAGUUUAAAUAAUCGUAUUGAAUAAAGUUUGUAUUUUUAAUCCCAAUUAGUUUGAUUUCAAUUCAUUUUUAAUUUAAAUGCAUUAGUUGAUCUUAAUUCUUUGUUUUAAAUAAUCACGUUAAAUAAAGCUUGUAUUUUUAAUCCCAAUUAAUUUGAUUUCAAUUCGUUUUUUAGUUUAAAUAUAUUUUGUUGAUCUUAAUUCUUGACUUUUAAUAAUCACGUUAAAUAAAGUUUGUGUUUUUAAUCUCAAUUAGUUUGAUUUCAAUUCGUUUUUAGUUUAAAUACAUUUUGUUGAUCUUAAUUCUUAAGUUUAAAUAAUCAUACCGAAUAAAUUUUGUAUUUUUAAUCCCAAUUAAUUUGAUUUUAAUUUGUUUUUAGUUUAAAUGUAUUUUGUUGAUUUUAAUUCUUUACUUUAAAUAAUCACGUUAAAUAAAGUUUGUGUUUUUAAUCUCAAUUAGUUUGAUUUCAAUUCGUUUUUAGUUUAAAUGCAUUAGUUGAUCUUAAUUCUUAAGUUUAAAUAAUCACGUUAAUAAAGUUUGUGUUUUUAAUCCCAAUUAGUUUGAUUUUAAUUUGUUUCUAGUUUAAAUGCAUUUUGUUGAUCUUAAUUCUUUAGUUUAAAUAAUCAUAUUGAAUAAAGUUUGUGUUUUUAAUUCCAAUUAGUUUGAUAUUAAUUUGUUUUUAGCCUGAAUACAUUCAUUGAUCUUAGUUCUUUAGUUUAAAUAAUCAUAUUGAAUAAAGUUUGCAUUUUUAAUUCCAAUAAUCUUAUUAAAUCCCUGUUAUUAUCUUUAUAUGCUAAGUUUGUUGACUUUUAAUCUUUGAUUGGUUAUUUUUAUUUUAAUUCAUGUGUUUCUUGAAAUCUAGAUGUUAGUCUUGGAUAAUAUUUGUGUUAGUUAGUUUGACUAGGAAACCAUUAGUUUGUUGCUUUAGUAAUUGUUGGUAAAAUCUUUUUUCUUUUUUUUUUUUGAAGGCCAUUGGAAAAUCAUGAAGAUUGGCCUCUACCAUCACCUUUAUCAUUUUUGUUAAUUACUAAAAAAAAUUUACUUUGAGGUUUCAUUUUUUUUGUUUUGUUUGGUAUUUUAUUUCUUAUAUUUUAUUUUUUCCAAAUUAAUUCCUUUUAUUUUAAAAUAAAAUACUUUUCUCAAAAAAUCAUUUUAAAAAUCUAUUUCAAAAACUCAUUUAGAGUCCUCAGGAUCAAAAUCUUUUUUUUUUAUUUAAAAAAAAAUAAUAUGCAACCAUAUCUUGUUCGAUUUGCAUCCUUCUCGGUUUUUAACAAAAAGUUUGGUUUUGAACAAAAACACGAAUCAAAGCUUGUGGUCCCAAAUAAUGGGAUAAUUCUGGGCUAAAUUUGUAUAUAUUAAUUUGGGGAAUUGGUGAAACCCCUACAUAAGAAAAUCUUUUCAAAAAUUAUUUUUGUUGCCACCUUUGUCACUUGUUGAAAUUAUGUCUAUCUUUUUUAGGAAUUGUAUACAAGAUGUGUGUGAUAAUUAAUGUUUUCAUAUACUUUGAUAAUUUUUGUUAUGCUAAUUAGAUAACGAGCAUGCUAGGAUUUCUAUAUUUUAUUAUUUAUUAUCUAACCCCUUACAACUUGAGGAAGCACGUUACAAAUUAUCUAUGCUAUCCAGGUAUGUCCUCUAUCACCUACUUUCUGAAUUCUGUGAAUAUGCUGGUCAUUGUGAAAUAAUGCUUAUGUCUAAUAAUGCUUGAGCGUUCUGUUAUACAUGUUUCAUUGUUUGAUUAUUUCUAAUAAAAUACAUGUUGGAUGAAUAUAUUGUUUAAAUUAACCAUUGAUGUUUUGUGAUAGUGCUUGAGAGGCAGUCCAGGUACGCAUCCUAACCUUCCUUUAUUGUGAUUUGAUCUUGUUUAGCAUGCUAUUUUAUUUGGAAUCAUCUAGCCUGCUUAGGUACUUAUAAUUAAUCAAUUAAUUGCCACAUUUCCCUCAACUUAAUUAGUAGAGACCUUUUUAGGGCUUAGAGGGGUGCUACCUCCUAGAGGUACCUUCCCAAUAGGUAACCUGAUCCCCGGACUUAGACUCGGGUUUUUCAAAGACACGCUUUUCCAAAAAUUAUGGAGUCACAUUUUAGGGUUUUCUUUCUUGUUUUAUUUUCCCUUUAAAAUAAAAAUAAAAUAAGUGGCGACUCCAACUUUUUUUCAAAAAUCAAUUUUUCACAAAUAAAAAGCGAGUCUCGCCGAUCGAGUGGGGGCGCACGUGAAAAAUGCGGGUCCACAGUGCAACAAUGCACAAACAUAAUAUAUAGAAAGCGCUCAAAGGUAGAAUGAAAGCAAAGUGAACAACACGGGAAAACCAACCAGACACACCACCUAACACCCCAGAAAAUCAUAUUGUUCCUAACCAACUCUCAAGCUCCCAAAAAGUGUCCUGUGUACCUUAGGUUAGCUCUUUCUUUGGGCACUUCGUUAUAUAAUAUUGUCAUUGUCUAUAAAAAAAAACACCAUUUUAUGGCUUUCUUCAACCCAUGGGUUAUAAAAUUCACUGCAUAAAUGAUCAAAAGUUAAAUUUUUCUUUUUCUUUUGGGGGAAUUUUUGUCUUUCAUGUUGUCAUUUAAGUAUUUCUUCUUCUAUGAUCUGGCUCUAAUUUUCCUUCUUUAUGCACUUGAUCUUUCCAGGAUGACUCUAAAGUUUAUAUCUUCCUUGAGCUUGUGACAAAAGGUUCACUUUUAAGUCUUUAUCAAAAGUAUCAUUUGCGAGAAAGCCAAGCCUCGGCCUACAUAAGGCAGAUUUUAAAUGGUUUGAAAUAUCUACAUGAGCAAAAUGUAGUUCACAGGUGAUACAAAUGAUCUUACUGCUUAAUUAUUUGGUCAUAUUUAUCUUUGCAUUUAUCUAUAUAUUUAUUUUUAUUUUCUUGUUUUCUCAGCAUUUCUUUUUUAUGUAUUUCUUUGAUUAUUUCCAUUUUCUUGCCUUAGCCACCAAGAUGUUGAAUUAGUAUGCAUGAACUACACAAUACCUGGGUGCACUUCUUGCUUACUUAGAGAAAAUUGGUUCACCCUAUUGUGGAAGUUUUCUUGUUAUUCGAUUUAUUUAUUUUUUUCCCAUCCUUACUACAGUGUUUCCAAAUUGAAAUUCUCAAUCUUAUUGGAGAGUGUAGUUGUUGCCAUUUGCUAAUUAGAGUUAUUGAUGAUUUUAUAUUUUGUUUUACAGUGUUAUGAUGCCAGAAAUAUGCCAGAUUUAGCUGAGAAUGGAAAAGGGAAACACACACACACACAAAGGACAUCUGUUCACCUCUGAUAACAAAUUUAUACUUUCUCUGACAUGAUAAUUGCACCUACCCUCUUUCAGAAAAAAGCAAAAUGGGGAAAAAUGAGUUAAGAGCAUGGAUGUUAAUCAUCCUAAUUUCGACAUAAUUGUAAUAAGAUUAAUUUCUAUUCAAAGACUUGUGAGAAUAUCUUGAAGUUGUUCUGUGGACUUAACAUUUUGAGUGAUAAUUAAGUAUAGAGCACAGUAUAUGCUAAUAAGUUAUUCCUCUCCUAAACUAUAUCGUUUGUUAUAUUUCAAGUUGUGAUUUGGUUUAUCCUAUAACAGCUUCAUUUGUGAAUUAACUACAAGGAAUCCCAUCUCCAUCUCCAUUUGACUUGCAUCAUGCAGUUAGCUGCAUUAAACAUCAAUUUGUAUUCUGUCAAUGCUAGGUCUUGCUUACAUCUACGUCCACCUUUUUACUUUCCUAGGUCACUGCAUUUUAUUUUCCUUCAAGGAGUGAAUUAUAAGAGGAAGAAGCACUUUCUCUCUCACUCACUCUAUCUUUCCCUCUCUCUACAAAGAAUCCCAUCUCCAUUUGACUCAUUCUCAAUCCCCCUUCAUAGGAACUUUUGAACCUUAAAAUGGAAUUGAAAAUUUUUGGAUCUUUCCCUCCCCUUCUCGCUCUCCCUCUCUUCUUCUUCCCUCAUUGACCCGUUCUCAAUCUCUUUUGAAGGAAGCUUUUGAACCUUGAAAUGGAAUUAACAAAUUUCUUGGCUCUCUUCCUCUCCCAUUUCCCUCUCUCCGUUUCCUUCUCCAACUUGCAUAAUUUUAAUCUCCCUUCAUGCUUUGAACCAUGAAAAGCAACUCCUCUAUCUCUUUUUCCCCUUCCCUCCACCCCCUCAUUUCCUUAUUGAUUCAUUCCCAAUCUUAUCCAUUAGGAAAUUUUGAACCUUGAAAUGGAAUUUAAAAAUUUUGGAUAUCUCCUCCCUUUUGUCCUAACCCUCUUUUCCUCUUCCCCUAUUGACUCAUUCUCAGUCUUCCUUAACGGGAACUCUGGAAACUUGAAAUUAACAAACUUUUCUCUGUCUUCCCCGAUGCUCUCUCUUCCCUUGAUUAGCUCAAUUUUAUCCAUGUUCAUGUUUUGAAUCAUGAAAAUAAGCUCCUUCUUCUUCUCCCUCAGCUUUCCUUCUUUUCCUUUUCCUUUUCCUUCCCUCCCUGACUACUUUGAUCAUAAUUUCCCUUCAUGAGAAAUUUGGAACCAUGCCAAGCAACUUCUCUCUUUGCCUUCUCUCUUUCCACCGCAAUUCUCUGUCCAUUCCUCCUAGUGCAACUGACUCCACCCAAUCUUCUUGUAUGGAAACUUUUGAACGAUUAAAUGUUUCUCUCUCCCUCUCUCCUGUCGUAUCCAUGCAUAAUGUAAACAUAGUAUUACCUUGCUUCCUUUCUUCCAUCCUACAGCAACUAACUCAAUCUCAAUUUUCCUUCAUGAGAACUUUUGAACACUUACAUGUCUCUCACUCUCUCUCUCUUUCUCUCUUUCUCUCCUAUGUUGUCCUUGAAUAUGUAAACAUAGUACUUAUGGAGGAAAAUACAAGUUCUAAAUCAAUGUUGUUGUUUCCACUAUAGUUGACUACAAAUCUCCAAUCAAGUUCACUAAAUGACUGUCAUAUAACCAAAUAAGCAAGUGUUGUGUUAAUAGUGUGGCUUAGAAUAGGAAAUAUCUAUUGGGUGAGGUGUAACUGCAAUGCUUUUGUGCAAGAAUCACAAGGAUAGAACUAUGGAUUUGUGUGUGUGUGUGUGUGUUGUGGGGGUGGGGGUGAUUCGACUCAUGGUAGCUUAGCUUUAAAGGCGUAUCAACAAAAUUUAUACCUUAAAUACUAUUACUAAAGUAGCCAAGCUACUAUAGCAUAGUGGUUCUAGGAUCGUUUACUGGGAAGGGUUUUCACAAACACAAGUGAUAUUCAAAUUAGGAAAAUAGGUGAUUUUCUUAUGGAUGUUAGCUUUAAAAGAAGAUGUAAAUAUUUUAGAAAGAUUUAAACUAAUCUAAGCUAACAUUAAAGACUAAAAUGAAAGGGUGUAAAAACAAGUUUCUCAAAGAUAGGAUAGCUAUGCUCUGGCUCUUAUGCAAAUUGGAAAUCUCAGGAUAGGCUCCUCGCGUUGGGGUUGCAACUAUGGUGAUGCUUGCUUCCCAAACCGGUAUGGAUUUAGCAAAUCAAGUUUUAAUCCUUUAAAAUGGCAAAACAGAUGGUAGUGAAUUUCAUCAAUGAUUAUUCACCUUAGACUUCCUUUGAAUGGCUCGUAAGAGAUAACUAAUGGUCUAAAGCCAAAAGCUUACCAAAUAUUGGCAACUCAAAGUCAUUCCAGGUGAUAAACUCACCUUUCAAUGGCCAUUGAAAUUGGUUCUAACGGAUUAAUGCAAAACUUGGAAUUGAAAACCUCACCUUCCAAUAGCUCGUAGGAGAUAACUAAUGGAUAGAAAUCCAAAAGCUUAUCAAGUAUUGGCCGUUGGAAGUUGUCCAAAGGAAAUAAAAACCAAACUUUGCAUUAAUGAACCAUUAAUGAAAAACGACUACCUUACCUUCCAGGUGCGAGAAAUUUCCAUGGGAUUGCAUCCAAGCCAUCACAUAACAUCCAUAAUUUGAGAAACUAAAAGUUUUAGCCAAUCAUCCUUUGAGGAAAAGCCCUCAGAGGCCGUUUGGCUACUAAGAAAAUAGAAAUGGGAAAGAACAGGAGAAAAGAUAAAAACAGAGCUUUAUAUAUUCCUAAGUUAAUGUAUAGAGGAUCGAUCCCCCAAUAUCCCCCUCCGUUUUGGAGGUGUUGUGCACCUCUAUAUAUAGCAAAAUUACAAGAUAAAGCUUUAUGUCGGCUGAAUACAAGGUUACAAAAGGAAUUUACACGAGAAAAUAUCAAGCUAAAAAUAUUUGGGAAGUCGGUGGUGCGUGCGUGAAGAAACAGAGGAUUCAAAGGAAUUUCGCAAUGUGCCUAAAUGUGCCUAAAUCCACCUUGCGAAAUUUUCGCAAGGGGGUUCUUCAUGGUGCGAAGUGGCCAAAUUUCGCACCAUGAAGAAAAUCUCCUUGCGAAAUUUUCGCAAGGAGAAAUUCACCUUGCGAAAUUGGUCAUUUGACAUGAUGCAGUUGUCUUCCGAAGGUCAUAUCUUCCUCAUUUCAGCUCCAAAUCAUACACGGUUUGAAGCGUUGGAUUCUUGACUUCCUAAGCUUUCAAAUGGUAUAUAGCAUGCAAAAAAUGGACUUCAGAAAGUGCUUCAAAAGUGCGAAAGAAGACUGCAGCUGUUUUCUUCACUCUGUUUUCCUCUUCUCCAUUGCUUGUGCUCGUGUUUCCACUUGAAAUUCAAGCCUGUAAUCAUCCAAAAUCCUUGCUUAACUCGCCCAAAUAGCUCCUCCAUCAAUUGGCAUGCUUGAAUUGGUUCAUAAGCUGAUAAAAACAUGUAAACUUGCCACAAAAUGGUUAAAACCAAUUACUAAGGACCUUAGUGAAUUAAUUGGGUUAAAUGAAUAUGAUUACUACUCAAAGGUGCUUAAAACCAUUAUUAUUAGGUCUACAAAAUAGCACUUUUUGGUAGUAAUCAGGGGGGUAGGAGAAUAUGAAAGGAAGAUUUGAAAGGACAAUUUUUUGAGUAUUUUUCUUAAUUGUAGAUUUUUAUUUAUUUAUUUGUUCGAAAACUAAUCUUUUCUCUUUCAUUUUCAAGGGAUAUCAAAUGUGCUAAUAUAUUGGUGGAUGUAAAUGGAUCUAUGAAAAUUGCAGAUUUUGGAUUGGCAAAGGUUGUUUUCUUUAGUAGAGCUACAAUCUCCAUUGUUUCUAAUUGGUGAAUGACAUGACAUAAUAUUUCUGGUUGUUUAUCUUCUCAGGCACCCAAAUUUAAUGUUGUAAAAUCUUGUAAAGGGACACCAUUCUGGAUGGAGCCAGAGGUUUGCCCUUCCUUUUGAUAUCAUCAUUUAUAUGAACAAUUCAUGUUCUGAAUUGGAUUGAGAACUAUAUUUACUCAACUAUUGAUGUUAGUAGGCUUUCAGCAUGCUUGUGAUGCAGUCUCUGGAACCAUCUUUAGUAAGCGAUUGAUUCAAAAAAAGAAGCGAUAUAACUAAACUGAAUUAUGGAGUAGUUCAGUUUUUUCUUGGAAAACUCUUUCUAUCAAUUAAUUGAUUAGUUUUUUUUUUUUUUUUUCAAACUGUUGCUCAGAGCUAAGGAAGACUUAGUUGAAGUCAUCUCUUAUUUGCAUUUUUUUGUCAAUAUAUUUAGAUUUACCAUCAUGUAUGAGGUGUUAAUAAUUCCACACAACCAGCUAUCAAUGCACUCACAUUAGUAGAUGUAUGGAACUGCAGAAUUCUCAUAUUAGUCUGAAUUGGUGAUUUCUUUUCUGAGAAGUGGAAACCUUGCUUCAUUAUUUGUGAUGAGAAAAUUAGGUCCUAGUUAAUUUACUCCAUUGCCUUCCUUAUAACCAAUCUUUUUUUUAAAUGUUUUUUUUUAAAAAAAAUUUAGAUUUUAAUUUAAUAAUUUUUUGUUUCUUUUUUUUAAAAAAAAUAAUAAUUCUUAAUUUUUAUUUUUUGUGAUAGAUAAUAUCUUUUUUUCUCUUUUUUUCUUUUCCUUUUUUUUUUUUUGUGGGUUAAUAUUCGUACUCUAAACCUUGAAGCUCUCAUAUCCUCCCCACCCAACCCCUUGAGGCCUUGCCACAUGAUUGGGCCUUAAGAUCAACAAAUGAGGUAAUUGGUCCCACCAAGCCUAUAAUCAAUAUUUUUAUUGCUUCCUAUAUUUUGCAAUCUUUUGUCAAAUUUGUUUUGAAGUUGGAGAGCUAUCAGUUUUAGUUCUGGAAAACAUAUAUUCAUAUUAAAGUGUAAAAUUUUUAGUAACAAGUGAGGCAAGCAUUUGGAAAAUUAUUCAUCCUUAAAAGGAGAGGUUAACUCUCAUCAAGAGCACUUUUUCUAGCAUUCCUGUUUAUUUUAUAUCUUUGUUCCAUAUUCUGAGGAUAGUCAAAUUGAGGUUAGAGAAAAUUGAGAGGGAUUUCCUAUGUGGAGGUAGAGGGUUGGAGAAAAAGAUACAUCUUGUGAAGUGGUCCACUAUAUGUUCGGAGAAAAUUGAGAGGGAUUUCCUAUCUGGAGGUGGAGAGUUAGAGAAAAAGAUACAUCUUGUGAAGUGGUCCACUAUAUGUUUGGAGAAAAUCAAAGGCAAGUUAAGGGCUCAACAUCUCUCUGUUAAAUAACGCGUUUUUGUGCAAAUGGAGUUAGCGGUAUGCCAUUGAAAGAGAUGCCUUUUGGACAUGAUUGAUUAGUGGCAAAUAUGGAGAGGAAGAGAGUGGGUACUGUUUUGGCGAAGUUAGAGUUAGGAAUGGAGUCAGGCUUUGGAAAUCCAUUAGGAAGGAAUGAAACACUUUCCUGGGCUUUUUUUCCUUUUAUAGAGGGUAAUAGGAGGAGGAUGAAGUUUUGGAUGGAUAAGUGGUGUGGGGAUGAACUGUUGUGUGUUUCCUUCCCCUCUUUAUAUACCUUAGGUGUUGCAAAAGAGGCUUGGAUGGCAAACCUUUGGGUUCAACAUGGGGAGAGAGGUCAUUGAAUGAUUGGGAAGUGGAUGAAGUUGGGGAUUUCUUUUUCAAGUUGAAAAGGUAGUUGAUAGAGAGGGGGAAGACAAGUUGGUGUGAAUGAACUUGUACAAUAAUAAGUUCUUUGUGAGUCAUUUAUAUGUAAAACCAUGAAAGGUUUCUUUGGAUAAACUUUUAUUUUACUGUUUUAUCUUUCAGAACAUAGGCUACAUAUAAAUAACUAGCAGAUAGAUAAUUCCUAGGCUAAAAAUAAGGAAACUGAAAAACAAAUCUGAUUCUAAUCCUAAUCUGAACAAAACGUUGACUAUGUACAAAAAAAACUAUAAUUCAAAUAAUUCCUCAAUUCUAAAAUUCCUCAAAUCAAGAAACCUAUCCAUUCUAAAAUUUGAGUCCAAUUUGAACUAGUCUAACCAAACUAAUUUUCCAACACUCCCCCUCAAGUUGGGGUAUAGAUGUCUAUCAUACCCAAUUUGUCCACAUAAUUUUCAAAAUCUUCUCUUGGGAUCCCUUUAGUUAAAACAUCAGCAAUCUAGCUUUUGGAUGACACAUAUGUCAUGUAUAUUUCGCCUUGCUCAAUUUUUUCCUUGAUAAAAUGUCAGUCCACCUCAACAUGUUUUGUUCGACUGUGGUGGACUGGAUUGUGGGAGAUGCUUAUAACUGCCCUGUUGUCACAAUACAUCAUAGUUGGGGGAUGAAUUGUAAUCUAUAGUUCUUCUAAUACUCUCUUGAUCCACAAGACUUAACAAAUUCCAUGAUCUAUCGAUCUAAACUCAGCUUCAGCACUACUUCUCACCACCACAUUUUGUUUUUUACUUCUCCAUGUGAUGAGAUUUCCAAACACAAAUGUACAAUAGCUAGAUGUUGACCUCCUAUCUUAAAUAGACCUCGCCCAAUCUAUAUCAAAGCCUCUAUUUUGAAUUGGUCUUGCUUUCCAAAGUGAAGUCCUUUUCCUGGGGUUCCUUUGAGAUAUUGCAGUAUGUUAUAGACAACAUUCAUGUGUGCUUCAUAUGGAGAAUACAUGUACUAACUGACUAUACUUACUACAAAAGCAAUAUCCAGCCUAGUGUGAAAGAGGUAGAUUAGUCAACUAGAUCCCUUUUUUCAACCGGGUCUAUCUUGUGUCUUGAAUAAAUUGGAAUGUCCCUGGGCUUGCAACCAAGCAUCCAUGUUUCCUUAAGUAAGUCUAAAGUGUACUUUCUUUAAGAAACAAAGAUUCCAUUUUUUAUUUCUAGCAAUCUCCUGUUAAUGUUACCAUAUACAAAUUAGGAAUCAAAUUAGCUGUACAUAUAGGAAAAGAUUGACAAAUUAGCUUUCCAUGUAUUUGUUAAUGUUACCAUAUACAAAUUAGGAAUUUAGACUCCGUGUAUAGGAUAUAUAUCUGUAUAUAGAUGGAUGCAAAGGAGAAUAAACUGAUUAGAGUUCUCAGAGUUCUCGGUUUCUAUGGAGUUUUUUUUUAGUAUUUUGACAUGGCAUCAGAUCAAGGUUUCGGCACCUUCUGAGUGGAGUUCGUGAUCUUCUACCAAUCAAACACUUGGCAUCGAAAACAGUGUUGAUCAGGUUCAUCGCGAUCUGGUUCUUAGUUGUUUCUGUUCCAAUUUUCUGGUGGGCUAUUUUCUUUGUCUCUCGGUUGCAUCAUGUCAUCAGAUAAGUUGGACUCGUUUCCUAUUAGAUUUACUGGCAAAAAUUAUUGUGCUUGGGAGUUUCAAUUUAAGUUAUUUGUCAAAGGAAAAGAAUUAUGGGGUCAUAUUGAUGGGAAUAAUCCUGCACCUCGUGAUGCCGAGGCUUUGUCUAAGUGGGAAAUUAAGGAUGCUCAUGUUAUGACCUAGAUCCUUAGCUCGGUUGAACCUCACCUUGUUCUUAAUCUGAGCCCUUAUAAAAUUGCUACUUCUAUGUGGAAUUAUCUCCACACGGUUUACAAUCAAGACAACUCUACUAGGCGUUUUCAAUUGGAGUAUGAGAUGGCUAAUUUCACACAAAAAAGUCUCUCAAUUGAGGAAUAUUUUUCUGGUUUUCAAACUCUUUGGACUGAUUGUUCCGACAUUGUUUAUGCUAAUAUUCCAACUGCAGCUCUCUCUGCUGUCCAUGCAGUGCAUGCAAUCAGCAAGCGAGAUCAAUUCUUGAUGAAGCUACGACCCGACUUUGAAAUUGCACGGUCUAAUAUGAUGAAUUGUAAUCCUGUACCAUCUCUGGAUGCCUGCUUGAGAGAACUUUUACUUGAGGAGCAGCGUAUCGUAAGUCAAACUACCAUGGAACAUCAGGCUAAUGUUAGUGCACUUGUUUCUGUAGCUUAUGCAGCAUAGGGGCGGAAUAAGGGUUGAGAUAUGCAUGUUGUCCAGUGCUUUCGUUGUAAAGAUUUUGGUCACAUUGCUCGCGAUUGUCCCAAGAAGUUCUGUAACUAAUGCAUGAAACAAGGUCAUAUCAUCUCUACUUGUCCCAUUCGGCCUGAAAGGAAGCAGGGUACUGCUUAUCAUGCCUCUAUUGGUGUCUCUAGUUCUACUGCAUUGCUUGCUGCCUCUUCGAUUGUUCCUAUUCCUACUCCUACAGCCUUAUCAAACCCGAACACACUCACUCUUGAAAUGGUACAACAAAUGAUCAUUUCUGCUUUUUCUGCUUUUGGGCUCUCUGGUAAUCAUAUGAUUUCUUCUAAGCCAUAGUAUUUUGACUCUGGAGCUUCUAACCAUAUGACGAAUACUAUUCUUUCUCUUUCCAAUGUCAGAAAUUAUGAUGGAAAUUUGAAAUUUAACACUGCUGAUGGCAGUUCUCUGCCUAUUAGUGUUGUUGGUGAUCUUUCAUAUUCCUUAACUGAUGUUUUUGUGUCUCCUGACCUCUCCACAAAUCUUCUUUCUGUUGGUCAAUUGGUUGAUAAUAAUUGUAAUGUCAAUUUCUCCUGUUCUGGUUGUGUUGUGCAGGAUCAAGUGUCCGAGAAGAUAAUCGCGAAGGGACCUAAGUUGGGACAACUUUUUCCUCUUCGUGUUUCUCCUUCCACUAUUAUUCCUAAUUUUCCUUUACUUUCCUUUGCAUGUAAUGUUGUUGGUUCUGAACAUAAGAUGUGGCAUAGACGUCUUGGCCACCCAAACUCUGAUGUAGUUCGUACUUUGUUUAAUUCUAGAUUAUUGGGAAAUAAAGCAUGUUCUUCUCUUGAUCUUUCUUUCGAUUGUACAUCAUGCAAACUUAGCAAAAGUAAAGUUCUACCUUUUCCUCAUUCCGCAUCUUGUGCCUCACAAUGUUUUGAUAUUAUACAUAGUGAUGUUUGGGGGAUUGCACCUAUUGUUUCUCAUGCACAUUACAAGUACUUUGUUACUUUCAUUGAUGACUUUAGUCGCUUUACUUAGGUUUACUUCCUCCGAGCUAAGGCUGAAGUUUUUUCAGUCUGUAAGUGUUUUCUUGCACUUAUAGAGACUCAAUUCUCUGCCAGCAUCAAGGUCUUACACUCUGAUUCUGACGGAGAAUACAUGUCAGAUGAGUUUUAGGACUUUCUUCAAAGCAAAAGGAUCAUCUCUCAUCGUUCUUGUCCUUCAACACUACAACAAAAACGGUGUUGCUGAGAGGAAAAAUCGCCACCUUCUUGAUAUGGUAAGAACUCUUUUACUUGACACAUCGGUUCCUCUUCGUUUUUGGUGUGAAGCACUUUCUACUGCAGUUCAUUUGAUCAAUUUCUUACCCCCUCCUAUGCUAAAUCAUGUUUCUCCUUUCUCUAAGUUGUUUGGUCAUUCUCCUUUAUAUUAUGAUCUUCGUACAAUUGGUUGUGUUUGUUUUGUGCAUUUAUCUACUCAUGAAUGACAUAAACUUACUGCUCAGUCUGUUAAGUGUGUUUUUCUUGGUUAUGCUAUCCCUCACAAGGGUUAUGUUUGUUAUGAUCCCCAUGGUCGUCGUAUACGAGUUUCCCGAAAUGUAAUUUUCUUUUAAAAUCAAUAUUUCUUUCCAUCUCAUGUUGAGUUGCCAUCUGUAUCUGCAUCUUUUCUGCUUAGUUUUUCUGAAUCCCCAACAAUUGUGGAAAGGUUCAAACCUGGUUUUGUGUAUGAAAGACGUAGUCAACAUGAGUCCAGUUCCACUUUCUCUGUGCCCUCUUCCGAUCUUAACCCGGCGACUGAUCCUGCUUUUGCUUCCACCACUCUUCGUCGGUCUACUCGUCUUUCUCGACCCCUUGAUUGGUAUGGAUUCUUCUCUCCUGUCUCUCUUGUUGUUACUUUAUCCACUAUUUCUAUUCCCUCUUGCUACAAACAGGCCAUGGAACAUGAGUGUUGGCAAAAUGCAAUGCAAGCAGAACUUCAAGCACUUAAUGAGAAUCAUACUUGGGAUAUUGUUCUUUGUCCUCCUACAGUCAAACCUAUUAGGAGUAAAUAGGUUUUCUCUGUAAAACUUCGUUUUGAUGGCUCUUUGGACCGGUACAAAGCUCGCCUCAUAGCUUUGGGUAACAAGCAGGAAUAUGGGGUUGAUUAUGAGGAAACAUUUGCUCUUGUUGUCAAAAUGACCACGGUUGAACCAUCUUAGCUAUUGUCACUUCAUAGUCAUGGCAACUACAUCAGAUGGAUGUGAAGAAUGUUUUUCUUCAUAGUGAUCUCCAGGAAGAGAUUUACACGAAGUUUCCCUCUGGUAUGACUAAUUCUUCUCCUCAUGAUGUUUGUAAGCUAAAACGUUCUUUGUAUGGACUCAAGCAGGCGUCCCGGGCUUGGUUUGAGAAGUUUCGCCGUACAAUUCUUUCCUUUAGUUUUACCCAAAGUCAGUAUGAUUCUUCUUUCUUCUUCUACACGUCUGCAUCGGGUAUAGUCCUGCUCUUGGUUUAUGUGGAUGAUAUUAUCAUUACUGGCACUGAUUGUGGUUUGAUUACUAAGCUUCAGUAGCUGUUACAUACAACUUUCCAUAUGAAAGAUCUUGGACAGCUCACAUACUUCUUAGGAUUGGAAGUUCAUCAUCGGGCUAGUGGUAUUUUUGUGAACCAUCAUAAGUAUAUUCAAGAUCUUAUCACUUUGGCUGGUUUGGAGGACACUUCUUCUAUUGAUACUCUUAUGGAGGUAAAUGUCAAAUACAGGAAAGAUGAAGGGGACCUUCUAGAUGAUCCUACUCUCUAUCGGCGCUUGGUUGGGAGUCUUAUCUACUUGACCACUACUCGACUUGAUAUCUCCUAUGUUGUUCAUCAGGUCAGUCAGUUUAUGACUUCUCCUCGACAUCUCCAUCUUGCUGCAGUUCGACGCAUCAUCCACUAUCUUCGAGGUUCACCUACUCAUGGGUUGUUCUUUUCUACCGGCUCCUCUCUUCAACUUGCUGCCUAUAGUGAUGCUGAUUAGGCUGGGUGUCCAAAUACACAUUGAUCUACUACGGGUUGGUGUAUGUUUUUAGGUGAUGCCUUAAUUUCUUGGAGAUGUAAGAAACAAGAUCGUGUUUCUAAAUCCUCUACUGAGGCCGAGUAUCGUGCCAUGUCUACUGCUUGUUCUGAAAUUGUAUGACUACGUGGUCUUCUUGAGGAGCUUGGGUUUCCUCAUACUACUUCUACACCUCUUCAUGCUAAUAAGACUAGUGCUAUUCAGAUUGCCACCAAUCCCAUGUUUCAUGAACGUACCAAGCACAUUGAGGUUGAUUUUCAUUCUAUUCGAGACACCUUGGAAAGUCGAGUGAUAUCUCUUCCUCACAUCUCUUUUGAUCUCCAAGUGGCUGAUAUCUUCACCAAAGCUUUGACUCGACAGUGACAUCAAUUUCUUGUUGGAAAAUUGUUGCUCGUUGACUUACCAGCAUCAAUUUGAGGGGAGAUGUUAAUGUUACCAUAUACAAAUUAGGAAUCAAAUUAGUUGUACAUAUAGUAAAAGAUUGACAAAUUGGUUUACCAUGUAUUUGUUAAUGUUACCAUAGACAAAUUAGGAAUUUAGACUCCGUGUAUAGGAUAUAUAUCUGUAUAUAGAUGGAUGCGGAGGAGAAUAAAAUGAUUAGAGGUCUCAGAGUUCUCGGUUUCUAUGGAGUUUUUUUUAGUAUUUUGACAUCUCCAUCCCUAGAAAAUACCUUAGUGCACUAAGGUCCUUCACCUCAAACUCCUUAGCUAGGAUCUUCUUCAAAACUUCAAUUUCUACAUGAUCAUUGCCUAUUAAAAUCAUAUCAUCAACAUAAACUAUGAGAACAUUUAUUUUACCCUCAUCAGUAGAUUUGUAAAACAUGGUAUGAUCUGAAUGUCCUUGAAGAUAGCCAUAUCAUUUUACUACUCUUGAGAGUCUUUCGAACCAUGCCCAGGGUGAUUGUUUGAGACCAUAGAAAGCUUUCUUCAAUUGGAAAACUUUAUUGGAGCUUCAUUGUUCAAGUCCUGGUGGUACAUCCAUGUAAACCUCCUCUUCUAAUUCCCCAUUGAGAAAAACAUUUUUUAUGUUCAUUUGCUGAAGAGGCUAAUCAUAGUUUGCAGCAAAAGAAAGAAGAAUUCGGAUUGUGUUUAGUUUUGCCAUCGGUUUAAAAGUCUCCUAGUAAUCUAUCCCAUAAGUCUAAGUAAAUCCUUUAGCAACCAAUCUUGCCUUGUACCGUUCCACCAAGCCAUCAGAUUUGUAUUUUACUAAAAAAUCCCAUUUACAUCCCAUAGUUCUUUUACAUUUCGGUAGGGUAACAAGUUCCCACGUUCCAUUUUUUUCCAAAGCUUUGACUUCCUUCAUAACCGUUGUUUUCCAUCUUGGAUCACUAAAUGCUUCAUGUACAUUUUUUGGAAUUUCUAUGGAAGAAAGGUGAGAGGUAAAAAAAAAAAAAAAAAAAAGAUGAGGAUAAUCUAUAAUAAGAGACAAAAUUAGAUAUGGGAUGUAUGGUACAAGAUCUAACACCUUUCCUAAGUGUUAUCGAGAGAUCUAAGUCACUAGGCGUCUACAGGAAGUGAGGAAUGUGAGGGGGAUGAAGAAUUAUCCAAACCUGAUUCAAGCAUUAUCUCUGGUGUGGCUUCAUGGCAAGGCAUGAGUGUAUCAGGUACUAUACACCUCCUUGAGUAGACUUUGAACUAUGGUGUAGAUUGGGCUGUUGGUGGCAAUGUUUUAUCUCUCCCUACAUUUGACAAUCUGUCAUGUAUUGGAACUAUUGUUGGGUUCGACUGAAUGAAAUGAAUGGAUGGAGAGAUUUGAGUAGACAUCAGACUGGUUGUUGGGAGUAGACUGGUUAUCGGACUGGUUGUUGGGAGUGAACUGGUUGAUGGGAGUGGACUAGUUGUCGGACUGGUUGUUGGAAAUAUAGGAAGCGGAAAAAGAGAUUGUGGAAUUUCCCAUGACAAAGCUUCACUAGAAUUCUCCCCCUGAAGCGAAGUGUAAUAAGGUUGCUGUUCAAAGAAGGUUACAUCUUUAGAGACCUAUGGUUUCCGAUUAAUAGGAUCAAAACAUCUAUAUCCUCUUUUAGUUGUUGCAUAUUGUAAAAAUAAGAAUUUUAUAGCCCUAGGAUCAAGUUUACCACGAUUAUGUGAAUGAACAUGUACAAAAGCAGUGCACUCGAAAAUUUUAAUUGGUAAAUCUUAGCAAAUUCGGGAAUUUGGGAAUGAAGCAAGAAAAACAGCAAUGGGAGUUUUAAAAUUAAGAACUUUUGAGGGCAUCCUAUCAAUCAAAUAUGUUGUUGUAAGAAUGGCGUCCCCUCAAUGUAGUUUUCUAACAUUCAUUGAAAAUAAUGACCGAGCAACUUCUAAGAGGUGUCUAUUCUUUCUUUUGACAACUCUGUUUUGUUAUGGAGUAUCUACACAUGAUUUUUUAUGAAUAAUCCCAUUAGAUGAUAAAAAUUCUCCAAGAACAACAUUUAUGCAUUCACUACCAUUGUCGGUUAUGAGAAUUUUAAUAUACAUUUGAAACUGGUUUUUGAUCAUUAAAUAGAACUUUUUGAAGGUCUGAAAGACUUCAAAUUGUUCUUUAAGGAGGUAAGCCCAACAAAUUCUUGAAUGAUCAUCGAUAAAGUUAAUGAACUAUUUUGUACCAAUUAGAUUUGUUACCCAAGAUGGUUGCCAAAUAUCACUAUGUAUGAGAGUAAAAGGUUUAGAGGACCUAUAAGGUUUAGCAGUAAAUACCGAUCUAGUAUGCUUUGCCAUUUGACACACUUCACAUUGAAAUUUGACAACCUUUUAUUUUUGAAAAGUUUUGGAAACAAGAACCUAAGAUACGGAAAGCAAGGGUGGCCCAAUCUAUAGUACCAUAACAUUAUUUCAUGAUCAAAAGGAAAAGAUAAAACAUUGCUACCAACAACAACGACUUAUCCUUGCACAACUUCACGGUCAUCAAAGCGGUAUAAACCUUCACACUCACAUGCACUGCUAAUCGUCCUCCUCGAAGCUAAGUCCUGAAAAACAACACCAGUAGAAGAAAAUUCAGCUACAUAAUUGAGAUCUCUAGUGAGUUUAAUAAUGGACAAUAAAUUACACGACAAAUUUGGGACAUGUAAGACUUCAUUCAAGAGAAAAAGUCUUUGUCAAGGAGAUGGUUCCUUUUCCAACGAUUGGGGUAUAUGACCCAUCCGUAAUUCGAACUUUCAUGUUGCUAGCAUAAGGUACAUAUGUUGUAAAUGAAGUGGAUGACCCAAUCAUGUGAUUUGUACCUCCAUAAUCAAUGAUCCACAAUUUAUAAGAAUUAGCUAAGGCAAUAAAUGGGUAUUGAGUUCUACCUGAUCAUGCUAGAGAGCAAGAUGGUGAGGGAUCAGCAUUUAGUGAACCUAAGACAAAAGUGGAUGCAAUUUGUGGAUGAAGGGGAUGUUGCAAGACCUCUAACUGCUCCUUGGUGAAUGGUGAAGUGGUUGUUUGGUUGUUAAGGUUCUUGGAUUCACUGUGGUAGCCUUUGGAAUUGUGGACGGGUCUCAGGUUUCUCCCAAUAGGUGGCUUCUCGUGGAUUUUCCAGCAUGUAUCUCUUGUGUGGCCUCGUUUCCAACAAUGGUCACACCAAGGACGAUCACCCUUUUUUCCUAAUCGUUGGUCAUUUGGUUGAAAAGUCUUCCCACCAUGAAUAACUAGGGCAAAAGUCUCAAAUUAGCUGGAUUGUUGUUCUCCCAAUAUCACUUUCCUCCUACUCUCUUCCCGUUGCACCUCAAAGGAGAUCUCCUUUAUAGAUGGUCGUGGCUCUUUUCCCAAGAUUCGACCUCAAACCUCAUCAAGCUCCUUAUUGAGUCUUGCUAAAAAAUCAAAUGCCCUUUCUUUUUUGAGAAUCUUCUAAUAAUAGGCAUUGUCUUCAGCACACUUCCACUCCAUAUUAGAGAAUAAAUCAAGUUCUUGCCAUGCAUUUUGAAGGAUAUUAUAGUAUUGUGUAACACUAUAACUACCUUGUUUAAUAUAUUUCAACUUAGUCUUAAUUUCAAACAUUUGAGCAGCAUUACCUAGAUUCGAAUAAGUCUCUUGGACUGCAUCCCAUAGUCCUUGGCGGUACGAAGAAAGAGGUAGGUCUGCCCAAUAGCUGCCUCCAUGGAGUUGAUUAACCAAGCCAUUACCAUGGAGUUCUCAGAAUCCCAGGUUUGGUACUCAGAAUUUUCUGGCUUGGGUGCUUUGUUGGUGCCUAUGAGAUAGCCCAACUUUCCUUUUCUUCUUAUGAACAACUUCAUCGAUUGUGACUGAAGAAAAUUAUGUCCAUUUAAUUUAUGGAUCAUAAUUUGCAGGGUGGGGUUCUCUGUAUUAUCUGGAUUGUUGCUUGAACUUGUAGCUGUGAAGUCCCAGGUGAGGCAUCAGAGUCCUCCCUGUGAAUUGCGCCAGUCAUAACAGUCUACACUAUCCUUUUACUCUCCUUUUUUUUUCUCUAGCUUUGAUACCAUAAAACCAUGAAAGGUUUUUUUGGAUAAACUUUUAUUUUAUUGCUUUGUCUUUAAGAACAUAGGCUACAUCCGUUUAAAUAACUAGUAGAUAGAUAAUUCCUAGGCUAAAAAUAAGGAAACUAAAAAACAAAUCUGAUUCUAAUCCUAAUUUGAAUAAAACUUUGACUACGUACAAAAAAACUAGAAUUCAAAUAAUUCCUUAAAUCAAGGAACCUAUUCAUUCUAAAAUUCCUCAAAUCAAGGAACCUAUCCAUUCUAAAAUUUGAGUCCAAUUUGAACUAGUCUAACCAAACUAACUUUCCAACAAUAUGUCGAUUUGGAAUUGGGGGUUGUUGUGUUAUUUCCAAGGUGGGUAGUUUGGAAUUCAUGGGUCCCUUCGAAAGUUAACUUUUUUGUAUAGGAGACAAUUUUGGGAAAAGUUUUGGCUUUAAAUCAGAUUCAAAAAAGAAGGUAGUUUUUUGUCAAUAGGUGUUUUCUUUGCAAAUAAGAAGAAUCCAUAAAUCACAUCCUCAUUUGUUGUUCUAUGGUUAGGAUUCUUUUAGGGUGACACUAUUCUUUUGUGGACAGAAUGAGGAAAAAGGUUUGGAGAGCAACUCCUUUAUAUCUAUUUUGGAUGGUUUGAAAGGAAAGAAAUCCUAGGUCGUUUAAGAGUAAGGUGCAUUCAGUUCAGUUUUUUAAGAUGGUUUUUUUAAGAAAUUUGUUUGCUUGGGUAAAGUUGUAUAUUGAGAUUCAUUUUAUGUCUUUACUUGAUUUUAUUGAGUAGUUGGGUUUGAGUUAAGGGAGAGGGUUGUUGGGGUUCUUUUCUUGUUUUUGUGCUAUGACACUUUUUGUAUACGUCUACUUUGGAGUGUCUUUGUGGCAUUUUUAUUUUUUAAUGCAUUUGGUUUUAUUUAUGAAAAAAAAAAAAAAUUAUGGUGGCAAUUCAACCCUUGCGCUGUUCAAGUGGUAAAGUUUGAUAAUUCCAUGUAAGAGCGCACCACAAAUUUGAAAAGAAAAAAACAAAAACAAAAUGGUAGCAAUGCAAUAAGCAGCCUAGCAUCCUCUGAGCCACACCCUUUAGAACAACCUAACAAUUUUGCAUUACAGAACCACCAUAUCAUCUAUUUCACUUGAUUAUUGAUUUGGAUGGGCCUGUUAUUGAUACUUGUAUCACCUAUAACAAAGGUAUAGCCAGACUACGGCAUGUUGGAGUUGACUGAUAAGCAUGAACAUGGUAAUAUUUCUGGGAACAAAGUUCAAGUUUAACUACUUGCAACACUCUUUCAACUUUGUUGUUUCUUUCAUUCAUGGAUUAAUGGAUAUUUGCUAGUUUCUUCAGGAAGCAUAUUUAACUGUUUUAAGUGGUUAUUGGAAUCUUGGACUAUAUUUGGUGUUAAGUCCCAAAAUGUGGACUCUUGAACUUUUUUGAACCCUAUAAAGAUGUUAAAACCAUGGAUCUAUGAAUUUUCAAUAACAGUACGGCAUUCUAUUCAAAAAUCAUAUAGCAAUUGAGAUUCAACACUCAAACCCCAAGUCUAAAUCUAGGCAUCCAAAUGAUUUUGGAAAAUUUACUUUAUGUUAUAAGGCACAACAUGCUCAAGCGUUUCUUGUAGAUAGUUUGAGUUUAUGAUUUCAUUGUGUAACUAUAGGUUGUUAAUUUGAAAAAUGAGGGCUAUGGGCUUGCAACUGAUAUAUGGAGCCUUGGAUGCACUGUGUUAGAGAUAUUGACUCGUCAAUACCCAUAUUACCCCUUGGAAUAUGUACGUAUGACAUUUUGUAGAUAUAUAACAUUAUUUUCUUUAAUGUUUUUUCUUGUUUUGUUCUUCUGUUUGUGCUCUUCAAUUACUUGUUAUUCAAAUUGAUGAUAUGGAAAUUGGUUGAGUUUGGCUUUGACUUUGAAAAUGCUGAUGGUUUUAUAGUAAGGGUGAAGAUCUUGACCCAAAGUCUACCCCUUUUUGAAGGAUUCGACAUAAAAACAAUCUACACUUGUGACAUCUCAAGAAUAAAAACACUGAAAUAAAAAAUAUAUCUAAAAUUAAUUGGAAUGGGUUGAGUCUUAAGAGCUUCUCCGAUCCACACACCUUAUCAUUUGCGGAUUAUUGUUAGAAUGUGUCCCAAAUUCCUAAUUAGUAUUAAUUCCUUUUUAUAAAGAAUAUUGUAUAAAAUAUUUCUUAAGUUGAUAUAUCACUGUAAUAUUAGAUUUUCAUAUAGAAUAAGGAAAGAUGUUCUAAAUUGUAUAGUGGAAUAAUUAUCUUUUAUCUGUGGAUGUAGGCAUGGUUGGCCAAACCACGUUAAAACCUCGUAUGCCAUGUUUGUGAUUGUUUUAUCUUUUUGUUCUUGAUCUAUCAUUGUUGGUAUCAAAACUUGCACUAACACAACAAAUCGGUAUCAAAGGUUCUACUAACAUAACAAUUAUCAACACAUACGUUUAAGUGGAAAGUUGGAUUGUUGGAUUUGGGAUAUAUAAAAAGAGGUUCAAUCUAAAUCCAUUUAUUUUUGGAUAAUUGGCAAUUAUGAAUUAUAUUUUUCAUUUUUAUGGAUUGUUAUUUCAUGCAAAACUGUUAAGUUUUAUUCUUUUUCUCUAUAGUUCCAUUUGUAAUUUCUUCAAUAAACUUUGUUUGGAGAAUGCAAUCCAAUAUCUGUCUUGUCCUGGCUGUCAUGUAUGAAUACCAUGGAUUUAUCAAUAUUUUCUUUUAUGUUAUCAAACACUCUAAUUUACAAGUGCAGGACUAAAUAGGCUCGAAUCAUUGGCAACAACUUUUCUCAGUUGUCAGAUGACAUUUUGCAGUCACUACAGAUUUUUUUUUUAAAAUUUUAAUUUUAAAUUUCUUCUUUCGUAACUUCAGUUUGUCAUAUAAUCUGGGUGAAGGAGCCUCACAUUCCUGAUUGUGUGACCUUCCCUGAUGAAAGACAGUGCAGAUGACACUGGAACUCAUGGUACCUCUUUCUUCCAACUCUAAAAGUACAAAAAGAAAUACAAAAGAUAUCAUAAAAUGCAUACCUUUGCACUUGUACCAUUAUUAGAGAUGAUUAUUUGUUUGUCCAAAGAAACAUAACUUUAUUGAUAAAUUCUAUUAGGAUUAUAGAGAGAUUAGAAGAAGAGAAGUGAAGAAAGAAGAAGAUGGUGGUUUGAGAAUUUCAUCAAAGGGUGUUUUUAUCCUAAAACUAUGUAUUAUUUAGGUGGAUUUAAAGAUCAAUUUGGUGGAUGCAAAUAUAGGUUAUGGAGUUUUUUUACAAAAAAAAUAUCCAUUAAUAAAAAGAUUAAAAUACCCUUGCAAAUCAAUAUGCAUCCACAUUCUUCCUUUCCUUUAUCAAUUUCUUUUCUUCCAAUCUCUCCACAACCUUAACAAAUUAAAAUAAAUUUUUUUACAAAUAAAUGGAUUAAAUUUUUCAAAAUUUGAAAUUUUAAAAAUUUAAAAAUACAUAAUUUUAUUCAAAUCCAAAACUUUUAAUAAAUUAAAAAUAAAAACAAAUUUAAGCUUUUAAAUUAACUUCUGAUUUGACUUUCAAGGUCAACACUCCCACAUCAUUCUUUUCUUUAGACUUUUUUUCCCACUUUUUCAUAUAUUUCUCAUGUCUAAUUAUGACUAAAUUAAUUCUAAAUAUUUUCUAAUUAUUUUACAAAAAAAAAAUUAUAUAAGUAAUAAAAUCUAAAAUUUUUCAUGUAGAACAAACUUCAUAUUAUUGUAUGGAUUUUAUAAAAAUAUAUUGAAACUAACUUUCAACUUAUAUCAAACAACUUUUUAUGAUAAAGAAGAAAAGGAUAAUUCAAAAAUAAUAAAUGGAUUAAUAGGAAUUAUAUUUUGAGGUGGAUAUGUACAUAGCUUUAUUAGAUGUUUGGUGCCCCUAUUUUUAAGUAUUUUGGCCUACAACCCUAAAACCCAAAGUAAUUCUCAUCAAAUUCCCAAAAAAAAAAAAAAAAUGACCCUUAAAGUUGCCUUGCACCUUUCAUUAUUUUCAAUUUUUUUUUUUUUAUAAUCUUUUCAACUCUACAAGCUCUCAUUUUUAACAUGCACUUUUUAAUUAAUUAAUUUUUUCUACUUUAGAACUCACUCAUCUUCCUAAAUACAAAAAUUCUUUAUAUUUACACAACAAUUUAACUUCAACAUCUUUUUUUUAAUAAUUCUUUUUCAUAUAAUAUUCCUUACUAACAAAAACUAAUUAUAAUUAAAUGACUUUAAUUUGAUAUAUAUAAAUAUUAAGAUACAAACUCCUAUAAACUUACACUUUAACCACUUGAGUCCAACAAGUGUUUGAUUUACAAAAUUUAUAGUUCUAAAAGAUGUUAAACUCCUUUAAAAAGUAUCAAAUGGUAAUAAAUAAGAACUAGAGAAAAACCAUUCAAAUAAAGAGAUUUGAUCUAUAAUACAAAGUAAAAUCAAAAAUAGAAAUGUGAAGAAAAAAAUUAUCAUUGACUCUUGACUCUUGCCAAACCAAUCCCACUACCAUCCAAUACUAAAUUGUCUAACAAAUGGGAAUUGAAAGCAUAGAAGAGAAUCAUUGACUAUUGACUCUCUACCAUCCAAUGUUGAAUUGUCUAACAAAUGGAAAUUGAAAGCAUAGAAGAGAAUCAUUGACUCUUGACUCUUGCCAAAUCAAUCCCACUACCAUCUAACAAAUGGGAAUUGAAAGCAUAGAAGAGAAUCAUUGACUCUACUUACCCCAUUAUCUUAAAAGUGUUGCCCCUCCCCUCCUUUCAUGAAGUUUCUUAGAAUUCAAACUUCUUUAUCAUAUAAAGUAUAAAAAAGAAUCAUUCUUAUAGCCAUUAACAUGUGUUUCAAGAAAAAUGAAGUUGUUUUGCCCCCAAGAACUACAGAAAUAAAAUUUUGUUAAGAAUUUUAAAAUAUAAAAAUAAUUUUUUUAAAAUAAGAGUAUUUUAUAUAAUUUUUUUUUCAUAUUUUCUAAAAUUAAAUAUCCAAAUUUUAAUUAUAUGAAAAGAUGGAGACGCUCCAAAAAAGAAAAAUAAUGUCUUGCAAUUAGAUAUCUACUUCAAAAUAAUCUGAAUGCUUCUUAAUCCACUUGUGUGGUUAACAUUCCAUUAAAAUUAUACCAAAUGUAUUUAAAUCUACUUGCAUUUAUUUAUUUAAAAUUAUUCAAAGCAUCUCAAUACAUUAUUCAUUUUAUUUUAUUUUUUGAAAAAAAAAAUUGUAUCACGUUUCUAGAAAAGAAUUAUUAAUAUAUAUUGAUUUUCUUGUAAAUAAUUUUUAUAAAAUUUAAAACUUGUUUUACUUAAACUUUAAAUGGAUUUGUAUGCUCGUGUUUUUCUUUUUCUUUUUUUCUAAUUAAAUGAGUUCAUUUUUAUAAUAUGGGAAUGCCUACUUGAACUCAAUAUUUUAUUUACUUCCUUUUUUUUAACUUUAUUUUAGUAAAUGCAUCCUUGAUCAACAAUUUGAUGAUUUUCUUAAAAUCAAAUAGUGAAGAUAAUAUUUUGAUAAUUAAAAAAGAAUUGACUUGCUACAUCACUCAUAUGAAAUAUUAAUUUAUUUUUUGAAGUAUUUUGGCAUUAUAUUCAAUUUAUCAUAAUAAGAUUGUUUUUUACUCAAUAAUUUAUGUAGAAUAAUAAAUAAAUCUAGGAGUUCUUUAUUAAAAAUCAGUUUUAAUAGAAAAAUAUAAGUUGGAUAUUCAUUUUAAUUAAAAUAAAAUUAUAAUUUGAUUUAAUUAGAAAAUUAAAUUUUUGCUAGUUAAUUUAAUUUUAAUUUGUAAUUCAUGUUAAUAGGGAAAAGAAGAUAGUUUUCAUGUCUUUUUAAUUAAAAAAAAUGAUGAUUUUGGUUGUAAUUUGUGAAUUUAUUUUAAUUUUUAAAAAGAAAAUAGUAUUAUAUUAGUUAAAUCAAUUUUGUUAUGAAAACUUAAUUUUUGGAAUAUAAUGAUAAUUGUUAAUCUAAUCUUAUAGGUGCAAAAUUUAAAAAUCUUGUAAAAAAUAAACAAAAAGAUAAGAAAAUAUGCAAACAAAAUUGUAUGCAUUAAAAAUUUCAUAGGGUACAAUUCUUUGAAGUAAUACUCGUUAAAAAAUAUUAUUUUCCUUUUAUUUGAUCACUUUCAUCAUAAUCCAAUGGAUAAUAUGUUUUCACUUGCAUUUGUUUUUAUACUAAACUUUUAUAUAGGGCUUUAUGUCAUGUGCUCAUAUGGACAACUCUUCAAAGGUGCAAAGUCGCUUGCCUUGGAGGAUAUAUAGAAGCUCUCAAUGCAUACCUUAUAUGCUCAUCUCCACUACCAUAUAUUGGAUAAUAUAUCCAUGCUUUCAAGGCUUAAAGAAUGUUAAGAGUUGAUAUAGUCAAUCAUAGACUCAUCUUUCUACUGUUUGGUAUUUGUGGACUCCAUUAUGCUUAUCGUUGGUUAGAAAAAAUAAUUGUCUUCUCGCUUCAUUUGAUCCCAACUGUCAACAGGCACAGGCUCAAGAUUCAUGUACCAAUCAAAAGCACACAUUUGGAGGGAAUACACAAAUUGUUUGACUAAGAGGUCACCCUCAUGCUAGCAUUGUUGCAUGUUUGGAUGAAUUAGGCAUUGCAUUGCUUUGGAAUUCCCUUUCCAUCAAAUUAUUGAAAAUUUAAAGGUUAAUAACCCAUAAGUAUUUGUAAGUUAUUAAUCCUCAUAGUUUAAGGUUUAAAGUACAUAAAUAUACUUCAUGAUAGUCUGUCAUACUAUGCUUUGAUGGUGUUAGGUAUCAUGUUUUAAAUUACUCAUUUUAAUUGGAAAUCUAUUAAUUUUUCAAUGAAAAUAAUUUUAAUUUGGUCUGAAGUUAUUUGUCAGUUAUAUAUAGAUAUACGUGCAUACACAAAUUUUUUUUUUAAUAUUUAUUAUUUGAAUUUUAUUUUAUUCAUGAUUUCUUUAAAAUAUUAUUUGUUGGAAUUAAUUGCUACGUUGUUAUUCUUCCAAAAAUAAUUUUUUUUGCUUAAAAAAUAAAUUUUAAAUUUCUUCUUACAUUAAAUUCGCUACUUUAAGUUAAUAAAAUCAUUUUCUCAUUUCCUGGUUUACUUUUAUUUAUUUAUUUUAAAUUAUAAUAUUUAUCUAUAAUAAGAUUUGUUUAUAAAAUAUUAAAAAAAAAAAAUCAUCCUCUCAUUGUUUAACUUAUUUUUUAUUUUUACUUUUUUGUAUUUGUAUUUUAAUUUUAGUUUUAUGUUUAUUUUUAAUAUUUAUUUUUCACUUCUCGGUCACAAAUUUUCUUUUUUAUUUACUUUAAUUUAUUAUUAUUAUUUCUUGCUCAUAUCCUCUUUUAUAUAUAUAUAAGAUAAUAAUAAAAUAAGACACCAUGAAUAAAGUGAAGGAAAAAAAUAAAAUGUAAAAUAAAAUCAAAAUCUUGGUGGAGAAGUAAGGUGCAGGAGCCUAAUGUCUAAUGAUGAUGAUGGAUGACCCACCAAACCAGAAGAAAAGCAGAAGGUGAUAAUAAAAAAAAAGAAAAGUAAGAAAAUAAUCAAUAAUGUUGUGCAAUUAAUGAGAUAAAAGUUUCAUCAAAGUAACAAGUCAUGAAACAUUGUCAUAAAGACUUUGUCUUUAUAGAAUUGAAUAAAUAUUAUCAUAGAGAAAAAGUUAAAAUCAAUGGAAAAAUAUUAGUAAUUGAUGAUGGCUUAACUUAAUAACUUGUGUAAAAGCAAUGAGAGUAUAUAUAACAAGAUAAAACAAAUAUGAAAAGAUAAUUUAAAGUUACAUAUUUCUUAAAUAAUCUCACACAUUUGAUUUUGUAAGUGUGGAGCAAUUUAUACAUGAAAUAACAAGGAAGUAUUUCAAUAACCAAACUAAUUGUAGUGAUAGAUAAAUAAUUUUAUUCAAAAUAUUAUUAUGAUUUAAAUGAAUGUGCAAAAAUUAAUUCAUAAAUCAAAAUUUCAAGAGAACAUAUCAUGAUUUAAAGCAUCUUGUUGUCUCAAAACUUCAAUUGAAAUACUACAAAUCCAUUUGAACAUAUAUGUAAAGAUAUAACAUAAUAUAUUGAGAAGAAUAGUUGAACCUAUUGUAGUUUCAAAAUUAUUUUGGAUAAUGAAAUUAUUGAAUUAAUAAAAAUACCAUCUGUGGCAACAUGCAAUAAUAUAUGUAAAUUUUUCUACUAAUGAAAGUAUAACUUCUAAUAAUAGAAAUUUAUAAAAACUAUCAAACACUUACUUAUUUGUAUAACUUGAUGUACAAAAAUAUUAAUCUUUUGAUAAUAUGUAAAUAUUAUCUAUAUGCUUGUUAUCAUAACUUCAGGCUAUAAUAUAAUUCAUUAUAACUUUUGGUUAUGUAGAUUUCAUAAAGUUGUACAAAAUUGUUAAUUAACAAUUUUGUUCUCUAUAGCUUCUAGCUAUAAGAAAGUACAUAUUAACAACUUUGGCAUAACCUUUGAUUAGCGCAAAGAAUAUUAAUUUUCUUAAUUUCAUAACUUCAGGUUAUGAAUAAUAAUAUUUAUAUAACUUCGGUUAUAUAACAAAAUUAAAAAAUUAUGUAUCUUCUAGGUACAUAGUUGUUCAUUUCAACUUCCUUUUCUGUUAUUGAUGUUUGGUAAAGGUCAGCCAAAUGUUUGGGCGUACGAUAGGUACGCGACCAAUGCCCCUUCAUACCACAUCUAUAACACUUAUUCUCAUGGUUCUUAAGAGGUUUGUCUUGUAAACACUUCCCAUUUUCUUGUUUUACCUCAAUAUUAUUCCACUUCUGGUGGUGCAAUGAGGCUUUCCUUUUCUGAGAAUUUGGUAAAUUAUUUAUAUAAGAACCAUGGUAUUGGGGAUUUAUUCCAUGACCAUGACCACGUCCUCGUCAUCAUCCACUAGUUUGGGAUAAUAUUGCAUUCACUUCAGGGAAUGAUUCAGAUCUAGUUGGAUGAGACUGGUGAUUUUUCAUCAAAAACUCAUUUUUUGUUAAACCUUCAUGGAAAUGAUGACGAAGGAAAAUUAGUAUUUUGCGCGAUCCUGUAGGGAUGCUUGAUUUCCUUCUUUGAUCAUAGCUCCAAGAUUCAUUGACAAUUUUGUUUUGAAUAACUUUAGUUAUACAAGAAAAUUAUAAAUUGUAUGCAUAACUUCUGGCUAUGAAACAUUUGUUAAUAAAAAUUGUUUUCCAUAAUUCAUGUUGUGAAAAAUAAGUGAGUACGAAAUAAAAAUAAAAAAAACCAAUAUUUUUCAUAACUUUGAGUUAUGAUUAUUUUGUCAAAACAAGAAAAUAUUCAAAUUUGUACAUAGAUUCAGGCUAUAAACUAUUUAUGUAUAACUUCUAGUUACACAAUAUAAUUAAAAGAAAUUAAAGAAAUUAAAAGUUAAUAUUUUUCAUAGCUUCAGACCAUGAUUAUUUUGUCAAAACAAGAAAAUAUUGAAAUUUGUACAUAGCUUCAGGCUAUGAACUAUUCAUUGGGUAGAUUUGUGCAUAACUUUGGCUAUGAACUUUCAUUAUGUAGAUUUGUACAUAACUUUAGGUUAUGAACAUUUAUUUAUUUCAUAGCUUCUAGCUAUAAUAUUGUUUGGUAUAACUUCCAGUUAUAUCGUAUAAUUAAAAAUAAAUAAUUAGGGAUCAUAUACAUAACUUCUGGUCAUGUAUUUGUAAUUUUAUAAUUUUUCCCCAUAACUUCUGGUUAUAGGGAUUAUACAUAUUUUUCAUAACUUCUGGUUAUGAAUUUAUCCCAUAACUUCUGGUUAUAGGAAUUACACAUAUUUUUCAUAACUUAUGAUUAUGAAUUUAUCCCAUAAUUUAUAAUUUACCCCAUAACUUCUGGUUAUAGGAAUUACACAUAUUUUUCAUAACUUAUGAUUAUGAAUUUAUCCCAUAAUUUAUAAUUUACCCCAUAACUUCUGGUUAUAGGGAUUAUACAUAUUUUUCAUAACUUUUGGUUAUGAAUUUAUCCCAUAACUUCUAGUUAUAGAGAUUAUACAUAUUUAUGUAUUCAAAUAAAAUAAAUAAAUAAAAAGAUAUCAAAGGGUAAUAAAAUAGAAAAUCAUUAUAUAAGUUUAUCAUAUACCUUUUUGUAAGAAAUAAGAGAGAAGAUUCUUUUUAUUUCUCUGAAAAUGAGAACGUCUUUUUAUUUAUCUUAAUAGAGAAAAAUAUUUUUAUUUCUUUUGUAGAGACUUGUCGUGCUAAUAAUGUGUUGUAAGAUUAUAAAGUGAAAGGAGAAAAAAACAAGAAGGAGAAGAAAACAAGAAAAAAAAAUUAGAACGUAGGAAGAUAAUAGAAUAUGAUAUUCAUUAGAGGUAUACAUUAAUAUGGAUGAUCAUCCACAAGUUCCCAUAAUCCGAUAAAUUCUCAUAUUUUAUAACAAUUUUGUUUUUUUUAAAAAAAUUAAAAUUGAAGACUCGUCAACAUUUUUCUUUUUUGGUUUUUUUAAAAUUAAUAUUGAUGACUCCGUCAACGUUUUUCCUUUUUGUUUUUUUUUUUAAUUAAUAUUAGAGACUCCGUCAGCAUAUUUUUAUUCUUUUUUAAAUUAAUAUUAAAGACUUCGUCAGUAUUUUUAUUUUUUCAUUUACUUAAAAUUAAUAUUGAACUGAGAGCGACUCGCAUUUUUGUUUUUUGUUAUCUUUAAAUUAAUAUUGAACGACCGGAACCGGAGAGAGACUCCGUGUCAACAUUUCUCUUUUUUUGUUUUUUCUUAAAUUAAUGUUAAAUGACUUGAGAGAGACUCCUUCAGCAUUUUUCUUUUUAUGUACUUUAAUUCAAUAUUGAAUGACUCGAGAGACACAGGGCUGCUCAACUUUUUAUAUUAUAAAUAAGCUAGGUUUCCUCACUAUCUUCAACAGAAAUCAAGCCUCUAAACUGUCUUGUAGUUUUGAGAUAGCAACCCACAAUGGCUUCCACAAGCUCCUUUACACCCUCUUCUUCUUCUACUCCUUCCAUCCCUCGACCAAUUACUUAUGAUGUUUUCUUGAGUUUUAAAGGCGAAGACACCCGCCUUAAAUUCACUGACCACCUCUACAGUGCUUUGAGUAGGAGAGGGAUUCGCACCUUCAGAGACGAUAAACUGAAGAGAGGAGAAGCGAUUGCUCCAGAACUCUUGCAAGCCAUUGAAGAAUCAAGGUCUUCCGUAAUUGUUUUCUCUGAAAACUAUGCUCAUUCGACAUGGUGUUUGGAUGAGUUGGUAAAGAUCAUGGAGUGCAAGAAAGAUCUGGGACAUACCGUUUUCCCAAUUUUCUAUCAUGUGGAUCCAUCCCAUGUAGGACAGCAAACAGGAAGUUUUGGAGAGGCCUUUGCCGGUUAUGAAGAAAACUGGAAGGACAAGAUACCAAGGUGGAGGACGGCCUUGACGGAAGCAGCCGAUCUUUCUGGAUGGCACCUACUAGAUGGGUAACUAUAAUUUCCUUUCAACUAUUUGUAAGUACAGGAAUGAGUAGUUUUGCAUUUAUAGAGUGAUGAUGUUGAUUGAAAUAUUUAUAAAAAUAUUUUUUGUAUUUGGAGGUCUACUAGUUAAUUUCUGAAAACCCAGUAUGUCUAUUCAAAGCAUGCUUUUAGUUGAAUUUUUUUCAAGUAUAAAUGUGCUGGAUAUUCUUUUAUAUUUUAUAGGAAAUGUUUUUGGUACGAUUGUUUUUUAGAAAAUCAGUUAUCUUCUCCAUAAAUUGAUUUUUCUAACUUUUUUUUUUACAUAAUUUUAAAAUUUGCUAACUUUAUUUUUAUUCAAAAACAUUUUUUAGAUUAAAGGUACAUACUCUUAAAGUACUUUUAACAAUAAUUUUAGUUAAAGUGCUUUUAAUAGGAGUUUUUUUUAAAAAAAUAUAUAUAUUUUUAACAAAAUCAUCUAUUAUGUAUUUGUCUAAGAAUUAUUGUCUAAUUCUAAGUUUUAUCAAACUUGUUUUUUUCAAAGACACUUUUUAUACUCCAAACAAAGUCUAAUUUUACUUGAGGUUGUUAACAUAUUAGAACAAUGUGCAUAUACUUGUGUGCUCAAAAUAAAUAAAUAAAAAUUAAAAUAAACUAUUGCUUCUUAGGGUUUUAUUUAUGAGUUGGGUUUUAUUGGAUUAUAUCAUUUGCACAGCCAACUAUGUGUCAAUGAAUAAAGAGAAAAUAGGAAAUUGGAGUACUGAUUUGACCAUAGAAGCUAUCAAUUUAUAUGGAUGACAUCUAUAUUAAUUUAAUGGGCAUGCAAUUUACGUUUCUUUCCCUUUUCAUUUAUUAGUGGGUUUUAUUUACAAAUUUAUUUAUUUAUUUAUUUAUUAUUAUUAUUAUUAUUAUUAUUAUUAUUAUUUAUUACUAAUGUUAUUGUUUUUGGUUCAUGUUAAUAGUAGUUGUAAUGACGUUAGUAUAAAAAGAAUAGUAGAAUAAUAAUUAUAUUGAAUCAGAAUUCAUAAUAAAUGGUAGAAUGAACUUAUUAAAACCCAAUUAAUAAGUUUUACUAUUUUAGAUCAAUUUAUGAGGAUCUAUAUCUAAAAUAAUUUAAUGAAAUUUUAUUACUAAUUUUUCAAUUUUCAAGAUUCAAUCCACAUUAAUGUUAUAAAAAUUAAUCAAUUUAUUUGAAAUUUUAUUUGAAUAAUUAUAUAGCAAGUAACAAUAAAGUUAAUGAUUAUUACUAUUUAUUAACACGCUUCAAAAUUUUCAAUUAACCAAUCUCUUGCAUAUCAAUAGAACAACUUAAUCAAAUUCUAAAAAUAAUUUGAUUAAUUAUGUAACAAGUAACAAUAACAAAAUUAUUUUACCAAUUUUAUUUGAAAACAAGUUGACCAAAUAGUUUGAUUAAUUAUGUGACAACUACUAAUAACAAAAUUAUGUAACGUGAAUUGUUUAGUAGGAAUUCAACUUCCCUAAGAGUUUGUGUGUGUACAUAUAUGGGCAAUAAAGAACAAUGGUUAGGCACUUAAUUUUCUUACAGAUGAUGAUGAAGAAAUCAACUCAAAGUAAAAAUUAAUGAAUAACUUGUUUGUAAGCCUUUAAUUUUUAAUUUUUAUUAUGCAAAUGAAUAACAAGGAGAUGAUGGUGUAGGAUAGAUAAGUUUUGAAGCUUGAGGAAUUGAAAAUGGAGUCUUUAAACUAAAAACUUCUUAUAUUAAGAGGUUGAGUAGUAUAUUUACAACGAGGCUUCAGGUAUAACAAGAUAUAAAACGAAUGUCAAAGAAUAAAAUAUUUGCUCUUGCAAGGUUUCUAAUUGUCAUGGGCUGUUAAAGAGUUUUUGAAAUGUGCAUGAAUGAUAAAGUAAUAUCUCAAUUCAUAAUCAUUGUCUUGGGCUAUGCCAGACAAGCAGCACAAGUAACCAAAUUCAAAAUUCAUGUUUUUUUUUUUCUCAUUCUCAUGCAUACUUGAUACAAAAAAAAAAUGUCUUAAAAAUGUAAAUGAACUAAUAUCUUUGAUAUAUUCUAUUCUACUUUAAUUUAUUUAUUGAGAUGUCAAACUUAAUGUGUUUUAUUUACCAUUGUGGCUCAUUGCUUAACAUGUUGUACUUUUAUAAUUGGCAGGUAUGAGUCUGAUCAAAUUAAGAAAAUAAUUGAUAGCAUAUUCCAUCAAUUGAAUUGUAAGAGGCUUGAUGUUGGUGCCAAUUUAGUUGGUAUAGAUUCCCGUGUAAAAGAGAUGAUUUUGAGGUUGCAAAUGGAAUCAAGUGAUGUUCGUAUUGUUGGGAUAUAUGGAGUUGGUGGGAUAGGUAAGACAACCAUUGCAAAAGUGAUAUAUGAUAAACUUUCUUGCAAAUUUGAAUGUAUGAGCUUUGUUGAAAAUAUUAGAGAGAAUUCCAAUAAGCAAGGUUUAACUCACUUACAAAAUCAACUUCUUGGUGAUAUCCUAGAGGAAGAGCGAAGUCAAAAUAUAAACAAUGUUGACGUGGGAGCAAGUAUGAUAAGGACCGCUCUCUCAUCUAAAAGAGUUUUUAUUAUUCUUGAUGAUGUUGACCAUCGAAAGCAAUUAGAAGCUCUACUUAGACAUCGUGGAUGGCUUGGAAAAGGAAGCAGAGUCAUCAUAACAACUAGAAAUAGACAUUUGUUAAUUGAACAAGAAGUGGAUGACUCAUAUGAGGUUGAGGGAUUGAAUUCUGAAGAAGCUUGUGAACUUUUCAGUUUGCAUGCCUUUAAACAAAAUCUUCCCAAAUCAGAUUUUAUAAACCUCUCACAUCAUAUGGUGGACUAUUGUCAAGGCCUUCCAUUAGCUUUGGAAGUUCUAGGUUCUCUCUUAUUCAACAUGACAAUACCUCAAUGGGAAAGUCAAUUGCAUAAAUUGGCCAAAGAACCUAUGGCGGAAAUUCAUGAUGUGCUUAAAAGUAGCUAUGGUGGAUUAGAUCGUACAGAAAAAGAUAUUCUCCUUGAUGUUGCAUGUUUUUUUAAAGGUGAAGAAAGGGAUUUUGUGUUAAGAAUGUUAGAUGCUUGUGCAGAAAUUGGAAUACAAAAUCUAAAAAACAAGUGUCUUAUAACUCUCCCAUACAACCAUAUGAUAGGUAUGCAUGAUUUGAUACAACAGAUGUGUUGGAAAAUUGUUCGUGAAAAUUUUCCUAAAGAGCCGAACAAAUGGAGCAGAUUGUGGGAUGCCCAUGAUAUUGAAUGUGCACUUACAACAUUUAAGGUAAGAGCCAAAUGCAUAAAUUCACUUAAGCUCUAGUUAAAGAUAUAAAUUUCAAUAAUAAUAUCAUUCUUGUAUAAGAACUUACAUAUCCAUAUAAGUUGAGUUAGUUUGUAUUUAUGUUUGCCUUAUCCUUUUUAUUUUUCAGGGAAUAAAAAAAGUUGAAACAAUAUCCUUGGACUUGUCUAAGUUAAAAAGAGUAAGCUUCGAUUCAAAUGUUUUCACAAAGAUGACUAGUCUUCGAUUACUCAAAGUUCAUUCAGGUGUUGAUUGUUAUGAAGAUAUGGAGGAGAAGCAUUAUGAUGUAGUAAAGAAAAAUGCUUCUAAAAUGCGACUUGGCCCGGAUUUUGAAUUUCCUUCUUAUCAUUUAAGGUAUUUUUGUUGGCAUGGGUAUCCUUUACGAUAUUUACCAUCAAAAUUUGAUGGAAGGAAGCUUGUUGAACUUCACUUGAACUGGAGCAACAUAAAACAGUUGUGGCAAGAGAAUAAGGUAUUAUUAUCAUUUAAUAAUGACUUCUUUUUCUUUGUAUUGAUUUUGAAAUUUAUGAUAGUUAUGUCUUUAUUGACACUAAUUUUCUUUUUGUACAGUAUCUUGAAGGGUUAAGGGUCAUUGAUCUAAGUUACUCAAGGGAGCUCAUUCAAAUGUUAGAAUUCUCAAGCAUGCCAAAUUUGGAGAGACUAAUUCUUCAAGGUUGUUUAAGCUUGAUCGAUAUUCACCCAUCUGUUGGAAAUAUGAAGAAGCUUACUACCUUAAGUUUGAGAGGGUGUGAUAACCUUAAGGAUCUGCCAGAUAGCAUUGGAGACUUGGAAUCUCUUGAGAUUCUUGAUCUCACAGAUUGCUCAAGGUUUGAGAAAUUUCCGGAGAAGGGAGGGAACAUGAAAAGCUUAAAGGAGCUUUUUUUAAGGAAUACUGCUAUUAAGGAUCUGCCUAAUAGCAUUGGAAACUUGGAAUCUCUUAAGAUUCUUUAUCUCACAGAUUGCUCAAAGUUUGAUAAAUUUCCGGAGAAAGGAGGGAAUAUGAAAAGUUUAAAGGAGCUUUCUUUAAUUAAUACUGCUAUUAAGGAUCUGCCUGAUAGCAUUGGAGACUUGGAAUCUCUUGAGACUCUUGAUCUCUCUGAUUGCUCAAAGUUUGAGAAAUUUCCGGAGAAGGGAGGGAACAUGAAAAGUUUAAAGGAGCUUUUUUUAAUUAAAACUGCUAUUAAGGAUCUGCCUAAUAGCAUUGGAGACUUGGGAUCUCUUGAGGUUCUUGAUCUCUCUUAUUACUCAAGGUUUGAGAAAUUUCCGGAGAAGGGAGGGAACAUGAAAAGUUUAGAGGUGCUUAUUUUAAAGAAUUCUGCUAUUAAGGAUCUGCCUGAUAGCAUUGGAGACUUGGAAUCUCUUGAGACUCUUGAUCUCUCUGAUUGCUCAAGGUUUGAGAAAUUUCCGGAGAAGGGAGGGAAUAUGAAAAGUUUAGAGAAUCUUUUUUUAAUUAAUACUGCUAUUAAGGAUCUGCCUGAUAGCAUUGGAGACUUGGAAUCUCUUGAGAUUCUUGAUCUCUCUGAUUGCUCAAAGUUUGAGAAAUUUCCGGAGAUGAAGAGAGGCAUGAAACAUCUGUACAAACUUAAUCUAAGACGUACUACAAUUGAAGAGUUGACCUCCUCAAUAGAUAAUCUCAGUGGGCUUCGGAACUUAAUUAUAGCAGAGUGCAAAAGCUUGAGGAGUCUUCCCGACAACAUUUCUAGGUUGAAAUUUCUUGAAACACUCAUCCUUAGUGGCUGCUCAGACCUGUGGGAAGGAUUAAUAAGCAAUCAACUUUGCAACCUGGGAAAACUUAAUAUCAGUCAAUGCAAAAUGGCUGGACAGAUUCUGGAGCUUCCUUCAAGUCUAGAAGAAAUAGACGCACACGAUUGCAGAAGCAAGGAAGAUUUAUCAAGUCUGCUCUGGAUUUGUCACCUCAACUGGUUGAAAUCCACGACAGAGGUAUGAUUUUUUUUGUUUUUUUUUUUGAAAUUAUGCCAAUUAAGCUUUUUUUUUUUUUUUUAAUUACAUGUAGAGUCAAUAUUUACAUAAUAAUUUGUGCAGGAGUUGAAAUGCUGGAAACUCAGAGCUAUUAUUCCAGAAAAUAGUGGAAAUCCAGAGUGGAUAAGGUAUCAGAACUUGGGAACUGAAGUAACAACGGAGCUUCCAACGAAUUGGUAUGAAGAUCCUGACUUCCUAGGAUUUGUUGUAUCAUGUGUUUGUCGGUCUAUUCCUACAUCUGACGGCCACAGUUAUUUUCUCGGUUGUGCAUUAAAGUUACAUGGUAAUGGAUUUGAAUUCAAAGAUAAAUGCUUGUUUGACUGCCAGUGCAAGUGCCAUGGUAUUAAUGAUUUGGUAGAUCAAGUAUGGGUUUGGUGGUAUCCUAAGAUUGCUAUUCCGAAAGAGCAUCACCAUAAAUACACACAUAUUAAUGCUUCAUUUAGGGGUAAGUGGACAGAGAUAAAAAAAUGCGGCAUCAAUCUUAUAUUUGCGGGAGAUCAACAAAAUCAUAUGCCCAUGUUGGAGCAUCCUCAGAAUUCUGGUGACGAUGGAUCAGCAUUACAAGAUACCGAUGGUAAUGUUCAUGGGGCUAAUCAAGAUGAUGAACACUACAAUAUUCCCAUGUUGUUAGAUCUUCCUGGGAAUUUUGGUGACAUUGGAUCAGUAAUACUUGAAGGCACUGAUGGAAACCGUAAGAGAAGACGUGAUGAUUCCUUACCCGAUGUAGUGGAGGAGCCACAUUAUAAAAGAUUGGGAGCACCCAACACCCACCUCUCGCUUUGAACUCCAUCAGUAAGUGCAUUAUCAACCCUUUUCCAUGUAUUCUAACUUCUCUCCUUUUUAAAUUAUUUUUAAAGUUAAUAAACUAUUUUUGUAUAUUUCUUUAAACUCAUUUCACUUAUUUUUCUCCAUUAUAUAAAAAUUUAAUAAUUUAAAAAUGUAUACAUCUCUAAUCAAUUUUAAAUAUAUUUUAUUUUCUUUCAUAUUUUCUAUAGAAAAACCAAGUAUAAAAAAUAAUUUUUCUUAGUGUUUUUUUAUUUCCUAAGUACUCUCUAAGAUUCAAACAUAGUUUAUAGUGAUUGAUAUCAUAACUAUGCAUGUACCACAUUUUAUAGAAUUUCUUCAUUUUCAAAAAAUAUGAAAAAUAACUUCAACUAACUUUGAAAGUCAUCAUUAGUUUAAAAACAUGUAUAGUUUUUAGUUUUAUUUUUUAUUUUUUGUACAUAUAUAGCAUAGAUAUGGUAGAGUGAAUUGCUUUUCUUUUUUUUUUCAUUAUUUAUUUAUUUAAUUAGUUAAAUAAAAACCUCUACAAAGUGAUUAUGAAGCUCUAGGGAUUCUUCAUUACCUUAUUAGACAUAACAUUAAUUAAUUAUUUGUUUAAUUAAUUUUUUUAUACUUGUUUUUAAGAUAAAAUUUGAAUAAGUUAUCAAAAUUAGUUACAGAAGAUCAUGUACACAAAUUAGAAGUUAAAUUUGAAUGUAUUAUGAGGUAGAUAUAUGUAAAAACUUAGAGUGUGUUUGGUAGUAAUUCUAGAAAAUGUUUUUAGUAUUUUUAACACUUGAAUGAUAAAAUUUUUCAAGCGUUAAAAAAGUUAGAAGUGCUUUCUAAAAUCACUGCCAAAUAGGAUCUAACGUACUCUUAAUAUUUUUAAUAUUUGAAAAUUUUUAUCAUUCAAGUGUUAGAAAUAUUAUAAAUGCUUUUUAGAAUCACUCUCAAACACACUCUUACUUGAUGGCAAUAAAUAAUGAAACUCCCAUAUAUUGAUUUUAAUAGUUUUAAGAGUCAAAUUGUUUAUAGUUUUUGUAUUUAAGAAUUAAAUUUCUUUAAGUAUGCUAAAACAUUUUUAAACAUGCAUACUUAUUGUCUAUUUCUUGAGAUGGAAGUCUUGGAUUAAUCUUAUAUUUACUUAUGUGAAAUUUGUGAUAUGCUCGUGAAGUUUACUUAACAAAUGAUCAUACUAAUCUUAAGUGAAAUUUGUGAUAGUACCGAUCAGAACGAAAUCACAUGUGGUAGCUGCAGGUGGACUUCAUGUUUUUUCCUAACAACUUAUUGGUAAGUCAUUUUGUUCAUUUAUCCUUUUAGUACGUGUAGAAAAUUGAUUAAAGCCUCUUCAAUUUCUUUACUAUUUUCUCUUUCCCUUGAUCCCUGUUUUGUGCGAUUAUGUUUGGUUUUUGGAAAAUUUGAAGGAAAAUAUAAGGGAAAGAAAAUAGAGAAAAAAAAUUAAAAGGAAAUAAAAAGUGAAAAAGAAUAAAAACAAGAUUUAAAGUCAAUCAAUUAUUUUCAUAUGUUUCUUCAAUCUUAUUUCAAUUAUUUUGCUUCAUUAUAUAAAAAUUAAAUAAUUUUAAAAUGUAUAUAGUUCUAACUAAUUUUAAUUAUAUUUAAUUUUUCUAUAUUUUUUACAAUGAAACCAAACAUUUAUCAUUUUUCUUGACUUUUUUUAUUGUUUCCUUGGUACUCACUAGGAGUCAAACAUAAGUUUAAACCCACUAGAGUGGUCCAAUUGGUGAAGGCGAAUAUUGAGAAGUGUGGUCCCACUAAGUGACACAUGGUCCUGAGUUUGAAUCGUGCCACUAAUGAUACUUUGAAUUUAUCUAGUGCUAGUUAUUGUGACGCGAUUAACACUUUGAGGUUUGGUUCCCCAUAGAGUCCUAUAGGCUUAGCCAUGGAAGGUUUUUUAAUUAUUAAAAAAUAAAAUAAAACAUAAGUUUAAUGUUUUAGGAGGUAAAAAAAAAAAAAGUGGUAGCGCAAUUGACAAUUAACUAGACUCAUGUGCUUGGUAUAAGGCACUAAGUAUUAUUAUAUUAAAUCCUCCAUCUACCGCAUGAUGGUUAGUUAUAAAUUCCUUACUAUUAUUAUAGGUAAACAAUAAUUUAUAUAUGUUUAAAUUAAUUCUUAAGUUAAUGGGUAAUACCUAUUAAUUAUGUUUUUAGUUCCUGUGAUGAUUAUGUUAUAAUUUGAACAUUUUAGGGGUAUGAUUUUAGCUUCAUUAGCAUGAAGUGUAUCUAAUGAUAUGUGAUUCCCUAUCACUAUGUUUGAUUUCAAGAAAGUAUAAGGAAAGAAAAAUCCUCAUGAAAAUUAUUUUCUCAUGAAAAAAUCCAAGUACGAAGGAACAUGAAAAUGAAUUUUGGAAAUCAGACACAACCUUGUGAAAUAUACUUGUGUUAAUAAUUAUAGUGUGUUUGUUGUACUAUGUUAAUGACAUUGAAAUGUUGUGUUUUAUUCUUUAGCUUUAGGUGGAAACAAGGACAAUGAGGAGAAGUUAAUCUCAAGAUGCAAGUGAGAUUCCAAAUGUUGCUAAGGUGGUCUACUCUUGCAUAUGAUUAGUCUCUUACAAUCAUGACCAUCAAGAAAGAUGGUACAAUUUGUGUAUUGAAAGUGUGAAUUAGGAAUGUUAAAAAAUGAAAACUUGAAUUGAUAUAUGUUUUUGCCCAUAAGAUGUGUGGUUAUGGUCAAUUCUUGUGGGUAUGUAAUUGACCUUGAUGAAGCAUAUGAAGCAUGUCACCCUCUCUGUAUCUUCAAGUUAGUGGUUGGAGCUUCUAUAGAUGGUGGAAGACAAGUGUCACAGAUUUAAGUAUUUUCUUAAGCUCUCAUGUGGCACUUAGACAUUCAAGUUUUAUUGAAGUUGNNNNNNNNNNNNNNNNNNNNNNNNNNNNNNNNNNNNNNNNNNNNNNNNNNNNNNNNNNNNNNNNNNNNNNNNNNNNNNNNNNNNNNNNNNNNNNNNNNNNGUUGUGACAAAGGUUUUUCACAUUUCACACAUUAUAAUCAUCACAUUUUAACUCAAGUUUUUAUUUUUAAAUACUUUUGCAUUAAACUCUUUUUUAAAAGUAUUAAAUUAAUACCAUUUCCCAAUCUUACUCGGCUUGGUUUGUCAACUUCGGUGGUUUAUUACUUUCUAGAGCCAACUUUCAACUUAAUCAAUCCAACGUAAUUGUUAUUGAUUCAUGGUCAAUAAUUCUCUAAUGUUAUGAUUGUUUUUUGAAAAUUUUGAGGAAAAUAAAAUAAAGAGAAAAAGUACAAGGAAAGGAAAUGUGGAGAAACAAAAAAGAAUUAUAUUUAAAAUUAAUAAAUUACUUUUAUUUGUUAUUUCAAACCCAUUUUACACACAAAAUUAUAAUAAUAUUUAAUUUUUUCCCUAUUUUCCAUGAGAUACCAAAUAUAAAACAAAUAUUUUUCUUAACAUUUUUUUUAAUGCUUUUUGGAAACUAAACAUAACUUAAUACUUGUCUUUGUGUUUCAAGGUACCAAUAAUACUUCUUGAUAAAAUCAUAUCUAUUAAUGUGGCAUGUAUACAUGUGUGGGAUAUUCAUGGUUCAAUACUAUCACCAUCUUACAAUUGUGGAUUCUAAUUGAAUUUUAUGAAUUAAUGAUAUGAUCUUUCUUCAAACAAAAUGUUCUUAGUUAAGUUAAAAUGGUUGAAUUAUUUCAAUUGGUCAAACCUCAAUAUUCCAAAUAUUUCUACUUUGAUUAAUCAAGGUCUUUGUGAGUUGACUUUAAUUUGCUUUUAAAUAUCAUCUAUUAAAGUAUUUUAGAUGCUUCUUUGUUUUGUGUAGUAUUGUAAUAGAUUAUGAGAUAAUUGUAGACCAAAUGAUAUACAAAUUAUCUCCUUUAUAGAUGUUUUUUCAUUUGCUUUAAAGCUAAGAUUUUGUAAACUAGCUUUUGUCUUUUCUUAGCUUUAAUUUUUUUACUCUAAAACACCCAAAUAAAGUCAUUUAGUUUUGUAUGUGCUAUUUUCUUUAAAAGAGAAACUAAAACACCCAAUUAGCACCCUUAUGAAUUUAUUUUGUUUAAAAAAUUUAUUUUUUUAAGAGAUUUCAAGUAAAAAUAUUUUAGAGAGGAGUGUUUAAUAAUUCACUAAAAACUAAAUUUUAUUUGUUAAAAAAUAAAAUUUAUAUACAUAAUACAUUUAUAGGGAUGUUAAUUGAUGAAAUUGAAAUUUGAAACUUACGAUGACUUAAUGUAUUUACACUAAACAUGAAGAGUCUCAAUAAAAUUAACUUUAAGUUAAAAUAGUUAACUUAUUCUUAAUCUUAAAUCUUUUUUACCUUAUUUGUCUACAUUUAUUACUUAUUUUUUAUGAUUGUACUUGUAUCUUUAAUACUUUAAAUAUGAAUAUUUAACAAAUAAAUUUAUUAUUUAGGAUUAGUGAAAAUAUAAUUAUUAGUUAAAAUUAAUAAGGAUAAAUAUGUCAAUUUGACAAUUCAGAAUAAAAGUUUUAAGUUUACAGUUUAAGAACCAUUUAACUUAAAAUCAAUUUAAAUUAUUAAGUAAUAAGUAAUAAGUAAUAAGUUUUACCAAAUGUCCACUUAAACAUAGCUUUUAAAUGAAUUAUUUAAUCAAAAGACAAAUAUAAAAAAAUAAAAAUUAAAUAAUAAAAAAUAAAAUAAAAAGGAACACGCUAAACAGGCAUCAUAAAGUCUUUCAUGAUUUCAUUACUUUUUUAUUCACCUUCUUAGAAGACGAUUUUAAUAUUUCCUAAGAAAAUUAUGAAAACACAAAAUUGGUGUUUCUAGAUUUUCUAUUUUUAAAACUCUAUUUUCUGAAAUAUUGAUUUAUGUUUUCUUUACAAAUGAAAACAAUUUAAACAAAAAAGUGAUUUAUAGUUUCCAUUUUUAAAAUUGAUUUUCACUUCUUUUGACUUAAGGCAUUUUCAAGAUAAGAAAAAAAAUAGGAAUAAAAGCUAUUUUUAGAGAAUAAAAAUAAAUGAAAAAUGAAAAACAUUUUCCAACCGAAACCCAUUGUUGAUGUUUUCAUCUCAUUGUGCCUUUUUCUAAUCUCCAUCCCGCACUUUGAUGGGCUAAACUCGAAAAUGGAAAGUUAUAUCUUGGCACAUGCUUUAAUUUACAUUUGUUAAAUUGGUUUUGACAUACAUUUUUCAUAAUAAAUGCAAAACAAUAGCCUGAGUUAUAAACAUGAUUUCCAUGGUUUUUUAGGUCUCUAAUCACAUAAAGUAUUGAUUCCCAAAUUAAUGAUGCUCUAAAUUUAGUGCACAGGGCAUUCAAACUCUCAGUUCCAUCAACAUCCAUUUUCAUUUUCUCACCUGCCAAAACCUUAUUGUACAAAUUUCCAUUGAACCUUCAGAUCCAUCCCAUGUUCCAUUUUCAAUCCUAGCCACAUUGUUACCAUAGGGCAAGUUGCUAGUACCAAAUAUUUAAGACAAGUAUACAUAUAAUCUAUUGGGUCGGUGGCUUGUAUCCAAAGUGAUACCAAACUGUGCUGACAAGGAGCCUUUGUAAGAAUCUGAUACAGCUCCUGCUGUUUCUGAAAGGUUGCUCUUCAUCUCUGAAAUUUUUGAUACCAUGCGCUCUUUGUAUUUCGAAACUGAGUCAACCAAAGCAUAGAGUUCCCAAGCACAUAUCUGAAUUUCAUCCUCAUUUUGCUUGAUUGCUUCCUGCAACUUCAAUUUGGACAUCUUCAUGACAACAUCAAAGUCUAGUCAGAAUCCCUUGAAUUUUUCAAUAAUAUUCACAUUAAUCAAGAACAAUUAUAAAGCCAGGUAGAAAUUUUUAGCUCUGAAAAGGGAAACCAACUUAUGUUAAAAUAAGUUUCUUUCAGGUUUACGAGAUCCACCCUGGCAAUAUUGAUAUCCUUAACUAACUAUUUAAGAGAAGAAAAACAAAAUUAUACCUCCAGAACAUCUGCCACUUCUCUUUCCACAAUAUCUACAUUAUAGGUUUCUAUCUCAACAUCCUCCACCAACUUCUUAGCUUCCAUUGCACAUCUGGAGGUGUAGUUUUGCGUUUCCUUCUUCAAAAAAUUUAAUUGAGCUUCCACCUGACAAAUUGAUCAUUCAUCCAUGGUUAACCUCAUACAACAAUAGCCUAAAAAGAAUUCAUUCUGAUGCCUUGUCAAAAAUCAACCAGAAGAUAAAUAUCCAUGAAUGAAAAACAAUUAGAUUAAACAAUGUGUAACCCAAUAAUUUAUGUUGCAAAAUCAAGUUAAACAUCAGAUCCAUCAGAAACAACGAGAUGCAUGAUACUAUUCAAUAGCUUAUUAAUAAAAUCACAUUAUUAGGAAGACACUACUCAAUAGCUCGACACUAAUAAUGGAGUUCUUUAAUAAUGGAAUAACCUUACAUGGCAUAGUUAUGCAAGCAUUGUUUAAGCUAAUGUCAAAUAUAGUCAAAGCCUUGACAAUAAUUUCCAAUCAGCAAGUUGGAAAAUUACUUGCUAAAAAAUAUACUUGGAAAAGGAAUCAAAUGUAGUCAAUCCUUUGUAGGGACUAAUUAUCAUCCAAAAAUAAUUUUUCUUAAGUGUUUUAUAAGCCAUCAAAGCUACUUUGAAAAUUUGGGGCCUGACAACCUAUGUGCAAUAACAAUUGACGUCUCCAACAGAUUAUUAUUAUUUUUUUUAAUCCAAAACAAAUCAUUCAUUGAUAUGAAUUUAAUUACAAACCAAGGAUGAGAAACCCUUUCAAAAUAUAAAGGAUGAUUAAAAAUUGAGGAAAAAUCUAACAAAAGUAGCAAGAUAGCUAUACUAAUCAAGGAUGAUACAAGAACUUGUACAAAAUAUAGCGACAAUGUACACUUGAAGGGGGUAAAACAUACCUUACAAAAGAGUCCAUUUGCAUGGCUCCACAUUUAGCCAAUCAAUCUGCAACCUGAUUCACUAAAUGAGGGGACCAAUAGAAGGAACAACCCAAGCUACUAGCUAGAUCCAGGGUUUUAGGGAGCUACAUGUCAUACAUCCCAAGACAUGUGAUGGGGGAAAGCCUUUCAAAGUAUAUUCAAAAAGGAAAGGAAGGCACAAAUAAACUUUAAGUGGGAUUAGUAUUAGUUAGAAUAAAAUUAGAAUUAGUAUUUAUUGGAAUCAAAUUAGGAAUAGCUAAAUAAUUUAGAGGAGACUUAGAGUCAUAAUAGGUUAUAUUAGAAUCCUAGUAGGCUUUGAAUUUCUUAGAGAAGCCUAUAAAUAAAGCUAAUUGAUGUAAAUCAAAGUAAUGGAUUGAUAAUUAAUAAUAUAACGUUUUCUUGCAUACUUUGCAAUUUUGAAUGGUAAGACUCUUGAUUUUCUUCUAGGUGAGACUCUUAGAAGGCCUUAGUGAGACUCAAAGGUUUCUAGCUCUUCUUCUCCGUAUCUUCUUUCUCAAUGUUUUUUCAUUUUAUUUUUCUUUACCAUAAACUUUAUCCUUUAUUCCUCACCUUAAACGGUUAAACCCUAAAAAAUAAAAACCGUAGCCCACUUAUUUGAUUGUAGGCAACCAUCAUAGGGUUGUCCUACGUCAAUAUGUCCAACAGUUUAAUCAUCCCUUUUAAUCCAAUUUGAAAAUAGCACCUAUUCUUAACUGAAUUAUACUAAAGCAUAUUUGGGUCACUUUUCUAAAGCACAUAUCUGGUUUCCAAAAGUGGACACAAUUCUAGAAUUAUGCAAUUGGAGUAUGUGCAUCUAGGGCAUCCUGAAGAUAUGUGCAUUCUGAAAAUGAACACGUAUUCCUAUUUCUUCUCCCUCUUCUCCCUCUUCCCUAUAUUUAUUAUUCAUCAUAUCUUCACAUCACCUAGGUACCAUAUCAAAACCAUGCAACAAGCUGGCCCUUGAUCAGCAUCCAUCUGACCCUGAUCAAUGGACUUCAGAAACAAUGGCAUGCACCCAACAUUUAACUUCCAAGUCCUCUAGACCAAUUUGACAUAACUAUCGUAGCACACUUUUUGGGUCACCCUUUGUAUUAGUUCAAAGGAACAUUACAACCUGAGCUGUCCAUUGAUGCCAAAAAGCUGUAAUGUGGGUAAUACAUCCUCUGCUCAUAUACAAUAAUUGUUUUUAGCAAUGGAUACAAAAUGGAUGUCUAUCUAGGGCAUCCAAAAGCUAAGAUUUUAUCUACAACCAGAAGAGUACAACCCCUAAAGUUGAAUGGAUACAAAAUGCCCAUGAUUGUCCCUUAAUAAUAACCCCCAACCCACAACCGGCUCCGAUUUCCCAAAAAGCAACCUUCCCAGGAAGUGUUUCUAGGAGGAAAACAAACUUAUCUCUCAACUUAUCCCCUUCAUCACCCACACAGUUUUAAAAGGUGCAAGGCGCACCUAAGAUGCAAAGUUUCCUAUAGCUUAAGCGCAAGGCGCAACACAAGGUGUGUGUCUAAGUGAAGUGAAAUGUGACCUAGAAUACACAUCAAUUUUGUAAAAUAUGAUUCAAAAUCUAAUCCGAUCAAUAAAAAAUUUAAAAUUCGAAACAUUUAAAAGAAGCAUUCAAUAAAAAAGUAAUGAAAUUAUAUACGUUUCAGUAUAUAAUUAGAAAUUUAAAAAAUACAAGUGUUUACAAAGGAAGAGUAAAGCUGACAAGGCGCACUUUUUCAAUAAGGCACAUAUCUUGGCAAGCAAACACUAUAACUUGGGAGUGGUGGCGCCUUGAGCCUAGGCGCACUUAAAGCACACCUUUUAAAACUAUGAUCACCCAUUAGACAGAUGGUUAGACCAGGCAGCUCUUGCUUUUUUUUUUUUGAUAGGUAGACCAGGCAGCUCUUGCUAUUAAAUUUUGAGUGACAACUGCUUGUGUAACUGACACCAUUUGCCCUUUGUACCAAGUUUUAGAUUGACCAUCGGGUGGUACUAUACUCCUUUCCAAUUAUUUUCCCUCCCAUAUUUCAUUUGAGUCAUUCUGGAAUUUAGCAAUAUUCUAUCCCAAUGGAAUUUCUAGGAACAACAUUUUUCUGUCAAAAUUUGAAUACAUCUAAAUUAUCACCUUUUUGAAUUCUAAUUGUAGUCCAAUCAAUUUAACCGCAGUAAUUGAUUUUCCAAUAAAUUUUCUUAUGUGCAUUCAACUACUAACAAUUCAAGAAAACAUUUUUUUUUUGGAUAGGUAAAUCACAAUUAAAAAAACAAAUUAAACGAAGGGGCAAGCAAGAUUAAAAAACAAUUGUCUUUUAGAUUGCAAAGAAAAUACCAAAGAAGCUUUCGGUUACAACUUUAGUUUUCCUGGAGUGGCAUCCAUGCAAUAUAAUGGCCAUGCAAUUGUAUAUGCUACUGCUGGUAUUUUAGAAAUGGUAUUGCUAACAAAGUCAGACCACUAGGUAAAGAAGACCUGCUUUGAUUUGUUAUAUAGAUAGAUGGAUACAAAGAGAGAGAGAGAGAGAGAGAGAGAGAGAGAGAGCGAGAGAGAGUUUGGCCUUUUCUGAGAGUAGCAAAAAGAGGUUGAGUUAAUUUGUACUUCAGUUAAUUGCAUAUUCAAUAGGGGAUCAUUGGCUCCAACUAUGUGCCCACCCCCUCCAUCUGUAUCCUUAUGUAUGUGUCUGAGAAUUUUAUGGGUCUGUAAUUCUUUCCAAAAUUUUUAUGUGCUGAGGAGUUCUUCUUUCUUGUAACAUGAUCAAUCUUGUUAUUUGUACCAAAUAUAUUCAGGAAUGUCUUUGAGAAUUUUAUGAGUAGAGGAUUCAUCAUCCUCUCCAAAAUUUGUCUUCUGGAGUUAAUCUGUAUCUAACAUCACCAAUACUUUUACCCUUCUUUAAAAUUUUAAGGAAAACAAAGUGAAAAUCUGGCUGCUCCUGUUGACACCCUAAAAGCAUAUAAAAAAGGCAUAGUUUUUUAUUCUUCGUGAGAGGUAUAUAAAUGCAUAGCUGCUGAAUAAGAAAAAUGAGUUCUAAUUCACUUACUUCAUCACUACUAGUUUGAAGUGCAGCAAGACGAUUUCUUUUUGCUUCAAUUUUAGCAGCAUUUUCAACUGAUUGUUCCUGAAGAGAAAUCAACUCUUCCAACUUUAGCAUAGAGCAUUUUAUUUAUGUCAUCAGCAAAGGAGUCAAGUGCAGGCUUAAGCGUUGAUUUGUAAUCAAUUCCCAAAACCUCAGCAGGCAAAGACCCUUUGGCAUUCAAAACAUACUGCAAACCAUUUCCUAACUUUAACCUGGAAACCAUCCAAGAGAAAAUACUUCAAUCACACAAUAGAUUGUAGUUUAAUAGGUUGAAAGAGUUGCAUGAGGUGGCAUGCUAAUUUUUCAAUUCAAAGAUGCUCCUGAAAAUUAAGUAUUUAGUGUUGUCUCUUCAUGGCUAUUAGUUUACUUCAAAAAGUUAAAUAGAACAUGGUCCCAAGGGAAACAAUAGGCUCCUAAGGCAGGGCUCAGGAGGCAAAGGGUUGGGUGGGUAUGGGAAGGUUCCAAGUUGAAAUUCAUAUACCGAGAGAGAGAGAGAGAGGGGAGGCUACCUCAAAAAAAGAGGUUGCUAAGGGCAACUGUAUCACCUAUCUCUUUCUAAAUAAAUUAUUAGAAAACUUGUGAGGAUGGAAGUGUUAAAUGGAGAUUUUUUUUUUUAAAGCCAAAUCGAGAAUGAACAUUAACUAACCUUAAAAGCCUUUUUAUUUUUCUUACUUUGACAAAGCUCCAGAAUGGUUAGCAGUUUGAGAGUAACACUUAGCUCAAAAGGUUAAAGAAGAUGAACAAACAUGAAAUCAUAAACCAAUACAAAAGAUGUAAUGCACCCAAAAGAUAAAUGCACGUAAGGCAAAUUACAACUCAGAAACUACCCAUUGUUGGUGUUGAAUCACAACCCAAGUAAACAAAUGAAGUUUGAGUUGGCUACGUGGAAAUAAUGCAUGUGACUCAAGAAGACAUAAGCCAUUGAAUGAUUCAGCAACUACAUUCACCUGGUCUGAAUUUUUGUCUACUGAAAUUUUAUUUUUUUGUUAGGUAAAUUUUUUUAUCCCUAUUGGGAUUUGAACCUGAAACUUCCACAAACCCCCCCAAACCUUUACCUCUUGAGCCAGGCCUCAAGGGCAUGUUCACCGGAAUAAUUUAAGCAGAGAACAGCAGCUGGAUCCUUCUUAGGAAUCAUCAACUAGUCAUGCUGUAACUACAGAGCCAGAUCCUAUGUUCUCACUGAAGUUAUACUAAAAUGUUGUAUAUGUUAAUGUAUUUGCUAAGAACAGGAAAAUAUUUCAUAUCACCCAUAAAUGACAAAAAAAAUCUUGUAAUCUAAUUCAUGGAGGUAGAUAACCUAAUGUUGAUAAGAAUCACAGUAGACUUCAAUGGAAUAGAGAAAAUUAAUUCCAAGCAACACCAAACCUAAGAAAGAACACGAUUCUACCAUGUUCAUUAAUUAUCAGAAAGCAUACUGAAGAUUACUAGAAAGACUUUAAAGUAUGCAACUUAAGAAAUUAAGAAAAUCCUAGUGGAGUGGAUUAUAGAGGUACCAAAGCCAAACAAAGAGGAUAAGGAAAAGAAAACCUCCUGAGAGCCUGGUUGCAUUCAAUUGAAAGAGCUUCAAGCUCCUUAAACUUGUGCCCAAUUGUCGUGUCAACAUCCCAAGACUUCUCCUCCCAACCAUUCCUUGCAACCUCAGCCUCCGUGAUAUCUCUCUCAACUGCCUGCAACUCCCUCUUCAUCCUCUCUGCAUCUCUUGCAUUAAACGUCUGCAACUCAACCCUCUUCUUCAGCUCUUCAUUCUCCUCGCAAAUUCUAUUAUUCUCUUCAACCUUCACCCCCAACUCCUUCUCCUUCUCAUCCAAAAUCUUCUCCACAGAUGCAAUCCUUCCUGAAAAUUCUGCAAUUAUUGCAUGAAAUUUCUUCACAUCCUCCUCCAACACCCCCCUCUCCUUCUCCACAACCUCCUUAGCCGAAGGCCCCGACCUCAAUUCCUCCAACCUCCCCUCCCUCUCUGCCACCUCCUUCUCCAAUGCCUUCACACCUUUCGCCACUGCGUCCCUCUCCCUUUCCAACUUCCCCAUAAACUCCCUAUCCACCGCCUCCAUCCCAUCAUCAUCCCCGCGAAUAUAAUGCAAGUAACUAUCCAAUGCAUGCACAAAAGUAUUGUCAAAACACUCCAAAUUCGACACAAGAUGGUCAUUAUACAAUGCGAUUUGAACCAACCAAUGCAUUACGCCUAAAAGGGAAGGCCAAGCAUGCGGGGUUCCGGGGGCUUUGAGAGCGGACUUGUUGAGCUUGAUCGGGCAAUUGAGAUGCUUGAGGAGGAUAGGAAGAUCGUCUUCAAGUUUGGUUGUGGGGAAAUCGAGUUGGGAGAUGAGGAAUUUUAAGUUUCGGAAAUGUCUUCGGCGGAGGGGAGAGGGGGUUUGAGGGGGAGAGGAGAGGAAUGGGAGGCGAGAAAGGAGUUGAUGGUGCGGAUGGCGGAGAGUUGGUAGGACCGGUCGGUGAGGGCAUCGCCGGCGGAGGAGCGGUUGAUUCCAAGGGAGGAAGGGCGGCUGCUGGAGAAACUAGGGUCAGAGUUGCGGCUGAAUUGGCGGUGGUGGUCGACGGAGGGAGGUGGUGGCGGCGGCGGCCGGUGGCUUUCAUCCCCGGCUGUGAUGGGCGUCUCUCUCUCUUCUGAGUUCUUGUGAAUUCUGAAUCUCUCUUUCCCGCCUAUGGGCUACUGGGAAAAUGACACUGCUUUUUAAAUUUUAUUUUCGAAAACAUUUUUUUUAAAUGAAUUAUUUUUAAAAAUAUUAAGAUAUUAUUUCGUAUUUUAAUAAUAUAAAAUAUUUUCACCGAAAGGAAAAAACAAAUCAAAUUACCGAAAAAACAUUUUUGAGCUUUUUGUUGACUGAUCAAGGACGGGCGGGCAGCAAAGUAUUGAUGAACUUCAACAGGUUAGAAGGAUGAAAGGUGCUGAUUGUGUAUUAGUUCAAUUCUUCUUUAAAUCUAUUUUCCAUACAUCUUGAUUAACCUCUAAGUAAUUGCAUACUCAGAUUAUGCAGUCAAAAGCAAUUUCAUAUUGAUCCAGCCUGCAUACGUGAGGUUCAGGAGAUCUCUCUUUCAAGUCAGUUCCAACAUAAGCACAUUGUUCAAUAUUAUGGCACAUUCAAGGUAUUUUUCAAAUUUUUCUUGUUGGAUUGGCUUCUUGUUAUGUACCACUCUUGGAAUCAGGGCUACCGUUUGCAAAUUUGCAUUUUUUGUGGCAAUCUUAGAUUUUUUUUUCCCUUUUUUUUGUGUGUAUAUUCAUGAAAUCCUGUCAAUUUCAUACCUGAAUCUUUGGGAGAAUAUAUCGAUAUAUAUAUAUAUAAAAAACCCUACAUAAUGCUGCAUGCAAGACACAAAUUUAGGAACUUGAUCUGGGUCUUGUAGAGUUGUUGCAUGAGUCCUCUGGCAUCUUUGUACCUCAGAGGACUUAACUCGCUGCUAGUGCUGGGUUGGGCCUAAUUUAUAGGGAAGAAACAUUGGUGGAGGCAGUUGAUAAAGCCCAGAGUUGACGGCUGUUAACACUGGUGAAGAGGACGGGAAAAUUUUUAGCUUUGAAGAGUUACCUCAUUCUCUUAACUACAUCUGUGCUCAAGUGGCAGAUUACUAGUCCUAAUAUUCCUCAGAAUGCUCCUGGCUUUAGGAAGAAGACAUGAAUUAUGGCAUCAAUUUGGGCAUACGUCCCUCCUCUGCAGUAAAUCUAGAGUGCCAACUAAAACUUGGGACUGAUAAUUUGUUGUUCUCACUUGGGAACCCCCAUGCAGUAACAUUAGUUAGGUCUUUUCCUCAUAGAAUAACCAUGAAAGUCUUUGUGCUUAUUAGUAUAAUGGCUACUCUAGUGAAGGCCCAAUGUUCAAGAGGACUUAGAAAGGAUCUUAAUGUUAUGGGAUUCAAAAUCCUUAGAAGGCAUGAAUCUUUGGUGGUAUCUGUCUUAAGUUCAAUUAAAAUUCGAUUGAAACUUAUCUGGAAGAUCCAUAGGUGUUUGAGGUUUUGGACCAAAUCAAUUGCAGCUUAGGGAGAAGCUGAGUAACUGCUCAGGGUAGCUUUUGACUUGGUGCACUGAGGAGAGUUCAAUGUUAUUGGGUCUUUUAGGGAAAAGCUAUUUUGUCUAGAAUUCCCAGUAGCGUGAAUGACACUGAUGAGCUAAUCAAAAGUUGUGGCUUAGUUGAUUCAUCUCUUAGAGUGAGGCCUUUCCAUGGUCAAACAAGCAAGAAACCCCAGUUUGAAGAGGUUUGGUAGGUUCUUGAUCUCAACAGAGUGCAACAUCAUUCAAGAAUCUUACCUAGGCUAGUAUUUGAUUAUGGUUCCAUGAUAUGGAGGUUAACUAAUUAGAUGAUUCUCACCCUCUUUUCUAUUGAAAAUAUGUGGUUGCUGCACCCAAAAUUUGGUGAUAUUAUUAUGGAUGUUGCAUGAGAUUCAGGUCUCAGUAUGGGAAUGAUAGAUUUAUUGUGUAGCCUUAAGUCAAUCAAAGCUUUCUUUGAAAUAUUGAAGAAAGAAACUUUUGAUAUUUCUGGCAAGAGGAACGCUGUGAUAAUCACACUUGAAGGAAUGGGUCAUAUGACAGAAGAUCUUUGAUAUCUUAGAAUGAAAAGGAAAAUAAGGUUGGAGGAAUUAUGGGAGGGAAGAGCUAGAGACAAGAGUCUAGGUUGAAAUGGGUCAGGGAGGGUAAUUGCUACUCAAAAUUGUUUCACUGGGUGGAUAAAUUAUGGCAGGUAGAAGAAGCUAGAAAGGAAUGCCUGGGUAUUUGAAGAUAGGAAGAGUUAGUCUACUGAAUUUCAGGAGAAUUACUAUGGAUAUUAGUUACCAAGAAUUUAUCAGAAUUCCCUUCAACAUCAGUUACGUUCCCAAUUGGAAUAGUAGUGAGCUACUUUGACAGUUGGUGUUUUGAAGCUUAAUUUUGCUGAUGGUCCUUGGAAAUUGGGAUUGGAUGGCUAUUGGCAAUCUAAUAUGGGAUCACAGGCAAGUUUAUUCGAGGUUCUCAAAGAAAGCUGGUUUUGGGCUGACUAUUGAAGCAAAAAUUUCUUGCUCUAAUGGUGGAGGUGGAUUAACUAAUAGUUUUAUCUUGGGUGGCUAGUAGUCGGAGAGUGUUGUGCGAGAUACAAUCAUUGGGUGCUGAGGAUCAUGCAAUUUGAUAGUUGUGUUCUCUUUUUCCUGGAAGCCUAGAUCCCUUGAAUUAGAAAGGCUAUUGGUCGGCCAAAAAUGGAUCCUGUUCUUGGUUGGUUUAACUAGGGAUAUCAUGCCCCGCGUUUUGGUGGUUAAUUUCCUUAAGGUUGGGCAGCCAAAGGCUCUCUGGUGUGCGGACUUCUGUAUUUGUCUUUUUAUAAGCCUGUGCAAUUUUUUUGAUGGAUUUGUUUGCUUGUUCCUUUUUACAAAUUCUUUGUAUAUUUUCUUAAUUUCUUCAUAACUAAAAAUAAACAGUACUAAAGCUCUGUUUAGAUUGACUUUUUGGAAGCAAAAAGAUCCUUUUUAAGUCUAAUAAGAUCUUCAAUAUGUGUUUUUGGCUUCACUGAAGUACUUCUAACCUUAAAAGGAGUUCAACACAUACGUAUGGGCAAGCUGUUUUUCAGUUUAUGUGGGAAAUUGUUUUAUGUUUAGUGAAAUCACACCAAUGCCAAGAUUGCCCCUUUAAAAUAAUGGUUUUAGCUUUAGCUUCAGUUCCUCACCAAAGUUAAAAGGCAAAAUAAUAUCCUCAAACAAGACCUAAAUCUGAGGCCACAGCAGCACUAUUCCAAUCUUCAUGAGGUUGACUGAGUACAUGUCUCUGUUAGAGAGUUAAUAGGGAUUCUGAGUCUAUAUUGAGUAACCAAGGUUUUUAGAGUUGUUAUUAUUUUCAAUCAUAUUUUUGGAUGUUAAUCACAAAAUUUUAUUUCAGAGGCUAUAGAAGGAUUGCCCUGACUGGAUGACUCUUAAAGCGGCAUGUUCUGUUUUAGCUGCUUGAUGAGAACUAAACCUUAGACUAAAAUUCAUGAGGGGGUCUCUUGAGCUUCCCCAUCUGUUAUUUUUCAAGUUCACUUUUUCCUCUAAAGAACCUUUUUUUAAUCUCUCAUCUACUUAUCGUAUCAGCUAUUUUAUCAUGGUAUUUGGCCUUAUUAUUGUUUCAAGCUAUGUUCUUGCCUUGUAGGUCUGCUUCUGAAUGCAUGUUUCUAAACAUUCAUGCAUCAUAUGCAUCUUUUAUUUCCCUCGCAGGCUGUCUAAUUGACAGUCUAAAUACUCAGUAGUUACAUUUUUCUGUUCUUUGGGGUGAAUUAGUAUUUUUCAUGUUUUUGUUGUUGUCUGUUCCUUUAUGAUCUGGUUCUGGUACUGCAUCAAGAGGAUUGGAGUUCAUGUCAUAUUUUUUUUCUUGCUUACUCACAAAAUGUCUUGCCAUUCUAGGACAAGACCAAACUUUAUAUCUUUCUUGAGCUUGCAACUGAAGGUUCACUUUUAAAUCUCUAUCAAAAGCAUAAACUGUCAGACUCCCAAGCCUCUAAAUACACAAGGCAGAUUGUGAAAGGUUUGAAAUAUCUACAUGAGCAUAAUGUAGUUCACAGGUGAUUCAAAUGAUCUUACUACUACAUUUUUUGGUUAUAUUGCUUGUGCUUUAUUUGUUUAUUCCUUGCUCUAUCCACAUGCCAUCACUGCUUGAAACAUGUGCUGAUUAUUUCAAUUAUCUGCCUUUGCUACUAAGAGAAUUGCAUAUGCAUAAACUAAAUGGCCUUCUUACUCAGGGAAAAUUAGUUCACUCUGUUGAGAAAGUUCUUCAGUUUUUAUUUUAUUAUUUUAUUUUUGUUUUUAUCUUCUUGAAACCUUCAGUAUUAUUUGGAUUGCACCGGUUAGCCCACUUCAGAAUUCUGUGAUUACAGACUGCUUGGUGAAGUGAAAAGUUCAACACUCCCACCUACCCUCUUCCAAGAAAAGAAAAUUGGAAAAACCAAAAACAAAAAGAAGAGUUAGGAGCAUGGAUGUUAAACAUGGUCAUUAUCUGAUAACUAAGAUGAAACUACCCAAAGCCUUGGUAUAGAUAUAGAUAUCCCCAAUUUUCUGUGUACCUUACAUUGUGUCUUCACAUGUGGGGUUUACGUUGUUUGUUUUGAGAUUAUUGUGUAUCUUAAUAGUUUAAUCCUUUCAUAAAACUCCAUGUCAGUUAUGAUAUGAGGUGUGGUCCAUUUCCAUUUGACUUCAUGCAAUUAGCUGUAUUAUAUAUCACUUUGUAUAUUCUGCCUCAGUGCUUGAUCUUGCUAUAAUAUCAUUUUUUUUCUUUUUUUUUUCUUUUUUUUUUUUAUAAGUUGUAAGUCAAAAUUUUCUUUAAAAGCAACAUAUAAGAAAAAAUACAUAAUAAUGAUUCAAACUCUCUCUAUCUCUCUGAUUCACUUGAUUUGAGUGUCUCUUCAAGAGAGUUUUUGGGUCAUGAUUACAAAAUGGAAACCUGAAAAUUGAAAGAAUCCUAAUGCAAAAGCCAUUUACAAUGCAACAAACUCUCUCUCUCUCUCUCUCUCUCUCUCUCUCUCUCAUGUGAUUGAGAUGCUAAAUGGAAUAACUAGCAAGGCUAGAACCAUGGAGGGAUGUGAUCGUGGGACUCAGAAGUACCACAAGUAGGUCAUAAGGGAAAUUAGGUUUGUUAGAUAGUGUAUAGUUAUUUAGGUUAUUUACUUUUCUUUUUCCUUUUCUUUCCGUAUUGUAUUGUGGGUCCCACUAACAUGUAUAUAUAUACCUAAGUCCAAUGUGUAUUAUUAAUAGUUUUUCAAUAACAAUAAUUAGGGAUUCUCCCUUUUCUCUCUAUUCACAUGGUAUCAGAGCCCAGGGAGAAAAAACCUUAAUUAUUUCCGGUUUAUCCGUGAAUCCAUGUUGGGAAAUCUUUUAGUGAUCGUGUUUCAUUCCGAUCAUCUUUCCCAUUUCCUAAAGCUUUCCGAUCAACCGUAUCGCCGUUAGAAAACCCUCAACGCCGGCGACUUUUCCUACGACAUUUUUCCGGCGAAGUCCUUUUCCGACACCGACCAUACCAUCAGGUGCGCAAGGAGAAGAUUUUCAAGUUUUCUCAAGGCACCGGAGGGAGAUUCUCAACCAUGCGCCGGCCACGCACGUUCCUUCUCCGGCAGCCUAAACCUCACGCGCCGGUGCGUGAGGACGCGUAGAGCACUUUCCGGCCACGCGCUUCCACCUCCAGCCUUGCCUGACGCCAUCUAGCCACCCUCCAUCUGUGCUUGUGCCAUCUGAGCCCUACAAGUGCAUUUUUUGGGGGUUUUUUGUCUCCGUCAGCCCUCUAAACAGCCUUUCCGGCGACCUCCGGUGACUUCCUCUCCACCCCGAGCCUUACACAUGUCUUCGGAAGUGUUCUUCUACACUUCCAGUAGUGCCACAUUUGUUUUUCUUUACUAUUUGGUCUCUCACAACCGCGAAUCCUUGGUUUUUCUUCUUUCAGCCGUAUCAGGGCUCUCUUCAAUCUAAACAUAUUUCAUUCUCCAGAUAAGUAGAUAUGGUUACCAAAAGUUCCACUUUUUUCUCUGUCAUAUUUGGAUCUCCUAUGAUUACUUCGAAGAAAUUGGUUGGCAGUGAAAAUUAUUUGUCCUGGUCUGCCUCUGUGGAGCUUUGGUUUAUGGGUCAAGGUUAUGAGGAUCACCUUGUUACGCAGGAGGCGGAUAUCCCUGAGGUUGACAGGGUAUAAUGGAGGAAGAUAGAUGCACAGUUAUGUAUUGUGUUAUGGCAAUCAGUUGAUCCUAAGAUUCUGCUUCAUCUUCGGGCCUACAAAACAUGCUUUAAAUUUCGGAAUCAGGCGAAAGGGCUAUACAUGAAUGAUAUCCAACGUCUUUAUAAGGUGGCUUCUUCUAUUGUUAAUGUUAGACAACAAGACAUGGAUUUAUCUACUUAUAUUGGCCAGAUUGCCUCUCUUAAGGAGGAAUUCUUGAUUGUGAUGCCUCUUACUAUUGAUGUUGGGGAUCAACGAAUGCAGAUUGACAAGUUCUUCAUGGUUCUUACACUUAUUGGUCUCCGUCCAGAUCUUGAGACCGUCCGCGAUCAGAUUCUUGGCAGUUCCUUCGUUCCAUCCUUGGAUGAUGUGUUUGCUCGCCUCCUCCGUAUCUCCUCCACUCAAACUUUGCCAUCUGAUAACACUUCAGAUUCUUCUGUGUUAGUUUCUCAAACUAACUCUCGAGGAGGACGUAGUGGUAACCAAGGUAGAGGCCAACGUCCUCAUUGCACCUAUUGUAAGAAGCUUGGCCACACUCGUGAUCAGUGUUAUCAAUUACAUGGGCGGCCUCCCCGCACUGCCCACGUGGCCCAAUCAUCUGAUCCUCAACCUCCUCAGCCUCCCAAUUCCUCCACAUCUCAGGGUAUUUCCCUCACUAACAGUGAGUAUGAUGACUAUCUCCGCUAUCAGACCACCAAGUCAGCUUCUGUUGCUUCUGUUGCUCAGACUGGUAAUACUUCUGCUUGUCUUACCCACACAUCUUCUCUUGGACCUUGGAUUCUAGAUUCUGACACUUCUGAUCACAUAUCUGGUAAUAAGGAUUUUUUCUCUUCUAUUACUACUACCUCUGCCUUACUUACAAUUACUUUAGCUAAUGGUUCCCAAACUAUGGCUAAAGGUUUUGGUUUAGCUCAUCCUCUUCCUUCCCUACCUCUCCAUUCUGUCCUUUAUGUCCCUGAGUGUCCUUUUAAUCUUAUUUCCAUUAGCAAAAUAUCUCGCACUCUUAACUGUUCUAUCACUUUCUCUAAUAAAUUUGUAACCUUGCAGGACCGGAGUACGGGGAAGACGAUUAGCAUAGGACGUGAGUCUCAAGGCCUCUAUCACCUCACCUCGCCUUCAACUCAUGCAGUUUGCAUUUCCACUGAUGCUCCCUUCCUCAUCCACAGUCGCCUGGGCCACCCUAGUCUAUCCAAGUUCCAAAAAAUGGUCCCUCGUUUUUCAUUUUUGUCGUCGCUUGCGUGUGAGUCCUGUCAGCUUGGGAAACAUACUCAUGUCUCGUUCCCAAAGUGUUUGAAUAAUCGGGCAAAGUCUCCUUUUGAACUUGUCCACACUGAUGUUUGGGGUCCUUGUCGAACCGCGUCUACUUUAGGAUUUCAGUAUUUUGUCACUUUCAUUGAUGACUAUUCUCGAUAUACUUGAUUAUUUUUAAUGAAAAAUCGAGCUGAGUUAUUCUCUAUUUUCUAGAAAUUUUAUGCUGAAAUCCAAACCCAGUUCAAUAUUUCUAUUCGUGUGUUGCGCAGUGACAAUGCCAGGGAAUAUUUUUCUGCACCAUUUACUUCAUUUAUGUCCCAACAUGGGAUCCUUCAUCAGUCUUCUUGUGCUCAUACUCCUCAACAAAAUGGGAUAGCUAAACGUAAGAAUCGACAUCUUGUUGAGACAACUCGUACUCUCCUUCUCCAUGGUAAUGUUCCUUUUCGUUUUUCGGGGGACGUUGUUCUUACAGCAUGUUAUUUGAUUGAUCAUAUGCCCUCAUCUGUAUUACAUGAUUAGAUUCCUCAUUCCCUUCUUUUCCUUGACCAACCACUUUAUUUUCUUCCUCCUCGUGUUUUUGGUUGUACUUGCUUUGUUCAUAUUCUCACUCCUGGACAGGACAAACUCUCUGCCAAAGCCACAAAAUGCAUUUUCUUAGGAUAUUCCAGACUUCAAAAGGGUUAUCGUUGUUAUUUCUCUGAGACUCAUCGCUACUUUCUCUCCGCUGAUGUCACUUUCUUUGAGGACUCACCGUUCUUCUCCACCUUUGAAACUCUUCUUGUUUCUGAAGUCUUACCUUUUCCCCUAAUCUCCCCACUUGAUGCAGUGCCUUCUCGCCCACUUCAGGUUUAUCAUCGUCGUCAUCGUGUCGCUGUUCCUCCUUCUUUGGCCGAGGUACCUGCUGACUCACUUCCUAUCCCUUCGGCUUCUCCUGCCCCGACUCUACCUCCUUCUGCUGACUUACCCAUUGCUCUUCAGAAAGGUAAUCGAUCUACUCGUAAUCCUCAUCCCAUUUACAAUUUUUUGAGUUACCAUCGAUUAUCUUCACUCUAUUCUGCAUUUGUUUCUACUAUAUCUUUUGUUUCUCUUCCCAAGAGCACCCCUGACGCUUUUUCCCAUCCAGGCUGGCGACAGGCAAUGGUAGAUGAAAUGGUUGCUUUACACUCCAAUGGCACUUGGGAUCUUGUUGUUUUACCCUCUGGUAAAUCUACAGUUGGUUGUCGUUGGGUCUACACAAUUAAGGUUGGCCCUGAUGGUCAGGUUGAUCACUUUAAGGCCUGUUUAGUUGCUAAAGGCUAUACUCAGGUUUAUGGUUCUGAUUAUGGUGACAUUUUCUCUCCUGUUGCCAAGAUAGCUUCUGUUCGUCUAUUACUCUCCAUGGUUGCUAUGCGUUCUUGGCCUAUUUAUCAUUUAGAUAUUAAAAAUGUUUUCCUUCAUAGGGAUCUUGCUAAGGAAGUUUAUAUGGAGCAACCACCUGGUUUUGUUGCUCAGGGGGAGUCUGGUUUAGUGUGCAGGUUACGCCGUUCUUUAUAUGGCUUGAAACAAUCUCCUCGAGUAUGGUUUAGCCGUUUUAGUUCUGUUGUUAAGGAGUUUGGCAUGUUCCACAGUACAACAGACUAUUCCGUUUUCUAUCAUCAUAACUCUUCGGGGUAGUGUAUUUAUCUGGUAGUUUAUGUGGACGACAUCGUCAUUACAGGCAGUGAUCAGAAUGGUAUUCAGAAACUAAAGUAACACCUUUUCACCCACUUUCAGACUAAAGACUUGGGGAAACUCAAGUAUUUCUUAGGGAUUGAGAUAGCUCAAUCCAGUUCCGGUGUGGUUCUUUCCCAAAGGAAGUAUGCUUUAGACAUCUUGGAAGAAACCGGUAUGUUAGACUGUAAAACGGUAGUCACUCCUAUGGAUUUAAAUGUCAAACUUAUACUAGGACAGGGGGAGCCUUUAGGAGAUCCUGGGAGAUAUCGACGACUUGUAGGUAAACUGAACUACCUCACCAUUACUCGUUUAAACAUUUCUUUUCCUGUAAGUGUUGUUAGCCAAUUCCUACAGUCACCAUGUGAUAGCCAUUGGGAUGCUGUAAUCCGCAUUCUUCGAUAUAUCAAAAGCACACCAGGCCAAGGUGUGUUGCACGAGAACAGAGGUCAUACCCAGGUUGUUGGUUACACAGAUGCAGAUUAGGCUGGUUCACCCACAGAUAGACGUUCCACUUCCGGGUAUUGUGCUUUUAUUGGAGGUAACCUAAUAUCCUAGAAGAGUAAGAAACAAGAUGUAGUGGCCAGAUCUAGUGUUGAAGCCGAGUAUCGAGUUAUGACUCUAGUAACAUGUGAACUCAUAUGGCUAAAACAUUUUCUUCGGGAGUUGAGAUUUGGAAAGGAUGAACAAAUGAAACUCAUCUGUGACAACCAAGCCGCUUUACAUAUUGCAUCCAAUCCAGUCUUCCAUGAAAUGACCAAACACAUUGAAGUUGACUGUCACUUCAUUAGAGAGAAAAUCACAUCAAGAUGUGUGGCGACUAGUUUUGUCAAUUCAAAUGAUCAACUAGCAGAUAUUUUUACUAAAUCUCUCAGAGGUCCUAGAAUUAAAUACAUUUGUAACAAGCUUGGUGCAUAUAACAUAUAUGCUCUAGCUUGAGGGGGAGUGUUAGAUAGUGUACAGUUAUUUAGGUUAUUUACUUUUCCUUUUCCUUUUCUUUCCGUAUUUUAUUAUGGGUCCCACUAACAUGUAUAUAUAUACCCAAGUCCAAUGUGUAUUAUUAACAGUUUUUCAAUAACAAUAAUUAGGGAUUCUCCCUUUUCUCUCUUUUCACAAGGCUUAUAGAUUUGGUCAUACGCAACAAAGGCCAAUAAUUGCAUUGUUAAGAAGAGAUGGGUGGACAUUGGGAAUCAAUUGAGGUUACUUCAGGAAAUUAGACAUUUGGAAUGACAGUUGAAGCCACAAUGUUGUACGUUUACUUACACAUAAAUUGUUUCUGUUGUAAGACUAAUUGGUUCUGUAUCAUCUUCGAGGGAUAUCUGGUGGAUGUAAAUGGAACCGUGAAACUUGUGGAUUUUGGAUUGGCAAAGGUUAGUUUCUUUUUACUAGAGUUAUCUCUCUAUUGUUUCAAAAUGCUAGACUUCUAAAUAUUAUAUUUCUGGUUGUAUAUCUUUUCAGUUUUGCAAAUUGAACGACAUAAAAUCUUUUAAAGGGACUGCAUUCCGGAUGGCCCCUGAGAUAUCUUCCUCUCUUGCAUUCCUUCAUUCCUUGAUUUCUUAAAUUAACAAAUCAUGUUUGGUUUUGAAUUGAGAACUAUAUUUUAUGGAACUGUACUCGGUAGAAUCUUCUUAUACCAUGAAGAAGCAUGCUUAAAAUGUAGGCUCUGAAACCCUUGUCUUUUAGCAGGUGGUUGCAUCAGAAAAGGAAAUGACAUGAUUGAAUUGGGUUAUUGAAUAGCUCGAUUAUUGGACUGGAGAUAUCCCAACUAACAAAUUGAUAAGUUGUUGUUUUCCAAACUGUUGCUCUUUCUAAGAUUUUAUCCUACAAGGCAUUUAGUCAAUGCCAUGUCUUAUUACCAAUGCAUUUUGAUUUUGCAUGUCAUUAGUAUCUUUCUGUGCAACUGCCAAUAUACUGACACUAAUAGAUGCAUGGAACCACUGAAUGCUCAAUUGAUGAGGAUUUUCCAUUCAAAUCUGAGAAUUUAAGCAUCAAGCUUCCUUUUUCCAUUAACUCUCUCUACUUCUAAGGGUGGUUAAACCCUUGCUUCAUUAUUUGGUAACAAAAAUUAGUACAUCACCAGAAGAUUGGUAGAGGGAUCCUACAAUUAGGGAUGCAAUGAAGUGGAUUGGAACUGAGUGACCCAUCCUUCUUCCUGAGAAUCCGAUUUAGUACAUUUAGUACACUUCAUUCCAAAGCUGCUCCAUUGGAACAAAUUGUUUAACUUUCUGGACUGCAGGUUUGUGAAGAGAUGUUAAAGCCCUGGCUAAAAAUGAAAUAGUGGUCUGUUUUAUAAAACAAAAUAUGGUCACCAGCAAUCUAAAUUGUAGCUCGAUAUUGCCCUUCUGAAAUAAAUUUCUGACUCUUUGCCCCAGAGAAUGAAUUGUGGUUUUGCAACCGCCCAGGUCUGUGGAUUUGAAUCAGUUUUUACUUUGAAAUCAUGCUCAAACAUCCUAGUCUUACAACUGUGUUUAUUUAUAAAUCCUGCACCAGUUGGGAGUAGAACUCUUAAAUCCCUGUUCUAAAUCUUGUCCAAACAUGUUAUAAGUCUUUGUGUUAACCAUAUUUGAAAGUUUUUUACCAAGGACAUUUGUCAUUAUAUUAUGUGGCACAGGAUGCUCCAAGCAUUAUAGUUUCUUGUAAGUGUUGAUUUUACAAAUAAUUUGUGCCACUGUAGGUCAUUAAUGAGGACAAACGAGAGAACGAUGGUUAUGGGUUUGCAGCUGAUAUAUGGAGCCUCGGGUGCACUGUAUUAGAGAUGUUAACUCGGCAACAUCCAUAUCCCGAAUUGGAGCCGGUAUGUAUAAGCUUCAAUGGAAACAAAUAAUCAUUCCAAUAUUACAUUCUUAUAUGCAUCCAAACAUAAGAAUUGGAAUCACCAAAUCUAUUUCUAUUCAAGAAGAUAUAGGAAUGAAAACAAAGUUUUUAUUCUCAUUCCUCAUUCCCAUAUACUAAACAUGGCUUGAGGGCAAUGGACUGAUUUCAAUGGUGUGUAUACUUGUCUUAAAUAUUUGGUAUUAGCAACUUGCCCUAUGGUAAAAGUGUGGUUUGGGUUGAGAAUAGUAUAAAGAUGAGCCUAGGGUUGUCAAUGGAGCCUGCAAAUAGCUGUUGGAUUUGAAGGUUGAAUAGGAAUUUGCACAAUAAGGUUUUGGGAGGUGAGAAAAUGAAAAUGGAUGUUGGUGGAACUGAGAGUAUGAAUGCCUUAUGUACUAAUUUGACUCAUUCAUAUUGAGAUCAUGUAUAUAUGAAAUUCAUAUUAUGCAAGAAGACAUUGCUUUUACUAAUUCAAAUGGAAGGUGAACAACAGUGAGAAACAAUUGCUAGUACCCCAUAGGCAUCAUUAUAUCUUCGACAAAUUGACAUAGGAGUAAUAAUUUUGAAACAAUCUAUCAUUCAUUCAUAAAUUGUUGUUUGGUAACACUCUUUUAAAAUAUACAAUAUAAAAUUAAAAAAUAAAAUUUAAUUCAAUAUCUGUAAAACAAUAUUGGGAGACUGCAUAUUGGACGUUGUUUUCAUAAUCUUGCGUUUGUCCUAAGUCUUAACUCUUAAUAGGAAAAAACAUGUUUUUGAUGGAGUAUAUUCCCUGCAAUGAGAUGCACUUGUUCUUAACCACCUUUCACAGUCGAAUCAAAAAACAAUGUUAGGAAUCAAAAUCGAAUCAAAAAGAGGGAAGUGAUAUUGAAGAUACGGGUUCUUGGCGGGUUUAGAUAUUAUCUUGUCUGAUACCAUCCAACCUGGAUUAUAUAUAAAAUUAAUUUUAAAAAAUAAUUUUAUUGAUUUUUUUCUAUUACCAUUUUUAACACAUAUAAAAUAUUUAAAAAUUAUUUUUUAAAUAAAAUAAGUUAUAAAAACUAUAAUAUUUUACUUAUUUAUAAAAUAUAUUUAUUUUUAAUGUAAUUUAAAAAUUCUAAAAUUAUUACAUUUUUUUAAAAUAUAGAAAAUAUGAUGAGUAUGAUGGCCAUGAGAAUUACUUUGUAUAAACGUGAUAGGAUUGAUAUGGGCAAUCAUCGUCAACCCACCUGAUCAUCAUCCUUGCUCAAUUAAAAAUUUACUUAAAGGAAGGGUAUAAUUGGUAUUUUUAUUUGUUAUAAAGAAAGUAAUUGAAAUGGCUUUUGGAAACCCGAUGAUAUCCGAUUGGAGAUAAAUAAAAAAAAUAUUGGUAAACAUUUUUAGGAAUAAUGAAAUUAUUUUUAAUAAAAAUUCUUGAAGAAUUAACAUAAUACAUCAAAUAUUAAUUUUUAAAAUAUUAUUAUGUAAAUUAUAUAUACUUAUUUCCAUCUAUUGAAGAAAUUCUAAUGUUAGUCGAUGGGUGAAAAAAAUAUGAACCGAUAAAAAUAAAUAAAAAAUAAAAAUAAAAAAGUUGAUAAUAACAUUAUUCUGCUAGUUAAUUGUAUCAUAAUUUUUUUCCAAAAUUAUAAACUUGCAACUAUUUUUCUAUCUAGCUUGUUUUAUAUAGACAUAAUUGUUUAGAGAAAGUUAAAACCAUUAUGAAAAAAAAAAAUCUGUCUAAUUCACUAAUCAAAUAAGGUUAUAAUCUUAUAAUGUCAAUAAAACUACUUAAAGCUAUAAUAGUUAAAAUAAUUUUCUCUAAAUAGAAUAGCAAAUUGUUUAACUAAAAAAGGUAUUUGCAAUUUAGAAUCAAUCAUUUGAUGGUUGAAUUUUUUGAAAGAUAUUAUAAAGUUUAGUUUUGAAAAUUAUUGUGACUUAUUUUUCAAUUGUAUUUGUAGGUAUUCUACUUCGUAGUCUCCUUUCAUAAAAAGAAAAGUAUUUGUAAUUUAAAAUCAAUCAUUUGAUAGUCAAAUUUCCUUAAAGAUAUUAGAAAGUUUAAUUUUGAAGAUUACUAUGAUUCAUCUUUCAAUCGUAUUUGUAGUCUCCUUUUAAAAAAAUACUAAUAAUAAUUUUCUCUUAUUUAAAUUUCUUUGCUACAAAACAAUAAUUUGAUUUUUCUCUUAUUUUUAUUUCUCUAGUACAAAACAAUAUUAUAGUUUAUAUUUGGACCACAAAAUGUAAUAUGAUAUAGAAAAAGGUAAAAAGUUUUUUUAUAAAUUAAACUUGUAUUAUAUUGAUCAACAUUGUAAGUUCUAAAUUUGUUAUACUUCAAAUAUUUUUCUUAAAAAUGUAAUAUAUUGAUGAUAAGAAAUCAAGAUUAAAAACCUGAGAUCGUUACAAUGUGUUGCAUUGAUGUGUUGAAGUAGAAAGAGGAUUAUUGAGAAACAAUGACUUGACUUUUCCAUUGAUUAAGAAUGAAUAUAUAUACACAAAACCUAAAACACAAAAAUAUGAAACAAUCUUAGAAUUAGGGGAUUACAACAAAAAUAUGAAAUAAUCUUAGAAUUAGCCCAAAACACAAAAAUAGGAAACAAUUCUAGAAUUAGGGAAUUACAACAAAAAUAGGAAAUUAUAAAUAAUUACAAAAAUUUGAAAAUAGAAAGAAAAUCUAUUGUAAUGAAUUCUCUAAUAUGCCCCAUCAAGAUGGAGCUCCGAAGGAGAUGCCAAUCUUGACCCAUAAUUCUUGGAAGCGGCUUCGUGGAAGUAGUUUAGUAAGAGCGUCGACAAGUUGAUCUGCUGAGGAAACAUGAGUAACACGAAGAGCAACUGAUUGAACUUGAUCCCGAAUAAAGUGAUAGUCAAUUGUCACAUGUUUCAUGCGCGAAUGAAAGACUAUAUUAGAACAGAGAUAGGUGACACAACAUUGUCACAAUAGAUAACAGGCGUUGUAGGAAGAGUAACGCCAAGCUCUGUGAGAAGGGAACAAAUCCAAUUGAUUUCCGAAGUAGUAGUGGCAUAUUGGGAGACCGCAUAUUGGACGUUGUUUUCAUAAUCUUGUGUUUGUCCUAAGUCUUAACUCUUAAUAGGAAAAAACAUGUUUUUGAUGAAGUAUUCCCUACAAUGAGAUGCACUUGUCCUUAACCACCUUUCAAAGUCUAACCAUGAAUCAAAAAACAAUGUUAGGAAUCAAAAUCGAAUCAAAAAGAGGGAAGUGAUAUUGAAGAUACGGGUUCUUGGCGGGUUUGGAUAUUAUCUUGUCCAUUCCCAUCCAACCUCAAUUAUAUAUAAAAUUAAUUUUAAAAAAUAAUUUUAUUGAUUUUUUUUCUAAUACCAUUUUUAACACAUAAAAUAUUAAAAAAUUACCUUUUUUUUUAAUAAAAUAAGUUAUAAAAACUAUAAUAUUUUACUUAUUUAUAAAAUAUAUUUAUUUUUAAUGUAAUUUAAAAUUUCUAAGAUUAAUAAUUUUUUUUUAAAUAAAGAAAAUAUGAUGAGUAUGAUGGCCAUGAGAAUUACUUUGUAUAAAUGUGAUAGGUUUGAUAUGGUUAACUUGUCAACCCAUCCGAUCAUCAUCCUUACUCUCAAUUAAAAAUUUACGUAAAGGAAGGGUACAAUUGGUAUUUUUAUUUAUUAUAAAGAAAGUAACUGAAAUGGCUUUUGGAAACCCAAUGAUAUCCAAUUGGAGAUGAAUUCCCAACUUCAAAAUUAGUAAAGUUAAUUUUUUUUCUUGAACAAAUUUAGGAACUUUAUAAAUGUCAUGUUGUCGCAGGUGUUUAUACUAUAAAAAUAUUCUUAAAUAAUUUUAUUGGUAAGCAUUUUUAGGAAUAAUUAAAUUAUUUUAAAUAAAAAUUCUUGAAGUAAUAACAUAAUACAUCGACUAUUAAUUUUUGAAAUAUAUUUAUGUAAAUUAUAUAUACUUAUUUCCAUCUAUUGAAGAAAUUCUAAUGUUAGUGGAUGGGUGAAAAAAAUAUGAACUGAUAAAAAAAAUAAAAAAAAGUUGAUAAUAACAUUAUUCUUGCUAAUUAAUUUUGUCAUUUUUUUCUCCCAAAAUUAUAAACUUGCAACUAUUUUUCUAUCUAGCUUGUUUUAUAUAGACACAAUUGUUUAGAGAAAGUUAAAACCAUUAUGAAACAAAAAAAAAUGUCUAAUUCACCAAUCAAAUAAAAAUAAAAUCUUAUAAUGUCAAUAAAACUACUUAAAAUAAGUUUCUCUAAAUAGAACAACAAAUUGCAUAACUAAAAAAUGUAUUUGCAAUUUAGAAUCAAUCAUUUGAUGGUUGAAUUUUUUGAAAGAUAUUAGAAAGUUUUAUUUUGAAGAUUAUUGUGACUCAUUUUUCAAUUGUAUUUGUAGGUAUUCUACUUCGUAGUCUCCUUUCAUAAAAAGAAAAGUAUUUGUAAUUCAAAAUCAAUCAUUUGGUGGUCAAAUUUCCUUAAAGAUAUUAGAAAGUUUAGUUUUGAAGAUUACUAUGACUCAUCUUUCAAUCGUAUUUAUAGGUAUUCUACUUCAUAGUCUUCUUUUAAAAAAAUAAUAAUAAUUUUCUUUUAUUUUAAUUUCUUUGGUACAAAACAAUAAUUUGAUUUUUCUCUUAUUUUUAUUUCUCCAAGACAAAACAAUAUUAUAGUUUAUAUUUGGACCACCAAAAUGCAAUAUGAUAUAGAAAAAGGUAAAAAGUUUUUUUUUAUAUAAAUUAAAAUUUUAUUAUAUUUAUCAACAUUGUAAGUUCUAAAUUUGUUUUACUUCAAAUAUUUUUCUUAAAAAUUUAAUAUAUUGAUGAUAAGAAAUCAAGAUUAAAAAACCUAAGAUUAUUACAAUGUGUUGAAUUGAUGUUCUAUUUACCAUUAUGUUUGUCCAUGUUUCAUUUUUUUUUUUUUUUUUUAUGUUUUAGUAAUUGUCUUCUAAUUACUAAUAUUGGUUCAGGAGAUUCAAAAUUGUUACACAAUUUGUUGUCAAUUGUCCAUUUUAAUUAAGUAAUAACAUAAUCUAUUCAAUAAUUAAAAUUUUUAAAAUAUUAUUUUGAAUUCUACCUAAAAUGCGUUUGACAUUGAUUUUAGGAAGUACUUCUAGUUUUUUUAAUACUUAAAAUUUUUUAUUUUUCAAGCAUAAAAAAAAAAAAAAAAAGUUGUGCCAUCUAUCAAAUAAAUUAAAAUAAUGGUGGAUAGCAAGAAAGUACAAAAUAUUAUUGUGUACCCUCAUUUUAGGCAUUUUUGACAACUCUUUUUUUACCACUUUGGAGAGUUGGCAGCAUUUGGGAGGAGUAAGGGGCCGACUUAUUCAAGCGAGCUGCAUGCAUUGACGCAUGGCCAGGGACACCACCACCUCGCCAUGGUGGUGGUUGAGACCGGGGGGAAGGGGAGAAAGGGUAGAAAAAGGGGAAAAAGACGAGAGGGCUGGCAAGAUUUUUUUGAGGGAAAAAUCUGGAUAAUUCGAGUUGAGAGCAGAAAAAAAAAAACGGAGAGAGGAAGAUAUUUUCUAAGGGAGACAGAGAAGUGAGCUCCAGAGGGGGGCAGGCUGUCUCUGUUUCAGAGGAGCUCUUAGGUAAGUUAUUUGUGUAUUUCUUGUUCAUCUUCAUUACCACCGUUAUCCCAUCUUCUCCUCUUGCUGUUAGGAGUUUCGUUUGCUUGUUUGGUCAUGGAUAAUAGAAGCUACACAGGAGUUUUGUUGAUUUUUGGCUGGUUCAUAUGCUCAUUUUUAUUGUUUCAUUCACUGUUCUUUUAGUAUGGUAUAAACUCAGUGAAGCUCUAUUUCGUCUUGCUUUAUUUGAAGAUAUUAGUUGUUUUUUUUUCUUUUUUUUUUCUCAUUUGAAGAUGCUAGUACUCUUCCCACCAGUCCAUACCCAUUUCCUCUACCCUUCAUACUCACCUUACCAUCCUUCGUGCUCACCGUACCCACCGCCAACCGCUUAUUCCACCAUCAUACCCAUGCUUCCACCUCUCAACAUCUACUAAACCCGCUUUUCACAACAUUUCCAGCACCCAUUCCAUCAAUCGUUCUUUCUUACCCAUUUCUCUUACUACCUUACAAUAACCCAACCCUCCAAGGAUGACCCAUGCAAAUGCCUCACCAAUCUCCACCCUCCACACUUAUCCAACCGAGCCUUUUGAGAAUGAGUCGGAUUCAAAUUUCCAAUACCCGGAUAUUAGAAAUGAGGGUUUUCUGAUUGAGCAAGAGAAAGAUAACAUGGUUACAAUGCAUGAUGUUAUGUAGACUCAAUGGGUUUACAAUCAUUACAGAGGUGGGAGCUAUUUGAGAUUAUGCCUUUUGAAAUGGUCUUAACUAGUUAUAAGAGAUCGUUUGUGAAUGAAUCUGCUGCAAAUACAUGAAGGUUAACGAUUCAUAGUUCUUGUGCAUGAGAUCAAAGCAAUAAUAGGCAACCAGAGACCGCAUUUAAAUAUCCUGACUUUGGUAGGGAUGCUGAGUGCUUUAAGGCUGCAAGGGUACUUGCCCAAUAGGUUGAAAAGGCUACAUGAGCCCUAAGUGAUUAUCUUAAUGUGAGGGUUCAUGCUUGUGGUGUAAGUAUGACAUCACGGCAACGUGUAAAAUGGGUUUGUAGUGCUAGUGCCUGUACACGUUAUGAUGCUAAGGCUAUUUUUUUUAAUUAUUUAUUUAUUAUUUUCUUAGUUUUCUUCAACUAUUGAUGUCAAAAUGUUCAUUUUCAAAAUUUUAAUCUUAUUACAAUUUUCUAAAACUUUAGUUUUAAUUUAAUUUUACAAAGCUCUAAUUUUAAAUUAAUUUUUUUCAAAACUCCCAUUUUUUUAAAAAUUUAAUUUUCAAAACUUUGACUUCCCAAACUUCAAUUAUUUUCAAAUUUAUUUAAUUUAUUUAUUUAUUGUAUAUAUAUAUAUAUAUAUAUAUAUAUAUAUAUAUAUAUAUAUAUAUAUAUAUAUAUAUAUAUAUAUUUUAAUUCCAUCUUUAAUUAACUCUUCCAAUUUCCAAUUUCCAAAUUUAAUUCCUAAUUUCUGAAAUUCCAAUUUUCAUAUUUAUUUAUUUAAUCAUUUUUAUUUUCGUUAUUAUUAUUAUUCCAUUUAUCUAUUUAUUUUCAUUUAUUUAAAAAAAAAAAUCUUUCUUUACAUAAUUCUUCAAAAUUCCAAUUUCCAAAAUUCCAAUUUUCACAUUUAUUUAUUUAAUUAUUUUUAUUUUCAUUUUUAUUAUUAUUCUAUUUAUUUAUUAAUUUUUAAAAUUCCAUCCUUAAACAAUUUCUUUAAGAUUCAUAUUUCCAAAUAACUUUCAAAGUUCCAAUUUCUCCCAAAUUUAAUUUCCGAGAUUCCAAUUCUUAAAUUUAAUUUGAAAAUCUCCAAUUAUCGAAUAAACCUCGAAAUCCCAAUUCCUUUCAAAUUUAAUUUCUAAAAUUCUCAUUCUCAAAUUUAAUUUCCAAAAACUCCAAUUUUCAAAUAGUUUUCGAAACUCUAAUUUUCAUAUAAAUUUCAAAAAUCCAAUUUUCUCUCAAACCAUUUUAAUUCCACUCUAGUUUUCAAAUAAUCUUAUGUUUAUCUCGAUUUUACAUAAGUACGAAUGAAUUUUUCAUAAUUCUGAAAUAAUGAAAUUUGUCAAACCAUUUCAUGCAAGAUAAAUUGGGCUUUGGUGGGAGGCCCGACAUCAAAGAAGUUUCAUUUAAAAUAAAAAUGAACUUGAGGGAAAUGUCAUGUGUGUCAUAGAUGACUUCAUAUUCUGUUUGGUGAUGCAUGUGAUAUAUUUUACGUUCAUUCUUAUGCACUAACCCCAUUUCGUGAUAGCGCAUUAUUCGCUUGCUGCCAAGGUAUGUAUCUGCUCUCACUUUGACCAUUCUCUACGCUUUGUUUUGGCUCCCAGUGUAUGAUCAUCUUUUGGUAUUCACGUUUAAUAAACCAAUUGCCACAUGUGCUUCAUUUUAUUAGUAGAGACCCGUUUUUAGGGACUUAGAGGGAUGUUACGGUCUUUACCGUACCUUCCUAAUAAGGAAUCUGCCCCCGAACCCGAUCCGAUUUUUCACAGACCUGCUUUCCCAAAUAAAGAGUCACACUUAGGGUUUUUCUUUCUUAUUUUAUUUUCCCUUUAAAAAUAAAACAAAAAUAAAUGGCGACUCCAAGUCAUUUUCUUAAUAAAUAAAAUCAUUUUCAAUUAAAAAUCGAGCUCGCCAUCAAGUGGAAGCGCAUGAGCAGAAAUGCGGGGUCCACAAUUAUGAACAAAAUUGAAAACAACUUUAUUCUUUGACCUUGAAUGGCUGCAUGGUCUCAUCAUAAGAAAAUAAAAUAUUGUAAGCUUCUAACUAUUUUCCCAUAUGUGUUGCCCUUAAAAAAUGCAUAUUUUAUAAAGGAAGCACCCUAUUGUAAGGUUUUUUUAGGAAUAAGUAUCUUCAAUAAUUAUGUAAUUAAUUUCGUAUAGGAAUACGUAUCUUUCACAAUUAGACAAUUAAUAUCCUAUACGAAAUCUUUUCUAUGUAAUUAGGAAUAUAUAUCGAAAGAAGAGAUUUUGAAUAAAGGAGUUUAUAUAUGUAUACUUGCCUAUUGAUGUAGACUUUAAACAUAACCUCACAAAUCGUGGUGUUUACUUUUUUUGGUUCUCUUAUUUUCUUCACUAUUGUUAUUCCUUAUUGUGUUUUUUCACAAAAUUAUUUUAUAUAGACAUAAUUGUUUAGAGAAAAAUGAAAAUUAUUGUCAAAAAAAAAAAAAAAAAGAAACUUCCUAUUUCACCCCAAGAAAAUAAAAAUAUAAUAUUGCAAUGCACAAUAGAACAAUUUACAUCUAUAAUUUUUAAAUAUUAUUUUCUAUUAUCUUAAUAUCUUUAAUAUAAAACAAUAUUUUUAUUAAUAUUUAUCCAAGGAAAUGUUGUGUGGGUAGAAAAGGUCAAAAGAAAAAGAAUUUUUUUUCUUAAAUAUUUGUUGGUGACAAAAAAGAAACACAAGAAAUUUAAAAAAAAAAAAUGUGUUUUGUAUUAUUUUAUAUGAAAUAACUACCAUUCAUUAGCGCUAGUUCCAUUAAAUGCUUUAUUAUCACACACUUAAAAGAUGUUUAAAAUCACAUUAUUAAAAUAUAUAUUUUAUAUUAAUUUGAGACUAAAAUCCAUCUUUAUUUCAAGUACCUACAAACUAGGAUCCAUAUGUUUUAAAAUAUUUUUUAUUUAUUUAUUUUUAUUUUCUCUUUUAAAGAAAAUGAUGUAAACAAAACUAAAUGGUCAUAUCUUGAGGUUAUGUUUGAUAUGUGGGAAUGAAGAGUGAGAAUAGAUAUCUUAUUCAUUUUCACAUUUAUUUUUAUAUUUGGAUAACUCAAGUGUUGAUGAUAAUGAUAUAAAAAAUAAUUUCAAAGGAAAUGAAAUUUUACUUGUAAAUGAUAUUUCAAUUUAUCCUUAGUAUGAGGUAUUUUGAUUCUAUAAUACAAUUUAUUUUUAAAGAUGUUUUUCAAAAAUUUAGAAAUCUAAACCUUUUAUUGAUAAGUUAUUUUUAAAAAUAUUUUAUUUUGAUUUUAUAAGAAACGAAUUGUAAAUUCAAGUUAUAUAAUAUAAACUAAAUUUAAUUUGUGCCUUAUUAAAAAUAAAAAAUAAUUUUUUAUUUAUAAAUAAAUUAAAAAUAAAUAUUUUAAAUAAAAUAUUAAUAGUAAUAUUAUAAUAAAAUCAUAAAUUAUAUUUUCAUACCCCAAACCUAAUUUAGGGGUAAAAUCGAAAUUUAGAAAUUAAUAAUUAGUUAAAGUAAUUUAAUAAGGGUAAAAAGGUCUUUUCAUAUUUAAAAUCCUUAGAUAUAAAUUGGAUUUUUCCUAUCUUCUCUAUUCAAAAAACCCUUUUACACAUAGAUCAAAAAUAUCAAAGAGCAUAGGGCUGAAGAUUUGGAGGUUUAGGGUUUGAAGAUCAAUUUUUCAGGUAAGAUUUUAAUCCUUAAAUUAAUAUUUUAUAUUCGUUAAUUAGUUUUAAAAACUUUAGAUAUUCUUUGGAAGAUCUCAAUCUAGAUUAGGGUUUGUUAAAUUAAUUUUUAGAUCAAAAGACUGGAAAUUUGUGAAUGUGAAUUAAUUUGUGAUGAAAAUAGAAAAAUUUAGAAAUUUUCUAUUAAAUAGAAAACAAAAUCAAUGAAAAAUUAAUGAAAGAAAAGAAAUUUUAGAUUUAUAAAAUAAAUAAAUAAAUCGUUUGUGUAGGCUUCAGAUUUGAAAAUAAAAUAAAAUGGAGUACGCGUGUAUUGCCAACGUGUUGACUUAGGCAUUGGAAAAGAUCGUAUAUGUAAAUAUAUUUUAUAAUAAUAAAUAAUGGGAAGAAACAUGAGGCUUACUGUUUUAUUCUUAGGACUUUGCACAUAUAAUGAAGAUAUGAGGGUAAUGGGUUGGUUAUAUAUUGAAUUUGAAAAUUAAUAAAAAUUAUAAUAUUUUGUUUUAAGCUAACAAAGGAAAUAUUAAUAAUAAUAAUAGUUUCUUAUAUAGGUUUUAAUUUAAGUUAAGUAUAUAAAGAAAUAAAUAAUGAGGGUAAGAUUAGAAAAUAAAAUGAAUUUUAUAAUAAUUUGGAAACUCACUAAAUUAAUUUAUUAUUUUUUAGUAAGUUGAAAAAUAAUAUUGGGUAGUAAUAAUAUUAGCAUGAGAAAUUAAUUAGGAUCCUUAAUACUAAAUAAAAUAUUUUUAGGAUUUUCAAAUUUAUAAGUUUGGAUAAAUAAUCAAUAAUCAAUACAGUGUAUGAUAUUAUGUUAGGUGAGGAGAAAAUUCUUCAGAGUUAAAUACUUCAAGAUUUUGAGUGCUUUUUCAAUGUAAGAGAAAUUAAUGCAGAUUUUUAUAAAAGAAAAUAAUUUUCUUUUUAUGUUGUAUUUUGAAAUGUGUAAAAAUAUUAUUUUUAUCUUUUCGCAUGGAUCAAAUCUGUGUUUUGUAUGGAAAUUAUUUUUUUUGAGAAUUUUCUUUGUUUAUUUAUGAAAAGUGAAAAAUUUUGGAGAUAUGAUAUUUUGUUUUGCAAGUUUGAAUUUAUGAAAUAAUGUGUUUGACUUUGGAUUAUAUGGCCCUAGUCAACGGGUUAUAAUUGUUGACAUAUUCGACCCUAAUCAACGAGUUAUAAUAGUGGAUAUUAUAUGGCUCUAGUCAACGGGUUAUAAUAGUUGACCUUAUGGCCCUAGUCAAUGGGUUAUAAUUGUUGACAUUUGGAUUUAUUCACCUUAAAUGGAACAAAUUUGAAACUAGUCACUCAUUUGUGAAGUCCCACCUAAUUAGGCACCAUUUGUUAUUUGAUAACCAGAGUAAAGAUAUUUUGAAUGUAUUUGAUUUGGUUUUGAUGAGAAAUUGUUUUGAAAUGGAUAUGAGACAGUUUUGUUGAAAAGUUUGAAUGUAUUAGUAUUUUGAGCUCAAAAGUUUUUAUGAAAAUAAGUAUAUGUUAUAUCUCCUAUUUGCAAGCACGAUUGAAAAUGUUUGAUCAAUGAAACUGCAUUGAUGUUCCUUAUUGAGCUUUAAGCUCAUGCCCCUUUGUUGAUCAUUUUUUAGGUACUUUCAGUUCGGGCGAGGAGUGAUGGCUAGGCUUGGGAAUUUUUCUUUGUUAGGAUUUUGGUUCAAACUUUAUUUUGGACUUUGUUUAGAUGUUAAAAUUUAAUUCCCGUUUAAAUUAUUUGAAUUUGGAGUUAUUGGACAAUAACACUCUGGUUGAUGUAUUAGUUUUUUUUAUAGUUGAUACUUGGAGAUUUUAGAAUUUUGUCCUAUUACUCUUAAUAGGAAUUUGGUAAUUGGUAAAUUUUCAGUUACAAUACGAAUGUUUGUGUCAUUUCCACUUUGAGCCUUUGGGCUUGAGGUGUGAAAUGACUGUCAUGCCCUUGGAGUGAGUUUUGGGGCGUGACAUAUAUUUUUAUAAAUAUUAUAAAAAUAUGAUAACAUAAUUGAUUUUUUUUUGUUAAUAAAUAAUAAUAAUAUUAAUAAUAAUAAUUCAAAAUUAAUAAUUGCUAAUACUAAUUUAUUUUAAAUAAAGUUUAAUUUUUUUAAGUAUAAAUGAGUCAAAAUUUUCAUUACAUACAUACAUUUAAUACUCAGACAUGGUAUUCUUAAAUUUUUGAUUUAAUUUAUAAUUAAUAAAUCAGUUUUUUGAAUUUCAAAUUAUUAUUAAAAAUUAAAAUAUUUAUUAAAGAAUUCAAAAUAUUAAUUAUUUCCAUUAUUUUUUAUAGUCCUUAUUGAUUCAUGCCCGAUUGGUGUUCCAAUUGAUUCAACUCAAUUGAUGUGCUUUGAUCUCAAUCAUUAGACGGGAGUAAUCAACAAAAUUUAUAAACCUAUUUCACCAUAUACCGGGGUAGCAUUUAGCUAGCAUAGUAUAGUGGCUCUAGGAUCGUCCAUAGAGAUGGGUUUUCACUUCGCAAUUGAUAUUAGUUCAAAAACUGAAUUGGUGCUUUUUCUUUUCAAGGUUAGCUUUAAAAUAAAACAUAAAGAUGUUUGAACAAAGAUUGGUUUUAAGCUAACCAAAAAUAAUAGUAACUGAUUUUAAUUACAAAGAAAAGUGUUUCUUGGAGUUUCAUAUCACUAGGCUCAGAUUCCUCAUACAAAAAGGAGAGUUCCGGUCACUUGAUUCUUUUCCUCGCAUUAGAGAAUUAACAUAUAGUUAAUUCUCUAACCGGUGUGGUACAGAUGCUUGCCAUUAAUGGUUUCAACGGUAAAUCCCUCUCACUGAUACACCUUGCAAUGGCUCGUACCUCUCACCUAGUAUUUGCCAUUCAAGGUGAUCUUUAACCUUGGAUUUCCCUUCACAAACUCGCAAGAGAUAACUAAUGGAUGUCUCCUUAGAGUCCAAAAGCUUACCAAGUGUUGGCUAUUCUAGAAAAUCCUACCUUUAAACCACCUCCCAAAAGCUCGCAAGAGGUAAACCAGUGCAUCUCCAUGGACGGAGAUCACUUGCCUAACCAAGUGUUGGCUUAGGUGAUUAAAAGGAGUUUUAAGUUAACUAAAAAGAUAAAAAUCAUUAACGGGUCACACUUUCUCUUCAUUAAAAACUAAAACAACAAAACUUCCAAUUUAUGCAUGAGGAAACUUACCCGGCUUUCUUCACUCCAAGAGACAAAGAGCCUAGCCUCUCAUCCUCUGAGGAAAAAUCCUCAGAGUUUGAUUGACUAGAAAGAAAACUAACGAGAAAACAAAAAUAUGUAGGAAAAACAGAGCAAGUGCUCUGUUCGUCGAUUCUAUAAAUUUAUAUCUAUAUGAUGGAUCCCUUUUACAAUGGAUGCAAGGGAAUAUAUACAGAGAAGUUUUUCCAAUCUUCCUAGCUAAGAAAUCUUAUGGUUGGUGGAUUACAAGGAGAAGAAUGGAAAUUUAUACAAAAAUAUCUGAAGAAAAGAUCUAAAAGAGUCGGUGCACAAAUAUCCCAUUUCGCAUGUAGAUUUCGCACGUUGCAUGGUGACUUGCGAAAAUCUCGCAAGUUGAUUUCGCAACUUGGAAUCCAUUUUCGCAUGUUGAGCUCCAAGUUCACAAGUUGCAAAAUCACUUUCGCAAGUUGGGCUUCUCUGUGACUGUGCAGCUGUAUUCCAUUUCCAUUUCGUAAGGUAGGCUUUAAUUUCGCACGUUGGAGUUCCAAUUUCGCAAGGUGCGAAAUUGUCCCUCAACUUGAUGCAGUUGUCUUCCGAAGGCCAUAUCUUCCUCAUUUAAGCUCCAAAUUGUAUACGGUUUGAAGCGUUGGAUUCUUGACUUCUUGAGCUUUGAAAUGGUAUAUAGAAUGUAGAAAAUGAACUUCAGGAAGUGCUCCAAAAGUGCGAAAUAAGACUAUAGCUGCUGUCCUCUAUUUUCUUCACUCUGUUUUUCCUCUCUCCGUUGUUCUUUCCUUGCAUACUUUGAACGACUUUGGAAAAGGGCUAUGGAGCUCCAAAGCUUGGUUCUUCAUGAAUUUGAGCUUCCAAAAGCUUUGCCAUGAACUAUAUACAGCUCUCCCUCAUUCUUGGAUUGCUUUGGUGUAGCUAAAAGCUAUCAAAAACACCAAAACUUAACACAAUUUGAUUAGAAACGAUUGCAAGGGUCCUUAACAUGUCAACUGAGUUAAAAGGUAAUAAUUACUACUCAAGAGUGUUUAAAAGAGUUAAUUAUAAGCUACAAAAUAGCACUUUUUGAGUAGUAAUCACUUAUAUAUAUUUUUUGAGUUUCAAUUUUCUUUAAAAAAAUUAUUAAACUUAUUAAUAAAUUUAAUACAAAGUCUUCCUUAAUUUGACUUUCUAGUAAAAAAAAAAAUGGUUUUCUAUUUUGCUUUGUUUAUAGAGCACGAUAAUCAAAUAGUGGUACAAAUUUUUUAAAAACAAAUUUGUUUGUAAAUCAUAUGUUCAAAUAGUUUUUAUUAUUUAGCAAAAACACUAUAGACCCUCUAUUUUGGCCCUAACACACAUAUUUUUUUAAAUUAUUUUUUCUCACCCCACUCUUUUUUUAGCACGUAUUUAGAUCCAUUUUUGCUCAAUUUUUCAUCAUCCUGGUCCAUGUUUCACAUCAUUGAUUUUUGAGCUAUAUUUUGGAGACCAUUUAAAGGGUUAUUUCAGGUCCUAGCAUGAUUAUCGGACACCCAUUAGGAUUAGUUUUUUUUUAGGGUUUGCUUUUGGAAUUUUAGAGCCUUUGAGUAGCUGGGUUGGGAUGAGGACAUGUGUACUCAUUCUAGCCUUCCUUUGUCUCUUUUAAAGGCCUUUUUUGGCCUUUAGUGAAAGGUUCUUUUUUCAUGCUUUUGGCUCAAGUUUUCUUAAAGGGGGCUUGUUGGCCACCUUUUAAGGGUAGUGGAGAUGCUCUCAAUAGCUAAGGAACAAGGGGUAGAGAAUUGGUUUUUAUAGUGAGAGUGAGGUAGAGAGCAGGGGGUUUGGAGGAGUUUUUGGGAAAAGUAGCAGACGAAGAAAAGUUGUGGGUGAGGCAUUGUGGUGGUGAGUGGGCUGCAGAGUAAGACAUUGCAAAGGGGGCACCAUCUAUUCUGGUGGGGAGUCUUAGAAAAGAGGGACAUGAGCUACAAGCCAUCUUGGGGAGGCAUUAUUCUUCUUUCUUCUGGGUGAGAGUAAGAGAGGAGACUUUGGAGAGAGUAAAAGAUAUUUCUUAUGGUGGUUUUUGGUUUUGAGUAGAGGAGAAGAAUAACAUUAAGAGAAGAGAAGCAGGGGGGACCCUUCUAGGAAUGGAUAUUAUGAGUUCCCUAUUCAUCUUCAUUUAUCAUAAUUAUUAGGGUGAAUUCACAAUAUUCCAACAAACACCAGGAUUUUUCUACCAUUUCUUUGUGUAAAAUUAAAUAGGUAAUAGAAACUAGUAGUAAUAAAUAAAUAAACUCAUGCAAUGGAAAAAUAAAUCAGACACCAAAAUUUUUACUUGGAAAACCCCUCAAUGUGAAGGAAAAAACCACGAGACCUAGUCUAGUUCAAACUCCACUAUUAACAAUAAUGGGUUACACCUAUCUUCUCUAGAAUAAUCUUUAGAGGCUACCAAAUACAUCAAGAGCAUAUAUAGCCUUGGAUUAUAUAAUCUCUCUUGGUAAAAAAACAAGGAAAAUUAGAGAAAGAAUACCCAAAAACACAUUGUUACUGUUCACGGGCAGUAACACCAAUUCCCUAGCUCAAAAUCUGAUCUCCACCUUUUAGAUUGUAGUUACUCGAGUUUUGAACAUCUCCUCCAAAUUUCAACUUGAUCGAACCACAGAUGAAGCAGGAUCGACUCUUUGAUGAAAUCUAGGUAGUGAAAUGUGUUUUUUUCUUUCUUUUUUCUCUUAUCUCUGUUUUUUCCUUUUUUUUUUUUAAUCUCUUUCUCUUUUUGUUUAUUUAUUUAUUUUAUUGUGACUGACUUGGGCCUCAAGAAUAUGGGGCCCACUCCCUCACAUACGAGGGAGCCUAACAAAUCUCCAAUUGGAUCCUAAUUGAUUAAUUAACCUAAUAGGGUGUACUAAUUAAUCAAUUAGCUUAAUCCAAAGACCUUGUUCACUUACCUCUGUGUAACCUUAUGUUAUUACCAAAAUGCCUUUAUGCAUAAAAGUGAACCUAAAACCAAUCCCACCCUCAUAACCUAUGCCAACAAGGUAUAUGAGCUCAAACCGGGGGCCAUAACUCUAGUAUUUUAUGUAAAUAACAAUGAGACACGGUAUACUCGGGUCCGUGACUUGCUAUCCAUUGUGUUUAGUCUCCCUAUGUACUAAUGUCCGUAGUCUAACAAGGUAAAAUUUUUCAAUCUUUUAAGACUACCUCUAUUAUCAUUGAGUUACAGAUCCUUCUAUUAUGUGUUCAACUAACAUGUCUUAGCUCUUAAAGAGCCUAUGUCAAGUUCCACUUAAGGAACUACUAUAACCAUAUUUUCCAUUAACACACCUCCUUAGAACCACCCAAUGAGACACAUUGUCUCAAUCCUAUGAGAUAUCAUGAUGCUUCUAUUAAGAAUACCUAUUGCUACCAACUUCCAUCAAUAGUGACCCAAUCCAUAAGGAAUAUAUGAUCAACUUACGAUCUCACCCAUAGGUCAAAAUCAUUGCUAACUUUGGCACAAACUUCAAUAUUCUCUCAAGGUUGAGAGACAACACAAUGAAGUAGCUUGGUAAGGUCACAGAUACUUGAUAGCUUUAAGUCAUGACUCAUCAUAAGUCCUAUCUAAUGUGUAACCAUACACACCAGUGUACUCACCAUGGAAAACUCAUCUCGAUAUUCAAGACCAGUUAUCCCUCCAAUUAGAAGGUGGUGGUGCACUAUAGCCUCUAAUAAGUUGUCUAAACCCAUGAACCGACUUUGAACAAGUCAUCUAUUUACAAGGAACCCAUGACUUGGAUCUUCCUUAUAACUCAUAAAUGCACUCAAGUCACAUACACUGCAAAAGAUGCAAACAAGAAUACUCAUAAAGUGUAAUGCAUGGAAUAAGGAUAGAUAAAAGUGAAAUUGGAAUACCAUUAAAAUAAAUAAGGAAUUCCAAAUCUAUUACAUCAUGUCAUGCUUUUAAGAGCUCCAUCCUAACACAACCUUCACACUUCAUGGAUAGUACAAAGUGAUAAUUUAGUUAGGUUGAUAACAAUUUUUAGAGUGCCUUGUCUUUGAGUUUGAAACCUUUUCCUGUAUUUAAUGAUUCUAAUGUGAGCUCUAGCUUCCUUGGUCUUCAGUUGUCAGGCAUGCAAUUUUCAUUGGAAAGUAAGUGGAAAAGGUGUCUUGCAAAGUCUAGUAAUGUGUACAUUCAAGUUGAAAAGGCAUGAGGUACUCCCUCGAUGACAAUCAGGUUGUCAAAAAAUAGUACUUGGCUUGUCCAUGUGAUCUGCGCUCUUGAGAGAUGUGUGAUUGGAUUAUCCUAGAGCCUAAUGGAAGAAAAUGGGAAAUCAUGUUGCAAAGAGCAACUGCAAAGGGAAUGAAAGUGAGAGAUCAUGCUUAGUGUGGUCCUGAUCCCACAUAUGUUGCAGUCAUGACAAAGGAUGGCACUACAACUACUGGUCUUAAUAGUGUAGGAGCAUCGCUAAUCGUUGUACAUAUGACUAGGAAGUCCAGCCUGUGACCCAAUAAGUUCAAUUGUGGUGGAAAUUUAUGUAGAAUAGUAGCUAUAUUUCUCAUCCAAGGAGUUGUUCCAUUUGCGACGAUGAUAAAUGGGGAGUUAUAUGUGAGUGCCCUCUACCUGCAUAAAAUGAUAAUCAGAAAGACUAUCCAUGUUUUUCUUUGGCCAUUCCAUCAAAUUUGACAUGUGAUUUCAAACAUAAAAAGAUAUUCCAAUAAAUGGAACGAAGAACUAUUACCUGCUAUGCUCAUUUGGGAAAAAAAAAAUCCAAAUUUGGAAUUAGAAAUGAAAAGUUGCAAUGGUUUCUUGGUGCUUUGAAAGCACAUCCUAAUGAGCUGAAGCUUGUGGGGGUUUAUUGCCAUUUGGGGUCUGCCAUUACUAAGGUGGGCAUUUUCAGGGAUGCUAUAGUUCCAUUUGGGUUACAUCCACAUGGCUGAAUUUGAAAGCCCUAGAGUUGGGGCUUGAUCUUCCUGGAUCAUAAGCUCCUAAAAAAGAUUCAAACCUUUUUUUUUGCUGAAAUCAAGAAAAUUUAUUAAGAAGCAGUCUGGAAUGUACUUUUUUCCUUCUUUGCCAAAUUGCGGUAAACUAUUUAAUAAAAAUUAAUUAAAAUUUUAUAUUAAAAACUUUAGUUCAAAUUAAUUAGAAAAUGUGGUAAGAUAAAAUGAAAUAAAACGAACUUUAAAUGAUAUUUUAGACAUUUUAUUUAAUUCUUUUAACUAUGACAUCAUUAAUCAACCAUGAAAAUCUUUCAAGAUUCGAUAACAUCAUUUAAGGGAUUGUUAUGCUCUAUUAUGGUCAAGUGGUGUCAAUGUAAUUUCAAAAAUUUAAGGGUGGUUAAGUGUAAUUUUCAAAUAGCCGAGGGGGUAUCCAUGUAAUUUUCCUCAAAUAUAUGUAAAUUUUUUAGGGUUAUGCUAGGGUACUAAAAAUCAUUUUUCGGUACCAUACCCACUUUUUUUGGCUAAUAGGAUUAAGACACAUGACAUGUAAAAUUAAAAAAAAAAUUAAACAAAACCAAUUCUUCAAGUUACCCAACCGGUUGCCAUGGGAAUUAAUCCCAUGCAACACACAUUUUUAUACUUAUUACAAUAACCAAUUAUAAAAUCAUGUUUAAUGCAAUUAUUUCGUUUGGGGAAUUUCUUUUAUGAAACAGAAAAAUAAAGAAAAUUUUGGAAAAAGAUAAACAAUAUAAUUUGGUAAUAUAAUUUGAAAAUUAAGGAAAAGUAAAUUUAAUUUAUUUUAACAUCAAAUAAUUUGUUGAUAAAAUUUAAUGAAUAUUUGAAGUGUGAAAAGCAAUAUAAUUGGUUUAUGAAGUGAAAAAAUGGGAAGAAAUAGAAAGAAAUUUUAUAAAAUAUAUAUUAACUUAAAAUUUAAUUAGUUGUGUACUAAUUAUUAAUCGAGAAUAUAUGACUAAAUUAUUUCUUAACGUUUAAAUUGAAUUACACAACAAAAUUGGUUGAAAUAUUGAAAUACGAAAAAUGUAUAAUUACUAACAAUAUGGAAAUCCAAACCCUUCGCUGAUUUUUUUCGUAAAUUUCCAUUUUGAAAUUUUCAAGGAUCCAUUUAAGAUCCUCAAAAUGAACUGAACUUAUCUAAACAAUAUCUAAGUCAUAUGAAAUCCCAAAUUAAAAAAAAAAAAUCAAAGAAGUGGAUAGUAGGGAGGACACGAAGAAUGUGAGAUUCCCUAACUAAUUUGUUAGUAUUUACAAAUUUUGAUUUUUUUCGGGUAAAAUUUAAACACAUAAGUUUUUUAAAAGUUGAAAAACUUAACCCAAUUAAACUUAUAAGAGAGAACUAAGUUUUUUAAAUCAAUUAGUUCAUGUCUGAUAUUAGAAAUAAUCAAAGACAACCACAUAAGAAAAAUAAUUUUAUGUGGAAAACUCUCAUACUAACUGUGAAGAUAAAAAAACCAUGAGGUCUAGGACCUCUAAUAAAAAGUCCACUAUACAAGAUUAAGAUACAUGAAUUUACCUGACUGCUUAUCUUAAGACUUACUCUCCAAGACCUAUAUCGUGAUCCAUGUUUACAUCACAACACUUCCAAUGCUCUAGUGGAUUCAUCUCAACCUUUGAGAGAAUGCAAGUCUCUCUAAUAACCUAAAAUUUGAUAAACGAAUUCUUAAGAGCUUUUGAGAAUGGUAGGGGAAGUUUAGGAAGGGUUUAGAAAGCAUAAAUCCCUAAAAUAAGUUUAAGAAGGGUUAAUAUAUGUCUAAAGACGUAGAGGAUUGAUAACCUAAUUUUUUAUAAAGAAUAAAUCCUUAAUUUCCAAAAAUGAGAUUUGCUAGAAUAUGGUAGAUUCAAAGUGACAGCUCAAGCGGACCUAUCCAUUGCUUGACGCCUUGGGUCUUUAAUAACUUAGAUAAGGGCUUGAGCGGUAUAAGCACUUGAGCCUUGAUACUAGACUUGAUACCAAUGCUUGAGCGCCCUAUUUUUUAAAAAAAAUUUAAAAUUUAGCUCAGAAUUAAAUAAUCGAUCCAAUCCAAACCUUUUUAAAAGGGCUAAUUUCCACAACUUAAACCUUUUUAGACUUACUUGUGACUUUCCGGUUGAAUGAAUAGCAACCUCGAAUCUUCAAGGGAAAGUAAGUCAUUAUCUUAAAAGUAUUCUAUGCCAAAAUGAAAUGAACAGAAUUGUAAACAAAAUAAUGCAAGAACUCAAUGCCCUAACAAUCUCCUUAUUUGACAAUUUUGUGACAAAACAAAAACAAAGUUAUAUAAACCCCCAAAACUCUCAAACAAAGUUUACAUAACACUUAAUCACACUCGUCUAAACCUAAUCAUCCAAUCACAUGCAGAGAAUCAAAUGAUGCAUCCAAAUCCAAUAAGGUAUCUCAAUACUUGUAACUUGCACACAUAACACAUAAAUAUCCAAGGUAAAGCAAUGUGUAGGAAAAAAUAUAACUAAGUAAUCAAAAUAGGGUAAUAGGGAAAAAUCAAGAUCAAUAUGCAACCCUGCAAGUGAACAUGUAUCAAGCAUAUGAAUCAAUCCAUGGAAAAAUAUUAAUGCUAUCAUAACUAUGAAUCCAAAUCAAUCAAUCAUUUCUUCCCCAUUUUGUAGCAAAAUAGACAAAGAUAAAGAAUAGAACAAGAUAAACAUGUAAGUAAAGUGAGAAACAUGAUAUCUAUAUAGAUAAGAAAGGUUUUAGAUAAUAACAAAAUGUAGGAAACUAAAAGCAUACAUUUAGACCAAAGCUAAAUAAUAAAAAAUAUAUAAAACUUGAGCCAAAUCGGUUUCAGUCUACAAAAAGUGGGUCAAAACACAAACAAACAACUAAUAAUCCUGAUCCAAAGACGACGAUAGAAUACAACCCAAGGCACCCUGGGGUUGAGUCCAGGAGAUGAUGUAGGAAGGUUGAAUCUCGAUGCCUUUGAAACUAGUAUCCAACUCUCAUUUGUGCACAUCCAGGCGGGUGGCUAGCUUGAUAGUCCAAGUGCCUACUGUAUUGACCUGAAGGUGAAGUUGGGCUACGAAAUCCAUCACCCUUUGUAAAAGAAGUGCAAAAGACGGAAGAGCGAGGCAAGAUGAAUAACAAGAAGAGCCUCUAUAUCCCUGACUAUGACGCCCACGCAGAGUAAGCUCAAGGAAAUCAGUCUCCUAAAUAGGUAGAUCCUGCUCCAUAAUAUGGAUCUCCUCCUCCUUGGCGACUACCUCCUGUGUAGCCUCCUAAGUUGUAGUUGUUGGAAAUUUUUUAUAUAGGCUAACAUUAAUUGAAUAAUUUGUAUUUACAAAAACGGGUUAAUGAUUAGUCUAUUAUAUAAUGAGCCCAAUUAACUAGUGAUCAUAUUUUGGAUUGGGUUUUGCAUCUUUUGAGUAGAAGCUCAGUUGAGUGGCAAGUGUAGGCUACGGGUCUCAUUGAAGCCCAUUAUGAUGAGAACCUAAUAUUGAGUUAUGCUAAGUCCCCUCUCUAAUCUAGAAAAAAAGGGUCUUUCUAUUUUCCCAUUGAGCCACCAUAAGAGUUAUCAAGAUCAUAAAGAGGAAGACUUGGUUGCAACAAUCAAUCACCUGUUUUUUUUGUGAUGGCUGAGACAGGUAUGUUCUUUAUAACGAUUUUCUGUUGUCAAUAUCCUUUAAUCAUGUAUGAUUAAUCUAUGUGAUUAUGUAAAUAUUUUUACAUGUGGUAUCAGAGCCUGAUUUACAUGAUUUAGGAUCUACAAUUGGAAAUUGAAAAUAAAAUUUUUAGUUUCUUAUUUUAUUUUAUUUUCGGAUCCGAAUCUGUGAUCCAUGAAUGUGUAUGGUUUUUUUUUUUUAGUUUCUUUUGCUUGUGAAACUUUAGGCUUUUUGUUCCUCUUGUCGCAAGCUUCAAAUUGAUAUAUCAUAUGUGCAAUUUUGUUGUUUAAAUUGGGAGUAAUUAAGUUUUUAAAUUUUCGGAAUUUUCUUGUUUAAAGAUUCAAGAAAAAAUUUAUUUGUUCAAAUUAUUGUGUUUUACUCAAAUUAAACUCUUAGAUUUUGUUGUUUACAUAUAUUAUCGUUGAUAUGUAGCAUCAAUUUCAGUUUUUUGGUUCAAUUUGGUGAAAAUUGAAAAUUCGAAAAUAUGGGUAUGAACGCUAGAAAAUUCGUUUUAUAUUUUUUAAAAAAUUGAGUAAGAUUGAGAAGUUUUUUGUUUAAUUAAUUGUUGUAGAGAGAUUUCUUAUAUUGUUAAAGUAAAAAUACAUGUAAAAUGAGGUCGAAAUAGGUGUUAAAAUAGAGUUUUUCGAUCUUGGCUAUGGAUGUAUGAAAAAUCGAAUUUUGUUAAUCAAUUAUAGAGAUCUUUAAGUUGUUGUUGUUAUUGUUGUUGUUGUUGUUUUUAUGAUUAAAUGUCUUAAAAUUGUUAGAAACAACCUAAAGUUUAAAACCCCUCAAGAUUCCGAUUGAAAAACCUUUUUUUUUCAAUUGUUUGUAAUUCGGGUUGCAAUCGGGUCAUUUGACCCAUAUUGCAGAAUUUUUGACUCACUGCUGGAGGUUGAAGAUGACCUUCAACACAUGCUGCACAUGCCACACGUGCCACACGUUCCCCACUCAUGGGUCAAGUGUAGGAGGCUCGUGUAACCUCAUCCGGUGUCCGAUUUGAGCCCUGUUUUUUCCUGUGCGCUCGUUUUUUUUGUAAUCUAUUUUUUUGGAUAUAUUAUUUUAUUUAUUGGGGGUAAAAAAUAUUUAUUAAAUAAUUAUUACUUAUUUAUGUGAUUUAAUUAGCUUAAAAUUAUUUUUUUGGUAUAAUUUUCUGUUGAGAAUUUACCAGAAAUUAUGCUAAUAUAUAUGGAAUAGGAUUGUAGUACUCACUUUCUUUAGAUUGAAACUUUUUCAAGCAUACUCUCCUACUUGGUCUAAAUCACAUAAACUAGUUAAAUAAUUAGUUUAAAGUGUAAUAAAAAAAAUAGUUAUUCAAAUUCUUGCAACUGUAAUUGAUCAUUGAUCAUUGAAAGUACAUUUUGUGAUGUACUUCAUCUUGUUUGAUCAUAUACAUAUAUAUAUCGCUAAUAUGCACUAUUGUUGUUGGGCAAUAUUGUUUUUAAUUUACCCAAUUUUGGAACAUUGCAUGUAAAUUGUUGAGGUUAUUUCACCAAAGUGAUUUAACCAUCAAAAUUUGCAAGUUUAUAAGUUCCUAUUUUGUUGAUGGGGAAAAUUUUAGAUUAAUUUGUACAAUCGUCUGCCCAAAGGGGGUUAUUGUGCAAAUUAAUGUAACAACAUGAGGAUAUUGAAUGACAUAAAUAAUUUGAUAAAUUUAUUUGCCCAAAAGAAAUAAAUUUUAAUGAAUUAUUUGUUGAUUUUCAUGCUUAGAGAAUAGUUGUUUAUUGUGGACUCUGCCCAAAGGGGAGUUUAUAAUAGAACAAUUAAUUCUUGUAUUGUAUUGUUUAUACUUAUUUAAGCAUUUUACCUAUUGCCCAUAAUUGAUCUAGUUGCAAAAUUUUGUCAAUCAGUUUCCUUUGCUGUGAACAACAAUAAUGCUACAAUUGAAAUUCUAAGUGGGUCAAACUAUAAGAGAUGGAGAUCAGACAUAGAGUUUGUUUUAGGAAUGAUGGACUUGGACAUGGCUCUACGUGAAGAUGAACCUUCUAAGCCUACUAAUGAAAGCACUGAAGCUAUGAGAGCUCAUUAUGCGAAAUGGGAAAGAUUGAACUGUUUGAGUCUCAUUUCCAUUGUUGAGCAUCUCCUUGGAGGAAUACCUGAGAAUAACAAUGCUAAGGAAUUUCUCAUUGCUGUGGCAAAUAGAUACCAAACACCAGACAAUGCUGAAACUGGGCAUUUUAUGGAUGAAUUGAUGAAUAUGAGGUAUGAUGAUAUGAAAGGGGUUCGUGAGUAUAUCCUAAAAAUGGUGCAUCUUCAGACUAAAUUGAAAGCACUAGACAUUCCCAUUCCCGAUAAGUUUAUUGUUCAUCAAGCCCUCAAUACUCUACCAUCUUCUUUAAGCCAAAUCAAGACUGCAUACAACACCCUGAAUCAGUUUUGGAGUGUGAAUGACCUGAUCACUAAGUGUGUGGUUGAGGAAGAAAAGCUGAAAAGAGAAAAGAAUGAAUCUGCUCAUCUCAUUGCUCUUGGGAAAUUGAAUAAUCAGAAGAGAGUUGAAAAAGCUAGAAAGCCCAACUUCCACAGUCAUAAGAAAAACAAGAAUUUCAAGAAAAGUGGGAGUGAGAAGCAGAAGAAUGGAAAUGCCAAGAACACAGACCUUAAGUGCUAUCACUACAACAAAAAGAGUCACAAGAGGGUUGAUUGCUUUAAGUUUAAGAAUUGGCUAGAGAAUAAAAGAAAAGAAUAGGGUAUGUUAUCUGCCUAUGUCUGUUUUGAAUCUAAUUUAGUUAAUGUUCCUUUAGAUUCAUGGUGGCUUGAAAGUGGUGCUAUUGUUCAUGUUGCAACUUCUUUACAGGGGAUAAGAAAUCUGAGAAAGCCAAGUGAAAAAGAGUCAGAGCUUAAAGUUGGCAGUGACAUCGGGAUUGAUGUUGAGCAUAUUGGGAUUGUUGUUCUAGAAUUAGAUUCUGGUUUUCAGCUUGUUUUGGACAAUGUUUUUUGUGUACCUUCGUUUAGAAGGAAUUUAAUUUCCCUUUCAGUACUUGACAAAGCUGGAUAUAGUUUCGCUUUUGUAAAUAAAAGAGUUGAUGUGAUUUAUGACUCUAAAGUGAUUGGCAAUUGUGUUUUGUCUGACGGGAUUUAUAGAUUGUCGUUGUUAUCUACUUGUUCUUACAAUGUUGAAAACAGUGUUGCUAAAAGACCUUUGACUAAGGACAGAUCUUCAUUGUUAUGGCGUAAGCAUUUGGGGCACAUUUCUAAAAAAUGAGUAAAACGCUUAAUUAGUUUUGGGAUUCUUCCCCACCUUGAUUCUGAUGACUUAUAAAUUUGUGUUGAUUGUGUGAAAGGAAAAUUGACAAAGAUUAAGAAAAAAGGUGCAACUCGUAGUCAAAAUUUGUUAGAGAUUGUUCAUAUAGACAUUAGAGGGCCUUACUCCACUACCUUGUGUGGCAACAAGUACUUCAUUACAUUCAUUGAUGAUUUCUCCCGAUAUGGCUAUGUAUAUUUGAUCAAAGAAAAGACAGAUGCUCUUGAAAUGUUCAAAGUCUUUCGAACUAAAGUUGAGAAACAAUUGGGGAAAGUCAUCAAGAUUGUAAGAUCAGAUCGAGGUGGUGAGUAUUAUGGGAAGCAUGGUGAUACUAGACAACAAAAGAGACUUUUUUCAAGGUACUUACAAGAUAAUGGUAUUGUUGCUCAGUAUACUAUGCCUGGUAGUCCUGAACAGAAUGGCGAGGCAGAAAGGCGCAACCGCACUCUUAUGGAAAUGAAAAGGAGCAUGAUGAGUAAAUCAAAUUUGCCAGAAUACUUAUGGAGUGAAGCCAUUAAAACAACAACCUACAUUCUGAACCAUGUUCAUAGUAAGUCUGUGCCUAAAACACCUUUUGAACUAUGGACAAACAAAAAACCCAGUUUGAAUCAUUUUAAAGUAUGGAGAUGUCCAGCUGAGGUGAAAAUCUAUGUUCCUUCUUUAAAGAAGACAUAUUCGAGAACUACUAGGUGUUAUUUUAUUGGGUAUCCUAGUCACUCAAAAGGAUACAAGUUUUAUUGUUCGACUCGUGGCACUCGAGUUGUUGAGUCUCAAGUGGCAAAGUUUUUAGAGUUGGAUGUUGCUGAUAGUAUACCGUCUCAAUCCAAUGAAAGAGUGGAACCCAUGGAUGUUAUUUAUUUAUCUUUGCCAGUCUCAGACGUUAACCUUGAUGUUGGAGCUUUUGAUUCUGGGAUUCAGCAAGGAGUUGCUACUAUCAAUUUUGCCACUAUCAAAAUAACCCUUAUUGUAGAUGAGAUUCCUCCUGUGGAAAUGAGGAGAUCGUAAAGAACUAGAAAGACUGCCUUAUCUAACGAUUAUUAUGUUUACCUUGGAGAGGGAGAGUAUGACAUUGGAGAAGAAGUGGACCCUACUACUUAUCGUGAAGCUCUCAAUAAUGAUAAGGCAAAUGAAUGGCUGAUUGCCAUGAGAGAUGAGAUGUAGUCUAUGUCAGACAAUGAUGUUUGGGAACUUGUUGAUCUUCCCAAAGGAUAUAAACCCAUUGGAUGCAAAUGGGUAUUCAAGACAAAAGAGACAAUAAAGGAAAUGUUGAAAGAUACAAGGCUCGGUUAGUUGCUAAAAGGCAUACACAGCGAGAGGACAUUGAUUUCAUAGAGACUUUCUCACCAGUCUCUACCAAACAUUCCUUUAGGCUAGUUAUGGCGUUGGUAGCUCAUUUUGACUUAGAGCUUCAUCAAAUGGAUGUCAAGACAGCUUUUCUCAAUGGUGAUUUGAGUGAGGAGGUCUACAUGUCACAACUUGAAGGAUUUAAGGAAAUUGGGAAAGAGAACAUGGUAUGCAGAUUGAAAAGGUCAAUUUAUGGUCUCAAGCAAGCUUCUCGUCAGUGGUACUUGAAAUUUGAAAAAAUUGUGUCGUCUUUUGGUUUUAUAGAGAACAAGCUUGAUCAAUGCGUUUACAUAAAAGUCAAUGGGAGCAAGUACAUUUUCAUGGUUCUCUAUAUCGAUGACAUUCUACUUGCUAGUAGCGAUGUGAAUCUCUUGAAUGAUACCAAGCGUAUUUUGUCUGCUAAUUUUAACAUGAAGGAUCUGGGAGAAGCAUUUUUUGUGCUAGGUAUUGAGAUUUAUCGUGAUAGAUCUCGAAACCUCCUUGGGCUAUCUCAGAGAGUCUAUAUCAAUUGCGUGCUUAAAAGAUUCAAUAUGCAGACGUGCAAAGCUGGUGAUGUACCAGUUGUGAAGGGAGAUAAACUCAGUAAUGAACAGUGUCCAAAGAAUGAUUUGGAAAAGAAUGCCAUGAAGACUAUUCCUUAUGCUAGUGCCAUUGGUAGCCUAAUGUAUGCACAAGUAUGUAUGAGACCUGAUAUUGCCUUCAUUGUUAAUGUUCUUGGUAGAUAUUUAUCGAACCCUGGACAUAAUCAUUGGGUUGCUGCAAAGAAAGUCAUGAGAUAUCUAUAAAGAACGAAGGAUUUUAUGCUUGUGUAUAGGAGGGUGGAUAAUCUCGAGGUAGUUGGAUACUCAGAUUCUGAUUUUGGUGGUUGUUUUGACGAUCGUAAAUCUACUUCAGGAUACAUUUUUAUGUUAGUUGGUGGAGCCAUUUCAUGGAAAAGUGUCAAACAUAGCCUAAUUGCAUCAUCGACCAUGUAUGCUAAGUUUGUAGCUUGUUGUGGUGCAUCAUCUCAAGCUGUUUGGCUAAGAAAUCUGAUUUUAGAGUUGCAAGUUGUUGAUUCCAUCUUUCGACCCAUUGUGAUUUAUUGUGACAAUAAUGCAGUCAUGUUCUACUCCAAGAACAAUAAGAUUAGUAUGGGUUCUAAGCAUAUGGAAAUCAAGUACCUUACAGUCAAGGACUUAGUGAAGAAAAGAGAUAUUGUGAUUGAGCACAUAAGAACUGAGUCCAUGCUAGUCGAUCCUCUAGCCAAAGUGUAGACCCUCAAUUUUGUCCUCCUAGCACAUGUCCUAUUAGAUACUUAUUCGAUACUUUAUAAUAGUUCCUUGGUGGCUCAUUACUACUCGUACAACUGACCUUUUUUCUGAGUCACCUCAGGGACUUUGGUUAGGGGAUUAUCUGACCCUUUAUUGUGACCCUUGGCAGCUCUAUUUUAGACUUAGACUUUUCGUUCAUUUUUAGGAUAGCUUUUAGGGUAACUCAUUUAGGCACCCUAAGCCCACUUAGGCACCCUAGGCCCAUUUAGGACACUUAGUUUGUUAGGCACCCACUUAGGUCCGUUUAAAUACUUCAUCGGGCUUAAUUUUUAUAUACAUAUAUAUAUAUAUAUAUAUAUAUAUAUAUAUAUAUAACUUUUAUUAGUAUUAUUAUUAUUACUGCAUGCAUUCGAUAAUUAUAUUUAUUUUGUUUAUUCAUUUUCAUUUUUCACCUUUUAUUUGUUCGUCAUUGUCAUUGUCAUUAUUAUUAUUAUUACUAUUUUUAUUUUUUACUUUUAUUUUUUAUUUUUUAUUUAUGCACUCAUGUAAUAGGAAAUUGCUCGAAUUGUUUAGACUCCAAAAUGUGCAAAUAAUCCUUGAUUGGAUGGUGGAAUUAUAUAACCUGGUUUCUCUUUCUUGGCUUUUGAAAAUCGUAUUUCAUUUUAUUAUCAAUCUCAUAAUUUUUAUCAGUUUCAGCUCUUUUCUUUUACCCUUUUUUUUUAAAUUUUAUUUUAUUAUGUUUUGCAUGAGGAGCACCGGAAUUUCUCAAGAAGGAUCCUAGGCACCAAGGUCUCAGAGACUGCUAGGAAGAAAUCUCCAUGCACAGUCGCACAUGGGAGGGAUGACACGAAGACUGUCGCUCAGGAAGAAUGAAACAUGUGGACUGCCACCGAAGAAGGAUCCACAGGCACGGCUACAAUCUUCCAUGGGCUGCAUCAUUUUUUGAAAAAGGUAUCAACACGUGGAGAAACAUGCACAACCCACAUAAAAGAACACCACGCAUCAUAAGUUUGCAAAAUCGAUCACGCUGCCAGAUUUUUGGAGCACACAACCAGCAGGCAUUCUGGACAUGUUCCAUGGAGAUUGGGGAAGAAACAGCUGCAUCAUCAAUAUAGAGAAGAGGGCUGCCACUUUGAGUCUUCAUUACGUAGCAGAUUUUGAUCCCAAGAGGAUCAUGCACAACCCGGAAAGAAUAUACAGACGCAUGAUAUGUGUGGGAUUUUCCAUCUUUUGGAGAGAACAUGCCUACAUAGCCCAUGCACAGCUUGCACCUCUUCACAACUGUCAUCCAUGAUUCAAAGUCACAGCCGGCUCCAAGCACCAUUGCUCCAUUCACACGCAGCCGUCAUGCUCCGUCCAUUGAAUGGUGAUCACUCCACCACGCACCAUGAGAGGCAUCAAUUGAUGGGGCAUCAAAGCUGAUCACUUAAGAGUCACCAGAUUUUUUUUAAGACUUUGUGGGCUGCAGUUUUGGAGAUCACAUAGUUGCAUAUUUGGAAGACGGAACAGACUUCCGUGGCAAGAUGCACAUGAAGGAAAGGUGAUGUCCAGAGAAUGAGGAGAAGAAUGCAUAAUCACACUUCCAACAAUGCAUUACUGUCAUUUGGUGUAUUCCUCGAACCCAAAACCCUCUCUCAAUUCCAAACGCGUUCGAGAUUCGCUGUUUCUGCAAGUCUCGGUGCAUUUCGGUUUAUUAGAGGUCAUCCUUCCGUACAAUUGCACCCUGAGAUUGACCGACAGUGGAGUGCACGUCUUGGAGCCCUUGAAAUCAGAAGAUAGAUGGGAUCCCUGCCACUUAAAGAUGGCGCACUUCGGAUUGGACCCCAAGCCCACUCUCGCAUGGCUGCAAAUGCCAAUCCCCUUUAGCUCCAUUGCAAGUCAGGUUUGGGAAAGUUUAAACCGGUGAAGGCUGACAUUACUUUUGCCUCUGCCAUUCAGAUUGGAGAUCUUGUUUCUAUAGUGGGUUGUAAAGGAAAUUGUUUAAAAAGAGAAGUCAACGUGCUGAGAAUUGGAUGACUUACCAAACAAGGUACGAUUGCAUCUUUAAGGAAAUCUCCCACCGAGCCACCAUGUAUGCGCUUUACAUAUUCAUGCUCAUUAAAAAAAAAAGAAAAGGAAAGAGAGUAUUUUCAUAAAGGAAAGUGCUGUCAUAUAAAUUGAAGGGAGGAUUUUUUUUUAGAGAUCCACACGGAGAUAUAUUAUUUUGAGGGAACAAAGAGAGGCCGGUGAAGGAAGAGAGCAGCAGCCGCACCACCAUAGAGGAAUUCUGGAAAAGGUAAGUUAGAAUUUCUAAGGAUUUUAGUUUUAAUAUUUUUAUUGGGUUGAAAGUUAGAGUUUUUAUGUAUUAAUUUUGAUUUUUUUUAAUCGGAUGAAAAAGUUAGAAUGUAGUUAGUUUGAUUUUGAUUCAUUGUCUUGGUUUCAAAAGUUAGGUUUUGUUUAGUUUAAUUUUAAUUCAUUAUGUUUGUCUCGAAAAAUUAGAAUUUUUGUUUGAUUCAAUUUUUUAUUCAUUGAACUAGAUUGAAAGGUUAAAAUUUUAUUUAAUUUAUUUUUUAUUCCUUGCGUUAUUUUGAAAUGUUUGAAUUUUGUUUAAUCUAGUUUUGAUUUUUUUUAUAUUAGAUUGAAAAGUAAAUUUUUGUUUGCUUAGUUUUGAUUCAUUACUUUGGUUUAAAAGGUGAGAAUUUUUUGUUUUAUUUUAAUUUUGAUUCAUUAUAUUACAUUGAAAAAUUAGAAUCUUUGUGUAGUUUGGAUUUCAUUCCUUGCUUAGUUCGAAAAGUUAGAAUUUCGCUUAGAUCGGUUUUAAUAGAUUUAAUUUUAAAAGUCAGUUUUUUUAUGAGUCAGCUUUUUAUUUAGUUCAAGUGUUUUAUAAUUUUUAGUCUAUUAUUCUAAUUGAUCCUAUGUAAUAAAGUUUAUGUUUUUUAAGUUUAUUUUGAUCAUGUUUUGGUUCAUCUUAUUUAGUUUAGGUAUUUUAGUUAGGAUUUAAGUUGGUUAGUUUAAGAAAUAUUUGGUUAAUUCUUGGUUGAUCCACUUUUAGUUUGUAUGUUUUCCAAAGUUUUAGACAACUAAUUUAAUUAACCCUAAGUCAUAUUAUUCAUGUUUUGAGUAUACUAAUCUUCAUUCUUGGUUUAUCAAUAUUUAGUUCAUGCUCUUUUUUAAUAGGUUAAUUAGUCUAACUAAUCUUAUGUUAUUUUGCUCACGUUCUAAAAUUGAUGAUUCUAGUUUUUGAUUAGUUAAUAUGUUUUAGAAUUCUAUGUGCUUGUGUUACUAUAUUCACAUUAUUAUAAUUACAUGUUUAGGUGUUUGGUUGAUUUUAAAUUAGUUCUAGAUUGUUUAUCUCAAUUUAUGUGUUUGAUUGAUCCUUAUAAAUUCCCGAUUAAUAUUUCAUUAGUUUUAUUUGAUCUAAGGUCGUUUGGUUUGUUGCUUUGGUGAAUAUUUAUUAAAUUUGAUUUUUAGAGGCCAUUGGAAAAUUAUGAAGAUUGGCCUCUACCAUCACCAUUAUCAUUUUUGUUAAUUACUAAAAAAAUUUACUUUGAGGUUUCAUUUUUGUUUUGUUUGGUAUUUUAUUUCUUAUAUUUUAUUUUUUCCAAAUUAAUUCCUUUUAUUUUAAAAUAAAAUACUUUUCUCAAAAAAAUCAUUUUAAAAAUCUAUUUCAAAAACUCAUUUAGAGUCCUCAGGAUCAAAAUCUUUUUUUUUAUUUUAAAAAAUAAUGUGCAACCAUAUUUUGUUCGGUUUGCAUCCUUCUCGGUUUCUAACAAAAAGUUUGGUUUUGAACAAAAACACGAAUCAAAGCUUGUGGUCCCAAAUAAUGGGAUAAUUCUGGGCUAAAUUUGUGUAUAUUAAUUUGGGGAAUUGGUGAAACCCCUACAUAAGAAAAUCUUUUCAAAAAUUAUUUUUGUUGCCAUUUUUGUCACUUUUUGAAAUUAUAUCUAUCUUUUUUUUUUUUUUAGAAAUUGUAUACAAGAUGAGUGUGAUAAUUAUUGUUUUCAUAUAUUUUGACAAUCUCUGCUAUGAUAAUUAGAUAACGAGCAUGCUAGGACUUCUUAUUUUAUUGUUUGUUAUCUAACUUCUCAUGUUUUGUGGAAGCGCAUUAGGAGUUAAAUAUGCUAUCCAGGUACGUUCCCUAAUACCCACUUUCUAAACCCUAUGAAUAUGUAUGCCCAUGCUUGCUAUCCUCUUUAAUUGCCUUGAUAUACAUUUGAUGAUUGUUUGAUUAUCUUUGAUAAAACAAAUGUUGUGUGAUGUAUCUCCAAACUAAUCUCUUAUGUUUUAUGAUAGCGCUUGGGAAGCCGUCCAGGUACGCAUUUUUAACUCUCCUUAAUUGUGAUUUGAUUUUGUUUGAUAUGUUAUGUUUUUUUGGAAUCACCUAGCCUACUUAGGUAUCCGAGAUCUACCAUUUAAUUGCCACGCUUCCCUUAACUUAGUUAGUAGAGACCUCUUUAGGGCUUAGAGGGGUGCUACCUCCUAGAGGUACCUUCCCAAUAAGUAACCUGAUCCCCGGACCAAGACUUGGGUUUUCAAAGACACGCUUUUCCAAAAAUUAUGGAGUCAUUUUUUUUAGGGUUUUAUUUCUUGUUUUAUUUUCCCUUCAAAAAUAAAAAUAAAAUAAGUGGUGACUCCAACUUUUUUUAAAAUUAAUUUUUCACAAUAAAAAGCGAGUCUCGCCGAUCGAGUGGGGACACACGUGAAAAAUGCGGGUCCACACAAAGGUUUAAAGCCCAUAACGUUCAAUGAACAUGUUGUGAAUAUGGGUGUCAUUAAGUCUUUUGAUUCUUUGGUUUAGUGGGAGCUUUUGUGAUUUCCCUUAUUUCAAUUAUUGUUUUGUGCAAACAUUGAUAUUGUGGUGCACUAUUGGUGACAUAUGACUUGUUAAAGUCAAACAAUUUCAUAUUGUUUAGAAAUUGCAGAAAUUUCAUUUUGUUGAGAAAUUGCAAUUACAAUUUCAUUUUGCUAGUAAAUUGUAAUGAGGACGGAUAAGAAACAAUGCAUAUAGAUGAUGAUCACAUGUUGGCAUUGAUUUCUUACUACACUACUGGGUUUACGAUCCAUGUCGAUAUGGUUAUAAAUAUUUGUGACUAUAAGGGGCAUUAUGUUUGUUGAGAUUAACAUAUAGACCAUCAUAGUUCAAUAUUAAGACCAUGUUGGACUGGAUAAGUUUAUCAAAAUGCUACUUAUAAACUAUCAUUUCUUUAUAAAAAAAAAGGUGUGGCUACACAAAUUAAACUUUUCUGUACUUAACCCGAGAGUCUUAUUUUCAAAAUGAAUUUAAUGAAUCCUCAAAAACAAUUAAUGUACCCCAAGUGGGAGAAUGUUGGAAAUUUUUUAUAUGGGCUAACAUUAAUUGAAUAAUUUGUAUUUGCAAAAAUGGGUUAAUGGAUAGUCUAUUAUAUAAUGAGCCCAAUUAACUAGUGAUCACAUUUUGGAUUGGGUUUUGCAUCUUUUGAGUAGAAGCUCAAUUGAGUGGCAAGUGUAGGCUAUGGGUCUCAUUGAAGCCCAUUAUGGGAGGUCCAAAAGAGAACCCAAUAUUGAGUUAUGCUAAGUCCCCUCUGUAAUCUAGAAACAAAGGGUCUUUUUGUUUUCCCAUCGAGCCACCAUAGCCGUUAUCAAGAUCAUAGAGAGGAAGACUUGGUUGCAACAAUCAAUCACCUGUUUUUUUUUUUUUUUUUUUGGUGAUGGCUCAAACAGGUAUGUUCUUUAUAAAGAUUUUAUAUUGUCAGUAUCCUUUAAUCAUGUAUGAUUAAUCUAUGUGAUUAUGUAAAUAUUUUUAUAGUAGUAGCCUAGAGAGCAGGGUUCGGAGGAGUGGCAACCUACUAUGCAAGAUCAAGUGGGAUAAGAAGUUCAUAAACAUGAUUGUAAUGUUUGGACUAAGAGCUCAUGUCAAUAAGAGCUUAGGGUCCAAGUGUAACAAGGGUUGAAUCCAAAUCAAAGCCCACAUCCUUAAGAAUCCUAUCGAUAAUGAGGGAAAAUGGAAGGCCACCAGUGCGAGCAGCAAGAUCACAAAAAGGAGUCAUGAUAUAUAAAAUCACAUGGGCAAUGUCGAACUAUUGCUAAGACAAUAUGGUGUGAAUGAAACGAGUGACAAUGUGCCAAAUCAUAGUAUGAUUGGUCAUAGGAUAGAAUGACUAAGAAGUGUAGGAUAAGAGAACCCAAGCUAACUUAGUAAAGUCAACGACUAGAAUAUAGACUAGCAAAUGACAUGGCUCGCCAUAGAGAGAGAUCGGGACUGAGGUGAGCUCACCCUAAGUAAGUGCCUACACCUCGAGAAAGAAUACGAGAAGUUGAAUAGAGACCCGAGACACACCAAGUGCUUGACAGAUGGAACUAGUCGACACAAGAAAAGUCUGACCAUACAUGGCGAUGCCAAACAUCAUAUCAUUCACCGUAGAAUGGAUGUUUACAUAGAACAUCAAAACAUAGUGUGGGUAGGUUAGCCCACGGAGAGAAGCAAGAGGCUCUCAACCUCAUGCUUGGAAGAUACGUGGAAGGUCAAUAUUGAAAAAAACAAGAGCAUAUUAAUGGUGUACUCGACCUCAACACAAUGGCCUAUGAAAGAAGCGUAAUAAUGGUCAUGAGCCUCCUUAGAAUGAAAACACUCCAUUGGGAGGUCACUUAGGUCAAAAAGACCCUAGACCACUAGACCUUGGACCCCUUGGAAAUGAGACGUAGAGGGUGACUCCCUAGGUUGCCUAUGAACAUUGGCCAUCCUACAAUGAAUAAGAAUAUAAAGAGACAUAUAUCAUGAUGUGGACCCAAAUUUCUCACGUGCGCCCCCACUCGAUCGGCGAGACUCGUUUUUUAUUUGUGAAAAUUUUAUUUUAGAAAAGUCAGAGUCGCCACUUAUUUUAUUGUAUUUUAAAAUGGAAAAUAAAACAAGAAAAAAACCCUAAAAAAAUGACUCCAUAGUUUUUGGAAAAGCGUGUCUUUGAAAAACCCGAGUCUAGGUCCAGGAAUCAGGUUACCUAUUGGGAAGGUACCUGUAGACCCUCAAUUUUGUCCCUUUAGCACAUGUCUUUAAAAUUCAUUUUCAAUGCUCCACAAUAGUUCCUUGGUGGCCCAUGGUUACUCAUACCACUUACCUUUUUCUGAGUCACCUCGGAGAUUUUGGUUGAGGGAUUAUUUGAUCCCUUAUUGUGACCCUUGGCAGCCCUAACUUAGACUUAGGCUUUUCUUGUUUUUUUAGGAUAGCUUUUAGAUACACUUGGCCCAUUAGGCACUACCCUAGGCCCACUUAGUCUCACCUUAGGCCCGUUUAGGCACACUAGGCCUACGAAGACUUUUAUUUUAUUUUAUUUUAUUUUAUUUAUUUAUUUUGUUUUUAAUUUUAAUUUUAUGAUUAUCAUUCACUUUUUAUUGGUUAUCUUCCUCUUUAUAUUAUUUUCCUUAACUUAUUUAUUUAUUUAUUAUUUUUACCAUUUUUUAAUUUAUUUACUUAUUUAUCUAUACAUGCAAUUAUUUAACUUCAAAAAUUUCAUGUUUUUGCAAGGAAACUUACCAUUGGAGUUUAAGGAAGAUGGGACUCUCCUUGGAAGGUUUUGGAGGGGAAUUUGAAAUUGGGAAGAUUGCUUUUGAUUGGAGGAUUUAAAAAAAGAAGAGAAGAAGAAAGGAAGGAGGAGAAUUUUCCUUUUUGGAAACAAAUUUAGGUCUUGAGGGGUGAUAUAUAUAGGUGAGAAAAGGAAAAGAAUGGGGAGAUUUUUUUUGGGGGGCAGAGCACACGGAAUUUUGGAAAAAAGCAAGGGACUUCGAACGGAGAUCGGGCUGUCAUUUAAUCAUCAAGAGAGGAUUUUCUCUUUGACUUCAAAGGUUAGUUUUCUAUAUAGUACUUUUAUUUAGCUUAAUUCUUUAGUUUAAAUAAUCAUAUCGAAUAAAGUUUGUAUUUUUAAUCCCAAUUAGUUUGAUUUUAAUUUGUUUUUUAGUUUAAAUGUAUUUUGUUGAUCUUAAUUAUUGACUUUAAAUAAUCACGUUAAAUAAAGUUUAUGUUUUUAAUCUCAAUUAGUUUGAUUCCAAUUCGUUUUUAGUUUAAAUACAUUUUAUUGAUCUUAAUUCUUAAGUUUAAAUAAUCAUAUCGAAUAAAGUUUGUAUUUUUAAUCCCAAUUAGUUUGAUUUUAACUUGUUUUUUUAGUUUAAAUGUAUUUUGUUGAUUUUAAUUCUUAAGUUUAAAUAAUUGUAUUGAAUAAAGUUUGUAUUUUUUAAUCCCAAUUAGUUUGAUUUCAAUUCAUUUUUAAUCUAAAUGCAUUAGUUGAUUUUAAUUCUUAAGUUUAAAUAAUUGUAUUGAAUAAAGUUUGUAUUUUUAAUCCCAAUUAGUUUGAUUUCAAUUCAUUUUUAAUUUAAAUGCAUUAGUUGAUCUUAAUUCUUUGUUUUAAAUAAUCACGUUAAAUAAAGUUUGUAUUUUUAAUCCCAAUUAAUUUGAUUUCAAUUCGUUUUUUAGUUUAAAUGUAUUUUGUUGAUCUUAAUUCUUUAGUUUAAAUAAUCAUAUCGAAUAAAGUUUGUAUUUUUAAUCCCGAUUAGUUUGAUUUUAAUUCGUUUUUUAGUUUAAAUGUAUUUUGUUGAUUUUAAUUCUUUACUUUAAAUAAUCACGUUAAAUAAAGUUUGUAUUUUUAAUCUCAAUUAGUUUGAUUUUAAUUCGUUUUUAGUUUAAAUGCAUUAGUUGAUCUUAAUUCUUAAGUUUAAAUAAUUAUGUUAGAUAAAGUUCAUGUUUUUAAUCCCAAAAUAGUUUAUUUUUAAUUUAUUUGUUAGUUUAAAUAUGUAUGUGAUUUUAAUUUAUUAGUUUAAAUAAUCAUGUUAGAUAAAGUUUAUAUUUUUUUUAAUUCUAAAUUAGUUCAGUUUUAACCUAUCUUUUAGUUUAAGUAUAUUUGUGAUUUUAAUUCAUUAGUUUAAAUAAUCUUGUUAGAUAAAGUUCAUAUUUGAAAUUCCGAUUUAGUUUAGCUUUUAUUUAUUUUUAAUUUGGAUGUGUUUGUAAUUGUAAUUUAGUAGUUUAAUUAAUCUUAUUAAAUAAAGUUCAUGUUUUUAAUUACAAUUUAAUUCAGUUUUAAUUUGUUCUUCACUUGUAUGUGUUUGUGAUUUGAAUACAUUAGUUUAAUUAAUCCCGUUAGAUAAAGUUUAAUCUUGAUUUAAUUUAUUUUUUUAGUCUAGAGGCAUUUAUGUGUUUAGUUAAUCUUAUGUUAAUUAUGGAUUGUUAUUCUCAAUUUAUGCGCUUCUUGAAUCCUUGUUGCUAAUUCUUGAUGGAUAUUUCAUUAGCUUAUUUGAUCUAAAUAUUAAUAAUUUAUUGCUUUGAUAGUUUCCUUUUUGUUCAAAGGCCAUUGGAAAAUCAUGAAGAUUGGCCUCUACCAUCACCAUUAUCAUUUUUGUUAAUUACUAAAAAAAAUUUUACUUUGAGGUUUCAUUUUUGUUUUGUUGGGUAUUUUAUUUCUUAUAUUUUAUUUUUUCCAAAUUAAUUCCUUUUAUUUUAAAAUAAAAUACUUUUCUCAAAAAAAAUCAUUUUAAAAAUCUAUUUCAAAAACUCAUUUAGAGUCCUCAGGAUCAAAAUCUUUUUUUUUUAUUAUUUAAAAAUAAUAUGCAACCAUAUCUUGUUCGGUUUGCAUCCUUCUCGGUUUUCAACAAAAAUUUUGGUUUUGAACAAAAACACGAAUCAAAGCUUGUGGUCCCAAAUAAUGGGAUGAUUCUGAGCUAAAUUCGUGUAUAUCAAUUGGGGAAUUGGUGAAACCCCUACAUAAGAAAAUCUUUUCAAAAAUUAUUUUUGUUGCCAUUUUUGUCACUUGUUGAAAUUAUGUCUAUCUUUUUUAGGAAUUGUAUACAGGAUGAGUGUGAUAAUUAUUGUUUUCAUAUACUUUGAUAAUUUUUGUUAUGCUAAUUAGAUAACAAGCAUGCUAGGGUUUCUUUAUUUUAUUAUUAUCUAAUCCCUCAUGUCUUAUGGAAGCGCAUUGUAAGUUAUCUAUGCUAUCCAGGUACGCCCCCCCUAUCACCUACUUUUCUAAAUUUUGUAAACAAUCAUGUCACUGUGAAGUAUGCAUAUGUUUGAUAAUCCUUAGGUGUUUAGAUGUAUGCUUGAUUCACUAUGAUUAAAUACAUGUUGUGUGUUAUACUUCUAUACUAACUCUGAUGUUUUAUGAUAGCGCUUGAAGAGCGGUUCAGGUACGCACCCUAACUCUCCGUUUUUGUGAUUUGAUCUUGUUUAGCAUGCAAAUCUUUUGAAAUCACCUAGCCUACUUAGGUAUCCAUAAUUAACCGAUUAAUUGCCAUAUUCCCCUUAACUUAAUUAGUAGAGACCUCUUUAGGGCUUAGAGGGGUGCUACCUCCUAGAGGUACCUUCCCAAUAAGUAACCUGAUCCCCGGACCAAGACUUAGGUUUUCAAAGACACGCUUUUCCAAAAAUUAUGGAGUCAUUUUUUUUAGGGUUUUAUUUCUUGUUUUAUUUUCCCUUAAAAAAUAAAAAUAAAAUAAGUGGCGACUCCAACUUUUUUUCAAAAAAUCAAUUUUUCACAAAUAAAUAAAAAGCGAGUCUCGCCGAUCGAGUGGGGACGCACGUGAAAAAUGCGGGUCCACAGUACCUCUAAGAGGUAGCACCCCUCUAAGCCCUACAAAGGUUUCUAUUGACUAAAUUAAGGGAAAUAUUGCAAUUACUUGAUUAAUUGAGGAUACCUAGGUUGACUAAGAUGAUUUAAAAAAAAAAAAAAUAGCACGUCAAAUAAGAUCAAAUCACAAUAAAGGAGAGUUAGGAUGCAUACCCGAACUGAUUCUCAAGCGCUAUCAUAAAACAUCAAAGUUAGUAUAGAAAUAUAACACACGUCAUGUAUUUAAUCAUAGCGAAUCAAGCACACAUCUAAGCAACUAAGGAUCAUAUCAAGCAUAAAUAAGGUUCACGACAACAUGCAUGUUCAUGGAAUUCCGAAAAGUAAGUGAUAGAGAGUGUACCCGGAUAACAUGCAUAAUUUAUAAGAUUCCUCCAAAAUGUUAUAAUGGUUAGGACAAGUACAAAUUGUAUAACAUCUCUAUUAUGUCUAAUAUAGAGUACCUAAGCCAAAAGAGAGUCAAAAUAAGUCAAAUGACUCCAAAAGCAAGUAACAAAUUCAAAUAAAGUAUAAAACCAUCAGCAUGUAGUUAGAAAAGAAAGCAUCACAAAACAAUUUCUAAAAAAAAUGGCUUAUAGUGGAAUUUAACUAUGAAAAAUUUCAAGAAACAACUCCUACAUAUCUAGAUCAACAUACUAAAAUCCAAACACUCAUUCAAAGGACGGAUUGCAGUAAAAACACCUAAGGGUUCUGCAAAGUCCAGAUUAGAUAAGAAAAUUUGACAUGCAUAAACGAAUUUAAAAAAAAUAAUAAAUGAUCACUUAAAAUCAUACAAAAAAUUAUAAACAUAGCUCAAAGUGUCUAUUUCACAUAAAAAAAAUGAAUCUAGGGUUGGAUUGUACGUAAAAUUAUUUUUAAAACACUCAAGCUAAUCAGAUGUCUAGAAUCCAGCAUGCAUAGUAGGCAUGAAUUUGAAAAAUCAUAUCUCCCUCAAAAAGGAAUAUUUUUUAAUAUUUUAUGAAUCCAAGAUCAAUUUUAAGAAGCCUAAAAUGGAGUAAAAAUAUUGAAUCAAAAUUAAAAAUCGUCUAAUAUUUUAUUUUGAAAAAAGAUCUCGGGUGUCCAGAACUAGGUGAAAACAGAGCCCCCUAAAGACUCGUUUAUAUCUUUUAUUCCAGAAUGGCUUUCUAACUCAAACGAAACUUUAAAUUCAAUUUUAAGAAGUGAAGAAAGUCAUAUAAUUUUUUAAAAAAAUUUUAAAAACAUUCCAAAGUUUCUAAAACGAAUUUUAAAUCUAAAGGGUCAGUGGCAACUGGCAGCAAGAAAAAAAAGUUUUUGAAAAUUUUUGCACCACUGGAAUUUUCCUCCCAAGAUGGCUAUGUUGUUGUUUCUUUUCAGUAAUAUCUUCAAGCUUCUGGGUGUCCUCUGAUAGGUUGGUAACCCGAACAGAAUUCUCUUCAUUAAUGCAUCUCAUUUCAGUUCCACUUUUCUCUGCACCUGCUCUCAUGCCUGGAGGAACAUAUUUCCCUUUGCUUAUCAAUGAAUCCUUUAGAAGGUGGGACAAGUUCCUUGUAUGGGCACCUUGAAGUUCUAGUUGUGGAGGUUGAUGUUGUAGGCCAACGAAAUCGUCUGUAUAUUGAACCUGGGUAUCCAGGUCUAGUUGGCUCCUCCAAGGUGCUUGGUUUCUUUGAUAGCAUAACCACAACACGAAGCAUGUUGGGUCGUGACUGUGGAUCAACUUGAGUGCACAACAAACCAAUCUGUACACACAUCGCUACUUACUCAGCAACUGCAGAUGAUGCUAAUGAGGAAUCCAAAACCUCCAAGCUGCGGUUUUUCUUGUAAAAUUUCCAUGCCCACUCAAGUAGGCUCUAUGCAUCGAGAUUUACAUCAAAUGUGGAAUUCUUUUGACCACUUAUUAGCUCUAAAAUCAAAACCCCAAAACUGAAUACGUCUGCCUUCACUAAAAGAUGUCCAUGCAUGAGCCAUGUCCCCAUUGGUGCCAGCUACACGAGUGUUGACAUGAGUUUAGUCUUCUGGAAAGAGACGUGUCAUACCAAAAUCAGCAAUUUUUGGGGCCCAUUUAUCAUCUAGUAGAACAUUGUUAACCUUGAUGUCCCAAUGGAUUAUGCAACUAUGGGAGUCUUCAUGAAAGUAAAGCAAGCCUCGUGCGAUGCCUCCAAUUAUGUCAUACUUUCAUUUCCAAUCCAGUUCCUCUCGUCUACCUAUUUUGAAGAGAAACUUGUCAAGAUUUUCGUUGGAGAUGUACUCAUAGACAAGAAGUUUCUCUACACCACGUGUACAAUAUCCUAAUAGAUUUACAACAUUUUGAUGUUGUACACGAGACAACAACUUGGCCUCAUUCUCAAACUCUUUCUUCACUUGAUUCGGGUUCUAUGACAGCUUCUUUACAGCAAUCUCUAUAAUGACCGGGUGUUUUAGGCCACAUUGGAAAUUUUAGUUUGAAAAGUCUUUUUUUGAGUGGUGGUUGAAAAGUAAAAAAGAAAAGUGUUUAGAGAACAUGUGUAAAUUUUGGAUUGGCGAAAUUUGAUUUAUUGUGUUGGUCAAUUAGGCGAGUUGAAAAUUUUGUACCACGUCAGCCUUAUGGUAGAAAAUUUCUUAGGAUUUUAGAAAUUGAAAAUUUCCGAAAACGAAAACGAAAAUGAAAAGUGAAUUAAUUAAAAUUAAUUAAGUAAAAAUUAAAUGAAAUUGAUUAUUAAUAAAAUUGAGAAAAUUAAUUUUUGAUUUGUGUUUAAUAAAUUAAUUUGUGUAUUAUAAAAAAAAAUGAAAAAUGAAAGAAUUUGGAAAUGAAAAAUAAGCAAAUGGAAAUAAAUAAAGGAAAAAAAUAAAUCAAAAAGUUGGACAGUGGGCCAUGAGAUGUGGGUUGUUAAAAAAAAAAAAAGGAAUUGAUUUGGGCCUUGGAUGAAUUGGCCUUAAAAGGAAAAAAAAUAAAAAAUAAAAAGGUUGGUUGGGCUUUUGGGCCAUGGCUUGUGGUGGCUGGUGGAUAAAUAAAUUAAAGAAAAAAAAACGGAAAAAGGGAAAUUUUGAAAAGUGGCAGAACGGGGAGAGAGAGGGUCGCGACGGACUGUGGAGAAGUUGCACAUCACUGGAACUUUGACCUGUCGUUUGGAUGGCCGAAUGACGUUCGUUUCGGCCCAAUAUUUGAGGAGGUAUUCUACUCGACGAGAUGAACGAUUCUAUGGUGGCUGAUUGUGAUUUUAACGAUCGAAUUCUUAGAUCUAUGGUAGAGGAACUUAACCCUAAAACUUAAAUUUAAUGAUAUUUUCCUUUGAAAAAAAUUGUAAAUCUUAUUAUUUUGAGUUAAGUAGGUAAUAUUGGUGUUGUAUGAAUUUUUUUGGAUGAUUUGGAAUUUUUUUUUGAAUUUUUGAAAUUUCGGGAAUUUCUUUUUGGUUGAUAAAUAAUUGUUUUGAGUUGUUAAAAAUGAUUAGAAGUGUUGGAAAAUUUUAAAAUUAGGAUAUAAUUUUAAAUCUAGUGAUAUGUGAAUUUUUGGGAAUUGGUUGGAGUAUUUUCGGAAUUUUUAUGGUGGAAAAUUAGUUAUUUUAGAAUAUUGAAAAUCAUUAGAAUUGUUGGAAAUUUCCAAAACUAUAGUAUAAUUUCAAGUUUAUUGAUGUGUGAAUUUUCGAAAAUUUGUUGGGAUAUUUUCGAAAAUUUUAAUGUGGAGAAUUUAUUUUAUUGGAUUAUUGGGAAUGUUGAAAUUGUUGAAAUUAUUGAGAAAUUUUGGAAUUGUGGCAUUCAUCUACAUCAUGGUUGUGUGAAGAAAGGAUAAAAAUUGUGAAAAUUGUAUGAAAUGGAAAAAGAAAGGAAAAAAAAAUGAAAUUGUGAUGAAAAUUAAAAACCCGUGUGAGACGAAUUAAGAAGGGUGAGAGAUCCCUAAUGUGAAAGACCCAAAAGUUUACCCCGGGAAGACUCUGAGUGGGGAGUGUAUUUGGGUGCAGACGCGUAUCCUUCGGUGAAAGCCCGAGAACGAUAGUGCAUUGUAUGACUGUGUCACACGUUCAUAUGCAUUUCAUUUAAUUGUUGAAUGUUGUGGAAUUGUGUAUAAUAUUAAAUAUUAAAUUAUGUGGCUUGAUUAAUAUUGUUGAAAUGUUUCUUGUGUGUUCUUUGAAACUUAGAAAUCCACAUUAACUCCUUGGGUGUUAGGCACCCUACUGUGCAAUGUGGAAUGCUCACCCAUUCAUUUUUACAUUUUUUUAGAUGCAGAUAUCACUCCUGAGGAUCCACAGGUAGGGUAGGAAGGACUUCAGGAUGCUCUUGGAGCGGCCUAGUGGAGCGUGUUAUUUUUAUUGUGUUUGUGGUAUUGGGAUUUGUUUUAGUAACUAUAAACUAUGGAUGUGUAAUGAGACCUUAAUUUGAUUAAGUGGAUUAACUAUGAACUUUUAUUUUGGAUUGUAAUGAUAAUUAUUAAAUCUUGAUGCAUUUGAGUAAUGUUUGAAAUAUUGCUAGUUGGUGAGAACCCUAGUGUGGUUUAUAUGUGGAAAAAAAACAUUUCAGAGUGUUUUGGUUGACUGCCAGCGUGGAGUAGGAGAAACCCUUAGGGUCAAACCUUUGACCUGGGGUCAUGGGCCAAGUUUUGGGUCGCCCAGAAUUUGGGUUAUGACAAUCUCUCUCCCAUCAUCUAACCUCCCCUUGACGACGGGACUGAAACCUCUUUCACCGAGCUUCUGGUGGAAAUUUUUUAUGGCUAUGACUAGGGUUUCGAAAGAGAAUAGCUUUUGUUCCUGGGCAUCGAUCUUCUCCAAAUCCUUCUCUUUCUAUCCCUCUUUGCUGGAACUGAAUUUUAAGGGCUUCAUUAUAUUCAGAUCAAUAGGGAAUGUUGUUGUAGAUGGUGCAAUCUCUCCAAGGCUGCCACAAGCAAGACUGACCAUUAUCGUGGAAUCACUGGGCCUUUUUUUUUUUUUAUGCCCUCCAGAUCUCAAUGCCUCAUAAACCAAAAAGCUUAUUGCUAUCCUCAGUCCUCCUCUAUAUCUUCCACAGAAACCAUCCUCAUUCAUCCUCCAACCCGUGUGUCUUCCUUCAUUAUUUCCCCCUCAAAUGCUGAAUGAUCUCCCAUUCCCAAAAAUCCUUAACUUUCCUUAUCCAUGGCCUUUAUGUCGUUAAAGAUCAGCCCCCAGAAUUCCACAGAGACGUGCUCAAAAUCCUUCAGAACACCACCUUCCUUUUGCAGCCAAAGUGGAGAUAUAAGAAAGGAUCUCCUCUCCAAUCCCCUCUUGUUCCCUUCCCAAAACCAAGUCUCUCCUUUAAUCCAUUUCUUACCGAAUCCAAAAGUCGUCCAUACGUGUUGGCCACUUACCAUCAUUGCAUGCUAAUCUCUUCCUUUUUUCCCACGAUUCCUUCUGAGUCUCCUUAUUUGGUCGUGAUCUCCUCUCCUUCAUGGCUUCUCAUGCAAAAUUAAAAAUAAAAUUUAAAUAAGAAAUCAUGUAAUUGGAAGUUAAGACCAAAAUGAAAUAGAAUAAAAUAAAAUAAAAUUUCAAAUCACCUAGCCACAAAAUCCAAGAUAUCAAUUCAUGGAAUUAAAUAAUGAAUAAAUAAGUAAAUAAAAAAAUAAAUUGAUAAAAGGUAUAAAAAUAAAUAUUAGACAUAUGCAAUUAGAAAAAAAAAAUCAAGAAAUUAAAUUAAUGCAACGGAUCAUAAUAAUUUAAAUGUCAAACUCAAACCAUCAAAAAUAAAAAAAUUCCUUUCACACAAUCAUAAAAUAAAAUAAAUAAACAAAAUACAAAUAAUAAUAAUAAUAAUGAAAUGAUAUAAAAUAAAUCAAAAUUGAGUUAAUCCUAAAAUCAAUCAAUAAUAUAAAUAAAUAAAUAAAAACAAGAAAACAACUUUAAGUGAAACUAAAUCUAGAAAAGUGCCUAGGCGAGCCUAAGGUGGUGCCCAAUGGGCCAAGUGUACCUAAAUAGGCCUAGGGUGCCUAAGUGGGCCUAAGGUGGUGCCUAAUGGAUGAAGUGUACCAAAAUGGGCCUAGGGUGCCUAAGUGGGCCUAAGGUGGUGCCUAAUGGACCAAGUGUACCAAAAUGGGCCUAGGGUACCUAAGUGGGCCUAAAGUGCCUAAGUGCGCCUGUGGUGCCUAAAUCUAGAUUAGGGCUGCCAAGAGUCAUAAUGGAGUUAGAUAAAUCUCUCAACCAAAGUCCCCAAAGUGGUUUAGAAAAGAUAGGCUACACGAGUAGUAAUAAGCCACUAGGGAAUUGUUGUAAAGUACCGAACAAAUACCUAAUAGAACAUGUGCUAGGAGGACAAAAUAAAGGGUCUACACAUGAUUUUUCUUUUUUUCUUUAGAAGAAGUGGAGCCAUUAUAUACCAUUUAUGGAAAUCAUACUUUCACUCUAGUUGCUUUAUUCCACUAAGGGGUUGUUUUCUAAAUAUUGCAAGUGAAGGCAUAAAUAUCUUGGAAGAAUCUUUGAUUCUAUUUUAGCUAAGAUUCCAUGAUUUCUAUCAUUCACUUCAAGAAACAAAAAUAUUGAACAUAGACAAAUAAGGUAUAUGUAUUAAACUUGACUAAGCAUGGUAUUCGUUACUUCGAAAAAAAAUAAAAAUACUUUAUUAGUUAAAUUUAAGAAGAUUCCCUAUUAACCAUUUACCAAGAAUAUUUUUUUUAGAUUUCCCACUAUACAAGGAUUUUUAUAUACCUUAAAAACGAUUAACGAAAUCUUGGGGAAAUAAAAUCAAAUUUUGUGGAUAUAGUACAUUUUUAUCAGGCCUAAAACUUGAGAUAUUGAAAUCCUUAUUGAUAAGGCAAGUAAAUAUGACAUCCAAAUUUUCCUAAAAAGAACUGAGAUAGACCAAAGGAUGAGAAAAGAAGCAAUUUAAGCACAAAUCCUUUGGACUACACCCUUUAACAUCACCAGUUAGUUAGGCAUAUACCCAAGAAUUUCAUAAGUUAUUCAAACCUAAAGGUAUCUAGCGGUUUUGUAAAAAUAUCUAUCAAUUGAUGCUUCAUGAAUUUCUAUAUGUUUAGUUCAGGAAUGAAAAAAAGGGUUUUUGGAAAUAUUAAUCUCACUAGAGUUGUCACAAUAAAUAUUCAUAGUACCUUGCUCAAUGCCAUAGUCAUUGAGCAUUUGUUUCAUCCCAUAAAGUUGGGCACAACAACUUCUUGUGGCAAUAUAUUUCACUUCAACAGUGGACAAGGAUAUUAAAAUUUGCUACUUACUUAGCUAGGCAACUAAACAAUCAUCCACAAAGAAGCAAGCACCUGAAGUGUUUUUCCUAUCCUCUACAUUUUCGACCCGAUUACCACUAGAAUACCCAACAAUAACAAGAGAAGAAUCAAAAGGAUACCAAAACCCAUAAUCUAAAGUCCCACUAACAUAUCGAGUGAUUCUUUUAAUUUAAGUUAAGUGUAACUCGUUGGGAUUUUAACCUAACACAUGCUCCCACACUAAAAGAAAUGUAUGAGCGAAUUGAAAUAAGGUACAAGAGACUAUCUAUCAUACUCUUAUAAAGCUUUUGCUCAACAUCCUUUUCGAAUGUGUCCUUACAAAGCUUAGUAAUGGUACUCAUAGGUGUCUUAAAGUAUUUAGAGGAUUCUAGACCAAAUUUCUUCACUAACUCCCUAGCAUACUUAGACUAAUAUAGAAAGAUACCAUUUUUUAUUUGCCUGAUAUGAAAUCCUAAGAAAAAACUGAGUUCAUCUACCAUGCUUAUUUCAAAUUCCUUUUUCAUCUCCUUAGCAAAACUAAGGGCAAGAUAACUCGAGUUGGCUCCAAAAAUGAUAUCAUCAACAUAAAUCUAAGCCACUAAAAGUUUAGUCAUAGUCCUAUGAAUGAAUAAAGUUCUAUCAACUCCCACUCUCUCAAAUUAUUUUUCUAAAUGAUAAGUUGUAAGCCUCUGAUACCAAGCUUUAGGAGUUUGUUUAAGACCAUAGAGGGCUUUCUUUAACUUAUAAACACGAUUCAAGACUUUUGGAUCCUCAAAGCCCUUUGGUUGCUCUACAUAGACUUCUUCAUUAAGAAUCUCAUUCAAGAAAGCACUCUUAACAUCCAUUUAAAAGUUAAUUCCCUCAAUUUGGGAUAACUUUAUUCCUCAUAAUGAUUCCAUUUUCAUCUUAUUUAUUAUUGAAAAUCUAUUUAGUACCUAUCACAUGUUUAUUCUUAGGUUUAGGGACUAAAUACCACACAUUAGGGGCUUUAACUCUUAGGGUCAUGGACACAACAUUACACUUAGCCCUAUCCUUCUUCAACUACACUUGUUUCACUUUAGGUGGUUAACUAGAGGAGUUUUUUUUAGUCUUAGGCUAAGGAUUGGUUUUCUUUCCUAUCUUAAUAUGUAGAAUAUUAUUCUUUAGAAAAUCAAACUCAUUUAUUAGCCUAUUCAACUGAGACUCAUACCUCUUAAGGAAUCUACUAUCACAUCCACUUUAAGCAUGUCCAUACUUCUGAUAGUAAGUGCAUAGUGGGGAAGUUCUAGUAGAGGUUACUUGGUUAGGAGUUUCCUCCUUACCCUUGACAAAAACUAUGCCUCUACUAGUGGGAGUCUCGGUUUUGUUAAUGCAGCCUAGACCUCUUUGAUCUCCAUGUGACUUACAUUUAUCAAGAAUAUCAUUCAAUGCUUUAGUUCCAGAAUGUUAUUGGAAGAAAAAGAAGAUUUUUGACAUUCAAUAUCUCGAGUUAAAAAUAUCGUUUCUCUCAAGGAUAUAUUGAUACUCAGUCUCAAGAAACUAAAUUUUCUCAAUAUGAUUACUCUUUUCUUCACAAAGCGCAUUAAUAUAAGAUUUUUGUGAGUCAACAACAAUAUUAACUUUCAAGAAUUUCUCAAUCAAAUAUCAAUAUUCAACAACAAUAUUCUCAAGAAAAUCAACAUUUUCUUCAUAAUUAAACUCACACUCACUAUCAAUCUCAUGCACAAAAUCAAUAGAUGCAACAAAUGUUGGGAUUGAGCGCUUACGAGCAAGAUAUGACGUAACAAAGUUAGACUUAACUAUCCCCUUGCUAUCCCUUUGGUGUAUUGACAUUAAUUUGAGCAUUUAGCCCAUGUCUCUUACAUUGUACAUGAUGUGGGUGCAUUAGGAGUUGCACAGAAGAUACAAGUCAUGAGUUCCUUGUAAGUAGAUAAGUUGUCUAGAGUCAGGCCAUGGAUUUAGGCAAUUCGGUAGAGACUGUAGUGCACCACCUUCUAAUUGGAGGGAUGACUUGUCUUGGUUGUUGGGAUGGGUUUCCCAUGGUGAGUGCACUGGUGUAUGUGAUGCACACUAGACAGGACCUACCGUGAAUCAUGACGCAAGGUUAUUAAUUGUUAUGAUUCACCACUACAUGGAUAUCCCUAUGAAUUGGGUCACUAUUGAUGGAGGCUAGUGGCAACAUGUAUUCUCAAUAGAAGAACCAUGAUAUCUCAUGGGAUUAAGACAUUGUGUCCCUUUGGGUGAUCCAAAGGACAUGUGAUCAUGAAAUGUGUGGCCAUAGUGAUUCCUUUAGUGGAAUUUGAUAUAUGCUCUUUAGAGUUAGAGUAUGUCAAUUGAUCUCAUAAUAAGAGAGAUCUGUAACUCAAGGAUUUGAGAGGUAAUCUUGAUAGGUGAUAGCACUACCUUGUUAGAUUACGGAUACUAGUUCAUGAGGAGUCUAUAUGCAGUGGAUAGUAGGUCAUGGACCUGAGCAUUUGGUGUCUCAUUGUAAUAUACAAAAGGUACUGGAGUGUAGUUGACUCUUUGUAGUGAUAUGUUGAGUCAAUUUCAAAAUUUGAUUCUAAGAGAGCCAGUACUCCUAUGGGUCCCAAUGGUCCCCACUCUGAACUUAUAUUCCUUGUUGGCAUGACUUAUGAGGGUUGAAUGGGUUUUUAGUUCACUUUUGUGCAUAAGGGUGUUUUGGUAAUUAUGCAAGGUUGCACAAUGAUAAGUGAGUGGUAUCUUUGGACUGGGUUAAUUGAUUAAUUAGGCCUUGUAUGGUUAAUUAAUCAAUUAGCAACCUUUUUGGGCUAGAUUAAGUGACCCAAGCCCAUGGUGGGCUUUAGUCACUUAAAGCUAUAAAUACCCCUUCAAGGGUUAAGGUGUCCAAGUCUUACCAAUCUUCCCUUCAGUUUAGAGAGAGAACCCUAGUCUCCACCCUUGAGAUCUCCACCAUCUCAGUGCUUAAACAUAAGAAAGAGUCAUCAAGCGGAAGAUCAUGGUGUUUACGAGAUCCAAUAUGACUUGGAGUUAUCUACAUCGAUUGGAAUUGAUUCGAGAACAUCUAGAUCAAAGGUAUGUGGCUUUAGUCUUUAGAUCUAUGUUUUCCAUGGUAUCCAUAUUGUUUUUGAAUAUUUUUUUAUCCACUGCGAUAGAUAUAGAAAGCCUAAGAUAUAUUUGCAUGCACCCUACAUGAUCCAGGGGUUCCCAACAACAAAAGCUAAAAAAAUAAAAAAAAAUAAAAAAUUCAUUAUGCUCAUACCUUUGAUCCUUAGAAGCCAUGAAGUCACUCUCAUUGGAGUUUGUGUCACUCCAAGUAGCUUCCAUAGACUUUUUAAUGUCUUUAAGAUUAGGACAAUUAGAAGAAACAUGUGUCAGUCCUCCACAAUUAAAACACUCAACCUUUUUCCCUUUAGAAGACUUAUCAAAUCUUUUUCCCUUUCUUGAGUUUUGUUUCCUAUUGGUCCUUUUAUGAAAUUUUAGUACCUCUUUAACACGUUUUUCCCAUAUGAACCAAUUCUUCCCUACCUACACUUUUAGAAUUUUCAGACUCUUUUUCCUCAUUCUUAGAAGCCUUAAAAGCGAACUCUUUAGGCUUCUAAGAAUCUAGAAGAGUUAUUUCAUAGGUAUGAAGAGAACCAACAAAUUCAUCAACUCUCAUAAAGUCAACAUCCUUGCUUUCCUCUAUAGUAGUGACCUUAAACCUCUCAAGAAGGGAUCUUAAGAUUUUUCUAACAAUUUUAGACUCAGGAAUCUUUUCUCUUAGGUUAAAGGUAGAAUUCACAAUAUCACUUAAUUCAAAGUAGAAUGCAAAGAAAUUAUGAUUCUCUUACAUUCUAAGGCUUUUAAACUUAGAGGUGGGUAUUUAAAUUUUAGACAACUUCAUUGUUGAAAUGCCCUUGUUAGUUACUUCAAGAAUGUCCCAUGCCUCUUUAGCAUGCUUGCAUGUGGCUAUCUUGUGAAACUCAUUAAGACUUGCCCUAUUGAAUAUGCUAAAGACGACUUAAGCAUUGACCUCAGUCUCCUUAUUAUCAAUCUUAUCCCAUUCUUGUUUUGAGUUUUAAUUCACCAGUAGAUCUCCUAGUCACAUCUAAUUUUAAUGGGGGUCCUUAUCCAUAUUCCACAACAUUCUAGACCAUUUCUCCUUACAUUUAAAAAAAAAAAUUCAUUCAAGCCUUCCAAUGGGGAUAGUUAUUCCCAUCAAAAUAUGGUGGAUUGUUUAGGGGUGCCCCAGACCUCUAUUGUUCCAUGUUGGACUUGUUAGAUCAAUAAAAAUAUAAUUUAUAUUUAGAAAAAUGGCUCUAAUACCAAUUGAAAAACUUUUUUCUCAAUAGGAUAACACCUAGAGGGGUGAAUAGGUGGUUUUUUUUUUUUUUUAAAGAUUUUAAUAUAAAAGUUGAAAAACUUAACCCAAUUAAAACUAUGAGAGAAAUUUAAGCCUAUUUACGUCAAUAAGUUCCUGUAUGAUAUAGGAAAUAAUCAAAGAAACACAAUCACAUAAGAGACAAACGAUUUUACGUGAAAACCUCUCACACUAAUUGUGAAUAUAAAAAACUACGAGGUUUAGAACCACUAAUAAAAAAUCCACUAUAUGAGAUCAAGAUACACAAAUCUACCCGACCACUUAUCUUAUAUAUCAUGAUCCACAUCUAUGAUACAACACUUCCAAUGCUCCAGUGGAUUCGCCUCAACCUUUGAGGAAAUGUAAAUCUUUGCAACAACUUAAAAUUCAAUAACCAAAUUCUUGAGAGCUUUUGGGAAUGGUAAGGCAAGUUAGGGUUGAUUUCAAUGGAAGCAUCAAACCCUAAAACAAAUUUAGGAAGGGUUUAUAUAGGUCUAGAGACCUAAAUGAUUGGUAACCAAAUUUUCCAUAAACAAUAAAUCCUCAAUUUCCAAAAAUGAGAUAUGCCAGAAUAUGGUAGAUUCAAAGGGACCACUUGUAGACUUAUCCACCACUCGAAUGCCUUAGGUGAUUAAGCGCUUAGAUAAGUGCUUGAAUGAUGGAAGCGUUUGAGCAUGCUAACACUUGAGCUUCGAUGUUUUUCCAAAAAGCAAAUUUAAAACAAUUUAGUUCAAAAUUAAAUAAUUGAUCAAAUUCAAAUCCUUUUUAACACCUAACUUAUUACAACUUAAACCUUUUUAGUAUGACUUUUUGGUUGAAUGAACAAUAACCUUGAAUUUUCAAUGAAAAGUAAAUCACUAUCUAAAAAGUAACCUAAAAAUAAAGAAGAAUAAAAUUGCCAACAAAAUAAUGUGAGAACCUAAUGCCCUAACAACAUUUAAUAACAUGAAUUAGAUUUUGGAAUCUUGGUGGAUCCUUUUAUUUAAUAAAUAGACUUGAUGGAAUAAAAUGAUGAAAACUUAUAUUAUUAUUGUCAAUAAAAUAUAUGAAAUGUUGAUUAAAUUGACAAAUACAUAUAUAUAUUUAGACAAUCAUUGAUUAAUCCAAAUGGAUUUUUGUGAAUUGAAAUAUGGAUUUUAUUGUCAAUAAAAUAUAGGUGAAUGCAUUAUGGUAACUUCACAGGUGAGAUUAGAAUAUAAAAAAUUUGUGCUUGUUGGAUUCCCGAUUACUACAACAACCUUUUAAUCAAAUACUAAUUGCAAUUAAAGCUAGAUUAGCUAAAUCUACUUUUAUAGUUAAACUUUAUAAAGAAAAACUGUUGUUAUAAAUUAAUAUAGUUUUAUAAAAAAAAGUUUCUUCUAAUCAUAUUUCAUCACUGGUUUUCAUUCAAUUAACUACUCCCAUUUCAUUCAAGCAGAGAAAUGAAUCAUCAAUAAGAGAUUAAAUCAUUAUUUUGUCUUUGCAAGAAAAUUUGGGAAAGUUUAGGAAAUUUUAUUAGAAGUUUAAUAUGUGAAAAUACAUGUAAAUGUAUAACACUCUUUGUUUAUACAUAUACUAAUCCUUAUUUAAGCAUGUGUUAUUUCUUAAUGUUGAUCCUAAUCUUGUCAUUAAGCAAAGACUUAUAACUCUUUCAUAGAGUCCCUAAGCCUUUCUUAAAUUUUCUCAUUAAGGAAAAAAAAAAAAAACUUCAAAUGAAAUUAGACCUGAUGGCAUUAGAUUCAUUCAGCAGUUUAAUAAUUUUUAAAGAUAACUUAGAACUUAAAAAUUGAUACAAUUAAUACUAGAAUUUUUUUGGAUAAAAAUUAGUUCAAAAUGAUUAUGUCAAUUUCACCUCUACCUAUACUAAUAUAUAUUCUUUAAAAUUUUUAAUUAGGCAAAUGAACUUCAAAUUAUAUAAGACUUGACUUGUUUUAUUCUUUAACAAUCAUAAUAGUUUUUAAAAAUAAUUUAUAACUGUAAUAUACUAAUUAUAAUGGAAAUUUGGACCAAACCAGUCCAAAACACCUUGAAAAUAAUUGAAAAGUAAAUAUAAGUACAUAUUGUGAAUCAACUUAGUUUAUUUUCAUAUUUUAAAAAAUAAAUUAUAUUUCUUAUAAAAAAAUUAAAUAAAAUAUUAUAAUUAGUUGUCAUUUUUAAAAUAUUAAUUUCUAAUAAAAAUGUAAUUUAUAGAUUUAUUUAAAUAUUAAUAUUUAUGUUUUAUAAUUUUUAAUAAAAUAUUAUAAAUUUAUCACUAUAUUAUUUAUUGAAAAAUUAUUUUCUAUUUAUUUUGUAUCUAUUUAUUAUGUAUUUCUUACAAAAAUACAUAUUGUAGAUAAGAGUUUUUUUUUUUUUAAUUUUAAAAUAUUUUAAUUCAUUAUUAAAAAUUAUCUAUUAAUUUUUAAUAAAAAAAUAUUAUUGUAAUUUUUAUCUAUAAAUUUUAAAUUUUAAUAUUUUUUUUUUUGGUAGAAUAUAUAUAUAUAUAUAUAUAUAUAUAUAUAUAUAUAUAUAUAUAUAAGAUGUAUUUAGCAAAAUAAAUUAUUUUAGAAAAAACAAAAAAUAAAAAAUUAAGUUAAAUACACUUCAACUUUUGAGUGUUUUAUACUUUACCAUUCAUAUUAAAAAAUGCAUCACUUUACUUAUCAAAUUUGUUAAAGAGUAACACUUCAACAUAAUUUAUGAUGAAUCCUCUCUAAAUUAGAAAAUAGAUUGUUUUAUAUAUAUAUAUAGAUAUUAUUUUCUUUUUUAUUUGGACCAUGAUUCAAAUAUCGGUUUGAACUUAGGUAAAACUAAUUUUGAAUUGACAAUCUUAAAAGAAAAUUUUCCAAAUGCCUUUAAAAUAUGACAAUUUUUUAUUUCAAUGAGUUUGUAUGACUUUUCAUGAUUUUCACACGCAGUCUUCGAAUUUUGGACAUAUGUAUUUUAUUUACAUUUCAACCUUAUUUAUUUACUUAAUAAGUUUCUCAUUCACAUUUUAAGGAUAAAGUUUUGCUCUUUAAUAAAUUAUGAUACAAAAUAUUACGUCUUGUUUAACAACUGUUUUAAAAAAUAAUUCUCAAAAAUAGUUUUUGAGGACAGUUUUUGAAAAUUGUUGUAAUGUUUUGUAUAAUAAAUGUUUAUUUGGGAACUCAAAAUGUUUUUAAAUAAAUUCUUAAUAUUUGUAUAAUUAUUUUUUUAAAACAACACUAAAAAACGAUGAAAAACAAUAAAAAAUAAUUAAAGAUGUUAAUUAUUUUAUGUUUUUUGAUUGAAAAUAAUUGUUUUUUGAAAACACUUUAUUUCCUAUUUUAAGAAAAGGAAAUUGUUUUCCAUUUUUUUUAUUAACAAAUGUGCUUUCUUGGUUUUUUGUUCUUAAGAAUGUAUAACUGUGUUUAAAAACAAUUAACAAUCAGAACCUUUGAUUUUGAAUAUUGCGGAGAAAUUGUAAAACAAUAUAAGGAAGUAUUUUUAAUCCGAAGAAAUAAAUAGAAGAAUAAAAACAAGAAGGUAAUCUGAUGUGGUAAGGAGAAAAGAAGAAAGAAAUCCAAAUAAAAAUAAAUAAAAGGAGAAUGUUGGGCGAAGCAGAACAACAAAGGAGAUGAAGGUGGUCUUUUUUAUGAAAAGGGUGUUAUUGGUGAAGGACACACGAUAGGAGUUAUUUUAAUUGAAAAAUGGGUAGUUGACAUGCAAUGCAGUAAUGGUGAAAAAGGAUGUUACUUUUAAAAAAAAAAACAAAAAGGAAAAGUAUGCUUUGGACUUCCGAUAUGCAAAUAACCUGAAAUUGAGAACCCAACUUUUUCAAUUUAAAGUUAACACCAUUAAUCCCUGAAAUUGAGAACCCAACUUUUUCAAUUUAAAGUUAACACCAUUAAUCCCCAAAAUAUUUUGGAUUUUAUGCACUUUAGGUUGAUGUGGUUUUUAAUGUCAAAUUUACCCUCCCCUUUCCCACUCAAGUCGCUAGGUAAAAGUCGACAUGUAUAAAAAAAUUAAAAAAUAAAAAUUAUUUUCACUUUCUCUCCCAAUUCUUCUCCAUCUGCUCAUACCAUUGCCUCAUAUUCCUCUCAUUCUAAAAAAACUAAAUCUCGUGAACCUUCUUUAAAUAAUCUAUUAAGGCUCCUUCCAACUAAUAAAAAGAUUCACAAUUCACUAAUGUCUACAACUCAAAGUGAAGAAGAUUUGAGGAGCACAAAGCAGAGAUGUGAUGUUUAUUCUCUACGCUUUCUGUAUUACACCCUAACCCUAAUUUUGAAAUCUAAAGAAAAAAAUGGAGUUGGGUGGUUGAAACAUCUAGUUUGUUUGCUUAACCUUUGCCCACAUAGUUGAAUCUUGUUAUAUAUAUAUAUAUAUACCCUUUAACCUCCAUAAUAUCAUAUCUCGGUUUGAUUUUUUUCAAAUUUGACUUGGAUCCAUUUUGUUGGAAUUUAUAUAGGUGAAUGGAAAUUAGGAUUUUUUUUUUCUUUGGAAGACAUGUUGUUUCUCAACAAACACAACUUAUUUAAAAGAAUGUGUUUUAUAUUUAAAAAAAAAACACGACCUCUUCCAAAUGAUGUGUUUGGUGUCCCUUCAAAGGAUGUGUCUAGUAUUUUAAAAACAUAUAUCUUCUAAAGGUCACUUUCAAAUCUAUAAAUAGGGACCCCUUUCAUGACAUUUUCAUUCAUUCAUCCUGUCUCUCCAUUCUUUCUCUUUUCUUGCCUUUCAAGUCCUCAUUAGCUUCAAGUCUAGUCAUUUCUCUUUUCUACCAAAUAUUUGGUAUACAUGAGAGUACAAAUUACCAAGUGAUUCACUAUUUCUUGUCAUUUGAAGUGUUACUAUCACAAGAAAGUGAUCGUUGUAUCAUGGGAGACGAUUGUCAAUAAACCGUAAGCACUUGAGCGGGACAAAUUCGUUUUAAGGACAUAUAGUCAAACUCUAGCCUCGAUCAAUCUUAUUUGUGAGUUCCAAUUUUCUAUUUACUUCACUCAAUUUGUAUAUUUAUUAUACACACUUAUUAUCCAUAUAUUUUUAGUGAUUUGGAUAACAAUCUUAAGACGAAUUUGUUUUUAUUUUUUACAAUUGAUUUUUUUUUUAAAGUGAAAAUGGAUUUUGUAUCUUCUAUUAUACCUCUUGCUACUACACAUGAUGAGAAACUUGAGAAGUUCAUUGGGAUGAACUUUAAGAGAUAGCAACAAAAAAUGUUGUUCUACUUUACAACUCUGAAUUUUGCUCGAGUCCUAUAUGAGGAUGCCCCUAUGUUAAAGAAAGGUAAAACUGGUAAACAAGUGCAAGUAGUUGUGGAAGUUUGGAAUCAUUCUAAAUUCUUGUGGAAGAAUUACAUCCUCAAUAGUUUGGACAACACAUUAUACAGUGUGUAUAGUCCAAUAAGAAUUGCUAAGGAACUUUGGGAGUCUUUAGAGAAAAAAAUACAAGACAGAGGAUGAUGGCUUGAAGAAAUUUGUAGUCAACAAAUUUUUGGAAUUUAAAAUGAUAAACUCCAAGGUAGUUAUAAGUCAAGUCUAAGAACUACAAAUCAUUCUACAUGAAAUACAUGAAGAAACGAUGGUAUUGAGCGAGUCUUUCCAAGUUGCAGCAUAAUUGAAAAAUUACCACCUUCCUAGAAAGAUUUUAAAAAUUACUUGAAGCAUAAGCACAAGGAAAUGGGACUUGAGGACUUGAUUGUGAGAUUAAGGAUUGAAAAAGGCAAUUGAAUUUCUGACAAGAAGUCAAGGAAGCUUCCUAUAGAAUCCAAGGCAAACUUGGUAAAAUAGAAAACUAGCAAGAAAAGGAAGUACUCUAGUGAAGGUCCUAAUUAGGGGAAUGACAAGUUCAAAAAAUUCAAUGGAAAAGUUACGUGUUCAACAAACAAGGCCAUCGAGCUAAAGAUUGUCAUUCCAAAGAACAUGAUAAGAAAAAUCAAGUACAUAUGACUGAAGAAGAGAAACUAGCAAAUGAUGUGUUAGAUUUAGUGUUUUCUAUUGUGGUGUUUGAAGCCAAUAUGGUGGACAACCCCAAGGAUUGGUGGAUAGACACAGGAGCUACUCUUCAUGUAUGUUUGGAUGGAAAAAUGUUCUCUUCUUAUAUACAAAUAAAUGGAAGGGAGCUAUACAUGGGUAAUUCAACUACUUCCAAAAUUGAAGGCAUAGGAAAUGUGAUAUUGAAGAUGACUUUAGGAAAUGAAGUCACUCUCAAUGAUGUGUUGCAUGUGUCCAAUAUCUGUAAGAAUCUAGUAUAUGGCUCAUUAUUAAGUAAAAAUGGGUUCAAAAUGGUUUUUGAAUCUAAUAAGUUUAUACUCACCAAGAAUGGGGUGUAUGUGAGCAAAGGGUAUCUCGCAAAUGGGUUUUUUAAGAUGAAUGUAUGACUGUCCUGUGAGAUUUCAAUGCUAAUAAAGCUAGUUCUUUUGUUAAUUUGCUUGAGUCAUUUAAUUUGUGGUAUGACAUAUUAGGACAUGUGAAUUUUAAUUCUUUGUGCAAAUUAGGAAAUCUAAAUUUAUUGCCAAACUUUCACAUUAAUCCUAAUCACAAGUGCGAGACAUGUGUAGACGCUAAGCUAGCUAAAACACCUUUUCAUUUUAUUGAAAAGAACACCAAGCCUUUAGAAUUAAUUCACAGUGAUAUCUAUGAUUUAAAGUUUGUGUAAACUAGAUGAGAGAAAAAUAUUUCAUUACUUUCAUUAAUGAUUACACAAGAUACAGUUAUAUAUAUUUGCUAAGAAGCAAAGAAAAGGCCUUGGAAGUAUUAAACACUAUAAGAAUAAGGUUGAAAAUCAACUUAGCAAGAAGAAAAAGAUGACAAGAAGCGAUAGAGGUGGAGACAAUGAAGCACCUUUUGAUGAGUUUUGUUUAGAACAUGGUAUUAUUCAUCAAACCACUGCUCCUUAUUCACCUCAAUCAAAUGGGAACAUUAAAGGAUAUGAUGAAUGCUAUGUUGAUAAGUUCUGGUUUACCUCAUAAUUUAUGGGGGAAAUCAAUUUUUUUUGCUAACCACAUUUUGAACAAAAUACCACACAAGAAAAAUGAUGUAACUCCAUAUGAAUUAUGGAAAGAAAGAAAACCAUCUUACAAAUUUUUGAAAGUGUGGGGGUGUUUAGCUAAAGUAGCUAUUCUUAACCCUAAAAAGGUUAAGAUAGGGUCUAAAACAGUUGAUUGUGUUUUUAUUGGUUAUGCCAAUAAUAGUAGUGCAUAUCAGUUCCUUGUAUAUAAAUUAGACAUUCUUGAUAUUCAUGAAAAUACAAUCAUUGAGUCAAGAAAUGCCUCAUUUUUUUAGAACACUUUUCCUUAUAAAAGUAUACUAGAGAAAGUUCUUAGAAAAGAACAUAUGAGACUACUACUAGUAGUCAUUAAGAUAUUGAAAAACCCAAAUGCAGUGAAAAGACCAAAGUAUCUAAGUCAUUUGGUCAUGAUUAUCUAAUUUAUAUGUUAGAAAAUGAACCCCAUACAUUUAAGAAAGCAUUGUCUACUCCAGAAGCUCUAUUAUGGAAAGAAGCUAUUAAUGAUGAAAUUGAAUCGAUCAUGAAAAAUCACACAUAGGAACUGGUGGAUCUUCCAGCAAGAAAUAAACCUUUAUCUUGUAAAUAGAUCUUUAAAAGGAAAUUGAAGGCCGAUGGAUCAAUUGAUAAAUAUAAAGUUAGACUGUAGGUAAAGGUUUUAAACAAAAAAAAAUCCCUCGACUUUUCUUAUACAUAUUCACUAGUCACAAGAAUCCAUUGAUUGCAAUCACUACAUUGCAUAAUCUUGAAAUUUAUCAAAUAAAUAUUAAGACAACAUUUUUAAAUGGUGAAUUACAAGAGGAGAUUUAUAUGGACCAAUCUAAAGGGUUUAUUACUCUUAGACAAGAGAAAAAUGUGUGUAAGGUUGUUAAAUCUUUGUAUGGAUUAAAGUAAGUACCAAAACAAUGGCAUGAGAAAUUUGACAAUAUUAUGAUAUCAAAUGACUUUAAGAUCUAUGAAUGUGAUAAAUGUGUUUAUGCUAAGAGCACACCAAAUGGUUAUGUAAUAGUAUGCCUAUACAUGAAUGAUAUGCUAAUUUUUGGAAAUAAUAAUGAUAUUAUUAGAGCUAUCAAGAAAAUAUUGACCAAACAUUUUGAUACGAAAGAUAUGGGUACAACAAAUGUCAUUUUAUGAAUUAAAAUCUCCAAGAUGUUUGAUGGACUAGUAUUAUCUCAAUCACACUACAUUGAGACAAUACCUAGAAAGUUUAAUAAAUAUGAAGAUAGUCUAAUAAAGACUCCGAUAGAUGUAAAUCUACACUUAGCUAAAAAUACUAGUCAAACCAUAUCUCAAUUAGAGUAUUCUUAUGUAAUUGGUAGUUUAAUGUAUGUCAUGAAUUGUACACGACUAGACAUAACAAAUUAAGUAGAUUUACAAACAAUCCAGGAAAAAAUCAUUGGAAGGAAAUAAUGAGGGUGCUUAGAUACCGAAAAUACACUCCAAAUUAUGGAUUGCAUUACACAAGAUAUCCAACUAUGCUUGAAGGGUGUUUAGUGAUGCAAAUUGGAUAUCUAAUACAAUGGACACAAAAUCCACUACUGGAUAUGUAUUCACAAUAGCAAGAGUUGUAUCAUGGAAGUCCUCAAAACAAACAUUUAUUGCUAAAUCCAUAAUGGAAUUUGAAUUUAUAGCUUUAGAUAAAGUAGGAGAAGAAGUAGAAUGGCUUUGCAAUUUUCUAGAGGAAAUACCAUGUUGGAAAAAACCUAUGUCUUCAAUAAGCAUACAUUGUGAUAAUCAAUCGACUAUUGGAAGAGCACAUAAUAGCAUGUAUAAUGGUAAGUCUCAACAUAUAUGUCAAAGACACAAUACAGUAAGUUACUUUCAAAUGGAGUGAUUUUCAUUUAUUACAUUAAAUCAAAGGACAACCUUGAGAAUUCGCUUACUAAAGGUUUGCCAAGAGAUCAAGUUAACUACUUAUCAAGGGGAAUGAGAUUAAAGCUUAUGAUAAAAAAAAAGUCUUUAAAUUGGUAACCCAACCUAGUUGACUGGAGAUCCCAAGAUCUAGGUUUAAAAAGACAAUUAAGUUAUGAAUGAUUAGGAGAAGCACUAAAGAGAUAAUCUCUCUUAUAUAUUCCUAUGGUGAAAUACUGUUUUUUGCAAUGUGAACUAGGUUAAACUUUGUUUUUAAUGAAUCCUAUAGCUUGGAAACAAGUGGGGUAUGGCAGUAUACUCUUAAUAGGAAUCACCUAUGUGAGUGUGAAAUGGGGUCAUUUCUAUAAGAAUUUUUAAGGCUAAAAUUAUCUAUAACACUCAUGAAACUAGGAUUUGUUCAAGGCCAAAAUGAACACAACCAUGAGAAUCAAUGGUGAUUCAGAAGAAAAUUAUGUGGAUAUUGUUGUCUUGAUUUACAUCAACAGUUGAACAGUUCAAGACAUCAUAGUCACUAAUUAGCUAGUAAAUCAGAUAAUAUUUCACUAAGGAAGGUUCAAAGUCACAAGUUACCUAUCCUAAUGCAAUUACUUUCCAAGUUGUACUCUCUUGAUUGAUUAGCUUGUCAUUUGUGUGUGUGUGUGUGUGUGUGUGUGUGUGUGUGUGUGUGUGUGUCAUGUGUGUAUGUGUGUGUGUGUGUUUUUAAGACAAUUUCCAUUCAUGUGGGGGAUUGUUAGAAUUUAUAUAGGUGAAUGGAAAUUAGGAUUUUUUUUUCUUUGGAAGACAAGUUGUUUCUCAAUAGACACAACUUAUUUUAAAGGAUGUGUCUUGUAUUUAAAAAAAAAACGCAACCUCUUCCAAAAGAUAUGUUUAGUGUCUUAAGACAUAACCCUUCAAAGGAUGUAUCUAAUAUUUUAAAGACAUAUAUCUUCUAAAGGUCACUUCAAAUCUAUAAAUAGGGAUUCCCUCCCUCCAAAUGGAAUUUUCAUUCAUUCAUCCUUUCUCUCCACUCUUUCUCCUUUCUUGUCUUUCAAGUCCUCCUUGGCUUCAAGUCUAGUCAUUUAUCUUUUCUAUCAAGUAUUUGGUAUACAAGAUAGCACAAAUCACUAGUGAUUAAUUGUUUCUUGUGAUUUUAAGUGCUACUAUUAUAAGAAAGCAAUCGAUGUAUCCUAGGAGACGAUUGUCAAUAAACCGUAAGUACCUGAAUAGGACAAAUUCGCCUUAAGAACAUAGAGUCAAACUCUAGCCUUGAUUAACCUUAUGUGUGAGUUCUAAUUUUCUACUUCAUUUUAUUUGUAUAUUUAUUAUUCACACUUAUUAUACAUAUAUUUUCAGUGAUUUGGAUAACACAUUCAUCUCAGAAUAACCAAUAGAGAAAAAGAUGGGGAGUUCAGGGUUCUCAUGGAAACUAUUGGACCACUUGAAGCUCUCGAAAGGGAAGAUCUUGGGCAUGGUAGUGCUUGACAGAUGGGGCAAGGUCAAUCCCGAUCAGUACAACUGCAUCUACAUUGCUAAAACUUCGACCAUGGAUUCUCUCAAGAAGGUUUCUUCCUUCUUCAUUUGAUUCGUUAUAUAUUGCUUUUUAUUUUCACCAAUUUAUUUAUAUCACCUAGAGUUUUGCGUAUCUUUUUGUUAUUCUAUUGCUUGUUAGCUGAUUUCUCAUAGUAUUUUUUAAAUUUUGUGAUUCAUAUUAAAUAACAAAUGUUUGGAUUAGCGGAAUUGCAUGGGUGGUUAAAUUUGUGUUUGUGUGUGUAUGAAUGUGUUUUAACACUUAGAAUAUUAUGUUGGGUUCAUCUGAUGUUAAUGCAAGCAAUUUAUUAAGGAUACUUGUAUUUGAAAUAAACCAAAACCAUGCAAAUGAGUGAAUAGUAUUUUGGAUUGUAUGGCCCCUUUCAGCCUUUUGAUCUCACAAAAAGGUUUGUGUUUUGGAUCAUAUGGCCAUUUUUUGGCUUUUAUCUUAUAGGAAGUUUUAAAAGUUUCAAAGUUCAAAUUGGGGAUGAAACAAUUGAAAAUGGUAUUUGUCCAUAUUGGUCAUUACAAAUUGUCGCUUCUAGAAAGUACUAAGCAAAGAAAAAAAAAAUACUAAACCAAAUGUUUUUCUUAUGUUUCGAUAUCAUGCAGAUGUUGUCUCGCUAAUGUGGGUUUUUUUUUUACUUGCUUAAAUUUUAUUUUCGAAGCAAAUGUUGCUAAAUUCAUACAAUGCAUUUUUAUUGAUACCAAAGAACUAAUCGGUCAUGUCAUUAUCGUUUAAUAUUUUUAAAGCAAGUGAAUAUUGUUUUUUUUCAUACGUUAGUGUAUUAAAUAUUAAUAUUGUUAUUUGUCUAUAAAAAAAUAUUAAUAUUGUUAUUAAUAUUCUUAUUAUUCUUUAUAUAAACAAAUCUUACUAGGACUUUAGAAAAUUGAUAGGUGGAUUCUUGUCAAUCCCUAAAGUUAGAAUCAUUAUAAACUGAGGCAUAAAGCAGCUUAUGGUUAAAAUUUAUAUUUAAUUUCCAAUAAAACAUAUGAGCUUGGUAUUUGUUUGUCAUUUGAGUUUUCUGGAUUUUUCUUAAACUUGUUGGGGUCCAAAUUAUGGAAGAUACAUUUUUUGUGGAGCAUUAUACUCUAGAAAUAGAAGAUAAGGGGAGGAAAUUUGUAGUGCUUAGGAUUUAUGCUGCUUCAGUUGUUGAAAAUUUUAGACUUCACUAUUUUGUUGGAUGAUUAAUUAUGUUAGCAUUUCUAGUGUGAAUUUCAGGCUUAUUUAUGCUUAGGUUCUAUUUUAAUGGGCCUCAAGUUGUGAAAAGCCUAUAAUUUUAAGCUUAUAUGAGAAAAAAAAUGUGUAAAUGUUGUAUUAAACAGUUAAGACCUGGUAAAAGAGAAGAAUAGUGUUGCUUGUUGUCUUUAGUUGGAUACUUCCAUGGAGAAACCCAAGAUAAAAGAACACAUGGAAUUUUAAUACUAGGAAAGGAAUGUGGAACUCUAGACUGUGUGAUCAGAAUAUAGACCCCUUUUCAUUAUUGUCCAAAGAUUGAAAGUUUAGGGAAAAAACCUACUAAACCAUGUGGAAUAUAAUUUUAUAUAAAGAACGACAAUUUGAAGUGGAAAGGCUUCAUCCAUGUUCAUGUCUAGAUGUUCUAUGCAUGAAUAGUAAUGGAUUGUGUAAUGAAGGAGUGGGUUCCACAAUAUUGCUCUUUCUUAGCAUUGCUUUUGUUUUUUUACUAGUAAUUGAUUAUGUAAUGAAGGAGUGGGUUCCACAAUAUUUCUCCUUUUAGCAUGCAAGAAUUUACCAGGCAUUGAAGCAUAAAGUUUUGCUUGUUUUUUUGUGGAGUUUGAAAUAUAACAACUUGGAUUUUAGAAGGUAUGUAUUAUUUACAUUUUAUUUAAUCACAUAAUUUUUAUUUUUUAGGAAAAUAUUAGAAUUACUCAAGUGGUUUUCCGUAGAUUGAAAAUAUUAAAUUCACAUUAAAGCAACAAAUGGUAUUCUUUGCAGGUUUAGUACACUUCAAGGUAGCAGAUGAGAUUACUCCCAUCAAAAUCGAUAACUUUGAGUAAACCUUUGGUAUGUAAGCCUUUGAUGGAGUAUAUUUGGUUCUUAACAUAUGAAUUUCUACUUAUUUAGUGUUGUUUAUAAUGCUUUUUGCAAAUUAUUUCUCCUUGUAGAUCCAAUGGGAUGAACCUACAACAAUGGCCUAAUAUGUGAUGAGGUUGAGAAAGGGAAAGGAACUGAAGCUUCUUAUUUUCAUCACAAAGCUGAAGAUUCUUAGUUUCAUCACAAUGGCUCAGCAAUGACCUAAGUGGUUUUGUUUUUUUUUUUUUUUUUUUUCUAAUUUGUUGUUAUGCUCAAAAUCUUCCUUCUUGUUUUGAAUCAUAAGAGAAGACUUAAUAUCUUCCCUCCUGUCACGAGCCACAAUAUUGAUUUGACUUAAUUUUUAUGCUAGGAUGAAAUUAGAAGUUGAUAUUAUGUGUGAAGGUUUUUUGUCCAAUUCCAUUCAUGAAAUGGGUGAAAUUUCUAUUUUGCCUAAUGGUCCAUCUUUUAAUGGUUUGAGGAAUGAAAAUUCCUAUUGGUUUCUUUUAAUGGUGCUUGUAGAUGAAAAACAACAUGACAUUAUUAUAUGGGAAAUGUCUAGAUAUGUUGUUUGCAGUUUGCAUUAUAGUCGCCUUAAACUGAUGGGGAAAUAAGAAGUUAGAGGGGAAAAGUAGAAGAAAAGAACUGGUGGAAAUAAAUACAAUAGAAUUAAAGUCAAUAAAUUAAUUUUAUAUUUAUUUUAACCCUUUUUAAAAAAAAUUAUAUAAAGAUUAAAUAAUUUUAAAGUGCUUGAGUUUAUAACCUCAUUGAACGUUGCUAUUCUAAUUUUUUGAAGGGCAAAAACAUCAUUCCAAAUGAGGUCAAAUAUAUUACCAAAAAAAAUAGUUCUCAAGUUACAAUAGUUCUUAGAAAUCCAUCAAGAAUUGGCUAUAGGAUCUCUAGUCCAAACCAAAAGUAGUAGUAUCUAAUUAUCUUAAUUCUCCACAUAAAUCUCAAUUGGAUAAAGUUAAUGUUUUGUUUUCUUUUGGGAAGUUUCAUGCACUGUAAUUAUUAUUAUUAUUUUUUUUUAACUCUUCUACCUUUUCAAACAUGGAUGCUGACAUGGACAUGGGUAAGGGCAUAUUAGGUAUAGAAAACCCACUCAACACAAAGUGCACCAAAAUCCAAUAUUUUUUCAUAUUAAUAUAGGCAUCUUGGAUUUUGAAAAACUAGGGUUUAAAAAGUUAUUUAUUUUCAAAUGGGCAGGGAAAAAAAACAUAUUUUUCCUUAAAUUUUUUUUAGCAAAAGUGAAACAUUACUAUUAAUUUAAAAAUGAAGAAGUAGCUAAUUAUCACGUGUGUACAACUAAGCAUGCGGUGUGGUGCAACCCGACUAUCAAAAUUCUUAAGUAACAACCUUCUCCUUUAAACCAUUGACUCUGGUCUACCUUUGAGCUCUAGGAAUCCGCCACGUUCCCUCCUUUUCUGUUUCCAAUCAUCUUUCUUAGCUCUUGCACUUUGACUAACUCCAACUCCAUCUAUAGAGAGAUAAACGUCUCUUACUUUCCUUCACACACUCUCUAGUCCACCAUUAACCACAACUUUCCACCAUCUCCUUCAACUUCAAUUGUUCAGCAAGCUAUGAACUCCAAGCACAAGGAAAAGUGGCUAAAGUAGAAGUGGUUGAAGCGGAAGCUUCUGGAUCGACACAACGCCACCUUUGAGGACUCCACCACUCUAUGCACUAACUCUCCAAACCUCUCUUCUCUCUUCUCUGAACCCAACUUCCAAAUACAAUGGAUAGCCACCAUGUCAAACAAAAUUUGCCCCUUCCUCGACCUCUCCUAACAUAAUGGAGUUGCACCAUAAAAAUAAACAUAUUUGCAAUGGUUAUUUGCUACUCAUGUUAACACUUGACAAAUUACCAAGGAACGCAUGUAAAAGAAGUGCAAUACCUAUAGAAAGAGGAUGCAACCAUGUACUCAAGAGCUAUUACUUUGCUUAUAUCAUCUUAUUCCCUCUUCAAGAUAAUCAAUAACAAAUUAGCCUUAGUUAACAUCAUUUUUGAAACCAUCUUCGUUUAUGGUAUGCCAUAAGUUUCGACAUCCAUCAAUCCUUAACGUGGGGGCUAAUAUUAUGGCAUAGGCAUAGUAAAUGAAACAUCUUCGAAACUCUUCCCCAACUGGUAAGGUGAAGAGUCUCUCUUUGCAUGUACAUAUUGUACCGAACAGAUGAUCUGAUAGAAUUGAUGCAAUGUGUAAAAUUCGUCUCGUAGUCAACAGGCCAAAUACAAGCCCCACAUCAGCAGUUGUAACAUCAUAUAUUUUAUCGGGUGAGAUAUCUAUGCAUCUGAAUCCAACGUUAAAAUGUUGAAUUAUCCAAUGGCAUAUAUUGUGGCGUAUCUUUUUGCAAUUGAUGUUAAGAAGACCUCCAAACUGGAGGUCUCGGACCACUUGCAAUUUCUCCUCUAAUAAUCAGCUACAUAGUUUGAGAAAUCUUAAAGAUGAACACCGUGUAGACAAUGUUGUAGCUUGCAUGCAAUUUUGGAGAUAUUUAGUGUCAAUAGGCAUUCACAUUAGUGUCAAUAAGCAUUCACAUAAGUGCAGUUGGUAAUUAAGUGAUAUGGAUCGGAGAUACAUCGUAGUGGACACGAGGCAAUUUCUAGGAUUGUCAGUUAAAGAAGUGGAUAUUAUGAAGUCAGUUUAUGGCCUAUCCUCAAUAUCUAGGCUAUUGAAGAAUCCAUUACCUCCAUAGAGGCCAUUGAAGAAUGCAUGAAAUGAGAUACAUAUGAAAUAAUGCAUUACCUCCAUAGAGGCCAUUGAAGAAUGAAUAUAUCCCUAUAGGCUUCAACAAUGUAGGCCGUUGAAACUCUGUCAGGUCUUCAAAGCACUCUCCAUAGGUGUUAAAAAAAAAAUACCUAAACAGAUUCAACCAACAUAUCAAAGAGAUGUGUAUUACCCAAUAUUAAUCACUGCAUUCCUAAAUAGUCCACACUUGUAUGAGAUUGCUUUUAUUUUUAUUAUUAUUAUUAAAAAGGAUUUGAAUAUUAAUUGCAUAGAACUAGCUGUAAAUGUCAUAGUGUAGCUCUUCUACUCAUAUGGUUCAUUAAAAGUCAGUGAUUGUUGCUAAACAGAGAUCUUCUCUGAUGAAAUCUGUGGGAACACUUAGACCUUGUAAGUCAUUAAAAUUGAGAGCCACAACCUCAACAACCCUACUCCUUAAUAUUCAGCUUAAUUUUGAUACCUCAAAACAGUAAAUACGCCAUAAUAUAAACACCUUUAUGAACUUAUACAACAAGUGAAAAGAUACCACAUUGAAAUUUCAAUUUCCAUUUAAUUCAUUAAUGAAAGCAACUCUAAAUCAUGAAAAUAAAAAGGUAGUUCAUCAUGGCUAUAAUAAUGGCAAUACAUAAGUACCAAAAGCAACUACCCGACCACCAUAUACCAUAGAAUGGAAUAAUGAGGGAUGGUACAAAAGAUGAAAACCUUACAAACACAAAAAGGGACAUGUUAAGGCAACAAAUUAUUACAUUUGGACCGGUUGUGACCUAUGCCAUUGCAUCUAGAGCAAUGAAUAACUCUCUUAUGGCUAAAUUAUGACUCAAUGCGUCUUUGUUAGGGUCUUCUUGGAGGAUGUCUCACAUGUGGGGGUUGGAGAGUAGGAAAUAAGUUGUCUGCUCCAUCUUGCAAACUCCCAUCCUCACAAACUUUAGCGAUGUUGUGCAUUGGUAAUGGUUGAAACUGACUCGAGUAAAUCAAAUGUUGAGUGGAGACAUUAAAACAUGGGCUGAUAUAUUCAUACACUUCGUGUCUCAUUGUGCAGAUGACAACACCUACAUGUGCACAUGGCAAUUCAGACAUUUUCCAUGUCACACAAGAACACGUACGUUGCUGCAUAUCCACAACCAAAUAAACCUCCCCAAUAAACACCUUAAACGUUCUCCCCAAAUAAGGCAUCACACUAAUUGAACCAGACCUCAUGAUAUUUGAUGUUAGUUUCUCCUCUGUUUUCGGUCCAACCACGUUCUUCCACUUUUUUGUACCAUGAAUAUGGUUGUCCAACAUGGAUACAAGCUUAUCCAUAUGCAUCAACAAUAACAUAUAAAUUGUUUGGUGACACUCCUUUCUUAACCACGCAUUAAAGGACUCUACAAUAUUAGUUUUCAUUUAUCCCCACAUUUUUUUAAGGAACUUUGACAUAGCCCAAUGCUCGGGAUUGCUUUCUGCAACCCACUUUGCUAGGUCCUCAUUAAAGCGCACAAGUUUUUCAAAUGUCUCGUUGUAGUCUAUAUCCAACCUAGCAUGCGCAAUGUUGUCCAAAAACAACAAAACAUCUUCCUUUCAUUUCUUGCUUAUUAUGUUUUGCCUAUUGAAGAGGUUAGAAAAGUUCUCAUUCACAUGUCGAUAACAAUAUGCAUGAUUUUUUGUUCCAAACAACUCAAAAACACUACGCAAUAUCCCUUGAUGUCUAUCUGAUAUAAUAACAACUUCUUUACCAUCUAGAACCCCCUUUAAUUUUUCCAAAAACCAAUAUCAGUUCUCAUAAUUUUCUGAAUUGACGACACCAAGGGCUAGAAGGAACAUUCCAUUAUCUGCAUCAUAUGCAAUGGCGGACAAAAGAACUUCCUUAUAUGGACCGCUUAAAUGGAAAGAAUCAAUAGUUAAUACUGAUCGAUACCCCAUGAUAAACCCUAGAAUUGAAAAUGCAUGGGCAAUGAACAAUUUAAUGAAGUGAACUUCAUGAGAAGUGUAGCCUGUAAUAGUUCUGAGGUUUAUUUCCCUUAGCCUAUGGCAUAACCAAGACAAAAACAUGUAGGAGUCACGUGGAGCUCCAUAUAUGAGCUCUUUUGCCUUCUCUUUAAGGUGUCAUGCUUGGUUAUAUGUUAAUUCAACUCCAUGAUCACGUUCAUAAUCCUUGCAUAUUUGACGGGGAAGAUAAUUUGGAGUUGUUAUAAAGACAUCUUCAACAACAAUGACUUUCUUUGAACUAAUCCUCACCUUAGAUGAAUACUCAUCUUGAGCUAUAUGAUUAUAAUUAACUUGGUAAGUAUGAACUCGCAAGAUUUCAUUCCCUUCUACAGCAUGACUUGCUAUCUUCCAAGGACAACCCUCAACCAAGCACUUCACUGACAUAUGAUUAGGUGAAUUUUUCUUGUACUUGUACUUAAACCUCCCACUUAACGACAUCUGGUAUAUUGCAUUUUGAAACUCCUCUGUAUUUUUAUAUGUAUGUCUUGACCCUAAUAUUGCCUCACGAAACCAAUUCGAUUCCAAAUGGGUGUACUCACUUUCUACACAACGUGAUGCAAAACCUCUUGAUACCAUCAUAGCAUUAGGAAUUGCAUCACAUGAUGCAUUAGAGGAAGGAAACGUGAGAGGUGGACCUCUACAUAUUACAUACAUAAACAAAAUUAAACUACAUCAUGUGUAAAAUUGAUAUUCACAAUAUUUUGAUUGGGCAUUCAAGUCAAAGUGCAUUACCCAAAAGUCAACUGUGUAUUCGGUAUAUUUCCCUCAAUGGCUUCGACAUGAGGUGACUCUAUUAUGUACACAUUUGCAAAGUCAUCACUAUGGGAAGCCUCAUUAUCCAAGUCAUCUUCAUCUUCUAAAUCUUGGAUGACUCUAGGGUUAAACUUGAGGGUGUAAUGCAUCCUCAUCACAUCAAGGGAAAUAUUGAAUUUCUCUAAGACUCGUUGAGUGAAUUCUUUAAAUGACAUUCCUUUAUAUAUGUGAAUACCUUUGCUUCUUCCACCAACGUAUUCCCACUACCCAUUAUUUUUUUGGACAAAUUUGUCUCCCACGAAAAUGUAACAAUAUAUCCUAUUUGUAGCACCCAUCAACCUAUUCAAACAAAGCACAACUUUCAUAUUGUUGAACAAACAAUUAUGCAUAUUCAAUGUCAUCCGAAAAGUUUUUCCCUCUCACAGUAUGUAUUGUUCCUAUACAAAUUAGUACCACCAGUAUUUCAUCACCAAGAUCUAUUGUUCAAACAAAAUCAAACGAUGUUUUUAAUAAAAACUCCCAAACAACCUCUUAAUCAUCUUAUUUUAAGGUGAAUUCACAUUCUUACCCAAAAUUAUAUCUUUUAUUGUAAAUUGUUAAUUUAAACAGUUUGAGGUAAAGACCAAAAACCCAAAACCAUUUAGAAACCAAUUCAGCCUAACAUUGUACUAUCCUAGACCAAACAACAAAUAAAAUAAAAAGAAUCAUCAUACUAACAUUACCAAACUGAACAUGCUCCUAAAGAAAAGUUGACAUGACUCCUUAAUUAGAUGAAAAUAGUCUUCCAAAAACCUAUCAAACAGAGGCCUAUGUGGAAAUUGUUCUAAAAAACACUUUUUCAGCCUUGGAAACAAAAUACAAUUCUCUAAAACAUAAAAACCAGUUCUCUAAAAUAGAAAACACUUCUUAAAAAAGAUUAAUAUAUAUACAAUUUUCUAAAACAAAAAACAAAUCUCUAACAAGAACACAUUGAUAGCAUGUUUUUUAAAUACUUGAAAAAAAAAUUGUUUUUUUUUUUCAUAUUUCAAUUCGUACACAAUGGAACAAUUGAUAACUGUAUCUGAGAUUUCAUCUUAGAAACUAUUUUUUUAAGAAAUGAGAACUAUGUUUUAAAUCAUUUCCAAGGUAGCCCUAUAAUUUCCUAAACAAUGUAAUGACCUUCUAGGCGGUUCCCAACACUAAGCAAAUCAAACAUAGAAAUUAGGAGAAUAUAUAUAGCAAAAAAAUUUGGAAGCAUUCUGUCUAGUAGUAAACAAACACAUCAUUUAGAGAGGCAACUUUCAUAAUAGAAAAUAGUCAAACAAACUUAUAUAAUGUCUUCAAAAAAAAAACUUGAACAUAAAGAUGUAACAACUACCAAAAUUUAUCCAAAAAAAAAAAGACUAAUCCCGCAACGUACCAACAAUAAUCCUAUGAUUUGAUAAAUCAUUCCUUAUCACCUGAAUAUAUUUUUCCCUUUUGUUAGCUGAAUCAUAACACUUCUAAUUUUGUAUUAUUCCAUUCUCCAACAUUUUCUCAGCAACCAAACAGGGAAAAAUACACCCCACUUAAAAAUUACAUUAAUAAACAUUGAAAUUGGACACUAACCUUCUCUUCUUUGUCGACAACCAGUGCAGAAAAUCUCAGAAUUUGAAAUCUGUUCUUCUAUGUUUCCUAACAAAACACCAGAAAGAAGAGAAUUAAAAAAUUAAAGAAAUAAAGGUCUACCACAAAGCAACAAUUCGAGCAGUGCCAAAAUUUUUAAAUGUCUUACAUUUUUUAACAUUCUUUUGGAAUCCAAAUAGAGUAUGGAACAUUGCAAUUUUGAAAGGAAAUCAAAUAUAAGGCGAGAUUUAGAGAACCUACUAACCUCAAAUAUCCAACUAGGGUCAACACGGAGGGCAACAUCACUGGGAUCGACGAGGGAACGAUAGACAACGAACUGAAAUCGGGAGAGAGAUUAGGCAAAUGCAUUUGGGCUGAAAUCAAAUGGUCGGGAGAGACGAAAGUGGGGGAAAACUAAAUUAGAGAACCUACUAAACUCAAAUAUCCAACUACCACGGCAUGGAGGGCAAUGCCGAUGGGGAUCAACAAUGGCAAUGUAUCGACAAAGAUGAAAACAUCAUUGUCUAAACCUAAAAUCAAAUGGCCGGGAGAAACAAAAUCUAGAGAUAAGGAAAUCACCAUAGAGAUUAUGGCAAUGUUUGGGCCUCAAAUGAUAUGGAAGCGAGGGAAAAAAAUCGAGAGAGAUGAAAAACGCCACUGUCUAGGGCUGAAAUGAAAUACCGGAGAGAGUAAAAUUAGGGCAACAUAAAUGGAAUUCCAACGUAGAUUUUCUAAAUUUUUUUUUCACAGUCAGCAAAGGUCAUUUCCUAAAAGAUAAAAAAUUCAUAUCUUUCUUCUCAAUUUUAACACUUCAUUUGGGUCAUGGGCUUAAAUGGUGAACUUAUAUGGACCAAAGUUUAAUUUUUGGGCCCAACAGGGUCCAAAACAUAAUUAUCCCUUAUUUAUUUGGUUGACAGAGUCAUGAGUGUAGGUAUGUUCAUACCAUUCUCAAAGUAAGACAUUGAACCGGUAAAAUUUAAAAAACAUUUUUAAAAAAAAAAAAAAUCACAGAAUGUUAAUUUUUUAUAAAGCCUUUAAUAGGUGAUUAUUCUAAGGAUGUUUCAAGAAGAGAUAAAAACACUAUCAAACUCAUGGUUACUCCACUCAAGCUCGUCUUUCAUUCAUAAUAAAUAAUAUUAAAUAUAUUUUAUUUAAUUUUUUCUAAUUUAAAAAUAAAAAAUGGAUCUAAUUUUACUUAAAUUUUUUUAUUUUCAUUUAUGUUAUAAAAUGAUACAAUAUAAAAAAGAACAAGAAAAAACUCCAAGAGAUACUUUCUUGGAUUUAAAACAGAAAAAUUAACAAAUAUAUAAAUUGAAGGGAUAGAAUUAUUUAUUUAAAUAAAAACGGAUUACUGACAUGAUCAGAAGCCUAGUGGGAUAAUUAAAUUUUAGCACAGCCUUGGAAAUCACAAUGUGUGUGCCUUAAAAAGUAUAAGAAGUAUGGCAGUAUUCAAGAGGAGUAAGUAGCAGUGGCUGACAGACUUAGUGCCUAAAAUUAAAAAUAUGUUUAGCCUUAUUCAAAAGUAGCCAUUAGAAAGUGCCUUAAAAGAAAUUAUAAUAUUAAUAAAAUAAAAAAAGAAAAUAAAAGAUUUUAACGUGAACAUUUAAUCCUAAGUAUCAAUAGAUGUAGGUUCAAACAUAUUUUCUAUUUUUUAUUUUUAAAAUAAAAAUAAUAAUAACUUUUAUAUAAGAUAUAAUUUUUUUAAAUAAAUUAUAUUAAAAAAAUAGUGAUUUUAAAAACUAUUUAAAAAAAUUUAAAGUAUAAAAAAUAUAAAAUAAAUUUAUUGUUUUUGUAUAAGGUUCUGUUUUUAUAUAAAAUGUUUUUAUUUUAAAAAUAAAAAAUAUAUCAGAUAUUUAAUAAUUUUCUUAACCCUCUAAAAUAUAUGAGUUAUCUUUGCCCUAAAAUAAAUGCUUUGGGUAUUUUGAGAACCCAACAAGUGUUCAUGUACUUUGAAUUUAUGUUCAAAUCACUUGCUUUGAGAUGGGGUUUUGAAUCGGAAAUGUCAAUGUUUCCGGUGUGAACAUGCAUACAGAAAUUAGUAUUACGUACAAAACAGGUUGAGGUAAAAAAAAAUCAAAAUCAUGGUGUAGACCCCCUCAGCGGCAGUAGGUUUUUCUUUUUUUUGAGAUUAUUAUUUUAUUCCCUUUUCUUUUGCUUUUAUUUUUUCUUUUCUCUUCUUCAGAACCCGAGAAUGAGCUGGGGGGUGGCAGCCGAAAACAGGGCGGCCAUAGGACGAGAUGGGCAGGUUUUUUUACGGCGAGAUGGGACGGGAAAGCAGAGGGAGAGACUUGCCAAGGAAGAUAGAGAGAGUAAGCUGAAGGGAUUCCAGGAAGGCAAGCUAGAGGGGUUUUCUUUUCUUGGGGGGGGGGAGUAUCGCAGAGGGAGCUUUUCUUCAAGCGGGACAUCCAGAGCAGAAACAGGGGAGUAAGUUGAAAAGGAUCAGAAGAUCAUUCAACCAGUUUCUCUUGGUCCAGGUAUGGUUUUUUUUUUUUUUUUUUUAUAGUUUUUAGUUUGUUUUGCUUUCCCUGUUUUGAAUCGCCCUCCUUUGUUUCUAAUCACUUGUGGAUUCCUUUGACAUUUGAAGACCGCUUGUGCACUCUGUUUUUCUGUUUUGGGAUGUCCCGAGUUUGGAUUUUUCAUUGCAUUUGUAUUUAUUCUUAGAUGUCAUGCCCGUGUUUUAAUAGACAUCUGUGGAACGGGGUGAGGCUUGGCAGCUUUCUUUUUUACAUAUAUGUACAUGCUUUGUUUUUUUUUCAUGCUCCUAUUUUCCUGUCAAGUUUCUUUUUUUGUCGAAAUGUUGAAUGCCGCACCUCGUACUGGUCAUCUGGGCUGAGGCUCUCAUGUGAAAGCUCAAGUCCAUUCCAUAGAUGCAGCUGUAUGAGAAGGUAAGGAGAAAUGAGUUUUUCUGGCGCUUAAGAGGAUUCCGAAAAUUUUUCGAAGCUGGCUGGUGCUGGUGCUGGCUGGUGCCGGCUGCUAGCUGGUGCUGGUGCUGGCUGGUGCUGGUGCUGGUGCUGGUGCUGGUGCUGGUGCUGGUGCUGGCUGGUGCUGGUGCUGGCUGGUGCUGGUGCUGGCUGGUGCUGGUGCUGGUGCUGGCUGGUGGCUGGUGCUGGCUGGUGCUGGUGCUGGCUGGUGCUGGCUAGUGCUGGCUGGUGCUGGCUAGUGCUGGCUGGCGUCGCCGCUGCCGCCGCGGGGAGGUGGUGAUCGUGCUGAAGCCAGGCGCGGAGGGAGAGGCAAGCUGGAGGAAGAUGAAGUUUUGGGCUUGGGUUUGAGAUGGGUUUUUGAGCCCGCCCCUGUUAGCUUUGGAUUUGGGCUUGCGUUAGUACACCAAGCCCAAGUUUGUGAUCAGGUCAGCCCAUUGGGCUUGCCCAUAGCAUGGAUGUGGAUUUGAGUUUGGAGCCAAGCCCAAGGCCCAUGGACUUCUUUCCCCUUAAGCCCAUUUACAUUGAUGAAUGGCCCCUUGUUUUGUUCACCCAUUUUAAGUUAGUCCAUGCCCACUCCAAGCCCAUACCCACCUCAAAUUACCCCUUUUGUUUUCAAUUUGCAUGAUUUAUCUCCCUAAAAACAUUAAUUCCUCAAUAAAUUUUAAUUCCAAUUUUUGAAAUUUUAAUUCUCACAUCAAUUUAUUUAAUCAUCAUUAUCUUAUUUAUUUAUUUAUUUGCUUAUUUUUAAAAUUCAACCCUUUAAUAAUCUUUCAAAAUUCCGAUUUUUAAAGUUAAAUUCCAAUUUCCGAAAUUUUAAUUCUCACGUCAAUUUACUUAAUCAUCAAUAUUUUAUUUAUUUGUUUAUUUGUUUAUCUUUAAAAUUCAACCUUUAAAUGAUCUUUCAAAAUUCCAAUUUCUAAAUUUAAAUUCCAAUUUCCGAAACUUUAAUUCUCACAUCAAUUUACUUAAUCGUCAUUAUUUUAUUUAUUUAUUUAUUUGUUUAUCUUUAAAAUUCAACCUUUAAAUAACCUUUCAAAAUUCCGAUUUCUAAAUUUAAAUUCCAAUUUCCGAAAUUUUAAUUCUCACAUCAAUUUAUUUAAUCAUCAUUAUUUUUAUUUAUUUAUUUAUUUGUUUAUCUUUAAAAUUCAACCUUUAAAUAAUCUUUCAAAAUUCCGAUUUCUAAAUUUAAAUUCCAAUUUCCGAAAUUUUAAUUCUCACAUCAAUUUGUUUAAUCGUCAUCAUUUUAUUUAUUUAUUUGUUUAUUCUUUUAAAAUUCAACAUUUAAAUAAUCUUUCAAAAUUCCGACUUCUAAAAUCAAAUUCCAAUUUCCAAGAUUUUAAUUCUCACAUCAAUUUAUUUAAAUCAUCAUUAUUUUAUUUAUUUAUUUGAAAUUCUAUCAUCAAGCAAUUCCUCAAAAUCCCGAUUUCCAAACUCAAUUUCCUAAUGUCCGGAAUUCUAAUUUCCAUAUUUAUUUAUUCAAUCAUUAUUCUUGUUAUUUAUUUAUUUAUUUAAAAUUCUAUCAUCAAGCAAUUCCUUAAAAUCCCGAUUUCCAAACUCAAUUUCCUAAUUUCCGGAAUUCUAAUUUCCAUAUGUAUUUAUUCAAUCAUUAUUUUUGUUAUUAUUAUUAUUAUUACUAUUUAAUUAUUUAAAAUUCUGUCAUCAAGCAAUUCCUCAAAAUCCCGUUUUCCGAACUCAAUUUCCUAAUUUCUGGAAUUCCAAUUUCCAUAUUAAUUUAUUCAAUCAUUAUUAUUAUUAUUGUUUAUUUAUUUAUUUAAAAUUCCAUCAUUAAGUAAUUCUUCAAAAUCCCGAUUUCUAAAUUCAAUUUCUAAUUUCCGAAAUUCCAAUUUCCAUAGUUAUUUAUUUGAUCCUUAUUAUUUUCAUUAUUAUUAUUAUUUCAUUUGUUUAUUCUAAAAUUCAAUUUUAAACAAUUCAUUAAAAUUUCCAACUUCCGAUUUUAAUUUCUAAUUCCGAAAAUUCCGAUAUUCACAUUAAUCCAUUUAAUUAUUAUUAUUUUAGUUAAUUAUUUUGAAAUUCCAUUUUAAACAAUUCUUCAAAAUUCCAAUUUCUGAACUUAAUUUUCGAUUUCCAAAAUUCUAAUUUCUUUCAAAUUUAAUAUCCAAAAUUCAAAUUCUUAAAUUUAAUUCUCGAGACUCUAGUCUUCAAAUAACUUUCGAGACUUCAAUUUCCAAAUAAAUCUCAAAAAUCCAAUUUUCUCUCGAACAGUUUUAAUUCCACUCCGAUAUUUAAAUAAUGUUCUAUUUCUUUUAAUUUUUACACAAGCAAGAAUGAUGAAUCUUCAUAAUUUCGAAAUAAUGGGAUUCGUGAGAUUAAUUCAUGCAAUAUAAAUCGGGCUUUGGUGGGGCCCAAAAUAUGUGAUUUCCUUAUGACUGACUGAUUGAUUGAUUUAUUUAUUUUGUUUGAUUUAUUCUGUUCCUUGACAUGCGCAUAAUUUUAUCUAUUCGUGAUUCACUAAUCCUGUUUCAUGAUAGCGCAUUCGUGACUAGAGGACCAGGUACGUAUCCACUCACAUUUUGUUCAUUCUUUAUACAUGUUUUGAUUCCCAUAUGUGCAUGAUCGCUUCGAGUAUUCAUUGAUUUUCUCAUUGAUUACCAUGUCAGCUUCAUUUUAUUAGUAGAGACCCGACUUUAGGGACUUAGAGGGGUGCUACGGUCGUUACCGUACCUUCUCGAUAAGUAACCUGACCCCCGAACCCGAUCCGGUUUUUCACAAACCAUCUUUUCCAAAGUAAGGAGUCACACUUAGGGUUUUUCUUUCUUAUUUUGUUUACCCUUUUAAAAAUAAAACAAAAAUAAGUGGCGACUCCAAGUCAAUUUUCUUAAUCAAAUAAAAAUCAAUUUUUCGAAAUAAAAUCGAGCUCGCCAUUCGAGUGGGAAACGCAUGAGCCGAAAUGCGGGAUCCACACAUGGAAAAUUCAAAGUCUGUUUAACUGGAUGUUUUAAAAAUAGUUUUUUACUUUUUAAAAUAGAGAAUAAUUCUUACAUUAUCUAAAAAUAAUUUUAAAAAAUAAGAUAGAACGAAGAACAAUUUUUAAAGAACACGUAAAAGUGUUUUCAUCCCUUGUAAAAAACAAAAGAAAAAUAUAAAAAAAAAUUUUAAAAAUCUUGAAAAUAAAUAAAAUUGAAUAUAGUAUCAUUUUCUUUCUCUUUUUAAUAUAAAAAAAAUCUUAAAAUAUGAUUUUUCUUUAAAUUACACAUACUUUUUUAAAUUUCAUUUUAACUUCUUUAAAAUUUUUCAUUGAGUAAAUUUUAAAUCAAAUUCUAUUUAAUACAUAAAAUUCAUUAAUUUUUUAAAAACUAUUUGAAUUAAAAAUGUUGUGAGAUACAAUUGUUUGAAGUAACAUUUUUUAUGAAAAAAAUAUUCUUUUAUUCGGAGCAUUUUAAUCAUAAUCCAAACAACGAGGAUGCAAAUUUUUUUUCUUGAAGUUAAAAUCUAAUUUAGGAUUUAUUUGUAAACGACAUUUGUUGAACUUUGAGAAUGAUAAAAAAGAUACAUGUAGUAUUUUCAUGUGCUCUCCUAUAAGGACUAAUAAGGUUGUUUUCACCAAUUAUUUUCAUAUUAUUCAUUUUAUUUAUUAGAUUGAUUUUCAUGUGAAAAUAUAUUGUAUUUAAGAAAAAUAAUAAUUUUACAAGUCAAAGAAAAAGAUAUUUGAUCACUCCUAAACCAUCGAUGAAAUGAAUUAAUUUUUUAAUAAAAGUAAUUUUAAUUUGGAUUUAAAUUAUAUUUUAGUUAUAUAUGGGUAUAUGCAUGUAGAAAAAAUUAUUUUUAAAUAUUUCAUAUUUGGAUUUUAAUAUUUGCAUGGAAGCGCCCCGUCUCUUCGGAGGCGUGCAGAGGGUUGCGUACCGCCGGAGGGUAUGAUCGCUUCUGCUAGGGAUCUUUAAAAUCCACCCAUAUCCAUUUAGAGCCACCUUGAUCUCGUAGGUUGAGCCAUAGAUCAUUCGAUUAGGACUUCCUCCCUACACGUGGGUGCAUCUGAGGGCUUUCAGAGCCUCUGUGGUUACAGUUCGGAUCUAAUAUUCCCUCUUUUUAGUCUCCAGUUGAGAGUGCUCGGAGAUCGGUAUGAGUUUGAGUACGGUUGGGUCACCUUUCAUCUUGUCGCCUUAGUUUGUGUUUUUCACUCGAGGAGUUUGGCAUGUUUUCUCCCUAGGGCUUUCGUUAUCAUUUCUUGGCUCGGCACACCCCUUCACUUUGUUGUCACUCACUCGAUAUUUUGGGAUAUGUUCAUUGAUCAUCUUUUUACACUAUACACCUAUCACGGGCAAAAAAGGAUCAAAUAAGCAGAAAGUGUAUACUAGUUCAACAGGUCAAAUCUAACUAUAAUUCACUAAGGUGUAAAAACUUUGAAUUCAGUUUAAGAGAAGAAUGAAAAAUUCUUAUUAUUUUCAAUAAGAAAAAUAGGAACAUAGAAGCCUAUUUAUAUACAAUAAUGUGUACUAAAUUUUAGCUACAAAAUAGGUACUAACAAAAAAUACAAUGAACUUCCUAUAAACUAGGAAUGAACUUUUUUAAAAAUACAACUAAGUAAAACUGAAUUAUCCUAACUAUUUUUGCACUAAAGUAGAAUAAAACUAAUUCCUAAACUUUAAAAAUCUUUAACACUCCCCUUCAAGCUUAUUUGAAGAUAUCUAUCUUUCCUAACUUGUUAAUUAAACAACCCUAUAUGAAGUCCCUUGGUUAGAACAUCUAUUAGCUGUUCUUCAGUAGGUAGAUAAGGUAUGUAGAUCACUUUGACUUCUAGCUUUUCCUUGAUGAAAUGACGGUCCACUUCAACAUGCUUAGUUUUAUCAUGUUGAACUGGAUUAUGAGUGUGAAAAGAGAGAAAAAUGGAGAAUCCCUAAUUUUUGUUAUUAAAAAAACUGUUAAUAAUACACAUUGAACUUGGGUAUAUAUAUACAUGUUAGUGGGACCCACAAUACAAUAAGGAAAGAAAAGGAAAAGUAAAUAACUGAAAUAACUGUACACUAUCUAACACUCCCCCUCAAGCUGGAGCAUAUAUGUUAUAUGCACCAAGCUUGUUACAAAUGUAUUUAAUUCUAAGACCUCUAAGAGAUUUAGUAAAAAUAUCUGCUAGUUGAUCAUUUGAAUUGACAAAACUAGUCGCCACACAUCCUGAUGCGAUCUUCUCUCUAAUGAAGUGACAGUCAACUUCAAUGUGUUUGGUCCUUUCAUGGAAGACUGGAUUGGAUGCAAUAUGCAAAGCGGCUUGGUUGUCACAGAUGAGCUUCAUCUAUUCAUCCUUUCCAAAUCUCAACUCUCGAAGAAGAUGUUUCUGCCAUAUGAGUUCACAUAUUGCCAGAGGCAUAGCUCGAUAUUCGGCUUCAACACUAGAUCUGGCCACUACAUCUUGUUUCUUACUCUUCCAGGAUAUUAGUUUACCUCCAAUAAAAACACAAUACCCGGAAAUGGAACGUCUAUUUGUGGGUGAGCCAGCCAAAUCUGCAUCUGUGUAACCAACAACCUGGGUAUGACCUCUGUUCUCAUACAACACACCUUGGCCUGGUGUGCUUUUGAUAUAUCGAAGAAUGCGGAUUACAACAUCCUAAUGGCUAUCACAUGGUGACUGUAGGAAUUGACUAACAACACUUACAGGAAAAGAAAUGUUUGGACGAGUAAUGGUGAGGUAGUUCAGUUUACCUACAAGUCGUUGAUAUCUCCCAAGAUCUCCUAAAGGCUCCCCCUGUCCUGGUAUAAGUUUGACAUAUGGAUCCAUAGGAGUGUCUACCGGUUUACAAUCUAACAUACCGGUUUCUUCCAAGAUGUCUAAAGCAUACUUCCUUUGGGAAAGAACCACACCGAAACUGGAUUGAGCUAUCUCAAUCCCUAAGAAAUACUUGAGUUUCCCCAAGUCUUUAGUCUGAAAGUGGGUGAAAAGGUGUUGCUUUAGUUUCUGAAUACCAUUAUGAUCACUGCCUGUAAUGACGAUGUCGUCCACAUAAACUACCAGAUAAAUACAUUGCCCCCAGAGUUAUGAUGAUAGAAAACGGAAUGGUCUACUGUAUUGCAGAACAUGCCAAACUCCUGAACAACAUAACUAAAACGGCUAAACCAUGCUUAAGGAGAUUGUUUCAAGCCAUAUAGAGAAUGGCGUAACUUGCACACUAAACUAGACUCCCCUGAGCAACAAAACCAGGUGGUUGCUCCAUAUAAACUUCCUCAGCAAGAUCCCCAUGAAGGAAAGCAUUUUUAAUAUCUAAUUGAUAAAGAGGCCAAGAACCCAUAGCAGUCAUGGAGAGCAAUAGACAAACAGAAGCUAUCUUGGCAACAAGAGAGAAAGUGUCACCAUAAUCAGAACCAUAAACCUAAGUAUAGCCUUUAGCAACUAAGCGGGCCUUAAGGCGAUCAACCUGACCAUCAAGGCCAACCUUAACUGUGUAGACCCAACGACAACCAACUGUAGAUUUACCAAAGGGUAAAACAACAAGAUUCCAAGUGCCAUUGGAGUGUAAAGCAGUCAUUUCAUCUACCAUUGCCUGUUGCCAGCCUGGAUGGGAAAGAGCCUCAGGGGUGCUCUUGGGAAGAGAAACAUAAGAUAUAGCAGAAACAAAUGCAGAAUAAGGUGAAGAUAAUCAAUGGUAACUUAAAAAAUUGUAAAUGAGAUGAGGAUUACGAGUAUAUCGAUUGCCUUUCCAAAGAGCAAUGGAUAAGUCAGCAGAAGAAGGCAGAGUCGGGGCAGGAGAAGCCGAAUGGAUAGGAAGUGAGUCAGCAGGUACCUCGGCCAAAGAAGGAGGAACAACGACACGAUGACGGCGAUGAUAAACCUGAAGUGGGCAAGAAGGCACUGCAUCAAGUGAGAAGAUAAUGGGAAGGGGUAAGACUUCAGAAACAGGAAGAGACUCAAAGGUGGAGAAGAAUGGUGAGUCCUCAAAGAAAGUGACAUCAGCGGAGAGAAAGUAGCGAUGAGUCUCAGAGGAAUAACAACGAUAACCCUUUUGAAGUCUGGAGUAUCCCAAGAAGAUGCAUUUUGUGGCUUUGGCAGAAUGUUUGUCCUGUCCAGGAGUGAGAAUAUGAACAAAGCAAGUACAACCAAAAACAGGCGAAGGAAGGAAAUAAAGUGGUUGGUCAGGGAAAAGAAGGGAAUGAGGAAUCUGAUCGUGUAAUAUAGAUGAGGGCAUACGAUUAAUCAAAUAACAUGUUGUAAGAACAACGUCCCCCCAAAAACGAAAAGGAACAUUACUAUGGAGAAGGAGAGUACGAGUUGUCGCAACAAGAUGUCGAUUCUUACAUUCAGCUACCCCAUUUUGUUGAGGAGUAUGAGCACAAGAAGACAGAUGAAGGAUCCCAUGUUGGGACAUAAAUGAAGUAAAUGGUGCAAAAAAAUAUUCCCUGGCAUUGUCACUGCGUAACACACGAAUAGAAAUAUUGAAUUGGGUUUGGAUUUCAGCAUAAAAUUUCUGGAAAAUAGAGAAUAACUCAGUUCGAUUUUUCAUUAAAAAUAACCAAGUACAUCGAGAAUAGUCAUCAAUGAAAGUGACAAAAUACUGAAAUCUUAAAGCAGACGCGGUCCGACAAGGACCCCAAACAUCAGUGUGGACAAGUUCNNNNNNNNNNNNNNNNNNNNNNNNNNNNNNNNNNNNNNNNNNNNNNNNNNNNNNNNNNNNNNNNNNNNNNNNNNNNNNNNNNNNNNNNNNNNNNNNNNNNUGCCUUUAGCCACAGUUUGAGAACCAUUAGCUAAGGUAACAGUAGGUAAGGCAAAGGUAGUAGUAAUAGAAGAGAAAAGAUCCUUAUUACCAGAUAUGUGAUCAGAAAUGCCAGAAUCUAGAAUCCAAGGUCCAAGAGAAGAUGUGUGGGUAAGACAAGUAGAAGCAUAACCAGUCUGGGCAACAGAAGCAAUAGAAACUGACUUGGUGGCCUAAUAGAGGAGAUAGUCAUCAUACUCACUGUUAGUGAGGGAAAUACCCUGAGAUGUGGAGGAACUAAGAGGCUGAGGUGGCUGAGGAUCAGAUGACUGGGCCACGUGGGCAGUGCGGGGAGGUCGUCCAUGUAACUAAUAACACUGAUUACGAGUGUGGCCAAGCUUAUUGCAAUAGGUGCAAUGAGGACGUUGGCCUCUACCUCGGUUACCACUGCGUCCUCCUCGAGAGUUAGUUUGAGAAACUACUAUAGAAGAAUCUGAAGUGUUAUCAGAUGGCAAAGUCUAAGUGGAGGAGAUACGGAGGAGGCGAGUAAACACAUCAUCCAAGGAUGGAACGGAGGAACUACCAAGAAUCUAAUCGUGGACGGUCUCAAGAUCUGGACGGAGGCCAAUAAGCGUAAGAACCGUGAAGAACUUGUCAAUCUAUGUUUGUUGAUCCCCCACGAUCAAGAAUUUCUCCUUAAGAGAGGCAAUCUGACCCAUAUAAGUAGAUAAAUCCAUGUCUUGUUGUCUGACAUUGACAAUAGAAGAAGCCACCUUAUAAAGACGUUGAAUAUCAUUCGUGUAUAGCCCUUUCGCCUGAUUCCAAAAUUUAAAGCAUGUUUUGUAGGCCCGAAGAUGAAGCAGAAUCUUAGGAUCAACUGAUUGUCAUAACAUACUACAUAACUGUGCAUCUAUCUUCCUCCAUUGUACUUUGUCAACCUCAGGGAUAUCCGCCCCUACGUAACAAGGUGAUCCUCAUAACCUUGACCCAUAAACCAAAGCUCUACAGAGGCAGACCAAGACAAAUAAUUUUCACUGCCAACCAAUUUCUCCGAAGUAAUCAUAGGAAAUCCAGAUAUAACAGAGGAAAAAAUGAAACUUUUAGUAGCCAUAUCUACUUAUCUAGAGAACAAAAUAUGUUUGGAUCGAAGAGAGCCCUAAUACGACUUCAGAUCACGACUGAAAAAAGAAAAAUCGAGGAUCCGUGGCUGUGAGAGAUCAAAUAGUAAAUAAAAACAAAUGUGGCACUACUGGAAGGGUAGAAGAACACUUUCUAAGACACGUGCAGGGCUCAGGGUGGAGAGGAAGUCACCGGAGGUCAUCGGAAAGGCUAUUUAGAGGGCUAACGGAGACAAAAAACCCAAAAAAAUGCACUUGCAGGGCUCAGAUGGCACAAGCACAGAUGGAGGGUGGCUAGACGGCGUCAGGCGAGGCUGAAGGUGGAAGUGCGUGGUCGAAAAGUGCUCUACGGGCCCUCACGUGUCGGCGUGUGAGGUUCAGGCCGCCGGAGAAGAAACGCACGUGGCCGGCGCGUGACUGAGAAUCUCCCUCCGGUGCUUUGGCAAAACUUAAAGAUCUCCACCUUGCGCACCUUAUGGUAUAGUCAGUGUCGAAAAAGGACUUCGCCGGAAAAAGUCGCCGACGGUGAGGGUUUUCUGAUGGCAGUGAGGGUUUUCUGAUGGCGAUACGGUUGAUCGGAAAGCUUUAGGAGAUGGAAAAGGUGAUCGAAAUGAAACACGGUCACUGAAAGGUUUCCCAGAAUCGAUUCACCGAUAAACCGAAAAUAAUUACGUUUUUUUCUCCUUAGGCUCUGAUAUCAUGUGAAAAAAGAGAAAAAUGGAGAAUCCCUAAUUUUUGUUAUUAAAAAAACUGUUAAUAAUACACAUUGGACUUCGGUAUAUAUACAUGUUAGUGAGACCCACAAUACAAUAAGGAAAGAAAAGGAAAAAUAAAUAAUUGAAAUAACUAUACACUAUCUAACAAUGAGCAAUGUUCAUAGUUGAAUUUUUUUCACAGUAGAGCUUCAUUGGCUUCUUACUAGGAAUUCUUAGGUCUUCAAGCAAUUUCUUCAACCAACGAUGUAAACAAAUACCAUGAGUGGUUGUUUUGAAUUCAACUUUAGUAUUGCUUCUUGGAAUGACAUAUUACAUCCUACUCUUGUAAGUCAUUACGUUUCUUUUUACAAAAGAACAGUUUCCUAAAAUAAUUUUUUUUUUAUAGGUAAAUAAGAGAAUAUAUUAAGAGUGCAAAAAGCGCAUCAUGGUACACGAGAAGUAUACAAGAAGGGCCUAAAGGCUUGCAAGAAGAGAAAAGGAAAAAUAAGCAACAAACCCACCCAAACAACCUAGAAAGCCAAAACUAACCAAUCGCCUCACCAACCCCCACCACUCUCAGCACCCCAAAACAACCCUUAUCUUGGAAUAAUAAACCAAAAAAACCAACAUUUGGAACCUAAAAGCAACCUCAUGCAAUGAAAUCUAUGACCCCAAUACUCCUCCCCUUACCUCUAACUAGCAAAGGAAAGUUUUUGUAAUUUACCAAGCACUUCAAUUUUUGUAUCUCCCUCUCAAGUUGGGAAUUCGAGAUUAGCUUCCUUUCCCCCCUGAUGCAUAGACACCAUGCCCCUUCCUUGUCUCCAUCUUCCUUAAAAGGGAGAAAAUUUUAUUUUCAAAACCCUCGAUUGGCAUCCCACAAGGCUAUUGAAACUAACCAACUUAGAAAAGAGACUAUUGGAAGGAACCUCCUCUUUUAACGGCCGAUUGAAGGAUUUUACCUUUGAAGACACUUGCUCUUCAGACCCGACUACCAAAUCCUUGCCUAAAGUACUUUCCACAAUGAUCUUCAGGCACUCCAAGCGAGACUCAUCUUGAAGCAUCAUUUUGAGGGUUGAAAUCCCACUCCCAAAGGUCCUUUACAAUUCCCUACCUUCAGUUGAGGAUUCUUCUUCUAGUUGCGACUGCCUCCCAUAGACUAAAACAAAGGGCUACCACCUUGUGGCAACCUAACCACGAAUGCAAAGAAGAAAGAAGAGAUCCCUCCCUAAAGUAAUGAGUUUGGCCUACCUAAAAAAGUUGAUGCUUUUGCCAAGAGAACCUCAUCAACUCCUAAAACCCUCUUUUCUAAUCCUUGAGACUUUGCAUGAAGAAUGGGAUUGUCAAAAAAGCCUCUUCUUUCAUUGUUGUUGCCUUUCUCUCCAUUGAACAUAGGGUAUUGAACACCCUUAGAGACCUUGUUAACCUUGCCUAAUAUCCCACUAAUGGGCUUGGGAGGCAUCAUGCUUGAUUCACUUAAAAAAGACCUUGGCCCAUCCUUGUCAGGCCCACUAGCACUUGAACUUGGCCCAUCCUUAGCAAGCUUGCUAGCGCUCCAUUUUAUAUUGGGCAACCUCUUAGCAAAUUUGGGUCAGCCCAAAAAGAAUCCUUUAGCAAGACUAGGAAAAUAAAUCUUUUCUGACGGACAUAAGCCCACUUUGAGUGAGCAAGGGCCACCCUUUGCCUUGUCUUUAGUAGGAAAAAAUCCCAAUGACCCAUCAAGGGCCUCGAAAGGACUCAUAGAGGACUUAGAGCCUUCUUUCCCAACCUGCUCCAACAAAAAGAUGCUGCCACUUUCUCUAGAGAGUGCUUUCACCACCGUAUAGUGCAUAGAGGGACUCAACUUAGAACCCGACACCUGUAAAGCCUCUUUUACAUUCUUUUCUUCAUCCUUCUAAUCUCCCACCCGUGUGUGAACAAACCAUACUCUCUUCCCUGACCUCUGAAUCCUUGUAUCUCUCUUUUGAGACCAUUAACAUCAUCUAUGCUGAUAUUUCCCACCAAAGUUAGAUAUAAAAAACUUUGCCCCAUCCACUACAUGCAACUUUCCUAACACCUUCUACUUGUUGGACUUUAUAAGGAUCUUAGCCUAGGUACAUGAUGUUUCUCCAUCACCUCCCCAUCUAUAGCCAAAAACCACCACAUGCAUCCCGAAACUACCUCAAGGUAUAUGAUAGACUGCCUCAAGGUGUUUAUUUGGAGAGUGUAUGAAUUAGCUCACAACACUCACUAAAUAAGGUAUAUAUGGCCAAUUAUGAGAGAGAUAUAUUAGUUUUCCCACAAACUUCUAAUAGUGUUCUUUGCUAGUACACUUACUCUCUUUUAGUAACCAUAAUUUGCAAGUAGGAUCAAUUGGAGUCUCGGUUGGCUUACACCCUAGAAAUCUAGAUUUUUUGGAGCAAAUCCAGUGUAUACUUCUUUUGUGACACAAAAAUACCUUCCCUUGAUAUAGAAAACUCCAUUCCCACAAAGUACCUCAAGGUUCCUAGAUCUUUGGUCUCAAACUCUUUAUCUAAAAAAUUCUUCAAUCUUUGCUAUCUAGCUGGAUUAUCUCUAGUAAGGAUGAUAUCAUUCACGUACACUAUUAGUAUAGCAAGCUUGCCAUCACUAGAAUGAUUGUAGAAGAGAGUAUGAUUUGCUUGGCUUUGUGAGUACUUGGGCAAUUCCUCCAAGUCCAAAUAAUCUUGCACGAUAUUGCUAAUGCUUUGUGAGUUUUUGAAAGCUUUUGUCAAUUAUGCAAGAUUAUUCGUUACAAGUCUAAUCCUUUAUUCUAAUUUAGAGUGUCGUAUAAUUUCAUUUUCCUCAAUAUUGUUUCUUUGUACCUAGAAAAAUACUCACUAGUUUUUGCAUUUAACACCUGGACCUAUUACUAGGUGAAUGGUCACCUAAGAGACUAAAGAAGAUUAAACCUUUGUUGUUACACCACUCAAUAUACCAUUUUUUCCAACAAGAAAUCAGUUGCUUCUAUAUGUUGGAUUUGCUUAAGUGUUGAUAUGUUCACAAUGUGAUAUGUGAAUGCUUAUUGAGGACACAUGUCAUGAUUACUAUUUUACUAACCUUUACACCAAUUUCAAAAGUAAAAGCAUCUCCUCAUGGCAUGCAUCUUAUGAGUUUGGAUAGUAUUAUAGGAGAAGAUUUCUCUUUCACAAGCAGACUUUGUUUAGAGUAGGUAGAUUAUGGACCUAUCUUUGCUCAUCAAUGAGAUGUUGGAUAAGAAAGUUCACUUGGCCAAGAAGGGGAUGGUAUUUAAGAUAAAUUUUGAAAAGACAUAUGAUCAAGUUGAUUGAGAUUUACUAAACCCUGCUUUGCUCAGAAAAAGUCUGGUUCUAAAUUGACACUUCAGAUUUUAGGUUGCCUAUCUUCGAUUAGUUCUUCUAUGAUAGUGAAUAGUUGUAUGAAAGGUUGGGUAAAGGCUUGUAGAGGGUUCACACAAUGGGAUCUACUUUCUCCUUUUCUCGUUAUUAUAGUAGUAGAUCAGAGGAUAUCUACCAAGAUUAAAUCACACUUUCAAUAUUUGAAAGACUAAUUAAAAGAAAAAAAAAAUUCUUUCAAUGUUCAUAUAGAUAUCAAGACUUACGAUAAAUCUAAUUUAGAGUAUCCUGUUAGGCAUUAGUUUGAAUUAAGACAACUCUUUAGUCUAGCUUCCCUGUUAGGCUGCUGGACCGCGAGGUAGCCCCUCUCUUGUUUAGGGCUUAUUUUGCUUGGGAAUCUCAAGGCUCCUCAGUUUUAGAACCUUGAUUUAGAAAAGGCCUCUUGUAAAACAAAUGGUUGUCAAAGAGCCUCUCUGUUCCUAGGAUGAAGAGCUACAUUUAUCCAGUCUCGUUUGCCUUAUAUUUGUACUGGUUUCCUCUCAGACUAGUAUUCUAGUCAAGAUUGGCUUCUAAGAUUGACAGAAUUUGGAAUUUUUAUUGGUCAAGGAAGGGAAGAAAGAACUUUCUGUUUGUUUGCCUAUCAAAAAAGGAAAGGACAUCUAAUUGGAUGGUAUCAAUUUUAUAGGCUGAGGAAUGAAGGGGAUUGGGGUUUGGAAUGAUUUCUUCAAGGAAUAGAGCCUUUUCUAUGGAGCUAUGCUUGGGCUAGUGACGCUGCAUUCCAUAAGGUAGUCAGAAUUAAUUAUGGUUUGCACUUUGAUGGUUGGGAUACAAACAUUUUGUCUAAUGGUCACAUUAGGGCACAUGGAGAGGAAUUGCACAAGGUUUCUUUAAUUUUCUUAGUAUAUCCAGUUCUUAGUUUGGAAUGACUCUUGAGUUUCUCUUUUGGGAAGAUUUGUGGUGAUUUCAAACCCUCUAUCCUAACAUCUGUUGGUUCCAAGGUCUAGAGAUUCUUUUAGUUCAUCUGCUCUUAAUAUUUUAUCCUCCUUGUGCUGAUACCUUAACUCCUUGGUUUAUUUCUCAGACUAGGAGAGUGGUGAUCUUAUCAGCUUCAUUUCUUUGUUGCUUCUUGUUUAUCUAUCAUCCUCCUUUUCCAUUGAGGAAGUUAGGUCUUGACCCGGCUCUUUAAGGUUUUCCUCUUUGUAGUCCUCCUUAUCUUAAAAGUAUGAGAUUAUGAGCAGUGAUCAACUUGAUGUUGUUUACCAACCUUAAAGAAUCAGACAAGUGGGUUUGAGAAUAGAUAUGAUCAGAUUAGUUCAUGUUGACUAUCAUUGGCGUGUUCAUGUUUUUCCCCUCUCUCACACAAGUAUUUUUAUUUUUUUUAUUUUGCAGUGAUGGAUUCUUUUUUGCUGUGAAGGAGGUUUCAUUGCUUGAUCAAGGGGGCAAGGGCAAACAAAGCAUUUAUCAACUUGAACAGGUGAGAAGAAUGUCUUCUUUUGAAGAAAUGCUCAUCAAAUAUGGUUUAAUCGUUCUUAUUUUUUUAAUAAAAUUUUUUGAACUAUUUUUUUCUUUUUUGUACAUCACAGUUAACCUCAAGCCAAUUGCAUACAUAGGUAUUGCAGUAAAGAGCAAUUGCUCAUCGAUCCGGGCUGUAUUAUCAUGAAAUUCUUUUUCUAAUUCCUUCCUUAUUGGUCCAGGAGAUUUCUCUUUUAAGUCAGUUGGAACAUGAGAACAUAGUUCGGUAUUAUGGCACAAAUAAGGUGUGUUUCUUACGUUGAGUCAGUUUCUUUUGUUUUCUUGUAACAUAUAAUUCUUGGAAUGAGCCGCAUUACAUUUUGUCACCUAUAGCAAACUAAAAUGAAUUUUUCGUCAUUUUUUGUGCCUGACCUUUGAGACAAUGGGUGUUAUGUGCAUUUAUAUGUACCUUUCCUAAUGGCAAUGGGAAGAUCAACAUUAAUGUCAACAUCAUCAUGUGAGUCAAGAGGCGCAAUAUAAUUAUGUACCUCAUUUCUGAGAGUUGGUUUGAAUGUUUGGACUUGCAUGGGUCUAGGUUCAGUCACCCUCUUCCUUGAAUAAACUUGUAGUGGCUUUGUGGUAAUAGGUNNNNNNNNNNNNNNNNNNNNNNNNNNNNNNNNNNNNNNNNNNNNNNNNNNNNUUGAGGUGUGUUGGAAAUUUCUAGAUUUUUUUCAUGACUUUUGGACUCUUUUUGGGUUCAAUUUGAAGGUUCGGAUGGGGAAGAUUUAGGAAAGUCAAGCAAGAACAUGUCCUUAUCUUCCAUAGAUGAUGUUUCCCCUUGAAGAUAAGGAACUGAAAAAUAUCCCUUUGUUUCUACAAAAGUCACAUCCAUGGAGAAGAAAAAAAAUUUCAUUGGAGGAUGGAAACAUUUAUACCAACAAAAACACACUUUAAUGCUCUUGGAUCCAACUUUCCUCAAUGAUAAGCAUGAAUAUGAUCAAACACGGGGCACCCAAACACUUUAGGAGGAAGCUUACUCGAUGUAUUAAAUUGAAGAAAAAAUGUUGUGAACAUUUACAUAAGACUCUUUAAACCCAAAACUCGAGAAGAAACCCUAUUUGUUAAAUGAGUAGCUGUAAGAACGAACUCCUCCCAAUAUGUUUUUGGAACAUUUUUUUGAAACAAGACAGCCUUAGUAACAUUUAGUAAGUGACCAUUUUUCAUCUUGGCUACACCAAUUUGUUAGGGUGAAUCAACACAUGAAGACACAUGAAUAAUUCCCUCUUUUUGAAAAUAAGAUGAAAGUGUUUGAUUGAAAUAAUCCUUUGCAUUGUCCAAUCUAACACGUUUUAUUGACACCCCAAAUUGAUUUUUGACCAUAUUAUGGUAAUUUGGAAAAACAAUGCUCACAUCCAACUUUUGUUUUAAAAGGAAGAUCCAAGUAACACGGGGUUUCUGGGAUAUUGAAAGCUUGUAGACUUUAUUUCCAUCUAUUUGGGACUUCCUGGGUGCUCCCUUGUUCUUGAAAGAGUAAUAGUCACUAGGUUGGGAUGGGAGUGCUAUAAAAAGGAGUUGUAAGAUGAUAUGGAGGGUUAUAUAAGAUUUGGUGGAAACCUUCUCCUUGAAGAUGACGCUGUGGCCAGUGGAGACAACCACUUCAAAUGAUGAAUCACCUGGUUACAGAAAUUUGUAGAAGUGGUUCAUGAAGUCAAUAUAAUGAUUGAUCAAUAAUGUUAAAUUGUGUGGAAGAUGUCUAGAGGAGGUAGAAGACGGUUUAUUGUGGAAUCUAAAGCUUAUGAUCUUGUGAUUGAUGAAGUAGGAGGAAAGCUGAGAGAAUGCAUUUGGGAGAGAUAUAAAGGGCUAUCAUCUUGGAUCAGAUUUGGAGAUGCAAGCCUCAGUAGUCUGCUGGUAGGUGUGGAGUCCUGCUGUAGAGAUAGAGAUGAUAGUAAUUGGUCCCUCGCAUGGGAGAAGGAGGGUAGGAAAUAUAGAUUGGAGCGUCGUACAAAUGAGGCGGGUAGAUUCAUUCUCUGUUCUGUUCGUGAUAGGAGGCAAAAAGGUUUUGCUUAAUUUUUCCCGAACGAAAGAGGCUAUCUGGAGGAUGGAACACNNNNNNNNNNNNNNNNNNNNNNNNNNNNNNNNNNNNNNNNNNNNNNNNNNNNNNNNNNNNNNNNNNNNNNNNNNNNNNNNNNNNNNNNNNNNNNNNNNNNNNNNNNNNNNNNNNNNNNNNNNNNNNNNNNNNNNNNNNNNNNNNNNNNNNNNNNNNNNNNNNNNNNNNNNNNNNNNNNNNNNNNNNNNNNNNNNNNNNNNNNNNNNNNNNNNNNNNNNNNNNNNNNNNNNNNNNNNNNNNNNNNNNNNNNNNNNNNNNNNNNNNNNNNNNNNNNNNNNNNNNNNNNNNNNNNNNNNNNNNNNNNNNNNNNNNNNNNNNNNNNNNNNNNNNNNNNNNNNNNNNNNNNNNNNNNNNNNNNNNNNNNNNNNNNNNNNNNNNNNNNNNNNNNNNNNNNNNNNNNNNNNNNNNNNNNNNNNNNNNNNNNNNNNNNNNNNNNNNNNNNNNNNNNNNNNNNNNNNNNNNNNNNNNNNNNNNNNNNNNNNNNNNNNNNNNNNNNNNNNNNNNNNNNNNNNNNNNNNNNNNNNNNNNNNNNNNNNNNNNNNNNNNNNNNNNNNNNNNNNNNNNNNNNNNNNNNNNNNNNNNNNNNNNNNNNNNNNNNNNNNNNNNNNNNNNNNNNNNNNNNNNNNNNNNNNNNNNNNNNNNNNNNNNNNNNNNNNNNNNNNNNNNNNNNNNNNNNNNNNNNNNNNNNNNNNNNNNNNNNNNNNNNNNNNNNNNNNNNNNNNNNNNNNNNNNNNNNNNNNNNNNNNNNNNNNNNNNNNNNNNNNNNNNNNNNNNNNNNNNNNNNNNNNNNNNNNNNNNNNNNNNNNNNNNNNNNNNNNNNNNNNNNNNNNNNNNNNNNNNNNNNNNNNNNNNNNNNNNNNNNNNNNNNNNNNNNNNNNNNNNNNNNNNNNNNNNNNNNNNNNNNNNNNNNNNNNNNNNNNNNNNNNNNNNNNNNNNNNNNNNNNNNNNNNNNNNNNNNNNNNNNNNNNNNNNNNNNNNNNNNNNNNNNNNNNNNNNNNNNNNNNNNNNNNNNNNNNNNNNNNNNNNNNNNNNNNNNNNNNNNNNNNNNNNNNNNNNNNNNNNNNNNNNNNNNNNNNNNNNNNNNNNNNNNNNNNNNNNNNNNNNNNNNNNNNNNNNNNNNNNNNNNNNNNNNNNNNNNNNNNNNNNNNNNNNNNNNNNNNNNNNNNNNNNNNNNNNNNNNNNNNNNNNNNNNNNNNNNNNNNNNNNNNNNNNNNNNNNNNNNNNNNNNNNNNNNNNNNNNNNNNNNNNNNNNNNNNNNNNNNNNNNNNNNNNNNNNNNNNNNNNNNNNNNNNNNNNNNNNNNNNNNNNNNNNNNNNNNNNNNNNNNNNNNNNNNNNNNNNNNNNNNNNNNNNNNNNNNNNNNNNNNNNNNNNNNNNNNNNNNNNNNNNNNNNNNNNNNNNNNNNNNNNNNNNNNNNNNNNNNNNNNNNNNNNNNNNNNNNNNNNNNNNNNNNNNNNNNNNNNNNNNNNNNNNNNNNNNNNNNNNNNNNNNNNNNNNNNNNNNNNNNNNNNNNNNNNNNNNNNNNNNNNNNNNNNNNNNNNNNNNNNNNNNNNNNNNNNNNNNNNNNNNNNNNNNNNNNNNNNNNNNNNNNNNNNNNNNNNNNNNNNNNNNNNNNNNNNNGAUGGAAAGAUGGCACCCGGAAGUGGGGUGUUUCAGCAAUGGUGUUUUUGCUAGAGAGGUAUGGGUGAGAGUGGUAGGUCUUCCCCUUCAUUUAUGGAAUCGAGAGGUGUUUAAGUUGAUAGGAGAUGGUUGUGGUGGGUUCAUUGCUGUGGACAACAAGACGGAAUCAAUGGCAGAGCUGCAAUGGGUUAGAUUGUUGGUGAAAUCGGUGGGCAGGGACACACUUUCCUCCGUCCAGAUUGUGGAUGAGAUGGGGUGCUUCUCAGUCCAGCUGUGGUGGGAAUUCCCACCUUGGUUCUCUCAGGUGGUGCCGGCGGGAAGUGCUCUCGGGAAAGGGGAUGCAGUGGCUGUAGAAGUUGCAGGGAGUGGGUCUCGUGAAGAGUGUAGAGGAGGUGUGAUCGUGAAGGUUGGACAGCCGAUGGAGCAGAGGGGAGCAGGUGAGCCGCCCUGUGGUAGUUCUUCAAAAGGGAUUUCAGGCUGUCCAUAUGAGUUGGCUGGUAGGGGGCCUGGAAAGGAGGUGACUGAUGGAGAAGACAGCUACGGGAUCAGCAGUCGAGGGGGAGGGAAGUUAGCAAACAUGGGAGGUUUUAAAUCUGGGCCAGCUGCUUGUGUUUUUGGGCCCGAUUGGGAGGCCCAAGCCAGGAGCGGGCUUGGAGAUGGUGGUCUUAAGUCAGAAUUUGUGGGAUUCCAGACGUUUGGGCCAGAUUGUGAGCCCAGGCCCAUCACCUUAAAAGGGUGGGUAAUGGGCUGCGAGGAAAGGCCUUUCCUCAUAAAGGGGUCGAUCGAGGGCUGCGAAGGGAGGGCCGACAUAGGUUUUGAACCGGUGUUGGGGGGAUUAAGAGAAAAUAGGGCUUCUCCUCGUGCCGAGGUCGGGGGGAUGGAGAUUAGGGCUUCGAUGGAAGCUUCGGGUGACCAAGUUAAGGAAGACGGGGGGAUCGCUUGCAUCCUUGGAGGAGAUUGGAGGGAUUCCGAGUCUCUAAUGGCGAAGGCGAGAGCGCGAAUGUCCGAAGAAGCGCUGCUAGCUGAAGCAUCCAGGUACGAGCCCGUCAUCGAUGUUCUUGGGGGGGAUCAGGUCCACUUCUCUUCUUCUUCUCUUUCUGGGUGCGAUCGGGCUAUGGUGGUGGGGGUUGUUAGGGAUCCGGUAGUUAUUGACGAAGGAGAUGGGUAUCAUGCUCCGUUGCGAGCGUUGUUGACUGAUGGCAGGCCGUGGGAAACGGGUACAAAGGGGGGAAAGAACAGGGGAGUCAGGUCAAAGGAGAGUGAGGAUCUGGAGGAAGAAGAGGACCAGGGCAGCGGUUGGGAUGACAGUAGCUUGGCUAAGUUUAGCAAGUCUUUGGGAUUCUCGACAGUUGGUGUUGAGGGGGAAGUUCUUAAACUUCUGUUAAGGCUGAAAUCAAGGAGGGAUCAAGGCAAGAAGAAAGGAAGUUCAGGGAUGACUAGGUUUGAUAGGGAAGUGAAAAAAUUGGAAUGGUCGAUUAAUUAUGAAGGAGAAAGCAGGAAGAAAGGCUCAGAUAGAAGAAACGGGGACAGAGCUCUGUGCCUCAAAUGAAGAUUAAAAUCCUAUCUUGGAAUGUCCGGGGGGUGAAUGACAGAAAUAAGAGGAGUUCAAUUAAGGCCUUAAUUAGAGCCCAAAAAGUGGAUUUGGUAUGCCUGCAGGAGACCAAAAUGUCUCAGAUGUCUCUAGGGGUGGUGAGAAGUCUUGGUGUGGGGAGAUUUUUAGAUUGGGGAGUUCUAAAUGCGAGAGGGGCAGCUGGAGGGGUGUUGGUUUUUUGGGACAAAAGAGUGCUGGAGCUGGAAGGGAUGGAGGUAGGUCUUUUCUCCGUCUCCUGCCGGUUCAAGAACUGUGAAGAUGGUUUUAAUUGGAUUUUUUCAGGAGUGUAUGGCCCUACAGUAAAGAGAUAUAGAGAGCUGUUUUGGGAAGAGUUAGGGGCCAUCCACGGGCUAUGGAGCGAUCCUUGGUGUAUCGGAGGUGAUUUCAAUUUAAUUAGAUUUCCGAAUGAGAGCAGAAAAGGGGGAAGAUUGUCUUCUUCAAUGAGAAGAUUCUCGGAAGUGAUUGAUGAAUUGGAUUUGAGGGAUCUUCCCCUUCAGGGGGGUCCAUUCACCUGGAGUGGAGGCCUGAAUAAUCAAGCUAUGACCAGGUUAGACCGUUUCUUGGUGUCGGAGGAUUGGGAGGAUCACUUUAAGGGGGCGGUGCAGUGUACCCUCCCUAGGCCUGUGUCCGACCACUUCCCUAUUCUAUUGGAUGGGGGAGGGGUUAGAAGAGGUCCUAUUCCUUUUCGGUUUGAAAAUAUGUGGCUUAAGGAGGAGGGAUUUAAGGAUCUGUUGAAGGGGUGGUGGCAGAGUCUAAGCUUUAAUGGCUCGUUUAGCUUCAUCCUUGCUGAGAAGUUGAAGGCGUUGAAGGCUAUUCUAAAGUCGUGGAAUAAGGAGGUUUUUGGGCAGGUGGGUGUCAAUAAGAAAGUGGCCCUGGACAAGGUAAAUUUCUGGGAUGGUCAGGAGAAGCUUCGCCCCUUAUCUUUGGAGGAAUUGGAAACUAGAAAGGCAGCAAAGGGGGACUUCGAAAAAUGGGCCCUAAUGGAGGAGGUUUCUUGGAGACAAAAAUCAAGAGAAGUUUGGCUUAGGGAGGGGGAUAGAAACACAGGCUUUUUUCACAAAAUGGCUAACUCCCAUAGAAGGAGAAACUGCCUGUCCAAGAUUAAAGUUGAUGGAGUAUGGCUAACUGAGGAGCAGGAGAUAAAGAGGGGUGUGGUUAGAGCCUUAAAGGACCAGUUGACUGACCCGGGGGGCUGGCACCCCUCUAUGGAAGGUCUGGAUUUUAAUAGAAUUGGUGAUGAGGAUGCAGCUGGUCUGGAGGAGGUGUUUUCAGAGGAAGAGGUCCUCAAGGCUCUUUCAGACCUGAACGGGGACAAAGCUCCGGGUCCAGACGGCUUCCCCAUUAGGUUUUGGCAAUUUUGUUGGGAUGUUGUCAAAGAAGAGAUUAUGGGUUUUCUGUUAGAGUUUCAUGAGCGCGGCAGAUUCGUUAGGAGCCUAAAUUCGACCUUCCUGGUCCUAAUCCCAAAAAAACCUGGAGCCGAGGACCUUAGAGACUUCAGACCGAUCAGCUUGGUGGGCGGAUUGUAUAAACUGUUGGCAAAAGUAUUAGCCAACAGACUUAAGAAGGUAGUGGGCAAAGUGGUGUCUUCAGCUCAAAACGCUUUUGUUGAAGGAGGACAGAUUCUUGAUGCUGCCCUUAUUGCCAAUGAGGCAAUAGAUUCUCUGUUGAAACGAAACGAGUGUGGAUUGUUAUGUAAAUUGGAUUUAGAGAAGGCAUACGAUCACAUAAAUUGGAACUUUUUGAUGGUUGUAUUGCAAAGCAUGGGAUUUGGGGAGAAGUGGAUUGGGUGAAUAUCCUGGUGCAUCUCUACAGCAACGUUUUCAGUUUUGAUCAAUGGCACCCCGAAAGGCUACUUCAACAGCUCAAGGGGGCUGCGGUAGGGGGACCCCAUAUCUCCUUACCUAUUUGUGAUAGGAAUGGAGGCCCUUAGCAGGCUGAUCCAUAGAGCAGUGGAGGGAGGGUUCCUUUCAGGCUGUAGGGUUGAUGGAAGGGGUGGGAAUGGGGCCUUAGUCUCUCAUUUGCUGUUUGCCGACGACACAUUAGUGUUUUGUGAAGCUUCUGAAGAUCAGAUGGUCCAUUUAAGCUGGUUGUUGAUGUGGUUUGAAGCCAUAUCAGGUUUGAGAAUCAACUUGGACAAAAGCGAAAUUUUACCGGUUGGUAGAGUGGAGAAUUUGGAAAAUUUGGCUCUUGAGGCUGGCUGUAAAGUGGGUAGGCUGCCUUCUUCUUAUUUGGGGAUCCCUUUGGGGGCGAACCACAAGUCGGUGGCUGUUUGGGAUGGAGUGGAAGAGCGAUUUCGGAAACGGCUGGCCUUGUGGAAGAGGCAAUUUAUUUCCAAAGGAGGGAGAAUUACUCUAAUUCGGAGUACAUUGUCAAGCAUGCCUAUAUACUUGAUGUCCUUACUCCGAAUGCCAAGAGUGGUGAGUCUAAGGUUGGAGAAAAUUCAAAGGGACUUCUUGUGGGGAGGGGGUGCUUUGGAGAGGAAGCCUCACUUAGUUAACUGGGAUACUGUUUGCAUGGAUAGAGAUGGGGGUUUGGGANNNNNNNNNNNNNNNNNNNNNNNNNNNNNNNNNNNNNNNNNNNNNNNNNNNNNNNNNNNNNNNNNNNNNNNNNNNNNNNNNNNNNNNNNNNNNNNNNNNNNNNNNNNNNNNNNNNNNNNNNNNNNNNNNNNNNNNNNNNNNNNNNNNNNNNNNNNNNNNNNNNNNNNNNNNNNNNNNNNNNNNNNNNNNNNNNNNNNNNNNNNNNNNNNNNNNNNNNNNNNNNNNNNNNNNNNNNNNNNNNNNNNNNNNNNNNNNNNNNNNNNNNNNNNNNNNNNNNNNNNNNNNNNNNNNNNNNNNNNNNNNNNNNNNNNNNNNNNNNNNNNNNNNNNNNNNNNNNNNNNNNNNNNNNNNNNNNNNNNNNNNNNNNNNNNNNNNNNNNNNNNNNNNNNNNNNNNNNNNNNNNNNNNNNNNNNNNNNNNNNNNNNNNNNNNNNNNNNNNNNNNNNNNNNNNNNNNNNNNNNNNNNNNNNNNNNNNNNNNNNNNNNNNNNNNNNNNNNNNNNNNNNNNNNNNNNNNNNNNNNNNNNNNNNNNNNNNNNNNNNNNNNNNNNNNNNNNNNNNNNNNNNNNNNNNNNNNNNNNNNNNNNNUGGGAGGCUGCUUGGGGUAAGGUGCUUACUAUGGACCAGCUUAAAAAGAGGGGUUGGGCUGUUGCUAACAGAUGUUUUAUGUGCUGUGAGGAAGAGGAGUCAAUUGAUCAUAUCCUUAUUCAUUGCUCUAAGGCAAGAGCCUUAUGGGAUUUAUUGUUCGCCCUUUUUGGAGUGUGUUGGGUCCUCCCUUAUUCGGCUAGAGAGACCCUUAUUGAAUGGAGGGGCUUUAUGUUGGGCAAGAAGCAUAGAAAGGUGUGGAAGGCAGCCCCGUUGUGCCUCUUUUGGGCGGUUUGGAUGGAAAGAAACAGGAUUGCUUUCGAUAAUGAGGACUUUUCGGUUCAUAGGUUGAAGAAUUCUUUUGUUUGUAAUCUUUGGGUGUGGACAAAAUCAAUUGUAAAUGUAGAUCCUCUCACUUUACCUAGUUUUCUUGAUUGGCUAGGAGCUAGAUGAGGGUCGAGUUUGUUUUCCUUUCUCUUGGGUGUGCUUUAAGGGUCCUUUGUAUACUCCCUGUAUGCUUUGGGCUUUCCUUUUGGUGCCCUUUUCUAAUAUAAUUCUGUUUUUGCCUAUCAAAAAAAAAAUAAUCAUCAAUAAACGAAACAAACCAACAAACUCCCAAAAUAUUAGGAACUCGUGAUGGGCCCAAAUAUCAUUGUGAAUUAAAGCAAAAGGAAAUUAUGAUCUUUUGUUGCUCAAAGGAAAUGGGGCACAAUGAUGUUUUGCAAAUUCACUAACAUUACAAUGAAAAGUGUCUACAUCAAUAUUCUUAAAAAGUAAAAGGAACAUGACCUUAAAUAUAUUAAAUGAAGGGUGGCCAAGUCGAAAGUGAUAAAGCUAAAUUUGGUCUUGAUUUGAAGAAGAGGACUCAGAUAAAAAAGAAAGAGGUAGUUGAUUCCCAUUGCCAACAUUGCCACUACUUGUAUCAAGGUAGUAGAGUUCGUUCUUUUCCUUAACAUGCCCAAUCUUCUCUCCCAAAACUCGGUCCUGAAAAACACAAUGAGUAGGGGAAAAGAUAACUCUACAAUUCAUAUCUUUUGUGAGUUAAUAAAUGGACACAAGGUUGGUUGAAAGCUUGAGAACAAGUAAGACAUUUUUAAGACUCAAAGAAAGGUUUACAUUGACCAUUCCCAAACCUGCAACAGUAGCUAAAGACCCAUCAGCAAUGGUUAUUUUCUUAUUGCUAGGACAUGGAAUAUAUGUGCUAAAUUUUUCUGAUGAAUGUCAUAUGCUCAGUAGCUCUUGAGUCAAUAAUCUAAGAGCUUGACAGGGACAUAGCUGAGACACUAAAAGCAUGAGAGAAAGGAGACUUACAUGAAUGUGCGAGAGAGCAAACACCCAUAGGUUUCUCCAAUGAACCCAAUUUUUUUUUCAUCUUUUCAAUGUCCUCCUAAUUCAAUUCUCCAAGUUUCGUGUUGUUGUACUUUGAUUGUUCUCUUUAGAAUUAUUAGCAUCAUCUACAUACACUUGGCUUCACUGUUGUCCCCCUUUAAAACCACUAGCACAGUUGAUACCCAUGGUUUACCAUAAAGUUUCCAGCAUGUCUCUUUUGUAUGCUGCGGUUUUUUACAAUAUGUGCACCAAACAUUGUCCUUAUUCUUAGAAAAAUCACAUAUGCCACUGUCAUUAUUGCCACCCUGUCUCGGGUUUAGGCCUUUGAAAUUACUAUCUCUUGGUUUUGAUGUAGCAAGGGCUGAACCUUCAGCUAGUUGAGAAUCAAUCAUAACACCUCAUCAUCCUUCCUCUGCUCGAAUAAUGGAAAACACCUCAUUAAUGGAUGGCAAAUCUUCCUUUCCUAAGACUUGAACUCAAACUUGAUCAAAUUCAAUUUAAGGCAAGUAAGAAACUUGAAAAUGUGCUCCCUUUCAACAAACUUUCUUAACAUUGCAUCAUCUUCACUACAUUUCAUUUGAAGAUUUUGGUAAUAAUCCAUUUCUUGCCAAAGACUUUUCAAGAGAUUAUAAUAUUCAAUGACCAAUCUUGUUCCUUAUUUAGUAGUUGAAAUUUUUUGCUUAAUUUUAUAGAUUUGAGACGCAUCACGUAUUUUAGAAUAAGUUUGUCUUAUUGUCUCCCAAAUCUCUUUAGCUGUGGUGAGAAACAUACAAGUGCCACUGAUUUCAAGCAACAUAGAAUUCCAUAACCAUGACAUGAUCAUGGAAUCCUCUUCAGCCCAUUGGUUGAACUUCAGAUAUUCAGGCUAUGGACCUAUGUCAAUUAGAUGACUUAGUUUGCCUUUCUCUUUCAAAAAGGUUUGCACUAGUUGAGACCAUUGGGGAUAGUUUCGGCCAUUCAACCGAUACGCUGAAUUGAUAUUCUAUAACUCUCCAAUGGUUUGAUGAGGCAAAGUUUCACCAAAGACGGCUAUGGGUGUGGCAGAAGUCUCAGACAUGUCAGACAUGGUGAAAUCCCAAAAAUUGCAAGUAGAGAUUGAAGCAAGAGAACGGAUGAAAGAUGAAAAAUGAAAUAAACAAAACACACACCAAUGAAGGCCGAAAGAAUUAGGCUUGAAAUUAACAACGAAGGCUGAAAAACUUGAACUAAAAUCAGCAAUGAAGGUUGAUGAAGAAUGUCCAAAGUGGCUUUGAUAUAAUGUGGGAGAAAGUGGUAAAAAAUUCUUAUUCAAUCAGCUGUUACAAUCCUAAUUUAUAUCCUAUAUUUACAAAGAAAUUUAAGGAAAAAAAUAAACUAAUAAUCCCUAUAAAUCAUGACAAUCCAUAUAAAUCAAGGAUUAUUCUUCCUAAUCUAAUAUACAGCUAUAUACACUUUCUUAAUCUAAUUUACAGUUAUAUACAAUUACAUAAAUGUAUACAAGAGACCCCAAUUAAGAAAAUUCAGAUUUCUAACAUUGCAUAUGUACUAUGUACCUUUUUUUUUUCCCUAUGGGUAAAAUAUGAGAAUAUAUUAAAGGGUGCAACAAUGCACAAACCUAAUAUACAGAAAGCGCUCAAAGGUAGAAUGAAAGCAAAGAGAACAACAUGGGAAAACUAACCAGACACACCACCUAACACCCCAGAAAAUCAGAUUGUUCCUAGCCAACUCUCAAGCUCCCAAAAAGUGUCCUGUGUACCUUAGGUGAGCUCUUUCUUUGGGUGCUUUGUUAUAUAAUAUUAUCAUUGCCUAUCAAAAAAGCACCAUCUUAUGGCUUUCUUCAACCCAUGGGUUAUAUAAUUCACUGUGUAAAUGAUCAAUAGCUAAAUUUUUCUUUUUCUUUGGGGGGAAUUUUCAUCUUUCAUGUUGUCAUUUAAGUAUUUCUUCCUUUAUGAUCUGGCUCUAAUUUUCCUUUAUGCACUUGAUCUUUCCAGGAUGACUCUAAACUUUAUAUCUUCCUUGAGCUUGUGACGAAAGGUUCACUUUUAAGCCUUUAUCAAAAGUAUCAUUUGCAGGAAAGCCAAGCCUCGGUCUACACAAAGCAGAUUUUAAAUGGUUUGAAAUAUCUACAUGAGCAAAAUGUAGUUCACAGGUGAUACAAAUGAUCUUACUGCUUAAUUGUUUGGUCAUAUUUAUCUAUAUAUUUAUUUCUGUUUUCUUGUUUUCUCAGCAUUUUUUUUUGAUGUAUUGCUUUGAACAUGUUUUGAUUAUUUCCGUUCUCUUGCCUUAGCCACCAAGAUGUCGAAUUAAUAUGCAUGAACUACACAAUACCUGGAUGCACAGCUUGCUUACCUCGAGAAAAUCGGUUCACUCUAUUGUGGAAGUUUUCCUGUUAUUCGAUUUUUUUUUUCCCAUCCUUGCUGCAAUGUUUCCAAAUUGAAAUUCUCAAUCUUAUUGGAGAGUGUAGUUGUUGCCAUUUGCUAUUUAGAGUUAUUAAUGAUUUUAUACUUUGUUUUACGAUGUUAUGAUGCCAGAAAUAGGUCAGAUUUAGCUGAGAAUGGAAAGGGGAACACACACACACACAGUGGACAUAUGUUCACCUCUGAUAACAGAUUUAUACUUUCUCUGACAUGAUAAUUGCACCUGCCCUCUUUCAGAAAAAGCAAAAGGGGGAAAAAGGAGUUGAAGGCAUGGAUGUUAAUCAUCUUCAUUUUGACAUAACUGUAAUGAGAUUAAUUUCUAUUCAAAGACUUGUGAGAAUAUCUUGAAGUUGUUCUGUGGACUUAACAUUUUGAGUGAUAAUUAAGUAUAGAGCACAGUAUAUCCCAAUAAGCUAUUCCUCUCCUAAAAUAUAUCGUUUGUUAUAUUUCAAGUUGUGAUUUGGUUUAUCUUGUAACAACUUCAUUUGUGAAUUACCUACAAGGAACCCCAUCUCCAUCUCUAUUUGAGUUGCAUCAUGCAGUUAGCUGCAUUGAACAUCAAUUUGUAUUCUGUCAAUGCUGGGUCUUGCUUGCAUCCAUGUCCACCUUUUUACUUUCCUAGGUGACUGCAUUUUAUUUCCCUUCAAGGAGUGAAUUAUAAGAGGAAGAAGCACUUUCUCUCUCACUUAGUCUAUCUUUCCCUCUCUCUGCAAAGAAUCUCAUCUUCAUUUGACUCAUUCUCAAUCUCCCUUCAUGGGAACUUUCGAACCUUGAAAUGGAAUUGAAAAUUGUUUGAUAUCUCUCUCUCUCCCAUUCUCCCUGCCCUUAUUUCUCACUCUCCCUUGGCCCCUUUCUUUCCCUAUUUACUCAUUUUCAACCUCCAUAGGAUAUUCUGAAAUUUGAAAUGGAAUUCUUUUCUCACUUUCACUAUGCCCUCUGCUUCCCCAAUUCCCUUAUAGAUUCAUUGUUGAUCUCCCUUCAUAGGAACUCUUGAAACGUCAAAUGGAAUUGAAAAUUUUUGGAUCUCUCCCUCUAUCCUGCAUGCUUCCUCACCCCCCUCUCUCUUCCUUUGCUACCUCCUUCUAUUGACUCAUUCUCAAUCCCCCUUCAUAGGAACUUUUGAACCCUGAAAUGGAAUUGAAAUUUUUUGGAUCUUUCCCUCCCCUUCUCGCUCCCCCUCUCUUCCUCUUCCCUCAUUGACCCGUUCUCAAUCUCUUUUCAAGAGAACUUUUGAACCUUGAAAUGGAAUUAACAAAUUUCUUGGCUCUCUUCCUCUCCUCUUUCCCUCUCUCCG
rnacentral:lncRNA from 1 species